CGCCAUGCGAAUCAGGGCUAAGAGAACUCGCUAUGCCUCUGCCUCCUCAGUCUUUGCCGCAUCCAGGCCGUGUGGAUGGGCAGAGCUCCCGGAAGAUUUUCUCCAAUCAUUAGUCGCUCGCCUCGGCUCCUUCCGCGACCUCCUCGCCUUCGGUGGCACCUGUCGUCCUUGGCGUGAUCUAUUGUCAGCACGCACGUCCUCUUUGCAGCCUCUCCUCCUACACCCGAGUACCAACAGCCAACGAUCUCCCUGGUACCACCAAUGGAUUGUUUUCCAGGAAUGCACAUGGAAAUUGUCUGAUGGAGAUUGGCUGAUUCUGCUGCGGCCUCAUCCUGGCACAGUUUGCUUUCCUUGAGUGACCUCAGAAGAAUGUUCUUUGUGCGCUGCUCCUACGGUCACCUCAUCUUCUGCGUCGAAGAUGGUUCUACAUUGUUAAUGCGUUCAGUGGCGCUAAGGUUGUGCCUCCUCGCCUCAAGUCAGGUAACUUCACUCGCGUUAGCUAUGUCACCUUGACUGCUCCUGUUGGAUCUGUGGACUCGCAUCUCCUUGUCAGCAGUGGAGUCUAUCUGUUCCAGUGGCGCAUUGGGGGCGAUUCUUGGUCAGAUCACUGUCCUAAAGUUCUUCUUCUUAAGAUUGAACAAAUCGUGGCCUUCAAGGGCAAAACAUACGCCCUAGGGUCUUUCGGGUCCUUCUGCAUCAUACACUUGUCACCUAGUCUCAUAAUUCAGAAGUUUAAAGUUGUGUUUGAGGAAGAUAGAACCGAAGAUCUCUAUUGGACAAAUAAAAAAACAUGGCUUGUGGCGUGUGGCGAUGCACUUCUCUUGAUCAAACUUGAGGCAGGAAGGAAGAUAUGCUCGGAGGUUGAGCCCAUCCAGUUCAAGGCCUACAAGCUCGAGUCACUGGACGCCGUGAACAAGAAGGCAAGGUGGGUGAAGUUGGACAGGUUGGAUAACUGGGCCAUCUUUGUCAGCGCGGACGUGCGAUGGGAGGCGUUGUCAUGCAUGAACCCGGAGAGAUGGGGAGGGAAAAGCAACCACAUAUACUUCCCAUGUUAUCAGUCUGACCAACCAUGGGCUGCAGUCAAACUAUGGAAAAAAUAUGAUGACCUUGCGAGAUGUUUGCAGCUCGUGAAUACUGGAAUCCAGUUCCAUAGAUUGGAGUCAACCAGGAUCCUUCCCGGCACAUUUUCUCGCUCCUUUCAGCAAUAAUCUUAGGGCAAUUGAGGGUGUGGCCGGUGAUUAGCUUCUGAUACAGCUUUCUUGGGGGAAUUCUACCAUGUUGCAGUUGCAGGAUGGGUAGUUUACUGAAUGUUCUUUUGGCUUGUCUCAGAACUUAAAAGUUUUCACUGUAAAGAUAACUGAUUCAGCACUCUCCUUUUUUUAGUGGCGAUUACAAGGGAGAUAUAUGUUUUAUUUCUCAUCUACUACAGAUAGUAGAGUUUUCUUGUACUUGGGCAACUUGAUAACAUGGUCUGGGCUGCAACUUCCUUUCAUACUAGAUACCUAAGGUGUUCUUACUGCGACAGAGUAUUUGUGUUGUGGUUGUUGAUUGUUCAUGUGAUGUGCUUGAGCAUAUAACAGUCUCACUGGGUAGAAAUGUGAAUAUUAAGAACAUAGCUUAAGGGUUGCUACAAAUUUUUAACUUACAAUUGCACACUAUUUUAGGUUGGAGAGUUGCAAGAAUCGGAGUGGGAUUGCAAGUCCAUAGCAUUACCUAUAAGCAGGUAUGACUUAGGGUUAAUAUAUUGUGCACAAUGUUAUGCAUUCGCACGCCAAGUUCAGCCAAGAAACAUAUAAGCAGCAUACGUGCAUUUAGCACAAAGUUCAGAAUUUGCACCAAGAAAAACUAGGCAGAUAGAUUGUUCAACAACCAAAUAGCUCUGCAUUUGUCCUUAGCUUCAGCAAACAGCUCUGCUUGCACUUUAUUACCUCUGUUUUUAAAAGGAGAUCAAGCUACAUAUAGAUGUAUGGAACAAAGAAAAGCACAUAGUUAAAUAAAAGCCCACACACAAUGCCGAAGAGUGAUACGAAGAACCUACGAAGGCAUUGUUUCAGGAUGUAAAAUGAAAGCAAUUAACAAGGUUCAGCAAAGACAACAACACGUCAACAUGUAGCACAAGUUUUUGCCUCCAGAAAUGUACACUGUAUAGCAAGCAGAUUAUUACAGAUCCUGAUGUAACUACCCUUGGCUUUUGACAUCUUUGAGCAGUAUAUUCAGGUGGAAGAACUCUUCCCCCGGCGAUUCCUCAAAAGAUAAGUCAGAGGAGCGGAAACUAGAACGAACAUAGAGACUGAACAUCAAGCAGUUCCCAAGUGCAGCCAGCGACAACGAUACAACUGCACGGUACGUGGCCACCCUUUAACUCCAUGCUCCUUUAAAUCCAUCCUCUCUCGGUUCACCAAGUGUCGUGGCUGGUCAUUAUCUUUCUCGGCGAAGAAGAAUGCCCACUUCUUUAGGCCUCCGUCUACCAGCUUCACAUACUUUGCAGAUUGAAAUGAUGAAGAAGGCUUCCUCAUUGCCACCAAGUAGGACAAGCAUGUCAUCACACGCCACUAACUCGCGGGAAAACUUGGAUUGGUCCAUAUUAUCACAGCAAACAACUCUUAGUGCCUCAAAGCAAAAUUGGGGUGCAAAAUGCAUGGUGUAAAUCUUUCUAGAUAUCUUCGCAAUGAUUCGGUCUUUGAUUGCCACCAUAUGCAUGAUCAUAUGCAGGACGUAGCCAGGCCCCAAGCAAAAGGGGCCAUGUCCCGGGGCAUGGCCGUGAAACACUUCCUUAAGGGUUGCUACUGUAGCGUAAUGUAACUACUUUAAUUGCUGUAGCUCUAUGGCUUGCCUGGGCGUGGGUGGAGGCUGGUUAGCAACUGAUCAUAUGCGCAUUUAGAAAAAAUCACAGAGCAACCAAGAAGGGCUCCCAAUUUGCCAAGUCCACAGGCACUGCAGGCUGCUGACACCUGUGAAGAUAUGAAGACUUUAUAGCAGAGCUGGGUCAAUGGGCUAGGUGAAGUUGAAACCCUAGUACUAAUGAGCACGCCCAUAAUGACAAGUGAUCUAUGGGAUGAGAAGAUAGCAUGACCAUAAGAGCAACUCUAGCAGAUUCGCCAUAUAUAUGAUCGUCAUUCGCCAUAUGGAGCGCACUCCAUGUGGACAUGGAGGGUGGGCAUGCGAUGUGCAAAUUCAGAGUUGCCAUAUCUGAGCCUUCAUAAUAAAAAUUGUUUUCCACAUUUAAACACUUCGAUUACCUCCUAAUUUAAACAUAUAGCACAUCAAGCAAAAAUGCACAUAGUUUUUGACAAGUUGCAUGAACAAAAGCAUUUUACCGGCGACAGAUACAAACCAUGUAUUCCCGCCAUGCCCUCUUUUGAGCUUCCUGUUUCGAAUGAUCAAGUCUCGCUGCGACGUACAGAAAUCUCACACCUCUGGAUCCAUUAGAUUCAGAUCCAACAUGAUGAAAUGAUUCCGCUGGGCUAUGCAAUGAUCUCUCGCACGAUCCUCUUUGAUUUAGGGCCUAUGUGCAUUCAUCUCCUGCCGCAUUUUGAGCCUACGCUUUUCCCAAAUUGUCUUUUUCUUCGAUGAGCCAGAGGCUUCGAAUCGAUCAAAUUACGUAUCUUGGACGGAGUCAUGUUUAAAAAGUGACAAUAACGUAUCUUGUCUCGGUGUAUUAAGAAAUGUUUCAUCAUGGAGGGCCGAUCCCCCAAAAUUAAAAAAAAUAAUCACUAAAUCAUAAACAUUGCACAUGUACCACAAUUUCCAUGGCCAUCUCGCAUUCAAUCAAACAAAAAUGAAUACAAGGUAUAGAAUGGCCUUUUUGACCACGUCGUUGUUGCUGAUCCAAUGUGUGACCAAAAAGUUUCGCUGGCCGCCAGGAUGAAUCGAGGUGGGUGAGGGCUACGGGCAUCUAGUUUCCCCAUCUUCUUCUUAUGUCCAUGUGGCACUGGCUGGGGGAGACCACCGCCUUUAUGUGGUGUUGUAGACCUUGCCACCUCUGCGUAGGGAUCUUCAGCGACAAUGUGGACGAGGUGUUGGCCUAGGUGGUGGUGGUCGGUAGUCGAAGGCGCGGGAGGCGUGUUAGCCACUGGAGCUGCAAGAGUUAUGGAAGGUGUAGGAGCCUCCGGAGGCGCGGGAUCAGAUUCCAAAACGACAGAAUCAGACGCGAGGGUCAAGGCACCGUCCAGACCGUCGUAGGUGGGGGACUGGGACGUCCGGAAGAGGUGAAAGACGGCCCUAAGGCAAGGAAGGUGAGCCGGUGGCGCGGGCGAGAAGAGCGGCGGGACGGGGGAAUGCCGCUCGCGCCAAAUACCCCCUCUCCCUGUCAAAUAUGGAGGCUUGCGAGGUGUAUCCGAGGCACACUGCAAUAAUGAUGGCGCUCGAGGGCGGGGUAGCAAUUCUAGUAUGACAAUUGGAGGUGUUUUUUCUUUUUACAGAGAUCGGACCGAUGUUUUUUUCCCGACAAAUAUCGGAGAGAUAUUCGAUAUUCCCCUAAAAACAUCUUACACAAGCUAUUGUGUUCAAAAUAGUGUUUUUUUGAGAAACUUGUGUUCAAAAUAGUUUUUUUAGGGGAAAGCCAAAUUUUAUUCAUCAUAGUCCACAAUGGGUGGGAUACAACUCGGAUCAUGGGGUUGGCCCAACCAUAGGUGGCGCCCCGGACCGAGACGAAGUGGAUAUUUGGCUAAUCUAUGUGCUUCGACAUUAUUAGCAUGACCUUCGAAAGAAAAAUUACACUGAAAUAAAGUUGCUCUAAUAUUAAUAUCCUGGACGAUUGAACCACUUUUGCCUCUUCCUCCACAUGAAAUGUCAGCCACCGUUUGCUUGGAAUCAGAAGCGACGAUGAAAGUAUGCAGGUUGAGUUCUUCCGCGACACUACUAGAAGAAGGGCUAUAGAUGGGAUUGACACUAAUGGCGCACCAGACAAGCGGUGCGCCAUUAGUAUAUACUAAUGGCGCACCACCUUCUGAUACGCCAUUAGAGUUGAAACUACUAAUGGCGCACCAGCCCAGGAUGCGUCAUUAGUAUCAAUUUUUUUUGAACUAGUGCGCCUGUCCAAACAUACUAAUGGCCCAUCCAGACACAGUGCGCCAUUACUAGUUGUAAACUAGUAAUGGCGCACCUGUCGGAAAGUGCGCCACUAAUGUUGUUUUUUAUUAUAUUUUUUAUUCCUUUUUUUGCAAAACUACUAAUGGCGCACUGUUCCACCGUGCGCCAUUACUAGUUUAAACUAGUAAUGGCGCACUGCGGGACAGUGCGCCAUUAGUAUGUUUUUUUUGCAAAACUACUAAUGGCGCACCACCAGAAGGUGCGCCAUUAGUAACCUGGAUUACUAAUGGCGCAUUUAGAGUUGGUGCGCCAUUAGUAAGUGGGCAGCAACAAGAUAUUUUGGACAGCCUCUCCUACCCACACUCACUUUCUCCCCACUUCAUUCUCUUCACCUCCUCCUUGUCUUGGGUGCCUCCUCUUUUUCACCUCAUUUCCACCAUAUAUUCAUUCAAUUUAAGUGGUUAAAUUACCUUGUUUUGAUAGGUAAAUAAGGGGGAAGCUAUAUUUAUGUUGUUCUCCCUACAACAAUAUGCACAUGCACUUUUUAUGGCCUAACUAGAUCUAUGUAUGUUCGUGGUGUUGCAUAUGUUUGUGUUAUUGCAUAUGUGUUUGUGUUUGGAGGUGUACCGGUAUUUGAAACGCGAUAGUUGCCAAUAUUUUGCCGGAAUGUUGAUUCAUUUCCGUUUCGGCGAGAAUUUUGGCAUUAAGCAUUCUUUUUGGUCCUAUUUUUAGGGAAAGUCAUGCCAAAUUUUUUCUUGGUUCUAAAAUAUCGUUUUGCUCUACCCCGCAGGAGACCAUGGUCCGCACGAUGACCGAAGGCAUCGUGAAUAGGUUUUUGAGGUCCGCGAAGGCCGAGAUGCUUCAAAAGAACGAGACGGAGAUAAGAUGUCCAUGUCGAAGAUGCAAGCUGAAGAGCCUUAUCGCGGACCCGGAAUCCGGGCAGGUGCGGGACCACCUGCUCUUGCGUGGUUUCAUGGAUGGCUAUCGGUGGCAAGGUGAUGAAGAUGACUACGAAGUCGUCCAUGGGGGCCGGGCAAGAAAUGAGGAAGGGCAGCAAGACAACCACCGCGGCUCGGGCGGGUGGGAAGACGAAGAAUCCCCAGGAGAUGAUCACGACGGUGAUGCUGUACACAGUCAUCAUGUAGAAGAUGCAGGACAUGAUGAUGAGGAAGAUGCCGGAGCAGACGACGGGCAUGAUCAUGAAGAUGAUGAUGCCGGCGGAGCAAACGACGCUGGACCAUCGAUGGGCUGGGUGCAGGACCCUCAUAUUCAAGAGCUGCUUCUCAAGCAGACGGAUAACGCAAGAGCUGCCGCCCGAGAGAAAGCCAAGAUGGAUCAACUUGAGUUAGACGCGGUUACUCCAUUGUAUGAAGGAUGCAGGCCCGAGGAUACGCGCCUGAAAGUAACAUUCAUGGCUCUGGAGAUGAAGGUAAAACACAAAAUGACCGACGCAUGCUUCGACGAGAACAUGUCAUUCUGGCACGAACGUCUUCCCAAGGGGAACAAGUGCCCGACCAGUUUGGAGGAGGCGAAGAAAAUCGUGUGUCCUCUGGAUUUACCGCACGUGAAAUACCAUGUGUGCAUGAACAAUUGCAUCAUUUAUCGGGACGAGCACGCGGAGUCUAUCAUAUGUCCGGUGUGCGGCGUCACUCGAUACAAGAAGAGGAAGAAAGCUCCUCGAAAAGUGGUGUGGUACUUUCCGAUCACUCCUCGUCUGCAGCGGUAUUUCGCGGACCCUAAGGUAGCAAAGCUCCUGCGUUGGCACGUGGAUAGGGAGGAGAAGAAGCGAGAAGAUGACGCAAAUGAUCCGGAGAUAGAUAAAAAAGACAAGAUGCUGAGUCACCCUAAGGAUGCGAGCCAGUGGCAAGCGUUGAACUUUGAAGACCCAGAAUUUGGGAACGGUCCAAGGAACAUCAUGCUGGGCGCGAGCACCGAUGGAGUCAAUCCGUUUGGCAGCCAGAGAAGCACACAUAGCACCUGACCUGUGUUUGUGUGGAUGUACAACCUUCCGCCCUGGUUGUGCAUGAAGAGGAAGUACAUUCACAUGAGUAUGCUAACUGAAGGACCGAAACAACCAGGGAACGACAUCAGUCUGUAUCUGGGGCUGCUGAAACAGGAGCUUGACACGCUGUGGAAAACGCCAGCCAAUACGUGGGACGCCGCAGAGAAAGAAUAUUUCCCUAUGAGAGCCGCGCUGCUCACGAUGGUGCACGACUAUCUCGGUUACGGAUAUGUCGCGGGGCAGGUGGUCCACGGAUUUUCUGGAUGCGUCAGGUGCAUGGAUGACACAACGUAUCGCCAUCUAGAUAGAGAUCCCGGGUCUUCGAAAACCGUGUUCAUGGGACAUUGAAGGUGGCUUCGCGACGAUGACCCGUGGAGAAAACGCAAGGAUCUGUUCGAUGGUGAAACCGAACCCCGAGGACGCCCGCGUACGAGGAGCGGUGAGGAAAUAGACAAGCUGUUGAAAAAUUGGAAAGACUGCCCACUGCCGGGAAAGAAGCAAAAGGCGCCAGAGCCGGGAAAGAAGCGAAAGGCGCCAGAGCCGCUGCUGAAGGUAUGGAAAACGAGGUCUGUUUUCUGGGACUUGCCGUACUGGAAGAUCCACUGUGUGCCUCACAACCUUGAUGUCAUGCAUAUCACGAAGAACGUGUGCGAGAGUCUGCUUGGUACCCUGCUCAACAUGCCAGAGAGGACCAAAGAUGGGCCAAAAGCAAGGGCAGACUUGAAAUCAAUGGGCAUCAGGCAGGAGCUUCAAGCUAUAUAUGAUGAUGAUGAUGAUGAUGAUGAUGAGGCGAAGCAGGACACGGAAAGUCGUCGCAAAGGCAAAAAGGCCAAGAAGACCGGAAAUGACUACCCUCCCGCGUGCUUCACUCUAAGUCAGGAGGAGAUCGAGCAGUUUUUCACCUACCUCGUAGGAGUAAAACUUCCUUACGGUUACGCGGGGAAGAUAAGCAGAUACCUAGACCCAGCGAAGCUGAAGUUCAGCGGGAUGAAGUCUCACGACUGUCACGUGCUGAUGACGCAGAUACUUCCAGUUGCAAUCCGUGGGAUCAUGGACGCGCACGUCCGUGAAACCCUAUUUGGCCUAUGCAACUUUUUCAACGUCAUCUCUCGGAAGUCUGUUGGCGUGAGGCAACUAAGAAGGCUACAGGAAGAGAUCGUGGUGAUACUAUGCGAGCUUGAGAUGUACUUCUCGCCCGCAUUCUUCGACGUUAUGGUGCAUCUGCUGGUCCAUAUCGUGGACGAUAUCAUCCAACUCGGGCCGACGUUCCUGCACAGCAUGAUGCCGUUCGAAAGGAUGAAUGGUGUCAUCAAAGGAUACGUUCGCAACAUGUCACGUCCAGAGGGAAGCAUAGCCAGGGGCUUUCUGACCGGAGAGUGCAUCUCCUACUGCACGAAUUAUUUAGGCAUCGAGAACCACGUUGGUCUGCCCGUCAACAGGCACCUCGGCAGGCUCGUUGGAUGGGGUCACCGUGAGGGUCGCCGCGAAAUGCAUGUCGACUUCGAGGGUCGACUCGCCAACUUUGAAAGAGCAAACCUAGUCGCGCUACAACACAUAGACGUGGUCGAUCCUUGGGUGGUAGAGCACAAAACCUUUAUUAAGAAGACGUACAAUGACCGAGGCCAACAGAGGACGGACGGAGAUAUACUCAAAGAGCACAACUCAUGUUUCACGCGUUGGUUCAAGCAGAAGCUUCUGUCGUACCCUUUACAUGAGGAUUCUUCCGCGGAAGAACAACUCAUAUUCGCCUUGUCACAGGGCGCCGAGCACAACCUAAUGACCUAUGAGGCGUACGAUAUCAACAGCUACACAUUAUACACCGAUGCCAAGGACUUGAAGAGCGAUGGUUAUCAGAACUCCGGGGUAACGAUGGAAUCCUACACCGGUAACGACAAGGACAGAUACUACGGAAGGAUCGAGGAGAUCUGGGAGCUGAGCUACGCUGGAGAGAAGGUCCCGACGUUUCGUGUCAGAUGGGCCAAGAGCGUCCUAAAAGAAGACCGGUAUUUCACCACCAUGGUUAUACCCGAAGCCAAAUCCAAGACCGCGGGCGCAAACGUCACCGCGAAAAAUGAGCCAUGGGUACUGGCUUCCCAAGUGGACCAAUGCUUCUUCAUUACCGACCCGUCAAAGCCCAGUCGGGUUGUCGUGAGGAGAGGCAAAAGGAAGAUCAUCGGAAUGGAUGGAGUAGCCAAUGAGCAAGACUUCGACAAGUACGGCGACCCGAGGAUCGAACAUGACGACGAUGAUGAAGUAGCAGCAUACACCACAAGAAGAAGCAGGACCACCCUACCUAAAGGACGUCCGUUCCACAGAAGAACUCCAUUUGCGAAAAAGAAGGGCAAGAAGAUUGUGAACAGAUAGCUAGCUAAGAUCGAUUGUAUUUAAAUUGUAGCCUUCAUUUCUCGAUUGUAUUUCAUGGGCACUUUUUGAACUAUCAUGAAUAUUUUUAAAUUUCAUGGACACUCGAUCUCGAUCCCCCUCCAUCUCGAUCGCUAUCCCACCUCGCCAGAUCCGGUCCCCCUCGCCGCCGAGCACCCCCCGGUCCANNNNNNNNNNNNNNNNNNNNNNNNNNNNNNNNNNNNNNNNNNNNNNNNNNNNNNNNNNNNNNNNNNNNNNNNNNNNNNNNNNNNNNNNNNNNNNNNNNNNNNNNNNNNNNNNNNNNNNNNNNNNNNNNNNNNNNNNNNNNNNNNNNNNNNNNNNNNNNNNNNNNNNNNNNNNNNNNNNNNNNNNNNNNNNNNNNNNNNNNNNNNNNNNNNNNNNNNNNNNNNNNNNNNNNNNNNNNNNNNNNNNNNNNNNNNNNNNNNNNNNNNNNNNNNNNNNNNNNNNNNNNNNNNNNNNNNNNNNNNNNNNNNNNNNNNNNNNNNNNNNNNNNNNNNNNNNNNNNNNNNNNNNNNNNNNNNNNNNNNNNNNNNNNNNNNNNNNNNNNNNNNNNNNNNNNNNNNNNNNNNNNNNNNNNNNNNNNNNNNNNNNNNNNNNNNNNNNNNNNNNNGGCAUUACAGUUUGAUGAUAUUUUUAAAAAAAUUAUUACUGUCUUAUAAAAAAAUAUUACUGUUAUGAUUUAAACAAGUUUGAACAUAUUUAAACACAAAUAAGUAUCAAACAACAUUUUAAAUGCAUAAAAAAGAUUUGUGGAGCCUAGGAAUCGAACCCAGGACCUCCUGGUGUGAGAACUGGCUGCUGACCAGUCGAGCUAGUAGAGGGAACUUGGUGUGGAUCAGGUCAGGUGGAAGAUAACCUGUUGGCUCGAGAAGAAAUAAAAAAAAAACAAAUGGCGCACCACGGUGAGGUGCGCCAUUAGUAUGGAUGUACUUAUGGCGCACCUAAGGGUGGUGCGCCAUUAGUAUUGUGCUAUUAGUAUUCGCCCGAUCCCCCCUUCCCUCUCCCCCUCGCCAGUUCCCUCUCCCUCGAUCCACCGCGCCGCUCCUUCCCUCGUCCCUCCCUCCACCGCGCCGCCGCCGCCGCUGCCCCGACCCACUGCGCCGCAGCCGCCCACGCGCCCCCGCCGCCUCCCNNNNNNNNNNNNNNNNNNNNNNNNNNNNNNNNNNNNNNNNNNNNNNNNNNNNNNNNNNNNNNNNNNNNNNNNNNNNNNNNNNNNNNNNNNNNNNNNNNNNNNNNNNNNNNNNNNNNNNNNNNNNNNNNNNNNNNNNNNNNNNNNNNNNNNNNNNNNNNNNNNNNNNNNNNNNNNNNNNNNNNNNNNNNNNNNNNNNNNNNNNNNNNNNNNNNNNNNNNNNNNNNNNNNNNNNNNNNNNNNNNNNNNNNNNNNNNNNNNNNNNNNNNNNNNNNNNNNNNNNNNNNNNNNNNNNNNNNNNNNNNNNNNNNNNNNNNNNNNNNNNNNNNNNNNNNNNNNNNNNNNNNNNNNNNNNNNNNNNNNNNNNNNNNNNNNNNNNNNNCUCCCCGUGACCGCUCUCCACCGCCGCUGCCGACCCCCGCGCCCGCUCCACACCCGCUCCGGCUCCCCCGCGCCCGCUCCACACCUCCGCACCUCCCCACUUCCCCUCCCCUCGCGCUGCUUCACCCGACUAGGUCGUCCCCGUCGACACCGCAUCGUCCCCGCGACCACCGGCCCUCCUCCGCCGCGACGACCAGGCGCCGCCGUCCGCGGACUGCCUCGAGCUCUGUCCCCGUCCGCGCGAAGAUCCCCUCCACUCCGCGGGCAGGGGUUCUUCUCCUGCCGCUGCAGCUACAAGAGGAGAGGAGCACCAGCCAGCCACCACCGACGGACGCCUUAGUUUGGUACGACCUCGACCCCUUCACUGUUUUCUGUUUCAAAAGUAAGUUUGUAGAGCCAACAGGCAUAGUAUCCACUAACUGGAAUUGAGAUAAUUUUAAUGGUAUAUUCGAAGUUAAUAUUUCGCUUAAUCUAGUCUACGUGUUUGGUUUUUCUAACUGAUAUGAAUGCCAUGAUUUCCAAGAACAAGAUAGGAUUGAUGGGCCCCUGAAGCGGUUGCCAUUAACCUUGCAGUGCAUAUUUGCAACAAGGUAUUUUAGCAUUUACACAUUUAGUAUAAUUUUAGAAUUGUUUCUCAGUUUGGCACACUACACAUUAUAGCAAAGAUUCUCUAUCUGGCACACUACACAUUUUAGCAUACUACACAUUUUAGCACUGUUUUGGCAAUGCACUGAUUUGGAGUGAUAUCAUUGGCUCAUUGCUGCCUUUGUGCAAUGCAGAACUAUUAGGAGUGAUCUGGAGCAGGAGGGCGACGCUGAGCUCAGUUGGGGCCUCCUCGGCGACCGCUGCGGCGAGGUCUGUGCACUCAGUCUCUGAGUCCCCGCCGCGGAGAGUUGUACAUACGCCAAGACCUUCUACGGUGAGCCCCUCACUCACUCAGCACCGAGUACUCUGCAAUCUGGUCCUCUAUCAGUAGCUUUUGUAGUAGUUCUUGCAGCGAAUAUGUCUUCCUGUUCAAAUACAGAAGCAACACCCGGCGAAUAUAGAAGCAACACCUGGCGAGUACACCCGGCGAGAAUCAUGAAGCACUUUUCUUUUAAUUAAACACCUGCAGUAGUAUACUUGACUGAAUUUAAACACUUGCAGUAGUACUUUGAUGAGUCUGCUUGAUCAACUAAAUUUAAACACUUACAUUCUUUCUACUGCUGCUUGAUCAACUGGAGUACUCUGGUACUUGAUCAGUAGCUGUUUUGGUGUAGCAAGUGCAGAAUCUGUAGUACUCCAUUUGGUACUCCAUCUGGAGACUUUAACUGGAUCAGAUUAGGUACUCCAUUUGCUGUAGUACUCUAGUUAACUGAAACUAGUGACAUCACUUGAAGCAACUUAAGUCUGAAUAAUCAAAUUCAUCAUACACUAUUACUUGAAUAAAAGAUUAUGUGCUUGCAGUGGAGUGCAUGCGUUUUGGAGUAGCAUCAGUAGCUACUGUUACUUUUCCACAUGAAGUACAGUAAUGGAGUAGCAAGUGUACCAGUAUUAUUGGAGUAAAAAAUUCAGUUAAGUUGUGCAGUAGUGUGCUCCUUCUUGUUCUUCUAUGAAUCUUUUAAGUUAAAUGAAACCUUUUUACUCCAGUAGAAUUAGAUGAAUUUUGUCAGUACUGUGUAUUUAAAUGAAUCUUUUGCUGUGUAUUUAAAUGAAAGGGGAGUAUAAAUACUGUUUGGUUAAAACCAAGAUUCAGUAUCUUGAACUACUCCAGUUGUUUAAAUUUGACUUGGUGUAGUAAUCCAAUACUCCAAACUGUUGAUGGACAGAUGGCCAUUAGUUGGUGUAGUACUGCUUGGAGUAGCUUGCUGUAGAGAUUUGUGUAUUCUGCAGUUGAGUGCCAAAAUAAACCUUGCUAGGUGAAUCUUGUUUGCAUUAGGAGUAAUCGCUGGAAAUUUACUGAAUUUUGUUUCCAUUAGAUGCACUAUUGGAGUAUUGGAUUACUGCCUCUGUUUUUAAUUAACCACUACUAGAAAAAGGGCUAUAGAUGGGAGCUCUGUCAGUAGCUAACUGCCUCAUGUUCUGCUCUGUGAACUGCUAUGUGGUGCUGCUCAUGGAUGAUGGUAGGAAUUUAUGCAAACUCAGUGAUUGUUGCAGCCAAGAAAUGCCUAACAACUAUUCUGCUCAUGAUCUUAUUUUUAUUUCUUUGAUGAAAGUUGGUUCUUUUCUUCCCAAGUUCACAAAAAAUCUUUUACAUUUCUAGUGGUUGCCAAAAGCAUAAUAUGACCAGGACAAACAUAAACUUUGAGGCUGAAAGGAAAUCAAGUAAUGAACCACAUAGGAAUAGAAGGUAAACAAACUAUGCUAGUUGAGAAUGUACUUCAGGAGUCGAUCAGAAGUGCGAUGUCUCAAUAUUUCCUGAAAACCCAUAUUGGCUAGGAUAAUUUGCUUUUAUUACCUUAUUUACACCAAGUUUUAGUUAAACAAUGAUACUUGAAUAAUUUUGUGCUAUUUCUGUUAUGGUUUUGUGGACAGUAUUUGACCUUAUGGUAACUAGUUGGGGUCAGGUUUUGGGGUUUUGAUUAUUGGUAUGAAGUACUGAGGAUCUUAUUCACACCAAGUUUUAGUUAAACACUGGUACUAGAAUGAUUUUGUGCUACUUCUGUUGACAGAGAAUGGCAUGUUAAUACCAUAUAGGUACCCAAUGUAUUUUCCAUGUUGUGAUGGAGGCCUUUUUUGCCUUGUCCACCCGAGAGGCCCUUGAGUUUGCUGGAAUGUCGAUUAACUUCCGUUCCGGCAAAUUCGGGUACUCCAUAUGUCCUAUUUUCAGCAAAGGUCAUGCUGAAAUUUUCCGUGAAUUUUAGCAUGACUUUGCUAAAAAUAGGACAUAUGGGGUACUUGUGACUAAUGCAUGGGCCGGGGUAUCUUAGUAGUUAAUUAAGUAGGAUCAAGUGCCCCGGCGUACUUGUGACUAAUGCAUGGCUUUUAGGGUGCCUCGGUGUCGAUAAAAACCGAAAUGAUGAAAGCUUAGGCUUUUAGGGUGCCUCGGCGUCGAAAAACCCUCAAUGAUAAAAGCUUAGGUUUUAGGAUGCCUCGGUGUCGACAAACCCUAAAUGAUGAGACCAUGAUCUUGUUCCUUGACAAUAACCAACUUUUUAACCAAACUUUGUUCCUAUUUAGAGAGAAAUAUGGCCAACAACAAUGAGGCCGGGGGUUCGGGCGUCAAGGCAUUCUGGAAGCUAUCCCAGGAGAUGGAGGAACAACCUCACUUGUAUGAGGACGCCGCCUUCCCCACCGAUCCUGAGACCACUGAUGGUACCGCCGAGGAUGACCCCAUUGAUGCCACCACUAAUGGUGCCGCCGAGGAUGCCACCACUGAUGAUGGCGGCGCACGCACAGAUGGCAGCCAACCGAAGAGGCAACAAAAGAUCCAGCGCCCGACCAUGCUCCGCACCCUCAAGGAGGAAGUUACUGAAGUGGACUCCGACGGGAAUCCAACGGCGCCCGAAAGAAUAGUCAAGGGGUACUCGCUUCAGCUCGGGUGCAUUCUCCGGAGCACCGUCUCGAUCAACACCAAGAACCUGAGGCAUCCUGACCGAGGGAAUUUGCGCAACCUCCUCUUCACGAAGCUGCACGAACGAUACAAGUUCCCCGCUGAAUUUUAAAACACAAGCCUCAAAGGGAAUAAAGUGAACAAUGCUGCCCUCACGAAGAUGAGCAAGGCCCUGUCUACUUGGAAAAGCAAUGUGAAGAGAAUGAUCAAGAAAGGUGAGAGUUAUGAGAAGAUCAAGGAGAAAAAUCCUUCGAUCACCGAAGAUGACUACAAUGACUUCAAGAUCAAUUGCUCGAGCACCGCAAACUCCGAAUCAAGUAAGUGGGGGAAAGAAAUGCGGGAGCUGAACUUAGGGGAACACACACUCGGUCCCGACGGUUACAGAGUGGCGGAGCCUAUAUGGGACAAGGAGGAGGCGGACCGUGCCGAGCAAGGCCUACCGCCCCUCUUCGAUAAAUACGGUGACAAGCAGACCAGGAACUUUGUCAGGGCCCGGUACAAGAAGGACCCGAAAACAAAGGAGCUUACCACGGAUCCGAAGACCAGGGCGCUUGAGCUUGUUCUGGUAAGGAAUACACCCCCGUGUAAUUAGCUCCAUAUGGUUGCAUUCUAAUUAAUGAAGCCAAAUUUCUAAAUGGUUCACAUUCCUUCCGCAGGCGACUGAAAGCAGUAGCGCGGGGUCGACUAAGAGCAACCCUUGGGACACCACUCUAAAUAGGGCAUUGAAUGUAAUGAAGAACAAGGAUAAGCUCAGUAAGCCGACGUCAGCUGGUCGUGUGGCCGGCAAAGGCUUGUCGACAAAAUGGUCGUCAUACUAUAACACUAGUGGGCGAAAGGAGAAAAAGACCAGCUUGGAAAGCCAGGCACGCGAGGUUCAAGAACUCAGGGCACAGGUGGCGCGGAUUCCGGAGAUUGUCCAAGAGCAAGUGGAACAACAACUCGGAAGGAAGAUCACCACCAUUGUGCCUACCUUGAUCCAGGGGAUUAGUGCGUGGAUUGCGGGCGGCCAACAGGGGCCGCCCCCGAUUCCUAGCUUCACGGCCAGCAACUCGCAGAACGCGAUGGCAGGGCCAUUGGUGUCUCCGACGCCGGCACGGGAGCUUAAUGCACCCGGGUGUACGCCGGCCGGUACCUCUGCAGCAAGCGGCCCCUCCGUCAACUGCACACCCGCCGUUGGCGGUGCCUCGACAUUAGCCGAGCUCGACGCCAUCAUCACGGUAACUAAUUAAGCCUCUCUCGACCGAGGACUUCAUCUCCUUUCCUUUGACUGGGCAUCCCUGACGCCCUACAUGUUUUCGCAGGGCGCCGCCGAUGUUCCGUGCACUCUCCGGCACUUCGUGAACAACGAAUUGGUCGAUGUAGCCAAGGGAAAAAUCGUUCAACCGGGAAACCCCUUGUUCCACGGUACCCAGAUGCCACCCAACUUGUUUAGGGUUCAACUGGUUCGGGUGCUGCCAGGCUGCGACGAGUUGUUACCUCCGAUUCGACCCAUCAGGGCCGACGAUGAUGACGUGAUGACCCUCAGCGCCUGCCUGAGCCGGCCCCUGCUUUGGCCGAAGAGCCAGAUUCGUUUGGGGGCGGGGGACACCACCCCAAAGACAACACCGCCAGUCGUGCCGGCGCCAAGUCGGCCCCAUGGGAAGACCGCCGCAACGGUGCCGGACAUCCCUAUGCCACUGGAUCCAAACAUGCAUAUGGCACAGGAUCAGAACGACGACGACGACGAUACAUUUGCCAACGUCGAUCAGUACUUUGCCGAUCAUGGGUACGGUGGCGACUUCAUGGGGCCUCCUUCUCAAGAACCCAACCCAACAAAAGACGUGCACGAUCUAGCUGAUACCGCGGAGAAGCCAAGUUGCAACAGGCGUCGUCUGCAGUUCAGCUCUCAGGAGACGCCUCCAGCUACCGACUUCACCGAGCCUCAGAUAGGCGAGGUGCGAAAUAUUAUCAGCCCCAACACACUCAAGAAGGCGGUCUGUGAGCAGAACUCGGUCCCAUUACAGGAGAAGAAGAAGGCACGCAAAAGAAAGACUAACAAGGGUGCGGGCCAGCCGGCACCGAGUACGAUCCGUGCUCAGGACGGGCCACCUUCACAUGAGGAUUUAAUGAGGAGGCUGCAUGUGGCGGGUAGGCCGAUGCUACCGAGAAAUAUGCUCGAUGCGGCAACCUGUGCUAUGCGGAGUCUGCAUGACAGUGUUCUUUCUUUGGAGAAGCGGUGUCUCAGAGAGAAGGAUGUGGCAUACCCGGUUUUCGCGGCCAAGGUGCCAGAGGGCAAGGGCUUUGUGGAUAACUCCAUCGGGGGUACGAUCGUCCUGCGGUUUGAUGACAUCCACGCUAUGUUGAACCUUCAUCCGCUGCACUACACCUUCGUUCGGCUAUUUUCGCUAAGUAUGGAGAUGCGGAUCAUUCGCGAGAAGACCCCGGACAUCGUGAUAGUCGACCCCUUCUACAUGCGUGCCAAGAUCUUGGGCAGCGCUGGGGACCGGCAAGUCGCGAGUUCUUACCUCGAAGGCGUCAUUCUGGCAAACCAAGAUAAGGAUAACUUCCCCGUGCCUUACUUUCCCGAGUAAGUCCUCCCCUCAACCGCCCCGUAACAUAUGAAUUCUUAGAUUUUGAUCGUUUUUCUUUUAACAUUCCGUGUUUUCUGCAGUGACACACAUUGCACGCUCAUCCUCCUAAGCCCCAAAUAUUCCAUGGCCACGUAUUUCGAGCCGGACCGUCAUUCGAACGUAGACUACACAAAUGUCAAGAAGGUUCUUGAUGAUGUUCUCCCCGGCGACGCCAAAUCUGGAGGCACCUUCACCAGGCCUAUUCGUAAGUACGGCAAGCACGUGUUCUCCCACUAUACGAUGUUCUGCUGCGUCAAGCAGCCGCCUGGCGGUCAGAAGAGUGCCUACUACGCCAUCCAUCACAUGCGGGCGAUCGGACGGGACCAGCAUCAACUUCUGCUACCGAGUAAACUCAAAGAUUGGGCCACGAGCAUGUCGGCAAUCCAGGACGCGGACAUCAGACAAGAAUUCUUUCGCAUCCAGUCGGAGUUUGCGGAAAUCAUCUAUCAAGAUGUCCUUCGUACCUCGGGGCAGUUCUACCUCAGAAAUCAACCAUCCAACAGUGACAUCGACACAACGCUACAAAUGCAGGCUGACAACGACCGUUAUUUCAUGACUCCCACGAUUGACGGCGGCUUCAUCCACGCUCCGGUCCCUUGAGUCGAGUCGAAAGCAGUGAUGCUGUGUCUAGUUCGGAAACAUCGAUUGGCUCAUGUUGUAAUUAAACUUUAAUGAACUUGUAGUAUGUCUCUUUGGUUUCGAGAGUCGUUCAACUUAGAUGUAAUCGAUGCUAUUAAUGUCUUGCUUUUCUCUUCCGAUCGUUCUGUUGCAUACUUAUAUAUUGCUUAUGUAUUGUCUGUGAAUUGGUACUAACGUUUCGUUUGGCUACUGCAUAGCGAUGCCGUCGUAUGUCGUGUACAAGGGUAAGGUUCCCGGAGUCUACGACGACUGGGAGGAGUGUCGGAGACAGGUUCACCGAUUCAGCGGUAAUAGUUACAAAGGGUACACCACUAGGGCCGAGGCCGAAUCUAGAUACGCCCGCUAUCUAGCGGGAGAGGGGAGGGAGCGCUAGAGGAACCGGAUAAAGACGAGUUUCAUCGUGAUGAUGCUCAUCGUGAUGACCGCAACUCUCUUCUAUGUGAUGGUAGUUUAGAUGAUCGAUAUCGACUUGUAAUAUGAAGACAAACUCGCUACUCGCGGUCUCGAGACUUGUAAUAUAAUGUUCUAUCUUUGUUCGGUCUUUUCAAUUCGGAGACUAAUAUGAUGAAUUGUAUUCGGAGACUAAUAUGAUGAAUUGUAUUCAGAGACUAAUCUUCUAUUGUAUUCGAUGAAUCUAUUGUUGAUGUGUGCUGUCUAUAUUUUGUCCAAUUAUACAUUUUGUAACCUGUGCAAAAAACAGAAAAUAAAAAAAUAAAAAAACCUAAUAUUCAUACUAAUGGCGUAUCACAUCAUAGUGCGCCAUUAGUAUGCCAAAGGAUACUAAUGGCGCAUCAUUAAACAGUGCGCCAUUAGUAUGCCGAAGUUACUAAUGGCACAUCUUGUUGUUGUGCGCCAUUAGUAUGCCAAAGCACCUGGGUAUACAUGGCCCCCUGGGAGGCAUACUAAUGGCGCACUGUUGUAUAUACUAAUGGCGCAUCUGAGGUGCGCCAUUAGUAUACCAAAUACUAAUGGCGCACCAGUGGUGCGCCAUUAGUAAAAUAUACUAAUGGCGUGGCAUUAAUGGCGCACCUCUAAUGCGCCAUUAAUGGCCAAAUUAGGUGCGCCAUUAGUAGGCCUUUUCCUUGAGAAUGCACCCGAGCUGAAGCGAGAAUUCCACUUCAGUAACUUCCUCCUUGAGGGUGCGGAGCACGGUCGGGCGCCGGUCCUUCCGUUGCCUCUUCGGUUGGCUGCCAUCUGUGCGUGCGCCGCCAUCAUCAGUGGUGGCAUCCUCGGCGGCACCAUCAGUGGUGGCAUCAAUGGGGUCAUCCUCGGCGGUACCAUCAAUGGUCUCAGGAUCGGUGGGGAAGGCGGCGUCCUCAUACAAGUGAGGUUGUUCCUCCAUCUCCUGGGACAGCUUCUAGAAUGCCUUGAUGCCCGAACCCCCGGCUUCAUCGUUGUUGGCCAUGUUUCUCUCUAAAUAGGAACAAAGUUUGGUCAAAAAGUUGGUUAUUGUCAAGGAACAAGAUCAUGGCCUCAUCAUUUAGGGUUUGUCGACACCGAGGCAUCCUAAAAGCUAAGCUUUUAUCAUUGAGGGUUUUUCGAUGCCGAGGCACCCUAAAAGCCUAAGCUUUCAUCAUUUCGGUUUUUAUCGACACCGAGGCACCCUAAAAGCCAUGCAUUAGUCACAAGUACGCCAGGGCACUUGCUCCUACUUAAUUAACUACUAAGAUACCCCGGCCCAUGCAUUAGUCACAAGUAUCCCAUAUGUCCUAUUUUUAGCAAAGUCAUGCUAAAAUUCACGGAAAAUUUCAGCAUGACCCUUGCUGAAAAUAGGACAUAUGGAGUACCCGAAUUUGCCAGAACGGAAGUUAAUCGACAUUCCAGCAAACUCAAGGGCCUCUGGGGUGGACAAGGCAAAAAAGGCCUCCAUCACAACAUGGAAAAUACAUUGGGUACCUAUAUGGUAUUAACAUGCCAUUCUCUGUCAACAGAAGUAGCACAAAAUCAUUCUAGUACCAGUGUUUAACUAAAACAUGGUGUGAGUAAGAUCCUCUGUCAGUACUUCAUACCAAUAAUCAAAACCCCAAAACCUGACCCCAACUAGUUACCAUAAGGUCAAAUACUGUCCACAAAACCAUAACAGAAAUAGCACAAAAUUAUUCAAGUAUCAUUGUUUAACUAAAACUUGGUGUAAGUAAGGUAAUAAAAGCAAAUUAUCCUAGCAAAUAUGGGUUUUCAGGAAAUAUUGAGACGUCGCACUUCUGAUCGACUCCUGAGGUACAUUCUCAACUAGCAUAGUUUGUUUACCUUCUAUUCCUAUGUGGUUCAUUACUUGAUUUCCUUUCAGCCUCAAAGUUUAUGUUUGUCCUGGUCAUAUUAUGCUUUUGGCAACCACUAGAAAUGUAAAAGAUUUUUUGUGAACAUGGGAAGAAAAGAACCAACUUUCAUCAAAGAAAUAAAAAUAAGAUCAUGAGCAGAAUAGUUGUUAGGCAUUUCUUGGCUGCAACAAUCACUGAGUUUGCAUAAAUUCCUACCAUCAUCCAUGAGCAGCACCACAUAGCAGUUCACAGAGCAGAACAUGAGGCAGUUAGCUACUGACAGAGCUCCCAUCUAUAGCCCUUUUUCUAGUAGUGGUUAAUUAAAAACAGAGGCAGUAAUCCAAUACUCCAAUAGUGCAUCUAAUGGAAACAAAAUUCAGUAAAUUUCCAGCGAUUACUCCUAAUGCAAACAAGAUUCACCUAGCAAGGUUUAUUUUGGCACUCAACUGCAGAAUACACAAAUCUCUACAGCAAGCUACUCCAAGCAGUACUACACCAACUAAUGGCCAUCUGUCCAUCAACAGUUUGGAGUAUUGGAUUACUACACCAAGUCAAAUUUAAACAACUGGAGUAGUUCAAGAUACUGAAUCUUGGUUUUAACCAAACAGUAUUUAUACUCCCCUUUCUUUUAAAUACACAGCAAAAGAUUCAUUUAAAUACACAGUACUGACAAAAUUCAUCUAAUUCUACUGGAGUAAAAAGGUUUCAUUUAACUUAAAAGAUUCAUAGAAGAACAAGAAGGAGCACACUACUGCACAACUUAACUGAAUUUUUUACUCCAAUAAUACUGGUACACUUGCUACUCCAUUACUGUACUUCAUGUGGAAAAGUAACAGUAGCUACUGAUGCUACUCCAAAACGCAUGCACUCCACUGCAAGCACAUAAUCUUUUAUUCAAGUAAUAGUGUAUGAUGAAUUUGAUUAUUCAGACUUAAGUUGCUUCAAGUGAUGUCACUAGUUUCAGUUAACUAGAGUACUACAGCAAAUGGAGUACCUAAUCUGAUCCAGUUAAAGUCUCCAGAUGGAGUACCAAAUGGAGUACUACAGAUUCUGCACUUGCUACACCAAAACAGCUACUGAUCAAGUACCAGAGUACUCCAGUUGAUCAAGCAGCAGUAGAAAGAAUGUAAGUGUUUAAAUUUAGUUGAUCAAGCAGACUCAUCAAAGUACUACUGCAAGUGUUUAAAUUCAGUCAAGUAUACUACUGCAGGUGUUUAAUUAAAAGAAAAGUGCUUCAUGAUUCUCGCCGGGUGUACUCGCCAGGUGUUGCUUCUAUAUUCGCCGGGUGUUGCUUCUGUAUUUGAACAGGAAGACAUAUUCGCUGCAAGAACUACUACAAAAGCUACUGAUAGAGGACCAGAUUGCAGAGUACUCGGUGCUGAGUGAGUGAGGGGCUCACCGUAGAAGGUCUUGGCGUAUGUACAACUCUCCGCGGCGGGGACUCAGAGACUGAGUGCACAGACCUCGCCGCAGCGGUCGCCGAGGAGGCCCCAACUGAGCUCAGCGUCGCCCUCCUGCUCCAGAUCACUCCUAAUAGUUCUGCAUUGCACAAAGGCAGCAAUGAGCCAAUGAUAUCACUCCAAAUCAGUGCAUUGCCAAAACAGUGCUAAAAUGUGUAGUAUGCUAAAAUGUGUAGUGUGCCAGAUAGAGAAUCUUUGCUAUAAUGUGUAGUGUGCCAAACUGAGAAACAAUUCUAAAAUUAUACUAAAUGUGUAAAUGCUAAAAUACCUUGUUGCAAAUAUGCACUGCAAGGUUAAUGGCAACCGCUUCAGGGGCCCAUCAAUCCUAUCUUGUUCUUGGAAAUCAUGGCAUUCAUAUCAGUUAGAAAAACCAANNNNNNNNNNAACCAAUAGCGGAACCUGGAUGCUCAUAUUGGCUCCUACAUAUUCUACGAAGAUCUUUUAUCGGUCAGACCGCAUAACAACAUAAGUUGUUCCCUUUGUCAUCGGCAGGUGACAAUGAAUGCAAGAAGGUCACGAGUUGAACCCAACAGGACAAUGAUGGAGUGCAAUAAUCCAUGUGGUAGGUCCGCCCAGCCUUCGGGUCCAAACAUGACACAGUGCACGGAGAUGGGGGUGUUGGAGCUCUGGUUGAUGUUUUGCAUGAUAUCAGCUCCAAAUUCUGCAUUAAGGAUCAUGAAAGGACAACAAUUUUAGCAAUGGACUUGAGUUAACUAUAUAAUAUAAAUUGUUGUCACUAUUUUAAUUCACUUGGUACUAAUACAACUAUGAUAAUUAUACAAACACAAUAAAAAUGUUUGUAGAAACUGUAAACAUAAUACACAAUAGAGUAAAGAUUAGGGUAUUGCCAUCCAAACGUGCAUGUGCCUCAAGAAAAUUCGAUCAUGACAAAAUUCAUCAACAUUUGAAAAUAAAAUGCAAGUUCUGUAUUUUUCUUUCCAUCGAAUGUUAUUUAUAUGUGUUGCACAACAGGUUUGGCUCUUGUAUCCACCUCGAUCUCGGGCCCGCACAUACGCGAUAAAUUUCAUCAACAUUUGAAAUUAAAAGGUGCAAGCAAUAUUGAAAUACUAAGAUUGUUCUACACUGAUAGUGGUAAACCCUUGAACUAUUUCAUAGUUUUCAUAUAGUAUAAACACAACAGGAUCACACAUCCACCAACAACACAUACACUCAAAUCCCCAAAUCAUCCGGUCAGGCUAACAAGAACAAAAGUGCGAUGAGCGCGUCAGAGGAGGUCACCCCCAAUGGGGGUGAUGGCGGGACAAGGAAGAUGAUCCUGGGCAGCCUUGUGCGGUGGAGAACUCUGUUUGACCGUGGACGGUGGCACCGGUCAGUGAAUAUAUAUACUCGGCCAACCCACGAGACCAUGUCCUACACAUAAAUUGACUUAACCUAGAUCACAUCGUAUCCUACAUAUUUGGGACUCAAGCUUGACUCAAACACGUGAACUCCUACUAGUAAAUCUACAUGACUUUGGUUAGUCCCCAAAGAACUAAAGCCACGUGACAUGCAAGCACCAACUACGUCAUGUUCCAAACAAAACAAUCAAGAUUAUGCUAACACUAGCGCCGGCCCCCUGCACCACCAAUGGUUGUCAUGGGUUCUCAACUCCAACAUGAGGUGGGGAAGGUCUCGUUCACGAUACCGGCAAUCACUCCAAAGCUGCGUGUAGGUACAAAUCAGAGCAAGGGGGCAGAACUCGACAUCAACUUGGUUCCUUCAUGAGUCCGGCAGCCAGCAAGGAAAAUGAAGUGGGCAAAGUCAACCUCAACCAGGCUCAUCCCCUACCCCCUGGAGCCGGUAACACGAAAGCCAAGCACCACAAAGAUAAGAAUAGCCUCAAGGGUAAGCCAAGGAAGGAGGUAGAUCAAUCCUUGGUGAACACCAGGGCGGUGUUGGGUAAAUGCAUGGGACGUGAAAAGUGAGUCUGGUAGUGAGUUUGUGACGACACCUAGUUACACGGGUCCUGGUCUGAACAAGAAGGCAUGAGGUGAGGGUAAUGGAGGUGGCAUGAGCAACAUAGGUCUGUUAGGUGGUAAGGAAGCUAUCGGCCCAUGGGUUGUCGAUGAAUGACAUGUGAUAAGGAAGGCACCUGUCAGGAGAAAUGAGUUGCCUGAUCUAGAACUGUUGGGGCCUCAGGCAGUCCCAGAUAGUUGAAGAGCUAGUUUUCCUCGUGCGCACAUACACCACUCGAUGAUUAUUUUACUUCUAAAACUCGACAAUGUGAAAUAGUUUCAAUAAUCUUAGGUGGAUGCUAGGCCGCAGGAAUUAUAUUACGCAUGAUGGUAAGGGCAAUGGUGCCAACAUUGCGUUGUUCUGAGAUGAAAGAACUAAAAUAAAAAAGACUGCCAUAUAUGACCUGAGGUACAUUGAUGUCUUUAUUCAAGAUGAUUCCCAUGGCCCGAAGUGUCGGGCUACAUGGUGAACCAAGGAGCCAGGAAGACGUUACAUCUGGAGUUUACUCAAAAGAAUAAAGCCAAAUGCUCAUGAACACUUGUUGAUGAUAGGUGAUUUUUAUGAGACGAUGUGGCAACAUGAGCACUUCUUAGUAGCUUGGAUAUCCGACAGAAAAAUACCAAUUUUAGAGAAGCCUUGUUCUAGUGUGAUAUUCAUAAUUGGGGCUAUAAGGGGCCAUCUUGGACAUGCGAUAAUAAACAGUAUGGCAAAAGCAAUGUGACCGUCGGGUUGAAAGUGCAGUUGCAUCGUCGGGUUGGUGUGAUUUAUUCAAAGUGAACAGUGGUACACACAUAUGCUCCAACCACUUUCCUCUAUGGCUGCAAUACGGGAGACAGACCAAGGUGCAUAGCAACGUGAAAUCCUUUCGGUAUGAGUAGAUAUGGGAAAGAGUACCGUCGAUGGAGAUUGAAGUCCCUGGACGAUGACUGCACUAAGUUGGGAGUGCUGCAACAGGAUGUUUGGUCCUGGACAUGAAAGAUUUUGGGCCAUGAUAAGGAGUACUCAUUGGCUGAGAAGGAAUAUUAUAGUCACAUACUAUAUGCACCAUCUUAUUGGUUGCGAACUGUUGAAAUAUAUUGCCUGCCUCCCUCCAUCAGUUCGGACUUUUGGAUGAGUUGGCUGGAGCAUGAAUUCAAUAUGGUAUCCGAGCCAAGAGGUCUUGAGUUCAAGACCCUACCGACGCAGUAUUAAAUAAAAUGAUUUUGCGGCCUACAUCGACCCCACGUCUAAGGACUAAAAUAACCUAGACGUGAGGGGGAGUGUUGAAAUAUAUUGCCCGCCUCUCUCCAUCAGUUCAGACUUUUGGAUGAGCUGGCUAGAGCAUGAAUUCAAUACGGAUGGUCUGGAAAGCAUCUUAAGAAAGCAAGUCUUGGAAGGGAGGUUAAUUGCUAGGGGAGACUCGGUGUCUCUAAACUAAUGUUUGUUGAUGGAAGCCUUUUGUUCUUCAAGGCCAUAGGAAGAGAGGCGAGGGUAGUGAAGGACACUCCAAAUCUAUUUCAAAGGUGUACAUGAUAGCUUCUUAGCCCAGCUAAAUGCUCUUUAUUAUUUAGUGAACACUGCCCGCAUGUCCAGUAAGAGAUAAAGGUAACCCUUGGUGUUGUAACUUCCACUUUUGAGAGUAAAUAUUUGGGUUUACCAACCCCAGAAGGUAGGAUGUUUGACUCGAAUUUCAAUCGAUCAUGGAAAGGUUCACAAAAAUGUGCAACGACUGGAUUAAAAAGUAUAUGACCCAUGCAACUAAAGAGAUCUUGAUCAAGUAAGUGGUUCAAGCGCUUCUCACUUACUUGUUUGGAUUGUUCAAAUAUCCUUGGGCUUUUUUGAAAAGUUGGGCUUUUUGUGGUAAGUAUGAAAAACUUAUCUGGGACUUUAGGUGGGGCGGUGAGUAAGGACAUCACAAGUCCAUUGGCUCUCCUGGUACCAACCGGUAAAACAAAAGAGAGGAGAUGUUCUAGGAUUAUGGGAUAGGUAUAUGUUUAACCAAGCUCUCUUGGAAUGGCAAGGGUGGAUACUCAUUCACAAGCCGGAUAGUUUAUGUUCUAGAAUCUUGAAAUGAGAAUAUUAUCCUCGUGUGAAUAUUCUAGACAUGGUCAUUUCCUAUUAUGCAUCGCCGGCUUGGCGUUAAGAUACUCAAGCAAAUACAUCAUCUGGCGUAUAGAGAAUGGAUGAAAAAUUCAGAUUCAGAGAGACAACUGGAUUCUAAGAUAGUAUGGCCUCAGGUUACCAAAUUCGCUAGAAACUCGAGGUUGAGGUAGGUUAACCAGUUGAUUGUCUCAAUAAAAAUGAAUGGAAUAUUAACCUUGUCCAUAGGCUAUUUUCUGACGUCAAUGCAGAGGAGAUAUUUCGCAUAAAUCACCCUUCUACGUGAUGGAUAACUUGCUUAUAAACUUGCCACCCAACUCACAUUCAGGUACAAUUCCCCUGCUUCUAGCUCUUCAAGUGCGACAUAUAAUUGGAGUAUUUGGGGUGUGUUUUGGAGAGCUAAGGUUCCAAAGAAGGUUAAGGUCUUUGGCUGGAGGUUGCUACUGGCUCACUGGCUACACAAUUUUGUAAAUUUAUAAAGGUGCUGAGUGUAACACCAUUUAUGCUAUUUCUGGUAACAAUGUGGAGCUUGAAUUCCAAUCCACGAUGGCUUUGUGGUGUUGGCUAGUGUCCCAUCAAUACUUCUUUUUCCCACCUGUCUAAUGAUUGCAAUCAGUCUAUAGUAAUAUACAAGUCUAGUGUUUUCCUCCAAUAAAAUAAAAUAAACACAACUCGAAGAUGAACUAAAUUUUUACAUUAAUUUUCCUAGAAAAAAAUAGGGUGAGUUCUUCUCCUACCUUCUUUGGUGUUGACAGCGGAGGGCGAAGUGGAGGCAACAACUACAUUCUCCGAUGCCAGUCGUGGUAAGACGAGGCCAUCGGAUUCAGUAUGCUGCUUUCGUCCAUCGCCAAUCAUCAUGUUUCCUCCAGAUCUGGGGAAAACGGACGCCUUCGACCGCGGUGACUCCAGAUCUGGAUGUGACUGGUCGCCCGCACCUAGGAUUCCAGAUCUGGAUGCGACUGGUCGCCCGCACCUAGGAUUCCAGAUCUGGAUGGAAACACAUUAGUAGCCCACACGGUUCUCUCAACGCAUCAUCCACCACUCAACUGUGGGGCGGUUCUAGCGCAGUUGGUGUGGAUGUCAAGGGGGAGGGGAACGUGUGUGACGAGAAAGAGAGAGCGGGGGGAGGGGAGAAAGAGAGGAGAGGGAGAGAGUCGUGUGUGGGUUUGUUCGUUAUAUAAAAGGCUUUAUCGGAGUACCAAGGGGAACCUUGUCAAACUCCGAGUGAUUUUUCUUGCUUUUGGCAACUUUAUACCUUGAACAAGCUCUAUUACUAAGAAAAGAGGGAGGCUAGAUUGUGCAUGCUUGUGAAUCGUGCACUCGCGUUUCGAUAAGUUUUAUUUUCCAUUUGGGAAAGGGUGCAACACCUCCUUGUUCCCAUUAGAAGAUUAGGUGAAGGCUUAAUAAGAAAUUAGGGAAGGCCCACCCUGAAAUUCAAUAGGAGAAGAGAUUAGGUGGAGGCUUAAUAGGAAAUUAAGGAGCUCCCAUCAGGAAAUUUUGGUGCAGGUAGAUUAGGUGGAGGCUUAAUAGGAGGUUAGCAAGGGCCUACCCUACUAAUUCAAGGGGGGGGGGAGUUACAUGUACAUUAUAUGUGGGCCUGCAUACCACAACAAGACCUCCCGUCCUCACGUUUAAAUUGCCCCGCCCUCUCCCACUUGGUGGGCCCACUUCUCUCCUUGCCGCUCCCAAAAAAGCGUGUCGGCUGAGAGUUGUGCGUGUUGGUCAAUUUGCUCGCUGGAGCGAGCAAAUACCAGUGAGUCAAUGUGAGGUGCUCCCAACCGGCAAGAACACGAAUGACACCAUGCAACAUGCAUCGACCGACCAUGAUUCCUGCAUACAAAUAGUGAACAUCAGACACCAAUGCCCUUACCUCGCUGACCGGACACCCACGGCUCCACUCCCAAACACAGGAAUUGGCGUGAAGUACUCGAUGUCCUCCUAGAAUUCUUGUAGCUCUUCACCCCAUAUUUUUAUUCCUGUUUCUCCCUGUCAAUUAAGACCCCUCUAUUGGAUUUCCCUUUGGCUUGAGAAUGACGGUUGUGACCUCCAUAACAAUGCAACACUCGUCACCCGACUUCUCCUCUUUCUCCUAUGUGUCUUCCUUGCCGAUGAUAGCAAAGUGGACGACCCCAACGACGGUGAUAUCCGCUCGAUGCCAAGGACAUGCGCCGCAUGCGAGGGAAUAUAUGUGAUCCGACAUCCACAACACAAUCCGUAAGGACGAGUUUUCUUCCCAACGAAACCUUCUCUCCUAGCCAAAGAUGACAUCCCUCCUCGAUCUUCUCGUCGGCAUCCGCAGAAGCAACUAUCCUAAUGGUCUAUCGGGAUUGAGGACACCGGAGCGCCAUUCAGAUAUGCCACCAAGAAAGGCGAUGGAGAAGCUCGUUGACCAUUGCACAUGCAGGGAAGGGGGCAACCCAGUUUAGUAAAUUGUAAUAACGAGUUGUAGUGUGCAUCACAAUUAUUGCAUAAACAUCCUUUGAUUAAUUAUAAAAAGAGGAUAAUUCAAAACCUCAUAUAAAAUGCUAUAAAACACACUCAAAUAAUCAAUGCACUGGUAUAAUCCCGCUAAAAAAAUACUAAAAUAUUUACCAUAGUUUCCUUAGGGGGCAGUCCUCUCAUUUAACUAGGCAGGCAAACCCAAGAAGCAAACACUCAUGAGAGACAUAAGCAUUUUCUAGUGAAAAGAAAUAGUGUUGCCAACUAAAGAAAAAAGAAGCAUGCAUAUACUCCCUCCGUUCCUAAAUAUUUGUUUUUUUAGAGAUUCUAAAUGGACUACCACAUACAGAUGUAUAUGGACAUAUUUUAGAGUGUAGAUUCACUCAUUUUGCUUUGUAUGUAGUCAUUUGUUGAAAUCUCUAGAAAGACAAAUACUCCUUCCGUCCCAAAAUUCUUGUCUUAGAUACAUCCGUAAUAUAAGAAUUUUGGGACGGAGGGAGUAUUUAGGAACGGAGGGAGUAGAACACAUGGGCAAUGAUGUACAUCUGAUCUUUUCAAAGGUAUAUGGAGGGACACAAAUAUCAACAUAGAAUAUGGAAUGAGUGGAUCAAAGUUGACUGGGAGUAGAAUCAAUAUGCGCAACAUCGCAUCUUUGAAAGGUUCCAAAUACUCGCAGGCGUCAUUAGUAACAAGUGCAUUUGAAUUAUCACAUGGAAACAACAAAAUAUAUCCAACAAUUCGUUUUCUGGCAGUAUAACAGUGUUGGAUUCAUUGAGAAAUACUGAAUCAUGUUCAUCUAGAGCGUUCUCGUCCUCCUGCGACAUGGUGACAUCUAGGUUUUGCAGGACAAAGCAGGACGCCGAGCUAGUACUUAACCCCAGGAACAUGAGACCAUGCCGUGAAACUCGAAUAUUGUCCUCCGAAGGCUGCAACAGUCAGCUUGAGCCUUGAGGCCACACCGAGGAAUGUUCUUCUUUCUAGGGCCGAAGAUCCUCGCUCUGCUUGUUUCCGGAACCAUUGCUUCUCCAUGUUUGAUCAAAAUUAUGUGAGUGUCGCCUCUUCCUGAGCACUGUCCCUCUCGCUCAUUGCGCCCAAGAUAGACGAUUUACCCCGGAACAUGCAACCACCGUGAUGUGGAGCACGCACAAAAACUGAACCACAGAAAUGGACAACGUUUUAUGGGUAGUCAGCGCAUCUAAGUAAGCUAAGUUGAGACGUGUUAGCAUCGGAGUCGUUGUAGUAUAGUGGUAAGUAUUCCCGCCUGUCACGCGGGUGACCCGGGUUCGAUCCCCGGCAACGGCGAAUUUUUUGUUUCGCGGCCCAUGACAGGCCAGGCCGAUUCUUUUCGGCCUGCUGAGAGCUCGCCUGGCCCGUCCGGGCCUAUUUAUCGUAUGCACCCUCGAAAAGUAUCCCGUUCGCUCUAGAGCCCUGCCAAAACAUUUUCUGUCAUGCUACAAAUUUGUUGUUGCAAUGGCAAAGCAUGCGCGUGCAUAAGGACUACUCCCUCCGUUCGGUGAAGAGUGUACAUUUGGUUUUAGAAUUUGUCAACAAAAAAGUGUACGUCUAUCUUCCUAACACACUUUAAAGUAGAAAAAAUAAUUUUCUUUUAUCACAUGGCAAUCAAGACCAAUAGCAUUCUACAUAUGGUCUCCUUAAUUUCUACAUGCAUUUAGUUUAUUGGGGGUUGGGUAAUUAAAAAGAAGAGAGAUGGUAGCUUGCAUCUUCCCAAUGUAUUUUUACUCGCCUCCAUAAGUUGCCCUAAAAUUUAUAUAUGUACGCUUUUCGCCGGACGGAGAGAGUACUACUACAUUCUAGACAUUGUCUAAAAUGGUUAUAAUGAAUACCAUCGAUUUUGAUAAAAGAAACACUAGUUUUUAGUUCGUGUGUGUUACCCCUGGUUUGUUGGUUUUGCAGCUAUAUUGCUAGCUCAAAUUUAAAUGAACCAGUGUUAUAUUUGUAGAUCAAAUGAGUUAGUAUUGUAUGUUAUGCGUUUAUGUCGGUCUUUUUCUCCGAUUUAACCGGAAGAAAUUCUUAGAUUUUCGAAUUUGGCUCAGUCGAUUUCGUUGGGAAGGAAGAAGGAAGCGCGGGGCAGGGCAAAAUGCCGUCAAGGCCUCAGCUAGGAACAAAUGUAGGCGGAGGCGAGUUCAAAGGUUAACGGUUCGGGGUGCAGACUUGCAGAGAAAUUUUAGUGGUUCGCCGGUUUAGAGGGAUGGCCAUGAUGGCUGGCGCCAACAUGAUGAUGAGGAGUGGGGUGGCGGAGGCAAGCAAUUUGGCCGGUGGUCAUGGACGGUUUGGCAAAGAAGAUGAAUAGGGGAGGACAGUAGGUGGAAGAUGACCAUCUGGUCGUUGGCUGGACGGUUCAGAAAAAUCAACCAACCCAAUCUUUUUUUUAUCGGCCAACCUUUGGUCAUCCUUUUUUUUUUCUCAUGAGUAACUGUGUCAAGGUGAUUCUUAAACCCCAAUCAAGGUUGGAAUAUGUUUUUGUUUGUUUUAUUCUCUUAAUUGCAUAAGUAGAAUAGAAAUAGAAUUUAAGCUAGACUCGUCUUCACUAGAAUCAUAAUCCUAAUCUAUGCUCAUGCAUAUUGUUAAUGUACUACAUUCUCCUAUCUGUCUGAUCAAAAUUAUGUGAGUGCCGCAUCUUCCUGAGCACUGUCCCUCUCGCUUAUUGGGGCCAAUAGAGACGAUUUACUCCGGAACAUGCAACCACCAUUAUGUGGAGCACGCAUGAAAAGAGAUCUAGAGGAAUGGAGAACGCUACGUCUAAGUAAGCUAAGUUGAGUAGCAUUAGCAUGUACUCCCCUUGUUUCUAAAUAUUUGUUUUUUUAGAUAUUUUAAAUGGACUGUCAUAUACAGAUGUAUAUGGACAUAUUUUAAAGUGUUGACAUGGUGUUUUCCACCCAACCCUGCACCUUGCUCCAUAAACGAUCUUUGAGGUAUUUAAAGGCCCCAUUCUUCGAACUCCCAAUAUCUUAUGGCAUCCCUAGAUACUUCUCAUUUAAAGUUUCAUUGGGUAUAUUGAGUAAAUCCUUUAUUUCAGUUCUGGUAGCCUCCGGCACCCCCUUGCUAAAAAAUAUUGAAGAUUUUGCAAAGUUCACUCACUGACCUGAUGCUUGACAAUAUGUAUUCAGUACUAGGUUCACCUCAUUAGCUCCUGCACUAUUUGCCUUGCAGAACAGCAGGUUGUCAUCAGCGAAUAACAGAUGGCUAAUUGGUGGCGCCGUAGGAGCCACUUGUACACCACCCAGAUUGGAUGACUCACUCUUUGAUUUUAACAGGCACGACAGGCCCUCUGCUGCUAGCAAGAACAAGUACGCAGAUAUUGGGUCCCCUUGUCUGAUUCCUCUUGAAGGUUGGAAUUCCUCCAGUCUCUUCCCAUUAAACAUGACAGAAAACUGUACAGUAGUGACCAGUCCCAUAACUAUGUCCACCCAUCUCUCAGUGAACCCCAGCUUUACCAUGAUUGCUCUCAAAUAUGGCCACUCCACCCUAUCAUAGGCCUUCAUCAUGUCUAGCUUCAGGGCAAAAGACUGGUGUUUUUUGGCUUUAUUUCUCUUCAUAAAAUGUAGGCACUCGUAAGCAGUGAUGAUGUUAUCAGUGAUUAGUCUGCCAAGGACAAAAGCAGACUGUUCCUCAGAAAUAAUGUUAGGUAGUACCACCUUAAGGCGAUUGGAGAUAACUUUGGAAGCAAUUUUGUAGAAAACAUUACACAAACUAAUGGGACGAAACUGGUUCAGUAGGGUUGGAUUUUUGACCUUGGGAAUCAACACCAAUACAGUCUCAUUGAUGCAUGUUGCCGAUUCUGUGCCCUCAACAAUUUUAAGCACGACUUUGGUGAUCUCGUCUCCCCAUGUCUCCCGGUGCUGCUGAAAGAAGUGAGCAGGAAAGCCGUCUGGUCCUGGUGCCUUAGUAGGAAACAUUUGAAAAAGAGUCGUCUUAACUUCUUCUGCACUGUACGGAGCAUUCCACAGCGCAUUCAUCGCUUGCGUCACUAGUAGAAAACAUGGCUUUGGUCACGGGGCAAUAUUCACAUUAGUCCCGGUUCAGUCAUGAACCGGGACUAAUGUGAGCAUUGGUCCCGGUUCGUGCGGCUAAGGCAUUAGUCCCGGUUCACUUGAGCCCUUUUAGUCCCGGUUUGAGACACGAAAUGAGACUAAAGGGUGCGAUGCCCUUUAGUUCCGGUUUGUGUCUCAGACUGGGACUAAAGGUCCCAUUUUCAAACUCUACCCCCCUGGAUCGCCUUUCUUGUUUUGAAAAAACCAAAAGAAAAUGAUAAAAACUUCAAAAAAUAAAAUCCUUCGAGAGGUAGUUAUAUUACUACAUCUACUAGUUAGGAAAAUUUAAAAACUGAAAUUUGGACAUGUUUUGCAAAAAAUGUAGGGAAAAUGUAAAACGGCUAUAACUUUUGCAUACGAUGUCGAAAAAAAACGUAUAAUAUAUCAAAAUGUUCAGAACAAAAAUCCGCUUCCGAUUUUGACCGCCUACGGCCUGUUUGCAAAUUUUUAGAAUCCUCAAAUUCUAAAAGGAAAAAAGUUAUGCUCAAAUUUCAGUUUUUUUUGUAUUUUCGUUAAAUCUGGUCAAAGUAUGGUCAAACUACUUAUUCAAGAAAUAUUAGUGUUAUUAAAUAAUUAUUCAAGAAUAUUAGUGUUACUAAAUAAUUAUUUUGGUUUUUCUGAAUUUUUGUCAAAUCUGGUCAAAUUGUGGUGUAACAAUGGUCAAACUAUGGUCAAACUAUUUAUUUAAGAAAUAUUAGUGUUACUAAAUAAUUGUUUCGUUUUUUUUUGAAUUUUGGUCAAAUCUGGUCAAACUUUGGUAAAACUAUUGUCAAACUAUUUAUUCAAGAAAUAUUAGUGUUACUAAAUAAUUAUUGGUUUGUACAAUAAUAGUUUCAAACUCAAACAGUGAAAUGUGUGACUUCAUGCUCAAGCUAAACUCUGAAGGGCUAAUAGGAUUGGCAUCUUACUAUUAUCAGGAAAACAACAAGUGCAGACUUGGAAACGAAGGAGAAUAGAACCCGAAAGUUAAGUGUGCUCGGGCUGGAGUAGUGAGAGGGAUGGGUGACCGGACGGGAAGUUAGAUGAUUCGGAAUGAUGAGGGGUGAUUAGAGAUUAGAGGUUAAAUUGAGCAAUGAUGAGGGGUGGGUGAUUAGAGAUUAAAUUAUAAAAUAAUUCGGAAAUUUGAAAAUCGAGAAAAAAAUUCAAUUUUUUUUUAAAAAAAAUUACCUUUAGUCCCGGUUGAUGUUACCAACCGAGACUAAAGGUGGAGCUGGUGGAGCUCUAGCCAGCGGCCACGUGGGUUCCUGAUUGAACCGGGACUAAAGGGUCAGGGCAUUAGUAACGAUCCUUUAGUCCCUGUUCACAAAACCGGGACAAAAGGCCCUUCCCAACCGGGACUAAUGACCCUUUUUCUACUAGUGCGUUACCUUGCAUGGUACUGUUUCGAGGACCCGUUCCAUGUCACCACCCCUUCUGUCGUGUACAAAUCUUUGUAGAAAGCAGUUGUCAUAUUUUCCAUCUCCACCACGUUUUCAGUAACCUGACCGUCAGCAAGCUGCAGCGAUUUGAUCUGGUUUUUGUGUCGCCUCCUGCUCGCUCUCAUGUGGAAGAAAUAGGUGUUUUUGUCGCCAUGCAUGAGCCAGUCAACCCUGGCUCGUUGCCUCCGCAAGAUCUCCUCACGGUGAAAAAGUUCAAUCAAGCGGUCACAUAUUUUUGUCUCCUGCCGUGAGGGGCCGGAGCUUCCUGGGAGUUCGUGCAUCACCUGUAUCCUUUUUUAAUUCAGCUAUCUCUCUAUGAACGCUGCCAAAAUGUUGCCGAUCCCAGGUAGCUAGGUCACCCGACAGCGCUUGUAGCUUUGUCUUCACCUGCACCACCGAAUCCCCCUGCACCUGGUUCCAACCCGCAUGCACCACUGUUUCCAGCAUCGGGUUGCGCUCCCAGCAUACUUCGUAUUUAAACGGUCGUGGCCCCCUUCUGCAUGCAUGCAUUGCUUGGAGCCUAAGCAUCAUAGGUACGUGGUCAGAUGUAGCAGCAGUAAGGUGCUCCAGAGAAGCAUCUGGGAAGGCCAGAACCCAAGCGGGAUUAGCCACGCCCUUGUCCAACCGCACCCUUGUGUACGUUACCUUUUUCUACUAGUGCGUUACCUUGCAUGGUACUGUUUCGAGGACCUGUACCAUGUCACCACCCCUUCUGUCGUGUACAAAUCUUUGUAGAAAGCAGUCAUCAUAUUUUCCAUCUCCACCACGUUUUCAGUAACCUGACCGUCAGCAAGCUGCAGCGAUUUGAUCUGGUUUUUGUGUCGCCUCCUGCUCGCUCUCAUGUGGAAGAAAUAGGUGUUUUUGUCGCCAUGCAUGAGCCAGUCAACCCUGGCUCGUUGCCUCCACAAGAUCUCCUCACGGUGAAAAAUUUCAAUCAAGCGGUCACAUAUUUUUGUCUCCUGCCGUGAGGGGCCGGAUCUUCCUGGGAGUUUGUGCAUCACCUGUAGUUCCUUUUUUAAUUCAGCUAUCUCUCUACGAACGCUGCCAAAAUGUUGUCGAUCCCAGGUAGCCAGGUCACCCGACUGCGCUUGUAGCUUUGUCUUCACCUGCUCCACCGAAUCCCCCUGCACCUAGUUCCAACCCGCAUGCACCACUGUUUCCAGCAUCGGGUCGCGCUCCCAGCAUACUUCGUAUUUAAACGGUCGUGGCCCCCUUCUGCAUGCAUGCAUUGCUUGGAGCCUAAGCAUCAUAGGUACGUGGUCAGAUGUAGCAGCAGUAAGGUGUUCCAGAGAAGCAUCUGGGAAGGCCAGAACCCAAGCGGGAUUAGCCACGCCCCUGUCCAACCGCACCCUUGUGUAUGUGCCGCCCACCACCUUCUUCUCAAAGGUCCAGCUCUGUCCCUUAUAACCAAUGUCAGAUAAACCGCACGUGUCAAUAGCGUCUCGGAAUACGUGCAUCUGUUCUUGGCUUCGCUGGCCAAUUCCAUCGUGCUCAUGGGCAUGAAGUACUUCGUUAAAGUCCCCAAUGACUAUCCAUGGAUCGUUGCUCAUUCCUGCAAUUCCACGCAACAUGUCCCAAGUUUUGUACCGCUCGCUUGUUUGGGCCUCACCAUACACAAAGGUGAUUUUGGUUUUGAUAUCUACCAUCUGUUCAACCAAAACGUCUAUGUGAUACUCAGAAUAACUGAUAACCUCGAGCUUUAUUUCCUCAUUCCAAAAAAUGCCUAGUCCACCACUCCUGCCGGAGCUGUUUACAACAAAGCUUUUAUUAUAACCUAGAGUUCCUACCAGAUUCUCAACUCGUGAGCCCUCUAACUGAGUUUCAAGGAUGCAUACAAUAGAGGGGGCAAGUUGCUUCGAAAGAUCUCGAAGCUCUCGAACUGUCCCGGGUCUGCCAGCCCCACGACAGUUCCAAACUAGGCACCUCAUUGCGCCAGGCGCGACCCGUUGAUAGGGCCCGCCGAUUGCGCGCUGUUUUGGGUGUUUGAGGGUUUGUUCUUCACUUGGUUCUUCUUCAACUGAGGUGGGUUGGUCUUCGUUCUUUUGGUUUCUUGCUUCGACGAAGGGCUCUGUGGAACAGUUUCUGUGGCAAGUGUUUGAGGUUCCAUCGAAGAUGAUGGGUUGGCUCCUGGAGCAGUAAGCAAGAGCGCAUUUGCAAGGGCACCUCUGUUGCGAUUCACUUCUCCUUCUUCCAUCUCUGUAUCCGGAUCAGUAGCAGGGUCAUAUUUAUCUGGAUGUGUUUGACCGAAACCACGCCCUCCGUGUCCUGCACGGCCAUUGCCUCGCCCUCGUCCACCUUCCGAGCCUCUUGCCUCUCCUGGUUCGCGACCUGGUCCCCUGAACCAAUCUGCUUUCAGGUUUUUGAACACUAGCGCUGAUGGGGGGUGAACCCCAUCGCCGCAUUCUUUGAACGGAUGGCCUAGCAAUCCACAUAUAGCACACCAAUCUAGGAGCCUUUCAUAUUUCACUCUGUAAAUCUCUCUCUUCUUCCUGAUCACCAGCGAGACAGCGUUCUUGAGCGGCUUUGUGACGUCCACCUUCACCCGAACCCUAAAAAAGUUACCCUCAAAGUCCUGGGAUUUGGGCUCAGCAAAUAUGAAAUCACCCACCGUAGCAGCUAGCGAUUUAAUCAGGUGGAAGAACAAUUCAGGGAGAUCAUGAAUCGGAAUCCACAUCUCAAUUUUAUCAAGAACAAUGGACGAUAGCCUAGUGAAACCAUCAUAGGGCUCGAUCACGACCGCUUUCCCUUUGAAGGUCCAAGGGCCAUCGCCCAUGACUCUCUCCCAAUCUCCCGGGCAGGAGAAUUGCAAGGUAUAGAGGUUUUCUUCUAGCGGACGGAACUUGACCUCUUGCGCUAGAUCCCAUGCCACCCGCAUGUUGUGAAAGAACCAGUACUGGCUGUACGGCUUGUCCGUGUGAACCCGCGCGAUCGCCAUCCAACGCGCUACUUCCUCUGGAAUAUCACCGUCCUGAACCAUGAUGUCCUCCAGAUCAUCUUCUUUCAGGCCUAGUUCCUUCAUCAUAGCCUCCAUCUCGCUCAUCGCUGCGGCCGAAGCCGACGUUGAGCCUUCCAUCAGAUCUCUUGCCCGAGAAGACGGUUUCCGCGGGCGGGAGGACCCAAGCCAGGUCACCCAGCACUCACGCACGCCAGCAAGCCUAAGCCGCUGGCGAUCGGUGGUCUGAGAGACGCAGGGGAUCGCGAUCUCCACGUCAAUGCCUAGGCGCCGCCGGGAGGAGAGAAAAACCCUAACUAGAGGGGAAUAUUUUCAGGUCUGUGUUCAAAAUAGUUGUUUUUAAGCGAUGAGAAGGUGUACCAUGGGCCAUGGCUAGACUAGGCCUGGCCGGCGUUAUAACCGGGAGAAGGAAAUAUCCAGGUGAAAAGAGAAAAAACGGAGCCCGCUAGGGUUUCCCUCCGCCGCCGCCGCCCUCCCCCGCUCCCGCCGCCGCCGCCCUCCCCCGCUNNNNNNNNNNNNNNNNNNNNNNNNNNNNNNNNNNNNNNNNNNNNNNNNNNNNNNNNNNNNNNNNNNNNNNNNNNNNNNNNNNNNNNNNNNNNNNNNNNNNNNNNNNNNNNNNNNNNNNNNNNNNNNNNNNNNNNNNNNNNNNNNNNNNNNNNNNNNNNNNNNNNNNNNNNNNNNNNNNNNNNNNNNNNNNNNNNNNNNNNNNNNNNNNNNNNNNNNNNNNNNNNNNNNNNNNNNNNNNNNNNNNNNNNNNNNNNNNNNNNNNNNNNNNNNNNNNNNNNNNNNNNNNNNNNNNNNNNNNNNNNNNNNNNNNNNNNNNNNNNNNNNNNNNNNNNNNNNNNNNNNNNNNNNNNNNNNNNNNNNNNNNNNNNNNNNNNNNNNNNNNNNNNNNNNNNNNNNNNNNNNNNNNNNNNNNNNNNNNNNNNNNNNNNNNNNNNNNNNNNNNNNNNNNNNNNNNNNNNNNNNNNNNNNNNNNNNNNNNNNNNNNNNNNNNNNNNNNNNNNNNNNNNNNNNNNNNNNNNNNNNNNNNNNNNNNNNNNNNNNNNNNNNNNNNNNNNNNNNNNNNNNNNNNNNNNNNNNNNNNNNNNNNNNNNNNNNNNNNNNNNNNNNNNNNNNNNNNNNNNNNNNNNNNNNNNNNNNNNNNNNNNNNNNNNNNNNNNNNNNNNNNNNNNNNNNNNNNNNNNNNNNNNNNNNNNNNNNNNNNNNNNNNNNNNNNNNNNNNNNNNNNNNNNNNNNNNNNNNNNNNNNNNNNNNNNNNNNNNNNNNNNNNNNNNNNNNNNNNNNNNNNNNNNNNNNNNNNNNNNNNNNNNNNNNNNNNNNNNNNNNNNNNNNNNNNNNNNNNNNNNNNNNNNNNNNNNNNNNNNNNNNNNNNNNNNNNNNNNNNNNNNNNNNNNNNNNNNNNNNNNNNNNNNNNNNNNNNNNNNNNNNNNNNNNNNNNNNNNNNNNNNNNNNNNNNNNNNNNNNNNNNNNNNNNNNNNNNNNNNNNNNNNNNNNNNNNNNNNNNNNNNNNNNNNNNNNNNNNNNNNGCGGCCCUGUUCUCUUCCUCCCCGCGCGGCGCUGUAGCUCGGGCGUUGGCGCCGGCGGCGGUGCACCCAGGUCGGCUUCGGAUCCGGUGGCGGCUCGUCUUCGCAGGCGGCGCAGCUCCGGGUGGCAUGGUGGCGGUGGUGUGGCUGCUUGGCUGCGGGGCGGCGCGGUGGCUGGCGGCGGUGCCCUUCCGGCCCAGAUCUGGGCCCUUUUGGGCCCCAUCUGGGUCUGGGUGGGCCUGGCGUGUGCUUUCCGGCGUCAUCUCCGGCGGACGGAGGUGUGGCUUGGGCUGGGGGUGGCGGAGACGGUGGCGCGUGUACUGCAGCGCAGCGACGGGAGCUUCACGAGCCCGCUUCGGGCUCGGCCGGGCAGGGGUGCCUGGUUUGCUCCUGAGCUACGUCCGGUCGGUCACCGCCGAAGGUGGUGGAGGUUGUCCCCUCCCACGUGGCCGCUGACCCUGCUGCUCCUCGUUUUCGGCUGGUUCCUCUCGAUCCCGCCGGUCUCGCUUCGCUUGUCACGGUGAGACGGCGAUGGUGACUGCGUGUCCGUGGUGGCGCAUAUUGGUGGACGGCAAGUAUGGUGGAUCGCGAUGGAUCGUCUGGGGUCGUGGUUGGUAGGAGGUUGGGAGAAAUCCUUGUCGGCUUGUUCGGCACCGACGCGGUGACGCCCGUGGGCGUCGCCGUGCCUUCCUGAAGGGCGUCGGAUAUCCCCCUUCCUCCCACGGCCCUUCGCGUACCGGGGGAAACCCUAGGCCAUGUCCGGUAGCAGCGUCGUUGUCGUCGCGUUCCUUCUUGAAGGUGUUACUUGGUAUGCGGCGUUUCGUGGUGCUAGGAGCGUGGUGGAACUCUCCGGCGGGCGCAGCGAUGGUGAGUCAUCUUCGUUUUUGUUGAUCCGCCGUUGUCGGCAUUUUUUUUUCCUUUUGUGUUUUCUCUUUUUUUUCUUUUGGGCGUGCCUGUGCUGCUUCCGCCCCAGCACCUAUCGUGGGUUGUAUCGAUGUUGUUGCUUUGUAAUACAAAGCGGGGGGAAACCCUUUCUCGGCAAAAGAGAAAAAACUGAUCUGUAGUUCUGUACCGUACUGCUUUACAGGCCGCGCUGCCCAUCGGAGACGCGCAUGGAGAUCGACGCGCAUCCUUCUUCCUCAGCCUCGGCUGCUGCUGCGUCCUCGUCCUCGUCGCCUACGUAAUACCCCCAACCCCUAUCUCGUCCUGUACUCCUCCAUAUCUCUCUCUCCCUCUUGUUCUGCAUCCCGUUUCCGUUCACCUGCGGAUGUUGAAUCAGAUCCGCCUACAUCUGCAAGAUUAAUCACACCUCAAUAUAUGGAACUAAAUUGGGUAGAUAUAGUUACAGUUUUGCUAAAGCACAUCUAGAUGUGCCAUAAAUAUUGCACAUCUAGGUCCUAAAGUCAUUGAUCUUACACGGAGAUUCCUGUGGAUAAUUUCUUUUUUCUUUUUCUUUUUCUUCUUAUGGCUUGAUUGAGUCAUUUAGAUGUGCAAUAACUAGGGCACAUCUAGUUAAGUCGUAGAUGGAUUCUGCUUAUUCUCGAAGAAGAAAAACAAUCCAGAUUGAGACUUUCCCUGCUUUAGGUGUCCAACAUUGCAGCUAAUAACGGAGGGAGAACCAUAUGUGCUCUGCUUUCCUUUUUCAGGCAGAAUCAACACUUGCCAGAUACAGUAUUAAUUUGAGAAAUAGGCGAUUUGUGGUUUGUAUUGUUCAGUAGACGCGAAGAAUUAUAUGAAACUUUAACAGGCCGUCUAUCUACCGCGUAGCUUCUACAUAGUUGUUAAUUUUAUUCUCAGGAGCGACAACGUCAGUAUUUUUUGUUAAUUUUAGUGUAUGAUGCAAGUGUAGUGACGUGUUGAUGUUGGAACGAUACACACAAGUCGUGUUUUCUGAAUCUUGGUAGCUCCUGUUUCUUUUUGUACAACUACACCUUGCUGCGCAUGUCUAACCUUUUGUCCUGAAUUUUAUGUGUCGCCAGGGAGAGCGCUGUCAUGCAAAUCAGGGCGAAGAGAACCUGCUAUGCCGCUGCCUCAUCUGAGGCACGAGGAUGGGCCGAGCUCCCGGACGACUUGCUCCGACCCAUCGUUGCUCUCCUCAGCUCGUCGUUCCGCGACCUCCUCGCCUUUGGUUCCACCUGUCAUCCCUGGCGUGAUUUCUCAGCGCACACGUCCUCUUUGUACCCUCUCCUCCUCCACCCGAGUACCGACCGCCAACAGUAUCCCUGGUAUGACUAUGACUACUGGACCCUUUUCCACGAAUGCACGUGGAGAUUGGCUGAUCCUGCUGCCGCCUCAUCCUAUCCCAGUUUGCUUUCCUUGAGUGAUCUCAGGGGAAUGUUCUUUCUGCGCUGCUCCUACGGUCACCUCAUCUUCUUCGACAAUAAGGGGUUCUACAUUGUUAAUGCGUUCAGUGGCGCUAAGGUUGUGCCUCCUUGCCUCAAGUCAGACAACUUCAUUCACAUUAGCUAUGCCACCUUGACUGCCCCUGUUGCAUCCGCUGACUCGCAUCUCCUUGUCGGCAGCGGAGGCUAUCUGUUUCAGUGGCGCGUCGGGAGCGACUCUUGGUUGGAACACUAUCCUAAAGUUCCUUUUCUUACGAUUGAACAAAUUGUGGCCUUCAAAGGCAAAACAUACACCCUAGGGUCUUUUGGGUCCUUCUGCAUCGUACAAUUUUCGCCCUGUCUCUUAGUUCAGAAGUUUGAAAUUAUGUUUGAGGAAGAUAGAACUGAAGAUCGCUAUUGGACAAAUCAAAAAACAUGGCUUGUGGUGUGCGACGUGCUUCUCUUAAUCAAACUUGAGGCAGUAAAAAGGAUAAGCUCUGAGGCUUUCCAGUUCAAGGCCUUCAAGCUCAAGUCGUUGGACGCCAAGAACAAGAAAGCAAGGUGGGCGAAGGUGGACAGGUUGAAUAACUGGGCCAUCUUUGUCAGCGCCGACGGGCGAUGCGAGGCGUUGUCGUUCAUGAACCCGGAGAGAUGGGGAGGGAGGAGCAACCACAUAUACUUCCCAAGUUAUGAGUCUGAACGACCUUGGGCUGCAGUGCAACUAUGGCAAAAAGCUAACAACCAUUCGACAAGUUCGUGGCUCUCGAAAACUGGAAGCCAGUACCACAGAUUGGUGCCAACCUGGGUCCUCCCUAGCGCAUAUCCUCGCUCUGGUCAGCAAUGAUCUUACGGCCAUCGCAGGCGUGGUUGGUGAUUGUCCUCUGAUACAGCUUCCCUGGGAGAGUUCUACCUUGUUUGGAGCAGUUACAUGAUGAGUAGUUUUACUGAAUGUUCUUAACUUUUUUUCUAAACUUGCAUUGCAAACAGAAGCUUUCACUGUAGAGUUAUCUGAUUCUGCUUUUUUUUGUGGGAUUAUAAGGGACCUUAUGUUUUAUUGCUCAUCUACUACAAAUUACGGAGAUUACUUGUACUUGCGCCACUUGAUAACUUUGGGUUAGGCCUGCAACUUACUUUUAUACUACACACCUAAGGUGUUCAUCUAGGAGACUAGGACUGAGCCCAAAAAGCAAUUUCCUAAUAAACUCGCUAGUAUCUGUGCAGUGCUCAUUAUUCAUCAAGUUAUAAGCUUACUGCUGUUCUUCAUCUUUUCAUGUUGAACAAACUUGUGAUGUCUUUUAUUUAGUGCCAUGGCAGCUGUUUUGCUUCGAAUAAGUGUGCCAUGGCAAAGGUUUGCAUACUCACUGCACAUGUGCCAUGGCAGGCGUCUUUCCCAUCGGGUUAGCCAGGUUUACAUGUUGCUUUUUUCGCCAAAGCUUGUUAAUUACUCCCAUUUUGUUAAUUAAGAAGCUUUGGCGAAAAAAGCAACAUGUAGAACAGGUUUUUGCCUCCAAGAACGUACAUUGGAUAGCAAACAAAGAUUAUUACAAAUCUUGAUGCACUACAUCAGAGAAGCGAAAAGAAUAAGGGAGUGUUUAGUUCGGUACUUCAGCCUGCCACUCCAACCUGCGACAAGCCGCAAGUGAGGCGGACGAUCCGUCCGCCACACGUUAGGCACGAAAAAGUGCAACACGGUAGUUUGUUUUGCUAUCACAUACUACAGCGUGUCAGGAAGCAAACAGUUGCCGGAGAUUGUCUGGCACGCCGCGCAUGUGGCACGGCAACCAAAGGCGUGAUCCAAACACGCCCUAAGUACCAUAACAAUGGAACACAAACAGCCCCCAAGUGCAGCCAGUGGCAACAAGACAACUACAUGGUGCAACGACACGAUCUCAUACCCAAGCAGUAAAAGAUGUAGGAUUGCGAGGAAGUUGAGCAUUUAUCGUCGUAAAACAAGGUUCUGGCACCCACUUCUUAUUUCGGUUGCCAUCUUCUGGUUAUAAAAAUGCUCGAGCAUUUUUAUCCAACUCGUAGACAUGGCCAUCCCUUAACCCCAUCCCCUCUUGGUUCACUAAGUUUCAUGGCUGUUUUUGGCCAAAGAAGAAUGCACACUUGUUCAUGCCUCCAUCUAUCCCCUCGCAUACUUUGCAGUUUCAGUCGAAAAAUCGUUGGAGAAGGCAUCCCCGUUACAGCCAAGUAGGAGAAGCGUAUCUUCUCAAGCUACCAAAUUUCCCGAAAGCAUCUACCGGUCCAUAUAAUUGCUGCAAGAAACUCUUAGUACCUCACCAUGAAAACUAGGGUGCCAAAUGCACGGUGUACAACUUUUGAUGUAUCCUCAUAAUGAUCCGGCCUUUGAAGGCCACCAUCUCUUGGAUCAAAUGUACACUUACAAAAUCACAGCCCAAUCAAGUGGGGCUCCCAACCUCUCUUGUAGUCCAUGUGAUGUCAUGAGAUAGUUGGAGCCGAUGGUGGUUGUUCUACAUUGCCAAUCAAUGUUUUUAGAGAUAAUAAUAGAGGGUGUGGAUCACUGAUUCUCAAUUUGCUAGGAAAAUCAUAUGUGAUCUGCUUUUAUUUUUCUGUCAGUAUCGACACUUGCCAGAUACAGUAUUAGUUUGAGAAAUACUAGGCGCAAAGAUUUAUUUUCUAUCUAGCGCAUAUAUAUAAGUUCCCCAAAGAAUUGAUAUCCAGUGCCUGCAUCAUUGUUGAUCUUAUUUUGGGCUUCUAGGGAGCCACAACGCAAUGCGAUUAGUACCUUUGUUCAGCAGUGUAUGAUGUUUUUUAGAAUCUUGGUAACUCCUGUUCUUUUGUAUACAGUCGUUAUACCUUGUUUCGCAUGCCUAACCUUUUUCUUGAAUUUGCUGUGUCGAACAGGGAGAGCGCCAUCAUGCAAAUAAUGGACAACAGGACAUCUUCUGCUUCUGUCUACUCACUCAAGGAUGGGCAGAGCUCCCGGACGACCUGCUCCAACCCGUUGCCGCUCUACUACGCUCGUUCCGCGACCUCCUCGCCUUCGGUACCACUUGCCGUCAUUGGUGUGAUCUCUUCUCAGCGCACAGGUCCUCUGUCCAGCCUCUGCUCCUCCACCCCAAUCUCCGUACAGAGGGUGGACAGUCUCUCUCACAUAACUGCUGGACCUUGUUCCACAAAUGCACAUGGAGAUUGGCUGACCCUGCUGCCACCUCAUCCUCUCGCAGUUUUCUUUCCUUGAGUGACCUCAGAAACAUGACCUUUCUGCGCUACUCCCAUGGCCAGCUCAUCUUCUACGACAACAAUGGGUUCCAUAUUGUUAAUCCAUUCAGUGGCACUAAGGUUGGUCCUCCUUCCCUCCGGUCAGUUCACUUCACUUGCAUCAGCUAUGUCACCUUAACUGCCCCUGUUGCAUCUGCUGAUUCGCAUCUCAUUGUCAAUGCUGUAGCCUAUCUAUUCCUGUGGCGCAUCGGGAGCGACUCUUGGACAAAACACAGUCCUAAAGUUGGUCGUUUUUUUAUUGAACAAAAUGUUGCCUUCAAGGGCAAGACAUAUGCCCUAGGGUCUUUCGGGUGGUUCUACAUAAUUCACUUGUCACCCAGUCUCAUUAUUCAGAAGUUUAAAGUUGUGUUUGAGGAAGAUAUAACCGAAGAUCUCUAUUCGGAAAAUGAAAAAGCAUGGCUAGUGGUGUGUGCUGACUGCUGAUGCAUUUGAUUAUCUCUGUUUAAAAGGAGAUCAAGCUACAAGUAGAUGUAUGGACCAAACAAAGCACAUAACUCAAAUAAAAGCCCAGGCACAUCUGACAUGGUGCACACAAAAAAUGUUGAAGAGAGAUAUGAAGGCGCAAGAAGCUAGUAUUGUUUCAGGAUGCAAGCCCUUAUCUUUUGUAUGCAAAACGGGAGUAAUUAACAAGGUUCAGCGGAAACAGCAACAUGUAGCACAAGUUUUGCCUCCAAGAACAUACACUGGGUAGCAAACAGAGAUUAUUACAAAUCUUGAUGUACUCCAUCAGAGGAGCGGAAACUAGAAAGAACAUAGCGACCGAAUACAAAAAGUUCCCAAGUGCAUCCAACGACAACAAGACAACUGCACGGUACAACGACAUGAUCUCAUACCCAAGCUGCAAAGGAUGUAGGAUUAUGAGCAAGAUGAGCAUUGAUCGUCGCAAAACAAGGUUCUGGCUCCAACUCCUCAUUUUGGUUGCCAUCUACUGGGUAUGAAAAUACUCGAGCGUUUUCAUCCAACUGGUAGACAAGGCCACCCCUUAAACCCAUCCUCUCUGGGUUCACUAAGUGUCGUGGAUGUCCAAUGUGUUUCUGGCCAUAGAAGAACGCCCACUUCUUCAAGCCUCCCUCUUCUAAUCUCACAAACUUUGCAGGUUCAGUUGAGAAAUCAAUGGAGAAGGCUUCCCCGUUACGACCAAGUAGGAGAAGUGUGUCUUCACAAGCCACCAAAUUUCCGGAAAGCACGUAUGGGUCCAUAUAAUCUCUGCAAUCAACUCUUAGUAGCUCAACAUGAAACUGAGGUGUCAAAUACACGGUGUAUAGUUUUUGACGCAUCUUCAAAAUGAACCGGCCUUUGAAGGACACCAUCUCCUUGAUCAAAUGUGCAUUUAGAAAAUCGCAGUUCAACCAAGAGGGGCUCCCAACUCGCCAAACGUACAGGCAGUGUGGGCUGCUGACAAAUAGAUAUGAAUCCGGUGACGCUUCUGGAGAUAUGAAGGUUCUGUAGCAGAGUUGAUUCAACGGGAAAGGUGGAGCUGCAACCGUAGUGCCAAUGAGCACGUCCAUAAUGAUAAGGGAUCUGUCGUAGCAGAAAAUUGCAUGAUCAUAAGAACAUUUGAUGACUACCACUUUGUCCAAAAUACUUGGAGGGGUCAAGCGACACAACGGAGUACUUGGAUAUACAGGAUCAAUGAGCUCCCAUGUGUUUCCAAUGUUCGAGCCAGCUGAGCUUGUCUCGUCGGCACAGUUCCGAAAAAUAACAGGUGGGAAGAGCUUGCCUAAGGUAGAUCUGAUUGACAUGAAUGCGGCAUACCAGCUAGGGCAGGUGGCAAUGAAUGCAAGAAGGUCACGAGUUGAACCCAACAGGACAAUGAUGGAGUGCAAUAAUCCAUAUGGUAGGUCCGCCCAGCCUUCGGGUCCAAACAUGACACAGUGCACAGAGAUGGGGGUGUUGGAGCUCUGGUUGAUGUUUUGCAUGAUAUCAGCUCCAAAUUCUGCAUUAAGGAUCAUGAAAGGACAACAAUUUUAGCAAUGGACUUGAGUUAACUAUAUAAUAUAAAUUGUUGUCACUAUUUUAAUUCACUUGGUACUAAUACAACUAUGAUAAUUAUACAAACACAAUAAAAAUGUUUGUAGAAACUGUAAACAUAAUACACAAUAGAGUAAAGAUUAGGGUAUUGCCAUCCAAACGUGCAUGUGCCUCAAGAAAAUUCGAUCAUGACAAAAUUCAUCAACAUUUGAAAAUAAAAUGCAAGUUCUGUAUUUUUCUUUCCAUCGAAUGUUAUUUAUAUGUGUUGCCCUUCCUCAUUUCUUGCCCGGCCCCCAUGGACGACUUCAUAGUCAUCUUCAUCACCUUGCCACCGAUAGCCAUCCAUGAAACCACGCAAGAGCAGGCGGUCCCACACCUGCCCGGAUUCCGGGUCCGCAAUAAGGCUCUUCAGCUUGCAUCUUCGACACGGACAUCUUAUCUCUGUCUCGUUCUUUUGAAGCAUCUCGGCCUUCGCGGACCUCAAAAACCUAUUCACGAUGCCUUCAGUCAUCGUGCGGACCAUGGUCGCCUGCGGGGUAGAGCAAAACGAUAUUUUAGAACCAAGAAAAAAUUUGGCAUGACUUUCCCUAAAAAUAGGACCAAAAAGAAUGCUUAAUGCCAAAAUUCUCGCCGAAACAGAAAUGAAUCAACAUUCCGGCAAAACAUUGGCAACUAUCGCAUUUCAAAUACAGGUACACCUCCAAAUACAAACACAUAUGCAACACCACAAACAUAUGCAACACCACGAACAUGCAUAGAUCUAGCUAGGCCAUAAAAAGUGCAUGUGCACAUUUUUGUAGGGAGAACAACAUAAAUAUAGCUUCCCCCUUACUUACCUAUCAAAACAAGGUAAUUUAACCACGUAAAUUGAAUGAACCUAUGGUGGAAAUGAGGUGAAAAAGAGGAGGCACCCGAGACAAGGAGGAGGUGGAGAGAAUGAAGUGGGGAGAAAGUGAGUGUGGGUAGGAGAGGCUGUCCAAAAUAUCUUGUUGCUGCCCACUUACUAAUGGCGCACCAACUCUAAAUGCGCCAUUAGUAAUCCAGGUUACUAAUGGCGCACCUUCUGGUGGUGCGCCAUUAGUAGUUUUGCAAAAAAAAACAUACUAAUGGCGCACUGUCCCGCAGUGCGCCAUUACUAGUUUAAACUAGUAAUGGCGCACGGUGGAACAGUGCGCCAUUAGUAGUUUUGCAAAAAAGGAAUAAAAAAUAUAAUUAAAAAAACAACAUUAGUGGCGCACUUUCCGACAGGUGCGCCAUUACUAGUUACAACUAGUAAUGGCGCACUGUGUCUGGAUGCACCAUUAGUAUGUUUGGACAGGCGCACUAGUUCAAAUUUUUUUUGAUACUAAUGGCGCACCCUCGGCCUGGUGCGCCAUUAGUAGUUUCAACUCUAAUGGCGUAUCAGAAGGUGGUGCGCCAUUAGUAUAUACUAAUGGCGCACCGCUUGUCUGGUGCGCCAUUAGUGUCAAUCCCAUCUAUAGCCCUUCUUCUAGUAGUGAAUUGCCUUGCGCCGGGCUGUCCAGAUUGCCCAGAGUGUGACCGAGAGCAAUACGAACGAUCAUGCGUGAGCGACUGCAUGAAGGUGAAGAGCCACUGCUUGGCAUUGGGUUCUGUGUUGGAUACCAGAUUUUGAGCCAACUCCUCAUCAACAAGAGCCCAUACACAUCUCGAGCUAGUACAGUUUACCAAGGAGUGUCUCCAUGAAUCAGGAGAGCCACAUAAAUUGCAAUAAGCAUUAUCUGCCAUGUGCCGAUGAGCCCUAAUGUCCUCCGUAGGAAGGGAUUGCUUUGACAAAUGCCAGAGGAACAUCCUAACCUUUCCCAGGACCUGGGUCUUCCACAAAGAUUUCCAUGCUCCUUCCUCCCGCGCAUUAUUUGAUGUGCCAGCCGUUCCCUCAAGCCAUGCCUCACGACGCUGUCUUGUUGCUACAAGCAUGCGGUAAGCAGAUCUGACAGAGAAGUUUCCGCUUGAUUCAAAAUUCCAUCCCCAAAAAUCUUGGAGAUUGCGGGUGCACACCAGAAUCCCCAAUAUGAUCUGAGCAUCCAUGGGCAUAAAAACUUGGUUGACUAGCUGGAUAUUGCAUGAAGCACUCGUCUGGUCGAUCAGUUCCGAGACCAGGUUUGGCGGAUUUGGGUGAAUACUCCCAUACGGGCGUAACAUCUCAUCCCUUGGUAGCCACUGGUCUUCCCAGAUGCGAGUUGAUUGACCAUUGCCAAUUCUAUGAAUGAGCCCUUGUUUCAAUGUGUCCCUGCCUUCGAUAAUGGCUUGCCAUAUCUAACUUGGAUGGUUGCCCAAGGUUGCCUCCAAAAUGGAUGAGUCAGGGAAAUAUAUGCUCUUCAACACACGCGCACUAAGGGAAUCUGGUGUUUGGAGUAAUCUCCAUGCUUGUCGUGCUAACAUCACCAUAUUGAACAGUUCAAAGUCUUUAAACCCUAGGCCUCCCAUUCUCUUUGGCUGCGUCAUGCUUUUCCAAGAUACCCAGUGAGGUUUUCUUUUGCCAUCUUUGCUCCCCACCAGAACUUCCUAAUAAGCAUAUUAAGAUGCUCACAUAAACCCCUUAGGAGUUUGAAGCAUGACAUUGAGAAAACUGGUAUGGAUUGGGCAACUGAUUUGACUAGAACCUCCUUGCCUGCCGUUGACAUGGUGUUUUCCACCCAACCCUGCACCUUGCUCCAUAAACGAUCUUUGAGGUAUUUAAAGGCCCCAUUCUUCGAACUCCCAAUAUCUGAUGGCAUCCCUAGAUACUUCUCAUUUAAAGUUUCAUUGGGUAUAUUGAGUAAAUCCUUUAUUUCAGUUCUGGUAGCCUCCAGCACCCCCUUGCUAAAAAAUAUUGAAGAUUUUGCAAAGUUCACUCGCUGACCUGAUGCUUGACAAUAUGUAUUCAGUACUAGGUUCACCUCAUUAGCUCCUGCACUAUUUGCCUUGCAGAACAGCAGGCUGUCAUCAGCGAAUAACAGAUGGCUAAUUGGUGGCGCCGUAGGAGCCACUUGUACACCACCCAGAUUGGAUGACUCACUCUUUGAUUUUAACAGGCACGACAGGCCCUCUGCUGCUAGCAAGAACAAGUACGCAGAUAUUGGGUCCCCUUGUCUGAUUCCUCUUGAAGGUUGGAAUUCCUCCAGUCUCUUCCCAUUAAACAUGACAGAAAACUGUAUAGUAGUGACCAGUCCCAUAACUAUGUCCACCCAUCUCUCAGUGAACCCCAGCUUUACCAUGAUUGCUCUCAAAUAUGGCCACUCCACCCUAUCAUAGGCCUUCAUCAUGUCUAGCUUCAGGGCAAAAGACUGGUGUUCUUUGGCUUUAUUUCUCUACAUAAAAUGUAGGCACUCGUAAGCAGUGAUGAUGUUAUCAGUGACUAGUCUGCCAAGGACAAAAGCAGAUUGUUCCUCAGAAAUAAUGUCAGGUAGUACCACCUUAAGGCGAUUGGAGAUAACUUUGGGAGCAAUUUUGUAGAGAACAUUACACAAACUAAUGGGACGAAACUGGUUCAGUAGGGUUGGAUUUUUGACCUUGGGAAUCAACACCAAUACAGUCUCAUUGAUGCAUGUUGCCGAUUCUGUGCCCUCAACAAUUUUAAGCACGACUUUGGUGAUCUCGUCUCUGUAGGGUUUCGUAGUAAUUUCAAAAAAAUUCCUACGCUCACGCAAGAUCAUGGUGAUGCAUAGCAACGAGAGGGGAGAGUAUGAUCUAAGUACCCUUGUAGAUCGACAACGGAAGCGUUUGGUUGAUGUAGUCGUACGUCUUCACGGCCCGACCGAUCAAGCACCGAAACUACGGCACCUUCGAGUUCUAGCACACGUUCAGCUCGAUGACGAUCCCCGGACUCCGAUCCAGCAAAGUGUCGGGGAAGAGUUCCGUCAGCACGACGGCGUGGUGACGAUCUUGAUGUACUACUGCAGCAGGGCUUCGCCUAAACACCGCUACAAUAUUAUCGAGGACUAUGGUGGAAGGGGGCACCACACACGGCUAAGAAUAUGAUCACGUGGAUCAACUUGUGUUUGUCUGGGGUGCCCCUGCCUCUCUAUAUAAAGGCUCAAGGGGGGUGCGGCCGGCCUAGGAGAGGCGCGCUAGGAGGAGUCCUACUCCCUCUGGGAGUAGGAUCCCCCCCCCCAAUCCUAGUUGGAAUAGGAUUCGCGGAGGGGGGAAAGAGAGAGAAGGGGGCCGCCCCCCUCAUCUUGUCCUAUUCGGACCAAGGGAGGGGAGGGGCGCGCGGCCCAUCUUGGGCUGCCCCUUCUCUUUUCCACUAAGGCCCACUUAGGCCCAUAUAGCUCCCCAGGGGUUCCGGUAACCUCCCGGUACUCCGGUAAAAUCCUGAUUUCACCCAGAACACUUCCGAUAUCCAAACAUAAGCUUCCAAUAUAUCAAUCUUUAUGUCUCGACCAUUUCGAGACUCCUCGUCAUGUCCGUGAUCACAUCCGGGACUCCGAACAACCUUCGGUACAUCAAAAUGCAUAAACUCAUAAUAUAACUGUCAUCGUAACCUUAAGCGUGCGGACCCUACGGGUUCGAGAACAAUGUAGACAUGACCGAGACACGUCUCAGGUCAAUAACCAAUAGCGGAACCUGGAUGCUCAUAUUGGCUCCUACAUAUUCUACGAAGAUCUUUUAUCGGUCAGACCGCAUAACAACAUAAGUUGUUCCCUUUGUCAUCGGCAGGUGACAAUGAAUGCAAGAAGGUCACGAGUUGAACCCAACAGGACAAUGAUGGAGUGCAAUAAUCCAUGUGGUAGGUCCGCCCAGCCUUCGGGUCCAAACAUGACACAGUGCACGGAGAUGGGGGUGUUGGAGCUCUGGUUGAUGUUUUGCAUGAUAUCAGCUCCAAAUUCUGCAUUAAGGAUCAUGAAAGGACAACAAUUUUAGCAAUGGACUUGAGUUAACUAUAUAAUAUAAAUUGUUGUCACUAUUUUAAUUCACUUGGUACUAAUACAACUAUGAUAAUUAUACAAACACAAUAAAAAUGUUUGUAGAAACUGUAAACAUAAUACACAAUAGAGUAAAGAUUAGGGUAUUGCCAUCCAAACGUGCAUGUGCCUCAAGAAAAUUCGAUCAUGACAAAAUUCAUCAACAUUUGAAAAUAAAAUGCAAGUUCUGUAUUUUUCUUUCCAUCGAAUGUUAUUUAUAUGUGUUGCACAACAGGUUUGGCUCUUGUAUCCACCUCGAUCUCGGGCCCGCACAUACGCGAUAAAUUUCAUCAACAUUUGAAAUUAAAAGGUGCAAGCAAUAUUGAAAUACUAAGAUUGUUCUACACUGAUAGUGGUAAACCCUUGAACUAUUUCAUAGUUUUCAUAUAGUAUAAACACAACAGGAUCACACAUCCACCAACAACACAUACACUCAAAUCCCCAAAUCAUCCGGUCAGGCUAACAAGAACAAAAGUGCGAUGAGCGCGUCAGAGGAGGUCACCCCCAAUGGGGGUGAUGGCGGGACAAGGAAGAUGAUCCUGGGCAGCCUUGUGCGGUGGAGAACUCUGUUUGACCGUGGACGGUGGCACCGGUCAGUGAAUAUAUAUACUCGGCCAACCCACGAGACCAUGUCCUACACAUAAAUUGACUUAACCUAGAUCACAUCGUAUCCUACAUAUUUGGGACUCAAGCUUGACUCAAACACGUGAACUCCUACUAGUAAAUCUACAUGACUUUGGUUAGUCCCCAAAGAACUAAAGCCACGUGACAUGCAAGCACCAACUACGUCAUGUUCCAAACAAAACAAUCAAGAUUAUGCUAACACUAGCGCCGGCCCCCUGCACCACCAAUGGUUGUCAUGGGUUCUCAACUCCAACAUGAGGUGGGGAAGGUCUCGUUCACGAUACCGGCAAUCACUCCAAAGCUGCGUGUAGGUACAAAUCAGAGCAAGGGGGCAGAACUCGACAUCAACUUGGUUCCUUCAUGAGUCCGGCAGCCAGCAAGGAAAAUGAAGUGGGCAAAGUCAACCUCAACCAGGCUCAUCCCCUACCCCCUGGAGCCGGUAACACGAAAGCCAAGCACCACAAAGAUAAGAAUAGCCUCAAGGGUAAGCCAAGGAAGGAGGUAGAUCAAUCCUUGGUGAACACCAGGGCGGUGUUGGGUAAAUGCAUGGGACGUGAAAAGUGAGUCUGGUAGUGAGUUUGUGACGACACCUAGUUACACGGGUCCUGGUCUGAACAAGAAGGCAUGAGGUGAGGGUAAUGGAGGUGGCAUGAGCAACAUAGGUCUGUUAGGUGGUAAGGAAGCUAUCGGCCCAUGGGUUGUCGAUGAAUGACAUGUGAUAAGGAAGGCACCUGUCAGGAGAAAUGAGUUGCCUGAUCUAGAACUGUUGGGGCCUCAGGCAGUCCCAGAUAGUUGAAGAGCUAGUUUUCCUCGUGCGCACAUACACCACUCGAUGAUUAUUUUACUUCUAAAACUCGACAAUGUGAAAUAGUUUCAAUAAUCUUAGGUGGAUGCUAGGCCGCAGGAAUUAUAUUACGCAUGAUGGUAAGGGCAAUGGUGCCAACAUUGCGUUGUUCUGAGAUGAAAGAACUAAAAUAAAAAAGACUGCCAUAUAUGACCUGAGGUACAUUGAUGUCUUUAUUCAAGAUGAUUCCCAUGGCCCGAAGUGUCGGGCUACAUGGUGAACCAAGGAGCCAGGAAGACGUUACAUCUGGAGUUUACUCAAAAGAAUAAAGCCAAAUGCUCAUGAACACUUGUUGAUGAUAGGUGAUUUUUAUGAGACGAUGUGGCAACAUGAGCACUUCUUAGUAGCUUGGAUAUCCGACAGAAAAAUACCAAUUUUAGAGAAGCCUUGUUCUAGUGUGAUAUUCAUAAUUGGGGCUAUAAGGGGCCAUCUUGGACAUGCGAUAAUAAACAGUAUGGCAAAAGCAAUGUGACCGUCGGGUUGAAAGUGCAGUUGCAUCGUCGGGUUGGUGUGAUUUAUUCAAAGUGAACAGUGGUACACACAUAUGCUCCAACCACUUUCCUCUAUGGCUGCAAUACGGGAGACAGACCAAGGUGCAUAGCAACGUGAAAUCCUUUCGGUAUGAGUAGAUAUGGGAAAGAGUACCGUCGAUGGAGAUUGAAGUCCCUGGACGAUGACUGCACUAAGUUGGGAGUGCUGCAACAGGAUGUUUGGUCCUGGACAUGAAAGAUUUUGGGCCAUGAUAAGGAGUACUCAUUGGCUGAGAAGGAAUAUUAUAGUCACAUACUAUAUGCACCAUCUUAUUGGUUGCGAACUGUUGAAAUAUAUUGCCUGCCUCCCUCCAUCAGUUCGGACUUUUGGAUGAGUUGGCUGGAGCAUGAAUUCAAUAUGGUAUCCGAGCCAAGAGGUCUUGAGUUCAAGACCCUACCGACGCAGUAUUAAAUAAAAUGAUUUUGCGGCCUACAUCGACCCCACGUCUAAGGACUAAAAUAACCUAGACGUGAGGGGGAGUGUUGAAAUAUAUUGCCCGCCUCUCUCCAUCAGUUCAGACUUUUGGAUGAGCUGGCUAGAGCAUGAAUUCAAUACGGAUGGUCUGGAAAGCAUCUUAAGAAAGCAAGUCUUGGAAGGGAGGUUAAUUGCUAGGGGAGACUCGGUGUCUCUAAACUAAUGUUUGUUGAUGGAAGCCUUUUGUUCUUCAAGGCCAUAGGAAGAGAGGCGAGGGUAGUGAAGGACACUCCAAAUCUAUUUCAAAGGUGUACAUGAUAGCUUCUUAGCCCAGCUAAAUGCUCUUUAUUAUUUAGUGAACACUGCCCGCAUGUCCAGUAAGAGAUAAAGGUAACCCUUGGUGUUGUAACUUCCACUUUUGAGAGUAAAUAUUUGGGUUUACCAACCCCAGAAGGUAGGAUGUUUGACUCGAAUUUCAAUCGAUCAUGGAAAGGUUCACAAAAAUGUGCAACGACUGGAUUAAAAAGUAUAUGACCCAUGCAGCUAAAGAGAUCUUGAUCAAGUAAGUGGUUCAAGCGCUUCUCACUUACUUGUUUGGAUUGUUCAAAUAUCCUUGGGCUUUUUUGAAAAGUUGGGCUUUUUGUGGUAAGUAUGAAAAACUUAUCUGGGACUUUAGGUGGGGCGGUGAGUAAGGACAUCACAAGUCCAUUGGCUCUCCUGGUACCAACCGGUAAAACAAAAGAGAGGAGAUGUUCUAGGAUUAUGGGAUAGGUAUAUGUUUAACCAAGCUCUCUUGGAAUGGCAAGGGUGGAUACUCAUUCACAAGCCGGAUAGUUUAUGUUCUAGAAUCUUGAAAUGAGAAUAUUAUCCUCGUGUGAAUAUUCUAGACAUGGUCAUUUCCUAUUAUGCAUCGCCGGCUUGGCGUUAAGAUACUCAAGCAAAUACAUCAUCUGGCGUAUAGAGAAUGGAUGAAAAAUUCAGAUUCAAAGAGACAACUGGAUUCUAAGAUAGUAUGGCCUCAGGUCACCAAAUUCGCUAGAAACUCGAGGUUGAGGUAGGUUAACCAGUUGAUUGUCUCAAUAAAAAUGAAUGGAAUAUUAACCUUGUCCAUAGGCUAUUUUCUGACGUCAAUGCAGAGGAGAUAUUUCGCAUAAAUCACCCUUCUACGUGAUGGAUAACUUGCUUAUAAACUUGCCACCCAACUCACAUUCAGGUACAAUUCCCCUGCUUCUAGCUCUUCAAGUGCGACAUAUAAUUGGAGUAUUUGGGGUGUGUUUUGGAGAGCUAAGGUUCCAAAGAAGGUUAAGGUCUUUGGCUGGAGGUUGCUACUGGCUCACUGGCUACACAAUUUUGUAAAUUUAUAAAGGUGCUGAGUGUAACACCAUUUAUGCUAUUUCUGGUAACAAUGUGGAGCUUGAAUUCCAAUCCACGAUGGCUUUGUGGUGUUGGCUAGUGUCCCAUCAAUACUUCUUUUUCCCACCUGUCUAAUGAUUGCAAUCAGUCUAUAGUAAUAUACAAGUCUAGUGUUUUCCUCCAAUAAAAUAAAAUAAACACAACUCGAAGAUGAACUAAAUUUUUACAUUAAUUUUCCUAGAAAAAAAUAGGGCGAGUUCUUCUCCUACCUUCUUUGGUGUUGACAGCGGAGGGCGAAGUGGAGGCAACAACUACAUUCUCCGAUGCCAGUCGUGGUAAGACGAGGCCAUCGGAUUCAGUAUGCUGCUUUCGUCCAUCGCCAAUCAUCAUGUUUCCUCCAGAUCUGGGGAAAACGGACGCCUUCGACCGCGGUGACUCCAGAUCUGGAUGUGACUAGUCGCCCGCACCUAGGAUUCCAGAUCUGGAUGCGACUGGUCGCCCGCACCUAGGAUUCCAGAUCUGGAUGGAAACACAUUAGUAGCCCACACGGUUCUCUCAACGCAUCAUCCACCACUCAACUGUGGGGCGGUUCUAGCGCAGUUGGUGUGGAUGUCAAGGGGGAGGGGAACGUGUGUGACGAGAAAGAGAGAGCGGGGGGAGGGGAGAAAGAGAGGAGAGGGAGAGAGUCGUGUGUGGGUUUGUUCGUUAUAUAAAAGGCUUUAUCGGAGUACCAAGGGGAACCUUGUCAAACUCCGAGUGAUUUUUCUUGCUUUUGGCAACUUUAUACCUUGAACAAGCUCUAUUACUAAGAAAAGAGGGAGGCUAGAUUGUGCAUGCUUGUGAAUCGUGCACUCGCGUUUCGAUAAGUUUUAUUUUCCAUUUGGGAAAGGGUGCAACACCUCCUUGUUCCCAUUAGAAGAUUAGGUGAAGGCUUAAUAAGAAAUUAGGGAAGGCCCACCCUGAAAUUCAAUAGGAGAAGAGAUUAGGUGGAGGCUUAAUAGGAAAUUAAGGAGCUCCCAUCAGGAAAUUUUGGUGCAGGUAGAUUAGGUGGAGGCUUAAUAGGAGGUUAGCAAGGGCCUACCCUACUAAUUCAAGGGGGGGGGGAGUUACAUGUACAUUAUAUGUGGGCCUGCAUACCACAACAAGACCUCCCGUCCUCACGUUUAAAUUGCCCCGCCCUCUCCCACUUGGUGGGCCCACUUCUCUCCUUGCCGCUCCCAAAAAAGCGUGUCGGCUGAGAGUUGUGCGUGUUGGUCAAUUUGCUCGCUGGAGCGAGCAAAUACCAGUGAGUCAAUGUGAGGUGCUCCCAACCGGCAAGAACACGAAUGACACCAUGCAACAUGCAUCGACCGACCAUGAUUCCUGCAUACAAAUAGUGAACAUCAGACACCAAUGCCCUUACCUCGCUGACCGGACACCCACGGCUCCACUCCCAAACACAGGAAUUGGCGUGAAGUACUCGAUGUCCUCCUAGAAUUCUUGUAGCUCUUCACCCCAUAUUUUUAUUCCUGUUUCUCCCUGUCAAUUAAGACCCCUCUAUUGGAUUUCCCUUUGGCUUGAGAAUGACGGUUGUGACCUCCAUAACAAUGCAACACUCGUCACCCGACUUCUCCUCUUUCUCCUAUGUGUCUUCCUUGCCGAUGAUAGCAAAGUGGACGACCCCAACGACGGUGAUAUCCGCUCGAUGCCAAGGACAUGCGCCGCAUGCGAGGGAAUAUAUGUGAUCCGACAUCCACAACACAAUCCGUAAGGACGAGUUUUCUUCCCAACGAAACCUUCUCUCCUAGCCAAAGAUGACAUCCCUCCUCGAUCUUCUCGUCGGCAUCCGCAGAAGCAACUAUCCUAAUGGUCUAUCGGGAUUGAGGACACCGGAGCGCCAUUCAGAUAUGCCACCAAGAAAGGCGAUGGAGAAGCUCGUUGACCAUUGCACAUGCAGGGAAGGGGGCAACCCAGUUUAGUAAAUUGUAAUAACGAGUUGUAGUGUGCAUCACAAUUAUUGCAUAAACAUCCUUUGAUUAAUUAUAAAAAGAGGAUAAUUCAAAACCUCAUAUAAAAUGCUAUAAAACACACUCAAAUAAUCAAUGCACUGGUAUAAUCCCGCUAAAAAAAUACUAAAAUAUUUACCAUAGUUUCCUUAGGGGGCAGUCCUCUCAUUUAACUAGGCAGGCAAACCCAAGAAGCAAACACUCAUGAGAGACAUAAGCAUUUUCUAGUGAAAAGAAAUAGUGUUGCCAACUAAAGAAAAAAGAAGCAUGCAUAUACUCCCUCCGUUCCUAAAUAUUUGUUUUUUUAGAGAUUCUAAAUGGACUACCACAUACAGAUGUAUAUGGACAUAUUUUAGAGUGUAGAUUCACUCAUUUUGCUUUGUAUGUAGUCAUUUGUUGAAAUCUCUAGAAAGACAAAUACUCCUUCCGUCCCAAAAUUCUUGUCUUAGAUACAUCCGUAAUAUAAAAAUUUUGGGACGGAGGGAGUAUUUAGGAACGGAGGGAGUAGAACACAUGGGCAAUGAUGUACAUCUGAUCUUUUCAAAGGUAUAUGGAGGGACACAAAUAUCAACAUAGAAUAUGGAAUGAGUGGAUCAAAGUUGACUGGGAGUAGAAUCAAUAUGCGCAACAUCGCAUCUUUGAAAGGUUCCAAAUACUCGCAGGCGUCAUUAGUAACAAGUGCAUUUGAAUUAUCACAUGGAAACAACAAAAUAUAUCCAACAAUUCGUUUUCUGGCAGUAUAACAGUGUUGGAUUCAUUGAGAAAUACUGAAUCAUGUUCAUCUAGAGCGUUCUCGUCCUCCUGCGACAUGGUGACAUCUAGGUUUUGCAGGACAAAGCAGGACGCCGAGCUAGUACUUAACCCCAGGAACAUGAGACCAUGCCGUGAAACUCGAAUAUUGUCCUCCGAAGGCUGCAACAGUCAGCUUGAGCCUUGAGGCCACACCGAGGAAUGUUCUUCUUUCUAGGGCCGAAGAUCCUCGCUCUGCUUGUUUCCGGAACCAUUGCUUCUCCAUGUUUGAUCAAAAUUAUGUGAGUGUCGCCUCUUCCUGAGCACUGUCCCUCUCGCUCAUUGCGCCCAAGAUAGACGAUUUACCCCGGAACAUGCAACCACCGUGAUGUGGAGCACGCACAAAAACUGAACCACAGAAAUGGACAACGUUUUAUGGGUAGUCAGCGCAUCUAAGUAAGCUAAGUUGAGACGUGUUAGCAUCGGAGUCGUUGUAGUAUAGUGGUAAGUAUUCCCGCCUGUCACGCGGGUGACCCGGGUUCGAUCCCCGGCAACGGCGAAUUUUUUGUUUCGCGGCCCAUGACAGGCCAGGCCGAUUCUUUUCGGCCUGCUGAGAGCUCGCCUGGCCCGUCCGGGCCUAUUUAUCGUAUGCACCCUCGAAAAGUAUCCCGUUCGCUCUAGAGCCCUGCCAAAACAUUUUCUGUCAUGCUACAAAUUUGUUGUUGCAAUGGCAAAGCAUGCGCGUGCAUAAGGACUACUCCCUCCGUUCGGUGAAGAGUGUACAUUUGGUUUUAGAAUUUGUCAACAAAAAAGUGUACGUCUAUCUUCCUAACACACUUUAAAGUAGAAAAAAUAAUUUUCUUUUAUCACAUGGCAAUCAAGACCAUUAGCAUUCUACAUAUGGUCUCCUUAAUUUCUACAUGCAUUUAGUUUAUUGGGGGUUGGGUAAUUAAAAAGAAGAGAGAUGGUAGUUUGCAUCUUCCCAAUGUAUUUUUACUCGCCUCCAUAAGUUGCCCUAAAAUUUAUAUAUGUACGCUUUUCGCCGGACGGAGAGAGUACUACUACAUUCUAGACAUUGUCUAAAAUGGUUAUAAUGAAUACCAUCGAUUUUGAUAAAAGAAACACUAGUUUUUAGUUCGUGUGUGUUACCCCUGGUUUGUUGGUUUUGCAGCUAUAUUGCUAGCUCAAAUUUAAAUGAACCAGUGUUAUAUUUGUAGAUCAAAUGAGUUAGUAUUGUAUGUUAUGCGUUUAUGUCGGUCUUUUUCUCCGAUUUAACCGGAAGAAAUUCUUAGAUUUUCGAAUUUGGCUCAGUCGAUUUCGUUGGGAAGGAAGAAGGAAGCGCGGGGCAGGGCAAAACGCCGUCAAGGCCUCAGCUAGGAACAAAUGUAGGCGGAGGCGAGUUCAAAGGUUAACGGUUCGGGGUGCAGACUUGCAGAGAAAUUUUAGUGGUUCGCCGGUUUAGAGGGAUGGCCAUGAUGGCUGGCGCCAACAUGAUGAUGAGGAGAGUGGGGUGGCGGAGGCAAGCAAUUUGGCCGGUGGUCAUGGACGGUUUGGCAAAGAAGAUGAAUAGGGGAGGACAGUAGGUGGAAGAUGACCAUCUGGUCGUUGGCUGGACGGUUCAGAAAAAUCAACCAACCCAAUCUUUUUUUUAUCGGCCAACCUUUGGUCAUCCUUUUUUUUUUCUCAUGAGUAACUGUGUCAAGGUGAUUCUUAAACCCCAAUCAAGGUUGGAAUAUGUUUUUGUUUGUUUUAUUCUCUUAAUUGCAUAAGUAGAAUAGAAAUAGAAUUUAAGCUAGACUCGUCUUCACUAGAAUCAUAAUCCUAAUCUAUGCUCAUGCAUAUUGUUAAUGUACUACAUUCUCCUAUCUGUCUGAUCGAAAUUAUGUGAGUGCCGCAUCUUCCUGAGCACUGUCCCUCUCGCUUAUUGGGGCCAAUAGAGACGAUUUACUCCGGAACAUGCAACCACCAUUAUGUGGAGCACGCAUGAAAAGAGAUCUAGAGGAAUGGAGAACGCUACGUCUAAGUAAGCUAAGUUGAGUAGCAUUAGCAUGUACUCCCCUUGUUUCUAAAUAUUUGUCUUUUUAGAUAUUUUAAAUGGACUGUCAUAUACAGAUGUAUAUGGACAUAUUUUAAAGUGUUGACAUGGUGUUUUCCACCCAACCCUGCACCUUGCUCCAUAAACGAUCUUUGAGGUAUUUAAAGGCCCCAUUCUUCGAACUCCCAAUAUCUUAUGGCAUCCCUAGAUACUUCUCAUUUAAAGUUUCAUUGGGUAUAUUGAGUAAAUCCUUUAUUUCAGUUCUGGUAGCCUCCGGCACCCCCUUGCUAAAAAAUAUUGAAGAUUUUGCAAAGUUCACUCACUGACCUGAUGCUUGACAAUAUGUAUUCAGUACUAGGUUCACCUCAUUAGCUCCUGCACUAUUUGCCUUGCAGAACAGCAGGUUGUCAUCAGCGAAUAACAGAUGGCUAAUUGGUGGCGCCGUAGGAGCCACUUGUACACCACCCAGAUUGGAUGACUCACUCUUUGAUUUUAACAGGCACGACAGGCCCUCUGCUGCUAGCAAGAACAAGUACGCAGAUAUUGGGUCCCCUUGUCUGAUUCCUCUUGAAGGUUGGAAUUCCUCCAGUCUCUUCCCAUUAAACAUGACAGAAAACUGUACAGUAGUGACCAGUCCCAUAACUAUGUCCACCCAUCUCUCAGUGAACCCCAGCUUUACCAUGAUUGCUCUCAAAUAUGGCCACUCCACCCUAUCAUAGGCCUUCAUCAUGUCUAGCUUCAGGGCAAAAGACUGGUGUUUUUUGGCUUUAUUUCUCUUCAUAAAAUGUAGGCACUCGUAAGCAGUGAUGAUGUUAUCAGUGAUUAGUCUGCCAAGGACAAAAGCAGACUGUUCCUCAGAAAUAAUGUUAGGUAGUACCACCUUAAGGCGAUUGGAGAUAACUUUGGAAGCAAUUUUGUAGAAAACAUUACACAAACUAAUGGGACGAAACUGGUUCAGUAGGGUUGGAUUUUUGACCUUGGGAAUCAACACCAAUACAGUCUCAUUGAUGCAUGUUGCCGAUUCUGUGCCCUCAACAAUUUUAAGCACGACUUUGGUGAUCUCGUCUCCCCAUGUCUCCCGGUGCUGCUGAAAGAAGUGAGCAGGAAAGCCGUCUGGUCCUGGUGCCUUAGUAGGAAACAUUUGAAAAAGAGUCGUCUUAACUUCUUCUGCACUGUACGGAGCAUUCCACAGCGCAUUCAUCGCUUGCGUCACUAGUAGAAAACAUGGCUUUGGUCACGGGGCAAUAUUCACAUUAGUCCCGGUUCAGUCAUGAACCGGGACUAAUGUGAGCAUUGGUCCCGGUUCGUGCGGCUAAGGCAUUAGUCCCGGUUCACUUGAGCCCUUUUAGUCCCGGUUUGAGACACGAAAUGAGACUAAAGGGUGCGAUGCCCUUUAGUNNNNNNNNNNGGUUUGUGUCUCAAACCGGGACUAAAGAUUAGACCUCUAGUCCCGGUUUGAGACACGAACCGGGACUAAAGGGUGCGAUGCCCUUUAGUUCCGGUUUGUGUCUCAGACUGGGACUAAAGGUCCCAUUUUCAAACUCUACCCCCCUGGAUCGCCUUUCUUGUUUUGAAAAAACCAAAAGAAAAUGAUAAAAACUUCAAAAAAUAAAAUCCUUCGAGAGGUAGUUAUAUUACUACAUCUACUAGUUAGGAAAAUUUAAAAACUGAAAUUUGGACAUGUUUUGCAAAAAAUGUAGGGAAAAUGUAAAACGGCUAUAACUUUUGCAUACGAUGUCGAAAAAAAACGUAUAAUAUAUCAAAAUGUUCAGAACAAAAAUCCGCUUCCGAUUUUGACCGCCUACGGCCUGUUUGCAAAUUUUUAGAAUCCUCAAAUUCUAAAAGGAAAAAAGUUAUGCUCAAAUUUCAGUUUUUUUUGUAUUUUCGUUAAAUCUGGUCAAAGUAUGGUCAAACUACUUAUUCAAGAAAUAUUAGUGUUAUUAAAUAAUUAUUCAAGAAUAUUAGUGUUACUAAAUAAUUAUUUUGGUUUUUCUGAAUUUUUGUCAAAUCUGGUCAAAUUGUGGUGUAACAAUGGUCAAACUAUGGUCAAACUAUUUAUUUAAGAAAUAUUAGUGUUACUAAAUAAUUGUUUCGUUUUUUUUUGAAUUUUGGUCAAAUCUGGUCAAACUUUGGUAAAACUAUUGUCAAACUAUUUAUUCAAGAAAUAUUAGUGUUACUAAAUAAUUAUUGGUUUGUACAAUAAUAGUUUCAAACUCAAACAGUGAAAUGUGUGACUUCAUGCUCAAGCUAAACUCUGAAGGGCUAAUAGGAUUGGCAUCUUACUAUUAUCAGGAAAACAACAAGUGCAGACUUGGAAACGAAGGAGAAUAGAACCUGAAAGUUAAGUGUGCUCGGGCUGGAGUAGUGAGAGGGAUGGGUGACCGGACGGGAAGUUAGAUGAUUCGGAAUGAUGAGGGGUGAUUAGAGAUUAGAGGUUAAAUUGAGCAAUGAUGAGGGGUGGGUGAUUAGAGAUUAAAUUAUAAAAUAAUUCGGAAAUUUGAAAAUCGAGAAAAAAAUUCAAUUUUUUUUUAAAAAAAAUUACCUUUAGUCCCGGUUGAUGUUACCAACCGGGACUAAAGGUGGAGCUGGUGGAGCUCUAGCCAGCGGCCACGUGGGUUCCUGAUUGAACCGGGACUAAAGGGUCAGGGCAUUAGUAACGAUCCUUUAGUCCCUGUUCACAAAACCGGGACAAAAGGCCCUUCCCAACCGGGACUAAUGACCCUUUUUCUACUAGUGCGUUACCUUGCAUGGUACUGUUUCGAGGACCCGUUCCAUGUCACCACCCCUUCUGUCGUGUACAAAUCUUUGUAGAAAGCAGUUGUCAUAUUUUCCAUCUCCACCACGUUUUCAGUAACCUGACCGUCAGCAAGCUGCAGCGAUUUGAUCUAGUUUUUGUGUCGCCUCCUGCUCGCUCUCAUGUGGAAGAAAUAGGUGUUUUUGUCGCCAUGCAUGAGCCAGUCAACCCUGGCUCGUUGCCUCCGCAAGAUCUCCUCACGGUGAAAAAGUUCAAUCAAGCGGUCACAUAUUUUUGUCUCCUGCCGUGAGGGGCCGGAGCUUCCUGGGAGUUCGUGCAUCACCUGUAUCCUUUUUUAAUUCAGCUAUCUCUCUAUGAACGCUGCCAAAAUGUUGCCGAUCCCAGGUAGCUAGGUCACCCGACAGCGCUUGUAGCUUUGUCUUCACCUGCACCACCGAAUCCCCCUGCACCUGGUUCCAACCCGCAUGCACCACUGUUUCCAGCAUCGGGUUGCGCUCCCAGCAUACUUCGUAUCUAAACGGUCGUGGCCCCCUUCUGCAUGCAUGCAUUGCUUGGAGCCUAAGCAUCAUAGGUACGUGGUCAGAUGUAGCAGCAGUAAGGUGCUCCAGAGAAGCAUCUGGGAAGGCCAGAACCCAAGCGGGAUUAGCCACGCCCUUGUCCAACCGCACCCUUGUGUACGUUACCUUUUUCUACUAGUGCGUUACCUUGCAUGGUACUGUUUCGAGGACCUGUACCAUGUCACCACCCCUUCUGUCGUGUACAAAUCUUUGUAGAAAGCAGUCAUCAUAUUUUCCAUCUCCACCACGUUUUCAGUAACCUGACCGUCAGCAAGCUGCAGCGAUUUGAUCUGGUUUUUGUGUCGCCUCCUGCUCGCUCUCAUGUGGAAGAAAUAGGUGUUUUUGUCGCCAUGCAUGAGCCAGUCAACCCUGGCUCGUUGCCUCCACAAGAUCUCCUCACGGUGAAAAAUUUCAAUCAAGCGGUCACAUAUUUUUGUCUCCUGCCGUGAGGGGCCGGAUCUUCCUGGGAGUUUGUGCAUCACCUGUAGUUCCUUUUUUAAUUCAGCUAUCUCUCUACGAACGCUGCCAAAAUGUUGUCGAUCCCAGGUAGCCAGGUCACCCGACUGCGCUUGUAGCUUUGUCUUCACCUGCUCCACCGAAUCCCCCUGCACCUAGUUCCAACCCGCAUGCACCACUGUUUCCAGCAUCGGGUCGCGCUCCCAGCAUACUUCGUAUUUAAACGGUCGUGGCCCCCUUCUGCAUGCAUGCAUUGCUUGGAGCCUAAGCAUCAUAGGUACGUGGUCAGAUGUAGCAGCAGUAAGGUGUUCCAGAGAAGCAUCUGGGAAGGCCAGAACCCAAGCGGGAUUAGCCACGCCCCUGUCCAACCGCACCCUUGUGUAUGUGCCGCCCACCACCUUCUUCUCAAAGGUCCAGCUCUGUCCCUUAUAACCAAUGUCAGAUAAACCGCACGUGUCAAUAGCGUCUCGGAAUACGUGCAUCUGUUCUUGGCUUCGCUGGCCAAUUCCAUCGUGCUCAUGGGCAUGAAGUACUUCGUUAAAGUCCCCAAUGACUAUCCAUGGAUCGUUGCUCAUUCCUGCAAUUCCACGCAACAUGUCCCAAGUUUUGUACCGCUCGCUUGUUUGGGCCUCACCAUACACAAAGGUGAUUUUGGUUUUGAUAUCUACCAUCUGUUCAACCAAAACGUCUAUGUGAUACUCAGAAUAACUGAUAACCUCGAGCUUUAUUUCCUCAUUCCAAAAAAUGCCUAGUCCACCACUCCUGCCGGAGCUGUUUACAACAAAGCUUUUAUUAUAACCUAGAGUUCCUACCAGAUUCUCAACUCGUGAGCCCUCUAACUGAGUUUCAAGGAUGCAUACAAUAGAGGGGGCAAGUUGCUUCGAAAGAUCUCGAAGCUCUCGAACUGUCCCGGGUCUGCCAGCCCCACGACAGUUCCAAACUAGGCAACUCAUUGCGCCAGGCGCGACCCGUUGAUAGGGCCCGCCGAUUGCGCGCUGUUUUGGGUGUUUGAGGGUUUGUUCUUCACUUGGUUCUUCUUCAACUGAGGUGGGUUGGUCUUCGUUCUUUUGGUUUCUUGCUUCGACGAAGGGCUCUGUGGAACAGUUUCUGUGGCAAGUGUUUGAGGUUCCAUCGAAGAUGAUGGGUUGGCUCCUGGAGCAGUAAGCAAGAGCGCAUUUGCAAGGGCACCUCUGUUGCGAUUCACUUCUCCUUCUUCCAUCUCUGUAUCCGGAUCAGUAGCAGGGUCAUAUUUAUCUAGAUGUGUUUGACCGAAACCACGCCCUACGUGUCCUGCACGGCCAUUGCCUCGCCCUCGUCCACCUUCCGAGCCUCUUGCCUCUCCUGGUUCGCGACCUGGUCCCCUAAACCAAUCUGCUUUCAGGUUUUUGAACACUAGCGCUGAUGGGGGGUGAACCCCAUCGCCGCAUUCUUUGAACGGAUGGCCUAGCAAUCCACAUAUAGCACACCAAUCUAGGAGCCUUUCAUAUUUCACUCUGUAAAUCUCUCUCUUCUUCCUGAUCACCAGCGAGACAGCGUUCUUGAGCGGCUUUGUGACGUCCACCUUCACCCGAACCCUAAAAAAGUUACCCUCAAAGUCCUGGGAUUUGGGCUCAGCAAAUAUGAAAUCACCCACCGUAGCAGCUAGCAAUUUAAUCAGGUGGAAGAACAAUUCAGGGAGAUCAUGAAUCGGAAUCCACAUCUCAAUUUUAUCAAGAACAAUGGACGAUAGCCUAGUGAAACCAUCAUAGGGCUCGAUCACGACCGCUUUCCCUUUGAAGGUCCAAGGGCCAUCGCCCAUGACUCUCUCCCAAUCUCCCGGGCAGGAGAAUUGCAAGGUAUAGAGGUUUUCUUCUAGCGGACGGAACUUGACCUCUUGCGCUAGAUCCCAUGCCACCCACAUGUUGUGAAAGAACCAGUACUGGCUGUACGGCUUGUCCGUGUGAACCCGCGCGAUCGCCAUCCAACGCGCUACUUCCUCUGGAAUAUCACCGUCCUGAACCAUGAUGUCCUCCAGAUCAUCUUCUUUCAGGCCUAGUUCCUUCAUCAUAGCCUCCAUCUCGCUCAUCGCUGCGGCUGAAGCCGACGUUGAGCCUUCCAUCAGAUCUCUUGCCCGAGAAGACGGUUUCCGCGGGCGGGAGGACCCAAGCCAGGUCACCCAGCACUCACGCACGCCAGCAAGCCUAAGCCGCCGGCGAUCGGUGGUCUGAGAGACGCAGGGGAUCGCGAUCUCCACGUCAAUGCCUAGGCGCCGCCGGGAGGAGAGAAAAACCCUAACUAGAGGGGAAUAUUUUCAGGUCUGUGUUCAAAAUAGUUGUUUUUAAGCGAUGCGAAGGUGUACCAUGGGCCAUGGCUAGACUAGGCCUGGCCGGCGUUAUAACCGGGAGAAGGAAAUAUCCAGGUGAAAAGAGAAAAAACGGAGCCCGCUAGGGUUUCCCUCCGCCGCCGCCGCCCUCCCCCGCUCCCGCCGCCGCCGCCCUCCCCCGCUCCCGCCGCNNNNNNNNNNNNNNNNNNNNNNNNNNNNNNNNNNNNNNNNNNNNNNNNNNNNNNNNNNNNNNNNNNNNNNNNNNNNNNNNNNNNNNNNNNNNNNNNNNNNNNNNNNNNNNNNNNNNNNNNNNNNNNNNNNNNNNNNNNNNNNNNNNNNNNNNNNNNNNNNNNNNNNNNNNNNNNNNNNNNNNNNNNNNNNNNNNNNNNNNNNNNNNNNNNNNNNNNNNNNNNNNNNNNNNNNNNNNNNNNNNNNNNNNNNNNNNNNNNNNNNNNNNNNNNNNNNNNNNNNNNNNNNNNNNNNNNNNNNNNNNNNNNNNNNNNNNNNNNNNNNNNNNNNNNNNNNNNNNNNNNNNNNNNNNNNNNNNNNNNNNNNNNNNNNNNNNNNNNNNNNNNNNNNNNNNNNNNNNNNNNNNNNNNNNNNNNNNNNNNNNNNNNNNNNNNNNNNNNNNNNNNNNNNNNNNNNNNNNNNNNNNNNNNNNNNNNNNNNNNNNNNNNNCGGCGGGCGCGCCCCGGCUCCUCCUCCCCCUCCCCUCCUCCCCCGUACCCCCCGCGUCGCCUCCCCGAGCGAGGCGGCCGGGGGCUCCCCUUCCCUGCCCCUCCCAGCGCCCCCCUCCUCCUUUCCCCUCCCGCCGCCGCCGGCGUAGGCCACUGGGCCUGGCUCGCGUGAUGCCGCCGGCGGCGGCCCUGUUCUCUUCCUCCCCGCGCGGCGCUGUAGCUCGGGCGUUGGCGCCGGCGGCGGUGCACCCAGGUCGGCUUCGGAUCCGGUGGCGGCUCGUCUUCGCAGGCGGCGCAGCUCCGGGUGGCAUGGUGGCGGUGGCGUGGCUGCUUGGCUGCGGGGCGGCGCGGUGGCUGGCGGCGGUGCCCUUCCGGCCCAGAUCUGGGCCCUUUUGGGCCCCAUCUGGGUCUGGGUGGGCCUGGCGUGUGCUUUCCGGCGUCAUCUCCGGCGGACGGAGGUGUGGCUUGGGCUGGGGGUGGCGGAGACGGUGGCGCGUGUACUGCAGCGCAGCGACGGGAGCUUCACGAGCCCGCUUCGGGCUCGGCCGGGCAGGGGUGCCUGGUUUGCUCCUAAGCUACGUCCGGUCGGUCACCGCCGAAGGUGGUGGAGGUUGUCCCCUCCCACGUGGCCGCUGACCCUGCUGCUCCUCGUUUUCGGCUGGUUCCUCUCGAUCCCGCCGGUCUCGCUUCGCUUGUCACGGUGAGACGGCGAUGGUGACUGCGUGUCCGUGGUGGCGCAUAUUGGUGGACGGCAAGUAUGGUGGAUCGCGAUGGAUCGUCUGGGGUCGUGGUUGGUAGGAGGUUGGGAGAAAUCCUUGUCGGCUUGUUCGGCACCGACGCGGUGACGCCCGUGGGCGUCGCCGUGCCUUCCUGAAGGGCGUCGGAUAUCCCCCUUCCUCCCACGGCCCUUCGCGUACCGGGGGAAACCCUAGGCCAUGUCCGGUAGCAGCGUCGUUGUCGUCGCGUUCCUUCUUGAAGGUGUUACUUGGUAUGCGGCGUUUCGUGGUGCUAGGAGCGUGGUGGAACUCUCCGGCGGGCGCAGCGGUGGUGAGUCAUCUUCGUUUUUGUUGAUCCGCCGUUGUCGGCAUUUUUUUUUCCUUUUGUGUUUUCUCUUUUUUUUUUCUUUUGGGCGUGCCUGUGCUGCUUCCGCCCCAGCACCUAUCGUGGGUUGUAUCGAUGUUGUUGCUUUGUAAUACAAAGCGGGGGGAAACCCUUUCUCGGCAAAAGAGAAAAAACUGAUCUGUAGUUCUGUACCGUACUGCUUUACAGGCCGCGCUGCCCAUCGGAGACGCGCAUGGAGAUCGACGCGCAUCCUUCUUCCUCAGCCUCGGCUGCUGCUGCGUCCUCGUCCUCGUCGCCUACGUAAUACCCCCAACCCCUAUCUCGUCCUGUACUCCUCCAUAUCUCUCUCUCCCUCUUGUUCUGCAUCCCGUUUCCGUUCACCUGCGGAUGUUGAAUCAGAUCCGCCUACAUCUGCAAGAUUAAUCACACCUCAAUAUAUGGAACUAAAUUGGGUAGAUAUAGUUACAGUUUUGCUAAAGCACAUCUAGAUGUGCCAUAAAUAUUGCACAUCUAGGUCCUAAAGUCAUUGAUCUUACACGGAGAUUCCUGUGGAUAAUUUCUUUUUUCUUUUUCUUUUUCUUCUUAUGGCUUGAUUGAGUCAUUUAGAUGUGCAAUAACUAGGGCACAUCUAGUUAAGUCGUAGAUGGAUUCUGCUUAUUCUCGAAGAAGAAAAACAAUCCAGAUUGAGACUUUCCCUGCUUUAGGUGUCCAACAUUGCAGCUAAUAACGGAGGGAGAACCAUAUGUGCUCUGCUUUCCUUUUUCAGGCAGAAUCAACACUUGCCAGAUACAGUAUUAAUUUGAGAAAUAGGCGAUUUGUGGUUUGUAUUGUUCAGUAGACGCGAAGAAUUAUAUGAAACUUUAACAGGCCGUCUAUCUACCGCGUAGCUUCUACAUAGUUGUUAAUUUUAUUCUCAGGAGCGACAACGUCAGUAUUUUUUGUUAAUUUUAGUGUAUGAUGCAAGUGUAGUGACGUGUUGAUGUUGGAACGAUACACACAAGUCGUGUUUUCUGAAUCUUGGUAGCUCCUGUUUCUUUUUGUACAACUACACCUUGCUGCGCAUGUCUAACCUUUUGUCCUGAAUUUUAUGUGUCGCCAGGGAGAGCGCUGUCAUGCAAAUCAGGGCGAAGAGAACCUGCUAUGCCGCUGCCUCAUCUGAGGCACGAGGAUGGGCCGAGCUCCCGGACGACUUGCUCCGACCCAUCGUUGCUCUCCUCAGCUCGUCGUUCCGCGACCUCCUCGCCUUUGGUUCCACCUGUCAUCCCUGGCGUGAUUUCUCAGCGCACACGUCCUCUUUGUACCCUCUCCUCCUCCACCCGAGUACCGACCGCCAACAGUAUCCCUGGUAUGACUAUGACUACUGGACCCUUUUCCACGAAUGCACGUGGAGAUUGGCUGAUCCUGCUGCCGCCUCAUCCUAUCCCAGUUUGCUUUCCUUGAGUGAUCUCAGGGGAAUGUUCUUUCUGCGCUGCUCCUACGGUCACCUCAUCUUCUUCGACAAUAAGGGGUUCUACAUUGUUAAUGCGUUCAGUGGCGCUAAGGUUGUGCCUCCUUGCCUCAAGUCAGACAACUUCAUUCACAUUAGCUAUGCCACCUUGACUGCCCCUGUUGCAUCCGCUGACUCGCAUCUCCUUGUCGGCAGCGGAGGCUAUCUGUUUCAGUGGCGCGUCGGGAGCGACUCUUGGUUGGAACACUAUCCUAAAGUUCCUUUUCUUACGAUUGAACAAAUUGUGGCCUUCAAAGGCAAAACAUACACCCUAGGGUCUUUUGGGUCCUUCUGCAUCGUACAAUUUUCGCCCUGUCUCUUAGUUCAGAAGUUUGAAAUUAUGUUUGAGGAAGAUAGAACUGAAGAUCGCUAUUGGACAAAUCAAAAAACAUGGCUUGUGGUGUGCGACGUGCUUCUCUUAAUCAAACUUGAGGCAGUAAAAAGGAUAAGCUCUGAGGCUUUCCAGUUCAAGGCCUUCAAGCUCAAGUCGUUGGACGCCAAGAACAAGAAAGCAAGGUGGGCGAAGGUGGACAGGUUGAAUAACUGGGCCAUCUUUGUCAGCGCCGACGGGCGAUGCGAGGCGUUGUCGUUCAUGAACCCGGAGAGAUGGGGAGGGAGGAGCAACCACAUAUACUUCCCAAGUUAUGAGUCUGAACGACCUUGGGCUGCAGUGCAACUAUGGCAAAAAGCUAACAACCAUUCGACAAGUUCGUGGCUCUCGAAAACUGGAAGCCAGUACCACAGAUUGGUGCCAACCUGGGUCCUCCCUAGCGCAUAUCCUCGCUCUGGUCAGCAAUGAUCUUACGGCCAUCGCAGGCGUGGUUGGUGAUUGUCCUCUGAUACAGCUUCCCUGGGAGAGUUCUACCUUGUUUGGAGCAGUUACAUGAUGAGUAGUUUUACUGAAUGUUCUUAACUUUUUUUCUAAACUUGCAUUGCAAACAGAAGCUUUCACUGUAGAGUUAUCUGAUUCUGCUUUUUUUUUGUGGGAUUAUAAGGGACCUUAUGUUUUAUUGCUCAUCUACUACAAAUUACGGAGAUUACUUGUACUUGCGCCACUUGAUAACUUUGGGUUAGGCCUGCAACUUACUUUUAUACUACACACAUAAGGUGUUCAUCUAGGAGACUAGGACUGAGCCCAAAAAGCAAUUUCCUAAUAAACUCGCUAGUAUCUGUGCAGUGCUCAUUAUUCAUCAAGUUAUAAGCUUACUGCUGUUCUUCAUCUUUUCAUGUUGAACAAACUUGUGAUGUCUUUUAUUUAGUGCCAUGGCAGCUGUUUUGCUUCGAAUAAGUGUGCCAUGGCAAAGGUUUGCAUACUCACUGCGCAUGUGCCAUGGCAGGCGUCUUUCCCAUCGGGUUAGCCAGGUUUACAUGUUGCUUUUUUCGCCAAAGCUUGUUAAUUACUCCCAUUUUGUUAAUUAAGAAGCUUUGGCGAAAAAAGCAACAUGUAGAACAGGUUUUUGCCUCCAAGAACGUACAUUGGAUAGCAAACAAAGAUUAUUACAAAUCUUGAUGCACUACAUCAGAGAAGCGAAAAGAAUAAGGGAGUGUUUAGUUCGGUACUUCAGCCUGCCACUCCAACCUGCGGCAAGCCGCAAGUGAGGCGGACGAUCCGUCCGCCACACGCAGUGGCGGAGCUAUGUUGGGGCCAGGGGGAGCCGCUGCCCCCCCAGCCUUUUACCAAUUUCUGAAGAAAUUCUUUUUAGGGAGACUUAGAUUAGAACAUUUUUAGCAUUUGGCCCCCCCAGACACUGAUGAUUUGUGUUUCGCCCCCCCAGAGUUUUUCGGCUAGCUCCGCCACUGGCCACACGUUAGGCACGAAAAAGUGCAACACGGUAGUUUGUUUUGCUAUCACAUACUACAGCGUGUCAGGAAGCAAACAGUUGCCGGAGAUUGUCUGGCACGCCGCGCAUGUGGCACGGCAACCAAAGGCGUGAUCCAAACACACCCUAAGUACCAUAACAAUGGAACACAAACAGCCCCCAAGUGCAGCCAGUGGCAACAAGCCAACUACAUGGUGCAACGACACGAUCUCAUACCCAAGCAGCAAAAGAUGUAGGAUUGCGAACAAGUUGAGCAUUUAUCGUCGUAAAACAAGGUUCUGGCACCCACUUCUUAUUUCGGUUGCCAUCUUCUGGUUAUGAAAAUACUCGAGCAUUUUUAUCCAACUCGUAGACAUGGCCAUCCCUUAACCCCAUCCCCUCUUGGUUCACUAAGUUUCAUGGCUGUUUUUGGCCAAAGAAGCAUGCACACUUGUUCAUGCCUCCAUCUAUCCCCUCGCAUACUUUACAGUUUCAGUCGAAAAAUCGAUGGAGAAGGCAUCCCCGUUACAGCCAAGUAGGAGAAGCGUAUCUUCUCAAGCUACCAAAUUUCCCGAAAGCAUCUACCGGUCCAUAUAAUUGCUGCAAGAAACUCUUAGUACCUCACCAUGAAAACUAGGGUGCCAAAUGCACGGUGUACAACCUUUGAUGUAUCCUCAUAAUGAUCCGGCCUUUGAAGGCCACCAUCUCUUGGAUCAAAUGUACACUUACAAAAUCACAGCCCAAUCAAGUGGGGCUCCCAACCUCUCUUGUAGUCCAUGUGAUGUCAUGAGAUAGUUGGAGCCGAUGGUGGUUGUUCUACAUUGCCAAUCAAUGUUUUUAGAGAUAAUAAUAGAGGGUGUGGAUCACUGAUUCUCAAUUUGCUAGGAAAAUCAUAUGUGAUCUGCUUUUAUUUUUCUGUCAGUAUCGACACUUGCCAGAUACAGUAUUAAUUUGAGAAAUACUAGGCGCAAAGAUUUAUUUUCUAUCUAGCGCAUAUAUAUAAGUUCCCCAAAGAAUUGAUAUCCAGUGCCUGCAUCAUUGUUUAUCCAUGGCCAGCUCAUCUUCUACGACAACAAUGGGUUCCAUAUUGUUAAUCCAUUCGGUGGCACUAAGGUUGGUCCUCCUUCCCUCCGGUCAGUUCACUUCACUUGCAUCAGCUAUGUCACCUUAACUGCCCCUGUUGCAUCCGCUGAUUCGCAUCUCAUUGUCAGUGUUGUAGCCUAUCUGUUCCUGUGGCGCAUCGGGAGCGACUCUUGGACAAAACACAGUCCUAAAGUUGGUCGUUUUUUUAUUGAACAAAAUGUUGCCUUCAAGGGCAAGACAUAUGCCCUAGGGUCUUUCGGGUGGUUCUACAUCAUUCACUUGUCACCCAGUCUCAUUAUUCAGAAGUUUAGUUGUGUUUGAGGAAGAUAUAACCGAAGAUCUCUAUUCGGCAAAUGAAAAAGCAUGGCUAGUGGUGUGUGCUGAUGCACUUCUCUUGGUCAAGCUUGUGGAGGCGGGAAGAAGGAUGCGCUCAGAGGCCUUCCAGUUCAUAGCCUUCAAGCUUGAGUCGUUGGACACCAUGACCAAGAAGGCAAGGUGGGUCAAGGUGAACAAGUUAGAUAACCGGGCCAUCUUUAUCAGCAUUGACGAGUGGUGCGAGGCGUUGCCGUGCAUGAACCUGGAGGGAUGGGGAGGGAGGAGCAACCACAUAUGCUUCCCAAGUUAUCGGUCUGAACAACCUUGGGCUGAAGUCCAACUAUGGAAAAUGUGUUAUUACCAUUCGACAUGUUCGCAGCUCUUCAACACUAGAAGACAGUACCUGAAAUUGGAGUCAACCUGGGUCUUCCCCGUGCAUUUCCUUGUUCCGGCCAGCGAUGAUCUUACGGCCGUGGGUGCGGUUGGUGAUUAGCUUAUGAUACUGCUUUGGUGGGAGGAUUCUACCAUGUUGCAGUUGCAGGAUGAGUAGUUCACUGAAUGUUCUUGACGUUUUUCGAAACUUGCAUUACAAACAGAAGUUUAGAUUAAGUUAUCAGAUUAUAUGUACUCUCCUUUUUUUUCUGCGGCGAUUACAAGGGAACCAUAUGUUUUAUUUCUCAUCUAUUACAGAUUGUGGAGUUUUCUUGUACUUGGGCACUUGAUAACAUGGCCAGGCCUGUAACUUCCCAUUCAUACAUACAUAGAUACCUAUAAGGUGUUGGUAUUGCAACAGAGUAAUUGUACUAUGGUUGUUGAUUAUUCACGUGAUGUGCUUGAGCAUAUGACAGUCUCAUUUGGUGGAAAUGUGAAUAUUGAGAAAAUAGCUUGGGCAGAGCUAAAAAAAAUUAACAGAACAUGGUACGCCAUUUUGGGCUGGAGAGUUGCAAGGUCACCAAGAAUUGGAGUGAGGAUGCAAGUCCAUAGACAUCAGGUUAAUAUAAACUACAAGUUCAGCCAGCAAACAUAUAAGCAGCAUAUGUGCAUUCAUCACAAAGUUUGUGUUUGACAACCAAACAACUCUGCAUUUGCAGGUAGCUUCAGCAAACAGCUCUGCGUGCAUUUGAUUAUCUCUGUAUAAAAGGAGAUCAAGCUACAAGUAGAUGUAUGGACCAAACAAAGCACAUAACUCAAAUAAAAGCCCAGGCACAUCUGACAUGGUGCACACAAAAAAUGUUGAAGAGUGAUAUGAAGACGCAAGAAGCUAGUAUUGUUUCAGGAUGCAAGCCCUUAUCUCUUGUAUGCAAAACGGGAGUAAUUAACAAGGUUCAGCGAAAACAGCAACAUGUAGCACAAGUUUUGCCUCCAGGAACGUACACUGGGUAGCAAACAGAGAUUAUUACAAAUCUUGAUGUACUCCAUCAGAGGAGCGGAAACUAGAAGGAACAUAGCGACCGAAUACAAAAAGUCCCCAAGUGCAUCCAACGACAACAAGACAACUGCACGGUACAACCCACAUGAUCUCAUACCCAAGCUGCAUAGGAUGUAGGAUUGCGAGCAAUAUGAGCAUUGAUCGUUGCAAAACAAGGUUCUGGCUCCAACUCCUCAUUUUGGUUGCCAUCUACUGGUAUGAAAAUACUCGAGCGUUUUCAUCCAACUGGUAGACAACACCACCCCUUAAACCCAUCCUCUCUGGGUUCACUAAGUGUCGUGGAUGUCCAAUGUGUUUCUGGCCAAAGAAGAACGCCCAGUUCUUCAAGCCUCCCUCUUCUACUCUCACAAACUUUGCGGGUUCAGUUGAGAAAUCAAUGGAGAAGGCUUCCCCAUUACGACCAAGUAGGAGAAGUGUGUCUUCACAAGCCACCAAAUUUCGGAAAGCACAUACGGGUCCAUAUAAUCUCUGCAAUCAACUCUUAGUACCUCAACAUGAAACUGAGGUGCCAAAUGCACGGUGUAUAGUUUUUGACGUAUCUUCAAAAUGAACUGGCCUUUGAAGGACACCAUCUCCUUGACCAAAUGUGCAUUUAGAAAAUCGCAGUGCAACCAAGAGGGGCUCCCAACUCGCCAAGCGUACAGGCAGUGUGGGCUGCUGACAAAUAGAUAUGAAUCUGGUGAUGCUUCUGGAGAUAUGAAGGUUCUAGAGCAGAGUUGAUUCAACGGGAAAGGUGGAGCUGCAACCGUAGUGCCAGUGAGCACGUCCAUAAUGAUAAGGGAUCUGUCGUAGAAGAAAAUCGCAUAAUCAUAGGAACAUUUGAUGACUGCCACUUUGUCCAAAAUACUUGGAGGGGUCAAGCGACACAACGGAGUACUUGGAUAUACAGGAUCAAUGAGCUCCCAUGUGUUUCCAAUGUUCGAGCCAGCUGAGCUUGUCUGGUCGGCACAGUUCCGAAAAAUAACAGGUGGGAAGAGCUUGCCUAAGGUAGAUCUGAUUGACAUAAAUGCGGCAUACCAGCUAGGGCAGGUGGCGAUGAAUGCAAGAAGGUCACGAGUUGAACCCAACAGGACAAUGAUGGAGUGCAAUAAUCCAUGUGGUAGGUCCGCCCAGCCUUCGGGUCCAAACAUGACACGGUGCACGGAGAUGGGGUGUUGGAGCUCUGGUUGAUGUUUUGCAUGAUAUCAGCUCCAAAUUCUGCAUUAAGGAUCAUGAAAGGACAACAAUUUUAGCAAUGGACUUGAGUUAACUAUAUAAUAUAAAUUGAUGUCCACUAUUUUAAUUCACUUGGUUCUACUACAACUAUGAUAAUUAUACAAACACAAUAAAAAUGUUUGUAGAAACUAUAAACAUAAUACACAAUAGAGUAAAGAUUAGUGUAUUGCCAUCCAAAUGUGCAUGUGCCUCAAGAUAAUUCGAUCAUGAUAAAAUUCAUCAACAUUUGAAAAUAAAAUGCAAGUUCUGUAUUUUUCUUUCCAUCGAAUGUUAUUUAUAUGUGUUGCACAACAGGUUUGCCUCUUGUAUCCACCUCGAUCUCGGGCCCGCACAUACGCGAUAAAUUUCAUCAACAUUUGAAAUUAAAAAGUGCAAGCAAUAUUGAAAUACUAAGAUUGUUCUACAUUGAUAGUGGUAAACCCUUGAACUAUUUCAUAGUUUUCGUAUAGUAUAAACAUUACAGGGUCGCACAUUCAUGAACAACACAUACACCCAAAUCCCCAAAUCAUCCAUGGCAGAGUCAGGCUAACAAGAACAAAAGUGCGAUGAGCGCGUCAGAGGAGGUCACCCCCAAUGGGGGUGAUGGCGGGCCAAGGAAGAUGAUCCUAGGCAGCCUUGUGCGGUGGAGAACUCUGUCUGACCGUGGACCGUGGCACCGGUCAGCGAAAAUAUAUACUCGGCCAACCCACGAGACCAUGUCCUACACAGAAAUUGACUUAACCUAGAUCACAUCAUAUACUACAUAUUUCGACUCAAGCUUGACUCAAACACGUGAACUCCUACUAGUACGUGUACAUGACUUCGGUUAGUCCCCAAAGAACUAAAGCCUGUUGGAAAUAUGCCCUAGAGGCAAUGAUAAAAGGAUUAUUAUUAUAUUUCCUUGUUCAUGAUUGUCUUUUAUUCAUGCUAUAAUUGUGUUAUCCGGAAAUCGUAAUACAUGUGUGAAUACAUAGACACCAACAUGUCCCUAGUAAGCCUCUAGUUGACUAGCUCGUUGAUCAACAGAUAGUCAUGGUUUCCUGACUAUGGACAUUGGAUGUCAUUGAUAACGAGAUCACAUCAUUAGGAGAAUGAUGUGAUGGACAAGACCCAAUCCUAAACAUAGCAUAAGAUCGUAUAGUUCGUUUGCUAGAGUUUUUCCAAUGUCAAGUAUCUUUUUCUUAGACCAUGAGAUCGUCUAACUCCCGGAUACCGUAGGAGUGCUUUGGGUGUACCAAAUGUCACAACGUAACUGGGUGACUAUAAAGGUAUACUACAGGUAUCUCCGAAAGUGUCUGUUGGGUUGACACGGAUCAAGACUGGGAUUUGUCACUCCGUAUGACGGAGAGGUAUCUCUGGGCCCACUCGGUAAUGCAUCAUCAUAAUGAGCUCAAAGUGACCAAGUGUCUGGUCACGGGAUCAUGCAUUAUGGUACGAGUAAAGUGACUUGCCGGUAACGAGAUUGAACGAGGUAUUGGGAUACCGACGAUCGAAUCUCGGUCAAGUAACGUACCGAUUGACAAAGGGAAUUGUAUAUGGGGUUGCUUGAAUCCUCGACAUCGUGGUUCAUCUGAUGAGAUCAUCGAGGAGCAUGUGGGAGCCAACAUGGGUAUCCAGAUCCCGUUGUUGGUUAUUGACCGGAGAGCCAUCUCGGUCAUGUCUACAUGUCUCCCGAACCCGUAGGGUCUACACACUUAAGGUUCGGUGACGCUAGGGUUGUAGAGAUAUGAAUAUGCAGUAACCCGAAAGUUGUUCGGAGUCCCGGAUGAGAUCCCGGAUGUCACGAGGAGUUCCGGAAUGGUCCGGAGGUGAAGAAUUAUAUAUAGGAAGUGCAGUUUCGGCCAUUGGGAGAGUUUCGGGGGUCACCGGUAUUGUACCGGGACCACCGGAUGGGUCCCGGGGGUCCACCGGGUGGGACCACCCAUCCCGGAGGGCCCCAUGGGCUAAAGUGGGGAGGGGAACGAGCCCAUAGAGGGCUGGUGCACCCCCCUUGGCCCACCCCCUGCGCCUAGGGUUGGAAACCCUAGGGUGGGGGGGGGGGGCGCCCCACUUGCCUUAGGGGCCACUCCGCCCUUGGCCGCCACCCCCUAGGAGAUCCCAUCUCCUAGGGCCGGCGUCCUCCCUUGGGGAGCCUAUAUAAAGGGGGGGAGGGAGGGGCAGCCGCACCCUUGACUCUUGGCGCCUCCCUCUCCCCUGCUACACCUCUCCCUCUCGCAGAAGAAUGGCGAAGCCCUGCUGCGGUGACUGCUGCAUCCACCACCACGCCAUCGUGCUGCUGGAUCUUCAUCAACCUCUCCUCCCCCUUGCUGGAUCAAGAAGGAGGAGACGUCACGCUGACUGUACGUGUGUUGAACACGGAGAUGCCGUCCGUUCGGCGCUAGGAUCUUCGGUGAUUUGGAUCACGUCGAGUACGACUUCCUCAUCCCGUUCUUUGAACGCUUCCGCGCGUGAUCUACAAACGUAUGUAGAUGCAAUCCGAUCACUCGUUGCUAGAUGAACUCAUAGAUGGAUCUUGGUGAAACCGUAGGAAAAUUUUUGUUUUCUGCAACGUUCCCCAACAGUGGCAUCAUGAGCUAGGUCUAUGCGUAGUUCUUUUUGCACGAGUAGAACACAAUUUGUUGUGGGCGUAGAUGUUGUCAACUUUCUUGCCGCUACUAGUAUUAUUUUGCUUCAGCGGUAUUGUGGGAUGAAGCGGCCCGGACGAACCUUACACGUACGCUUACGUGAGACCGGUUCCACCGACUGACAUGCACUAGUUGCAUAAGGUGGCUGGCGGGUGUCUGUCUCUCCCACUUUAGUUGGAGCGGAUUUGAUGAAAAGGGUCCUUAUGAAGGGUAAAUAGAAGUUGACAAAUCACGUUGUGGCUUUAACGUAAGUAAGAAAACGUUCUUGCUAGAACCCUCUUGCAGCCACGUAAAACUUGUAACAACAAUUAGAGGACGUCUAACUUGUUUUUGCAGCAAGUGUUCUGUGAUGUGAUAUGGCCAAAGUUGUGAUGAAUGAUGAAUGAUAUAUAUGUGAUGUAUGAGAUCAUGUUCUUGUAAUAGGAAUCACGACUUGCAUGUCGAUGAGUAUGACAACCGGCAGGAGCCAUAGGAGUUGUCUUUAUUUUUUUGUAUGACCUGUGUGUCAUUGAGAAACGCCAUGUAAAUUACUUUACUUUAUUGCUAAACGUGUUAGCCAUAGUAGUAGAAGUAAUAGUUGGCGAGCAACUUCAUGGAGACACGAUGAUGGAGAUCAUGAUGAUGGAGAUCAUGGUGUCAUGCCGAUGACAAGAUGAUCAUGGAGCCCCAAGAUGGAGAUCACAGGAGCUAUAUGAUACUGGUCAUAUCAUGUCACUAUUAUUCGAUUGCAUGUGAUGUUUAUCAUGUUUUUGAAUCUUGUUUACUUAGAACGACGGUAGUAAAUAAGAUGAUCCCUCAUAAUAAUUUCAAGAAAGUGUUCCCCCUAACUGUGCACCGUUGCGACAGUUCAUUGUUUUGAAGCACCACGUGAUGAUCGGGUGUGACAGAUUCCAACGUUCACAUACAACAGGUGUAAGACAUAUUUACACAUGCAAACACUUAGGUUGACUUGACGAGCCUAGCAUGUACAGACAUGGCCUCGGAACACAGAAGACCAAAAGGUCGAGCAUGAGUCGUAUAGAAGAUACGAUCAACAUGAAGAUGUUCACCGAUGUUGACUAGUCCGUCUCACGUGAUGAUCGGACACGGCCUAGUUAACUCGGAUCAUGUUAUACUUAGAUGACUGGAGGGAUGUCUAUCUAAGUGGGAGUUCAUUAAAUGAUUUGAUUAGAUGAACUUAGUCUAAAAUCUUUACAACAUGUAUUGUAGAUCAAAUGGCCAACGUUGUCCUCAACUUCAACGCGUUCCUAGAGAAAACCAAGAUGAAAGACGAUGGCAGCAACUAUACGGACUGGGUCCGGAACCUGAGGAUCAUCCUCAUAGCUGCCAAGAAAGAUUAUGUCCUACAAGCACCGCUAGGUGAAGCACCUGUUCUCCCUGCAGAACAAGACGUUAUGAACGCUUGGCAGACACGUAUCGAUGAUUACUCCCUCGUUCAGUGCGGCAUGCUUUACAGCUUAGAGCCGGGGCUCCAAAAGCGUUUUGAAAGACACGGAGCAUAUGAGAUGUUCGAAGAGCUGAAAAUGGUUUUUCAAGCUCAUGCCCGGGUCGAGAGAUAUGAAGUCUCCGACAAGUUCUUCAGCUGUCAGAUGGAGGAAAACAGUUCUGUCAGUGAGCACAUACUCACUAUGUCUGGGUUACAUAACCUCUUGACUCAGCUGGGAGUUAAUCUCCCGGAUGAUGCGGUCAUUGACAGAAUCGUUCAGUCGCUUCCACCGAGCUACAAGAGCUUUGUGAUGAACUUCAAUAUGCAGGGGAUGGAAAAGACCAUUCCUGAAGUAUUUGCAAUGCUGAAAUCAGCAGAGGUAGAAGUCAAAAAGGAACAUCAAGUGUUGAUGGUGAAUAAAACCACUAAGUUCAAGAAAGGCAAGGGUAAGAAGAACUUCAAGAAGGACGGAAAGGGAGUUGCCGCGCCCGGCAAGCAAGCUGCCGGGAAGAAGCCAAAGAAUGGACCCAAGCGUGAGACUGAGUGUUUUUAUUGCAAGGGAAGUGGUCACUGGAAGCGGAACUGCCCCAAAUACUUAGCGGACAAGAAGGCCGGCAUCAUGAAAGGUAUAUGUGAUAUACAUGUAAUUGAUGUGUACCUUACCAGUACUCGUAGUAGCUCCUGGGUAUUUGAUACCGGUGCGGUUGCUCACAUUUGUAACUCAAAGCAGGAGCUGCGGAAUAAGCGGAGACUGGCGAAGGACGAGGUGACGAUGCGCGUCGGGAAUGGUUCCAAGGUCGAUGUGAUUGCCGUCGGCAUGCUACCUCUACAUUUACCUACGGGAUUAGUUUUAAACCUCAAUAAUUGUUAUUUAGUGCCAGCUUUGAGCAUGAACAUUGUAUCAGGAUCUCGUUUAAUUCGAGAUGGCUACUCAUUUAAAUCCGAGAAUAAUGGUUGUUCUAUUUAUAUGAGAGAUAUGUUUUAUGGUCAUGCUCCGAUGGUGAAUGGUUUAUUCUUAAUGAAUCUCGAACGUAAUGCUACACAUAUUCAUAGUGUGAAUACCAAAAGAUGUAAGGUUGAUAAUGAUAGUCCCACAUACUUGUGGCACUGCCGCCUUGGUCACAUAGGUGUCAAACGCAUGAAGAAGCUCCAUGCUGAUGGACUUUUAGAGUCUCUUGAUUACGAAUCAUUUGACACGUGCGAACCAUGCCUCAUGGGUAAAAUGACCAAGACUCCGUUCUUGGGAACAAUGGAGCGAGCAACCAACUUAUUGGAAAUCAUACAUACUAAUGUGUGCGGUCCAGUGAGUGUUGAGGCUUGCGGUGGCUAUCGUUAUGUUCUCACCCUCACUGAUGACUUGAGUAGAUAUGGGUAUGUCUAUUUAAUGAAACACAAGUCCGAGACCUUUGAAAAGUUCAAGGAAUUUCAGAGUGAGGUUGAGAAUCAACGUGACAGGAAAAUCAAGUUCUUGCGAUCAGAUCGUGGAGGAGAAUACUUGAGUCACGAGUUUGGCACACACUUAAGAAAAUGUGGAAUAGUUUCACAACAGACGCCGCCUGGAACACCUCAGCGUAAUGGUGUGUCCGAACGUCGUAAUCGCACUCUAUUAGAUAUGGUGCGAUCUAUGAUGUCUCUUACCGAUUUACCGCUAUCAUUUUGGGGCUAUGCUUUAGAGACUGCCGCACUCACUUUAAAUAUGGCUCCGUCGAAAUCCGUUGAGACGACACCUUAUGAAUUAUGGUUUGGGAAGAAACCUAAGCUGUCAUUUCUAAAAGUUUGGGGAUGCGAUGCUUAUGUCAGGAAACUUCAACCUGACAAGCUCGAACCCAAGUCGGAAAAAUGCGUCUUCAUAGGAUACCCUAAAGAAACUAUUGGGUAUACCUUCUACCUCAGAUCAGAAGGCAAGAUCUUUGUUGCCAAGAAUGGGUCCUUUCUAGAGAAAGAGUUUCUCUCGAAAGAAGUAAGUGGGAGGAAAGUAGAACUUGAUGAAGUACUACCUCUUGAACCGGAAAAUGGCGCAACUCAAGAAAAUGUUCCUGAGGUGCCUGCACCGACUAGAGAGGAAGUUAAUGAUGAUGAUCAAGAUACUUCUGAUCAAGCUCCUACUGAAAUUCGAAGGUCCAUAAGGACACGUUCCGCACCAGAGUGGUACGGCAACCCUGUCUUGGAAAUCAUGUUGUUAGACAACGGUGAACCUUCGAACUAUGAAGAAGCGAUGGCGAGCCCGGAUUCCGACAAAUGGCUAGAAGCCAUGAAAUCCGAGAUAGGAUCCAUGUAUGAAAACGAAGUAUGGACUUUGACUGACUUGCCCGUUGAGCGGCGAGCCAUAGAAAAUAAAUGGAUCUUUAAGAAGAAGACAGACGCGGAUGGUAAUAUGACCAUCUAUAAAGCUCGGCUUGUCGCUAAGGGUUAUCGACAAGUUCAAGGGGUUGACUACGAUGAGACUUUCUCACCGGUAGCGAAGCUGAAGUCCGUCCGAAUCAUGUUAGCGAUUGCCGCAUUCUAUGAUUAUGAAAUAUGGCAAAUGGACAUCAAAACAGCAUUCCUUAAUGGUUUCCUUAAGGAAGAAUUGUACAUGAUGCAGAAGGAAGGUUUUGUCGACCCUAAGAAUGCUGACAAGGUGUGCAAGCUCCAACGCUCGAUUUAUGGGCUGGUGCAAGCAUCUCGGAGUUGGAACAUUCGCUUUGAUGAGAUGAUCAAAGCGUUUGGGUUUACACAGACUUAUGGAGAAGCCUGUGUUUACAAGAAAGUGAGUGGGAGCUCUGUAGCAUUUCUCAUAUUAUAUGUAGAUGACAUACUUUUGAUGGGAAAUGAUAUAGAACUCUUGGACAACAUUAAGGCCUACUUGAAUAAAAGUUUUUCAAUGAAGGACCUUGGAGAAGCUGCUUAUAUAUUAGGCAUCAAGAUCUAUAGAGAUAGAUCAAGACGCCUCAUAGGUCUUUCACAAAGCACAUACCUUGAUAAGAUAUUGAAGAAAUUCAAUAUGGAUCAUUCUAAGAAGGGGUUCUUGCCUGUGUUACAAGGUGUGAAAUUGAGCUCGGCUCAAUGUCCGACCACGGCAGAAGAUAUAAAAGAGAUGAGUGUCAUCCCCUAUGCCUCAGCCAUAGGUUCUAUUAUGUAUGCCAUGCUGUGUACCAGACCUGAUGUAAAACUUGCCAUAAGUUUGGUAGGAAGGUACCAAAGUAAUCCCGACAAGGAACACUGGAUAGCAGUCAAGAAUAUCCUGAAGUACCUGAAAAGGACUAAGGAAAUGUUUCUCGUUUAUGGAGGUGACGAAGAGCUCGUCGUAAAGGGUUACGUCGACGCUAGCUUCGACACAGAUCUGGACGACUCUAAGUCACAAACCGGAUACGUGUAUAUUUUGAAUGGUGGGGCAGUAAGCUGGUGCAGUUGCAAGCAGAGCGUCGUGGCGGGAUCUACAUCUGAAGCGGAGUACAUGGCAGCCUCGGAGGCAGCGCAUGAAGCAAUUUGGGUGAAGGAGUUCAUCACCGACCUAGGAGUCAUACCCAAUGCGUCAGGGCCGAUCAAGCUCUUCUGUGACAACACUGGAGCUAUUGCUCUUGCCAAGGAGCCCAGGUUUCACAAGAAGACAAGGCACAUCAAGCGUCGCUUCAACUCCAUUCGUGAAAAUGUUCAAGAUGGAGACAUAGAUAUUUGUAAAGUACACACGGACCUGAAUGUAGCAGAUCCGUUGACUAAACCUCUCCCUAGAGCAAAACAUGAUCAACACCAGAAUUCCAUGGGUGUUCGAUUCAUCACAAUGUAACUAGAUUAUUGACUCUAGUGCAAGUGGGAGACUGUUGGAAAUAUGCCCUAGAGGCAAUAAUAAAAGCAUUAUUAUAUUUCCUUGUUCAUGAUAAUUGUCUUUAUUCAUGCUAUAAUUGUAUUAUCCGGAAAUCGUAAUACAUGUGUGAAUAAUAGACACCAACAUGUCCCUAGUAAGCCUCUAGUUGACUAGCUCGUUGUUCAACAGAUAGUCAUGGUUUCCUGACUAUGGACAUUGGAUGUCAUUGAUAAUGAGAUCACAUCAUUAGGAGAAUGAUGUGAUGGACAAGACCCAAUCCUAAACAUAGCAUAAGAUCGUAUAGUUCGUGUGCUAUAUUUCCAAUGUCAAGUAUCUUUUCCUUAGACCAUGAGAUCGUGUAACUCCCGGAUACCGUAGGAGUGCUUUGGGUGUGCCAAACGUCACAACAUAACUGGGUGACUAUAAAGCUAUAUUACAGGUAUCUCGGAAAGUGUCUGUUGGUUUGACACGGAUCAAGACUGGGAUUUGUCACUCCGUAUGACGGAGAGGUAUCACUGGGCCCACUCGGUAAUGCAUCAUCAUAAUGAGCUCAAAGUGACCAAGUGUCUGGUCACGGGAUCAUGCAUUACGGUACGAGUAAAGUGACUUGCCGGUAACGAGAUUGAACGAGGUAUUGGGAUACGGACGAUCGAAUCUCGGGCAAGUAACAUACCGAUUGACAAAGGGAAUUGCAUACGGGGUUGCUUGAAUCCUCGACAUCGUGGUUCAUCCGAUGAGAUCAUCGAGGAGCCUGUGGGAGCCAACAUGGGUAUCCAGAUCCCGCUGUUGGUUAUUAAUCGGAGAGCAAUCUCGGUCAUGUCUACAUGUCUCCCGAACCCGUAGGGUCUACACACUUAAGGUUCGGUGAUGCUAGGGUUGUAGGGAUAUGUAUAUGCAGUAACCCGAAUGUUGUUCGGAGUCCCGGAUGAGAUCCCGAACGUCACGAGGAGUUCCGGAAUGGUCCGGAGGUAAAGAUUUAUAUAUGGGAAGUCCUGUUUCGGCCAUCGGGACAAGUUUCGGGGUCAUCGGUAUUGUACCGGGACCACCGAAAGGGUCCCGGGGGUCCACCGGGUGGGGCCACCUGUCCCGGGGGGGCACAUGGGCUGUAGGGGGUGCGCCUUGGCCUACAUGGGCCAAGGGCACCAGCCACAAGAGGCCCAUGCGCCUAGGGUUUCAAGGAGGAACAGUCCUAGGAGGGGAAGGCACCUCCUAGGUGCCUUGGGGAGGAGGGAUUCCUCCCCUUGGCCGCACCACCCUAGGAGAUUAGAUCUCCUAGGGCCGGCGCCCCCCCUGGCCCUCCUAUAUAUAGUGGGGAGAUGGAGGACUUCUCACCUUGAUCUUUGGUGCCUCCCUCUCCCUCUCCAACACCUCCUCCUCCUCCAUAGUGCUUGGCAAAGCCCUGCCGGAGUACUGCAGCUCCAUCACCACCACGCCGUUGUGCUGCUGCUGGAGCCAUCUUCCUCAACCUCUCCUUCCCUCUUGCUGGAUCGAGAAGAAGGAUACGUCACACUGACCGUACGUGUGUUGAACGCGGAGGUGCCAUCCGUUCGGCGCUAGGAUCUCCGGUGAUUUGGAUCACGUCGAGUACGCCUUCCUCAUCCCCGUUCUUUGAACGCUUCCGCGCGUGAUCUACAAAGGUAUGUAGAUGCAAUCCAAUCACUCGUUGCUAGAUGAACUCCUAGAUGGAUCUUGGUGAAACCGUAGGAAUUUUGUUUUGUUUUCUGCAACGUUCCCCAACAGAGAUCACAUCAUUAGGAGAAUGAUGUGAUGGACAAGACCCAAUCCUAAACAUAGCACAAGAUCGUAUAGUUCGUUUGCUAGAGUUUUUCCAAUGUCAAGUAUCUUUUCCUUAGACCAUGAGAUCGUGUAACUCCCGGAUACCAUAGGAGUUCUUUGGGUGUACCAAACGUCACAACGUAACUAGGUGACUAUAAAGGUAUACUACAGGUAUCUCCGAAAGUGCCUGUUGGGUUGACACGGAUCAAGACUGGGAUUUGUCACUCCGUAUGACGGAGAGGUAUCUCUGGGCCCACUCGGUAAUGCAUCAUCAUCAUGAGCUCAAAGUGACCAAGUGUCUGGUCACGGGAUCAUGCAUUACGGUACGAGUAAGGUGACUUGCCAGUAACGAGAUUGAACGAGGUAUUGGGAUACCGACGAUCGAAUCUCGGGCAAGUAAUGUACCGAUUGACAAAGGGAAUUGUAUACGGGGUUGCUUGAAUCCUCGACAUCGUGGUUCAUCCGAUGAGAUCAUCGAGGAGCAUGUGGGAGCCAACAUGGGUAUCCAUAUCCUGCUGUUGGUUAUUGACCGGAGAGCCAUCUCGGUCAUGUCUACAUGUCUCCCGAACCCGUAGGGUCUACACACUUAAGGUUCGGUGAUGGUAGGGUUGUAAAUAUAUGAAUAUGCAGUAACCCGAAAGUUGUUCGGACUCCCGGAUGAGAUCCCGGACGUCACGAGGAGUUCCGGAAUGGUCCGGAGGUGAAGAAUUAUAUAUAGGAAGUGCAGUUUCGGCCAUCGGGAGAGUUUCGGGGGUCACCGGUAUUGUACCGGGACCACCGGAUGGGUCCCGGGGGUCCACCGGGUGGGACCACCCAUCCCGGAGGGCCCCAUGGGCUGAAGUGCGGAGGGGAACCAGCCCAUAGUGGGCUGGUGCACCCCCCUUGGCCCACCCCCUGCGCCUAGGGUUGGAAACCCUAGGGUGGGGGGGGGGGGCGCCCCACUUGCCUUGGGGGCCACUCCACCCUUGGCCGCCGCCCCCCCUAGGAGAUCCCAAUUCCUAGGGCCGGCGCCCCCCCCCUGGGGAGCCUAUAUAAAGGGGGGAGGGAGGGGCAGCUGCACCCUUGACUCUUAGCGCCUCCCUCUCCCCUGCUACACCUCUCCCUCUCGCAGAAGAACGGCGAAGCCCUGCUGCGGUGACUGCUGCAUCCACCACCACGCCGUCGUGCUUCUGGAUCUUCAUCAACCUCUCCUUCCCCCUUUCUGGAUCAAGAAGGAGGAGACGUCAGGCUGACCGUACGUGUGUUGAACACGGAGGUGCCGUCCGUUCGGCGCUAGGAUCUCCGGUGAUUUGGAUCACGUCGAGUAUGACUUCCUCAUCCUCGUUCUUUGUACGCUUCCGCGCGUGAUCUACAAAGGUAUGUAGAUGCAAUCCGAUCACUCAUUGCUAGAUGAACUCAUAGAUGGAUCUUGGUGAAACCGUAGGAAAAUUUUUGUUUUCUGCAAUGUUCCCCAACAAAGCCAUGUGACAUGCAAGCACCAACUACAUCAUGUUCCAAACAAAACACUCAAGAUUAUGCUAACACUAGCGCCGGCCCCUGCGCCACCAAUGGUUGUCAUGAGUUCUCAACUCCAGCAUGAGGUGGGGAAUGUCUCGUUCAUGAUACCGGCAAUCACUCCAAAGCUGCUUGUAGGUACAAAUCAGAGUAAGGGGUCAGAACUCGACAUCAACUUGGUUCCUUCCCCCGCCGGGGCUGACCCCGGAGGGCAGAGGUGAUUCAAGGACAGGCCUCCUCCAUGAGUCCGGCAGCCAGCAAGGAAAAUGAAGCGGGUAAAGUCAGCCUCAACAAGGCUCAUCCCCUACCCCCUGGAGCUGGUAACACGAAAGCCACGCACCACAAAGAUAAGAAUAGCUUCAAGGGUAAGCCAAGGAAGGAGGUCGAUCAAUCCCUGGUGAACACCAGGGCGGUGUUGGGUAAAUGCAUGGGACGUGAAAGUGAGUCUGGUAGUGAGUUUGUGAUGACACCUAGUUACAAGGGUCUUGGUCUGAACAACAAGGCAUGAGGUGAGGGUAAUGGAGGUGGCAUGAGCAACAUAGGUCUGUUAGGUGGUAAGGAAGCUAUCGGCCCAUGGGUUGUCGUUGAAUGACAUGUGAUAAGGAAGGCACCUGUCAGGAGAAAUGAGUCGCCUGAUCUAGAACUGUUGGGGCCUCAGGCAGUCCCGGAUAGUUGAAGAGCUAGUUUGCCUCGUGCGCACAUACACCCCUUGAUGAUUGUUUUACUUAUAAAACUCGACGGUGUGAAAUAGUUUGAAUAAUCUUAGGUGGAUGCUAGGCCGCAAGAAUUAUAUUACGCAUGAUGGUAAGGGCAAUGGUGCCAACAUUGCGUUGUUCUGAGAUGAAAGAACUAAAAUAAAAAAGACUACCAUAUGACCUGAGGUACAUUGAUGUCUUUAUUCAAGACGAUUCCCAUGGCCCGAAGUAUCAGGCUACAUGGUUAACCAAGGAGUCAAGAAGACGUCACAUCUGGAGUUUACUCAAAAGAAUAAAGCCAAAUGCUCAUGAACACUUGUUGAUGAUAGGUGAUUUUUAUGAGACGAUGUGGCAACAUGAGCACUUCUUAGUAGCUUGGAUAUCCAAGAGAAAAAUACCAAUUUCAGAGAAGCCUUGUUCUAGUGUGAUAUUCAUAAUUGGGGCUAUAAGGGGCCAUCCUGCACAUACAAUAAUAAACAGUAUGGCAAAAGCAAUGUGACUGUCGGGUUGAAAGUGCAGUUGCAUCGUCGAGUUGGUGUGAUUUAUUCAGAGUGAACAGUGGUACACACAUAUGCUCCAACCACUUUCCUCUAUGGCUGCAAUACGGGAGACAGACCAAGGUGCAUAGCAACGUGAAAUCCUUUCGGUAUGAGUAGAUAUGGGAAAGAGUACCAUCGAUGGAGGGAACUAUUGAAGUCCCUGGCCGAUGACUGCACUAAGUUGGCAGUGCUACAACGGGAUGUUUGGUCCUGGACAUGAAAGAUUUUGGACCAUGAUAAGGAGUACUCAUUGGUUGAGAAGGAAUAUUAUAGUCACAUACUAAAUGCACCAUCUUAUUGGUUGCGAACUGUUGAAAUAUAUUGCCUGCCUCCCUUCAUCAGUUCAGACUUUUGGAUGAGUUGGCUGGAGCAUGAAUUCAAUAUGGUAUCCGAGCUAAGAGGUCUUGAGUUCAAGACCCUACCGACGCAGUAUUAAAUAAAAUGAUUCUGUGGCCCACAUCGACCCCACGUCUAAGGAAUAAAAUAACCUAGACGUGAGGGGGAGUGUUGAAAUAUAUUGCCCGCCUCUCUCCAUAAGUUCAGACUUUUGGAUGAGCUGGCUGGAGCAUGAAUUCAAUACGGAUGGUCUGGAAAGCAUCUUAAGAAAGUAAGUUUUGGAAGGGAGGUUAAUUGCUGGGGGAGACUCGGUGUCUCUAAACUAAUGUUUGUUGAUGGAAGCCUUUUGUUCUUCAAGGCCAUAGGAAGAGAGGCGAGGAUAGUGAAGGACACUCCAAAUCUAUUUCAAAGGUGUACAUGAUAGCUUCUUAGCCCAGCUAAAUGCUCUUUAUUAUUUAGUGAACACUGCCCGCCCCAUGUCCAGUAAUAGAUAAAGGUAACCAUUGGUGUUGUAGCUUCCACUUUUGAGAGUAAAUAUUUGGGUUUACCAACCCCAGAAGGUAGGAUGUUUGACUCGAAUUUCAAUCGAUCAUGGAAAGGUUCACAAAAAUGUGCAACGACUGGAUUAAAAAGUAUAUGGCCCAUGCAGCUAAAGAGAUCUUGAUCAAGUAAGUGGUUCAAGCGCUUCCCACUUACUUGUUUGGAUUGUUCAAAUAUCCUUGGGCUUUUUUGAAAAGUUGGGCUUUUUGUGAUAAGUAUGAAAAACUUAUCUGGGACUUUAGGUGGGGCAGUGAGUAAGGACAUCACAAGUCCAUUGGCUCUCCUGGUACCAACCGGUAAAACAAAAGAGAGGAGGUGUUCUAGGAUUAUGGGAUAGGCAUAUGUUUAACCAAGCUCUCUUGGAAUGGCAAGGGUGGAGACUCAUUCACAAGUCGGAUAGUUUAUGUUCUAGAAUCUUGAAACGAGAAUAUUAUCCUCGUGUGGAUAUUCUAGACAUGGUCAUUUCCUAGUAUGCAUCGCCGGCUUGGCGUUAAGAUACUCAAGGAAUACAUCAUCUGGUGUAUAGAGAAUGGAUGAAAAAUUCAGAUUCGGAGAGACAACUGGAUUCUGAGACAGUAUGGCCUCAGGUUACCAAAUUCACCAGAAACUCGAGGUUGAGGUAGGUUAACCAGUUGAUUGUCUCAAUAAAAAUGAAUGGAAUAUUAACCUUGUCCAUAGGCUAUUUUCUGACAUCAAUGCAGAGGAGAUAUUUCGCAUAAAUCACCCUUCUACGUGAAGGAUAACUUGCUUAUAAACUUGCCACCCAACUAAAAUUCAGGUACAAUUCCCCUGCUUCUAGCUCUUCAAGUGCGACAUAUAAUUGGAGUAUUUGGGGUGUGUUUUGGAGAGCUAAGGUUCCAAAAAAGGUUAAGGUCUUUGGCUGGAGGUUGCUACUGGCUCACUGGCUACACAAUUUUGUAAAUUUAUAAAGGUGCUGAGUGUAACACCAUUUAUGCUAUUUCUGGUAACAGUGUGGAGAGUGAAUUCCAAUCCACGAUGGCUUUGUGGUGUUGGCUAGUGUCCCAUCAAUACUUCUUUUCCCUCCUGUCUAAUGAUUGCAAUCAGUCUAUAGUAAUAUACAAGUCUAGUGUUUUCCCCCAAUUAAAUAAAAUAAACACAACUUGAAGAUCAACUAAAUUUUUACCUUAAUUUUCCUAGAAAAAACAGGGCGAGUUCUUCUCCUACCUUCUUCGGUGUUGACAGCGGAGGGCGAAGUGGAGGCAACAACUACAUUCUCCGAUGCCAGUCGUGGUAAGACGAGGCCAUCGGAUCCAGUAUGCUGCUUUCGUCCAUCGCCAAUCAUCAUGUUUGCUCCAGAUCUGGGGAAAACGGACACCUUCGACUGCGGUGACUCCAGAUCUGGAUGCGACUGGUCGCCCGCACCUAGGAUUCCAGAUCUGGAUGCGACUGGUCGCCCGCACCUAGGAUUCCAGAUCUGGAUGGAAACACAUUAGUAGUCCAUGCGGUUCUCUCAAUGGAUCAUCCACCACUCAACUGUGGGGCGGUUCUAGCGCAGUUGGUGUGGAUGUCAAGGAGGAGAGGAACGUGUGUGACGAGAGAGAGAGAGAGAGCGGGGGGAGGGGGAGAAAGAGAGGUGAGGGGGAGAGUCGUGUGUGGGUUUGUUCGUUAUAUAAAAGGCUUUAUCGGAGUACCAAGGGGAACCUUGUCAAACUUCGAGUGAUUUUUCUUGCUUUUGGCAACUUUAUACCUUGAACAAGCUCUAUUACUAAGAAAAGAGGGAGCCUAGUUUGUGCAUGCUUGUGAAUCGUGCACUCGCGUUUCGAUAAGUUUUAUUUUCCAUUUUGGAAAGGGUGCAGCACCUCCUUGUUCCCAUUACAAGAUUAGGUGAAGGCUUAAUAAGAAAUUAGGGAAGGACCCCCCUGAAAUUCAAUAGGAGAAGAGAUUAGGUGGAGGCUUAAUAGGAAAUUAAGGAGUUCCCAUCAAGAAAUUCUGGUGCUGGUAGAUUAGGUGGAGGCUUAAUAGGAGGUUACAUGUAUAUUAUAUGUGGGCCUGCAUACCACAACAAGACCUCCCGUCCUCACGUUUAAAUUGCCCCGCCCUCUCCCACUUGGUGGGCCCACUUCCCACCCUGCCGCUCCCAAAAAAGCGUGUCGGCUGAGAGUUGUGUGUUGGUCAGUUUGCUCGCUGGAGCGAGCAAAUGCCAGGGAGUCAAUGUGAGGUGCUCCCAACCAGCAAGGACACGAAUGACACCAUGCAACAUGCUCCGACCGACCAUGAUUCCUGCAUACAAAUAGUGAACAUCAGACACCAAUGCCCUUACCUUGCUGACCGGACACCUGCGGCUCCACUCCCAGACACAGGAUGUCGGCGUGAAGUACUCGAUGUCCUCCUAGAAUUCUUGUAGCUCUUCACCCAUAUUUUUAUUCCUGUUUCUCCCUGUCAAUUAAGACCCCUCUAUUGAAUUUCCAUUUGGCUUGAGAAUGACGGUUGUGACCUCCAUAACAAUGCAACACUUGUCACCCGACCUCUCCUCUUUAUCCUAUGUGUCUUCCUUGCCGAUGAUAGCAAAGUGGACGACCCCAACGAUGGUGGUAUCAGCUCGAUGCCAAGGACAGGCACCGCAUGCGAGGGAAUAUAUGUGAUCCGACACCCACAACACAAUCCGUAAGGACGAGUUCUCUUCCCAACGAAACCUUCUCUCCUAGCCAAAGAUGACAUCCCUCCUCGAUCUUCUUGUCGGCAUCCGUAGAAGCAACUAUCCUAAUGGUCUAUCGGGACUGAGGACACUGGAGCACCAUUCAGAUAUGCUGCCAAGAAAGGCGAUGGAGAAGCUCGUUGACCAUUGCACAUGGAGGGAAGGGGGCAACCCAGUUUAGUAAACUGUAAUAACGAGUUGUAGUGUGCAUUACAAAUAUUGCAUAAACACCCUUUGGUUAAUUUAGAAAACAUGAUAGUUCAGAACCUCAUAUAAAAUGAUAUAAAACACACUCAAAUAAACAAUGCAUUGGUAUAAUCCUGCUAAAAAAUACUGAAAUAUUUACCAUAUUUUCCUUAGGGGUGAAGGGGAGCCUUGGCGCAGUGGUAAAGCUGCUGCCUUGUGACCAUGAGGUCAUGGGUUCAAGUCCUGGAAACAGCCUCUUACAGAAAUGUAGGGAAAGGCUGCGUACUAUAGACCCAAAGUGGUCGGACCCUUCCCUGGACCCUGCGCAAGCGGGAGCUACAUGCACCAGGUUGCCCUUUUUUUUUAUUUUCCUUAGGGGUGGCCCUCUCAUUUAACUAGGCAGGCAACCCCAAGAAGCAUACACUCAUGAGAGAUAUAAGCAUUUUCUAGUGGAAAAAUAGUGUUACCAACUAAAGAAAAAAUAUGUAUGCAUAUAGGACACAUGAGCGAUGUACAUCUGAUUUUUUUAAGAGGUAAACGAAGGGGCCACAAAUAUCAACAUAGAAUAUGGAGUGAGUGGAUUAAAGUUGAGUGGUAGUAGAAUCAAUAUCCAUGACAUCAAAGGUUCCAAAUACUCACCGGCUUCGUUAGUAACAAGUGUAUCUGAAUUAUCAUACGGAAACAACAAAAAUUAUCCAAAUAUUCGUUUUCUGGCGGUAUAGCAGUGUCGGGUUCAUCAAGAGAUACUGAAUUAUGUUCAUCUAGAGCGUUCUGGUCCUCCUGCGACAUGCCGACAUCUAGGUUUUGCGGGACAAAGCUAGAAGUUAACGCCGGGAACACGAGAUCAUGCCGUCAAACUUGAAUAUUGUCUGCCAAAGGCUGGAACAGUCAGCUUGAGCUUGAGACCGCACUCAGCGAUGUUUUUCUGGGGCCAAAGAUCCAUGCUCUCAUUGCUUCCAGAACCAUUGCUUCUCCAUGUUUGAUCGAAAUUAUGUGAGUGUCGCCUCUUUCCUGAGCACGCAUGAAAACUGAACCACAGCAAUGUGAAACGUGUUGUACCCUAUCAGCACUUCUAAGUAAGCUAAGUUGAGUAUAAAAUACCAGCUAGGUCAUUGUAGUAUAGUGGUGAGUAUUCCCGCCUGUCACGCGGGUGACCCGGGUUCGAUCCCUGGCAACGGCCCUCCUUCCUGGCCUGAACAACGGUGGAGGCCUGCUGAGAGCUCGCCUGGCCCGUCCGGGUCUAUUUACCGUAUGCACCCUGGAAAAGUAACAUGUUCGCUCUAGAGCCCUGCCCGAACCAACCAAUCCUCUUUGUAAAACCCUGGCGUGUAUGCAGGAACAGGAGGAUUAGACCGUUUCUUGAGAGAACAGCCUUAGUUUGUACCUAGUGGUUUUGGUGUGGGUGCCCGAACAAGCCUAUGUAUGCAUUGCGCUUGAUCCUCUUGUAAAUCUCCUUUUGCUCUUCUAUCAAAAUAUGAUACAUCAUUGCCGUACUCUAAAAAAAAACUGGCGUGUAUUUAAGACCUACAUGUAUGCAAUUAUUGAUUAGAGAAGAAGAAGGGCACCCGUUUUGUGGCAUCUUGAAAAGCAACAGCAGCCAUGGUGCCUAGAAACAUUCUCACUCCUACCCUAAAACCAUUUUAGAGCAUUAAAAAUUUACAUCAUCUGUUGGAAGAUUCUCUUAUGCACAGUCAGAUAUCUAUCGGCGCUGCAGUGUGCCGCUAGUUGCUGGCGGACAUGGCGUGCACGGCGGUUGUUAUGUCAUAAAACAAAUUUCACCUUUAGGUUUCUCUGGAUUUUUCUUGAGAUUUAUCUUUUUUCUGUUUUCUUCUCUGGAUUUAAUUCUAGAAAAAAAUUCACCUUUUUUUCUUGGCCCAAUGUUGUCAAAGUUAAAUCUGGCAUAUCUCUCGGUAGGGUAUCCUAGAUAUACGACAAGUUCAAGGGCUCAAGGCUUUGUACAUGACAGUUACAAUUAGGCUGAUCUGAUGAAUCUAAAGUACAGCGUCAUAAAAGUAAUAUGAUCACUGAAAAUUUGUGGACGAUUCAGACAAGCCUUGAGCCCUUGUCUAUACUUGCUAUCAUCACUAACUGUACCAGCAUGAUUACUCCCUAAUUAUUACUCUCUCCGUCCCAUGACGCUUUUAUAUUAUGUUCAGUGCUCAACACUAAGUGGGAUUUUAGCCUUGUUAUUACAAGGGUGGCUCCUAAUUACGCGCUACAACCUGACGAAGACCAGUUGUUUUCCCUUAGACAUGCAGCUCCUGACUGAGCUGGCCAUUGUAGAGAUCUUGCCACGAGUCGGCUUAUUGUAGUGACUCGAUACUGCAACGGUUUGGUACUGUAGUGCUUACUAGGUUUUUUUACUUUCUCUUUUAAUUCUUUUUAGAAAAAACAAGAAAUGAACAUUUUUUUGGAACUUUCAAACAUUUUUUGAAACGUGAUGAUCUUCCUUAAAAUUUCAAACAUUUUUUGAAUUUUCAAAUAUUUAAAAAACAAACUUGUUUUUAAUUUGAAACAUCUUAAAAAAAUUGAACAAUAUUGAAAUUGCAAACAAAUUUCUAAAGUUUUUGAACAUUUUUUAAAAUUCCAAAUAAUAAAAAAUCUAAACGUACUUGAAAAUAAAAACCAGGAAACAUGUAAAGAAAAAAGGGGCCGGACUAUAUUUGCUGGCCAAAAACCUCCUAGAAAGUUCUGAAAACUAGAUAGUACAAUAUAUUUGCUCUUAGAUGGGCCGGCCGAAUAGAUAUCACGAUGUUAAUCUUCAUGUGCGUUUGAGCGACAAUUUGAGAACCCCUCGAAAAAAAGACAAUCCGAGAGAGAGAGAGACUGUCAAAUGGGAAAUCACNNNNNNNNNNNNNNNNNNNNNNNNNNNNNNNNNNNNNNNNNNNNNNNNNNNNNNNNNNNNNNNNNNNNNNNNNNNNNNNNNNNNNNNNNNNNNNNNNNNNNNNNNNNNNNNNNNNNNNNNNNNNNNNNNNNNNNNNNNNNNNNNNNNNNNNNNNNNNNNNNNNNNNNNNNNNNNNNNNNNNNNNNNNNNNNNNNNNNNNNNNNNNNNNNNNNNNNNNNNNNNNNNNNNGACUCCCGAGGGCACUUUUCAUAGCCACGAGAGCCCUUCAGACUUUAGUGCUCCAGAUGACGCGCUCCACUAUUGUUACUUAUAUAUCACGCACCACAUUGCUUCCACACGAGAACAAAUUCCUUUUGUUUCUCCUGGAUUUUUUUUCUGUUUUCUUGGGUUUUCUUUUAUGUUUCCCUCGGGUUUUUACCCGGUUCCUCAACGGAGGUUUUCAUGCAUACUUGUGCCCUCGCGUGGAGCAUAUUGCUUCACGCAAGAGCACAGUUUGUACAUCACAUCUUAGAGCACGGGGUUAGUACUAGGUGAAACCAUGGGUUAGUUUACAUCAAAAGCAUGAAGUGUGCUUCACACAGGAGUACUGUUGUGCUUCAUGUUCUAAGCACAGGUGUGCUUCUCAUGUGCUUCACGUGAAGCACAACUUACUUCACUUGGGAAGCAUAGGUGCGUAUCCACGGGAGUAUAUGUGUGAUUUCUCGCAAGAGUAUAGUUGUGCUUCAGCUCUUGUAAAAAGCACAUGUUAUUUCUAAAGAAGUUAUCAGAACUUAUCAAAGAGAUAUUUCAUUUUAACUCUUCUAAAAAGAACCCCNNNNNNNNNNNNNNNNNNNNNNNNNNNNNNNNNNNNNNNNNNNNNNNNNNNNNNNNNNNNNNNNNNNNNNNNNNNNNNNNNNNNNNNNNNNNNNNNNNNNNNNNNNNNNNNNNNNNNNNNNNNNNNNNNNNNNNNNNNNNNNNNNNNNNNNNNNNNNNNNNNNNNNNNNNNNNNNNNNNNNNNNNNNNNNNNNNNNNNNNNNNNNNNNNNNNNNNNNNNNNNNNNNNNNNNNNNNNNNNNNNNNNNNNNNNNNNNNNNNNNNNNNNNNNNNNNNNNNNNCAGACAAGUUUGGGAAUUGGGAUGACUCAUGCAAAAGGUACCUCUAAUUAGUUUUUUAGCUAUAUAGGUAACUCUAAUUAGUGAUUCCGCAUAAGCAUAAGAACAUCUUACAAACGGCAUUGUGUCUGGACUGGGCCGGCCCGGCCUUUUAACCGGAAGAAGGGUGGGGAAAAAACUGAUAUGUACCGUACUGCUGCUGUACAUGCCGCGCUGCUCAUCGAAGAGCUGAAGAAACGGCGGCGCGCAUGGAGGCGCAGCCGCGGGAGAUCGGCGCGCAUCCUUCUUCCUCGGCGCCGGCGGCCGCUGAGUCCUCGUCCUCGUUACUGACGUAACCCCCAUACCCUUCCUCGUCCUCUACUCAUCCAUCGCUCUCUGUUUUCCUCGUCAAAUUCGUUCGCGGAAAGAGUAGACAGAUUUCAGGGCGGUUAGUUAUUUCUGCGUCCCAUCCCCUUUUCCGUUCAUCUGUGAAUCUUGCAUCAGAUCCACCUACGUCAGUAAGAUUAAUUAGGUAGAUUGAUUCUGCUUAUUCUGGAGAAGAAAAACAAUCCAGAUUGAGACGGCCCCUGCUAAGUCUAGAUCUUCAAUGUUGAUUUUGCUGAUUCCAAUGCAGAUUUUUGUUUUCCCUGCUCUACAUCUACAGCAUUGCAGUUAAGAAUGUGCCACUGAUUUGCCAGGCCUGUAUCAGUGUGCUGGGAGAAUCAUAUUUGUUUUGCCUGUCAUUUUUUUGGCCUGAUUCAGUGUGCAGAAAGUUCCCAUGUAGUUCAGUUUGAUAACUAGGCGCUGUCAAUGAGUAUCUAGCACUCGGCACUUGCCACGUAUUAGUUUGAGAAACAGGCGAUUGUGGUGUGUAGUUCAGUGGGCACAAAGAUUUAUAUGAAACUUCAGCAACCCGUCUAUCUACCACGUAUAGCUCCCCCGUAGAACUGAAAUUUGGUGCCCGCGUAGUUGUUAAUCUUAUUCUGAACUUCUCAGGGCCAACACCUCAGUAUAAUAUGUACCUUUGUUUAGCUCAGGUCAUGUUUUCUAGAAUCUUGGUAGCUCCUAUUCUUUUUCAUACAAUUAUAUCUUGCUUUGCAUGCCUAAUCUUUUGUCCUGACUUUGUUACAUCCAACAGGGAGAGCUCUGCCAUGCGAAUCAGGGCUAAGAGAACCUGCCAUGCCCCUGCCUCCUCCGUCUUGGCCACAUCCGGGCCACGAGGAUGGGCAGAGCUCCAGGAAGAUCUGCUUCAAUGUGUAGUCGCUCUCCUCGGCUCCUCCCGCGACCUCCUCGCCUUCGGUGCCACCUGUCGUCCUUGGCGUGAUCUGUUCUCAGCGCACACGUCCUCUUUGCAGCCUCUCCUCCUCUACCCAAGUACCGACAGGCAACAAUCUCUGUGUACUUGGAAAUUGGCUGAUCCUGCUGCCACCCCAUCCUAUCCCAGUUUGCUUUCCUUGAGUGACCUCAGAGGCAUGCUCUUUCUUUGCUGCUCCUACGGUCACCUCAUCUUCUGCGACCGCGACCGGUUCUGCAUUGUUAAUGCGUUCAGUGGCGCUAAGGUUGUGCCUCCUUGCCUCAAGUCAGAUCACUUCACUCGCAUUAGCUUUGCCACCUUGACUGCCCCGGUUGCAUCUACUGACUCACAUCUCCUUGUCGGCAGUGGAGCCUAUCUGUUCCAGUGGCGCAUCGGGGGCGACUCUUGGUUGGAACACUAUUCUAAAGUUCUUUUUCUUAAGAGUGAACAAAUUGUGGCACGGAAGGGGAAAACAUACGCCCUAGGGUCUUUCGGGUCCUUCUGCAUCAUACAAUUAUCACCCAGGCUCUUAAUUCAGAAAUUUGAAGUUGUACUUGAGAAAGAUAGAACCGAAGAUCACUAUUGGACAAAUCAAAAAACAUGGCUUGUGGUGUGUGGUGUUGCGCUUCUCUUGAUCAAACUUGAGGCAGGAGGAAAGAUAUCCUCGGACGCCAUCCAGUUCAUGGCCUUCAAGCUAGAGUCAUUGGACGCCAUGACCAAGAAGGCAACAUGGGUGAAGGUGUACAGGCUGGAUCACUGGGCCAUCUUUGUUAGCCCUGACAUGCGAUGUGAGGCAUUGCCAUGCAUGAACCCGGAGAGAUGGGGAGGGAGGAGUAACCACAUAUACUUCCCAAGUUAUCAGUCUGAAAAACCUUGGGCUGCAGUCCAACUAUGGCAACAAUGUAACGACUAUUGGACACGUUUGCAGCUCAGGAACACCGGAAGCUGGGACCGCAGAUUGGAGUCAACCUGGGUCGUUCCCAGCACGUUUCCUCGCUCUGGUCAGCGAUGAUCUUAGGGGCAAUCGUGCGUGCAGCUGGUGAUUGGCUUCUGAUAUAACUUACGUGGGAGAAUUCUACUCCCUCUGAACGUCCUAUAUUACUUUAGAGAUGGAGUACCAUUUUGCAAUUGCAAGGCGAAUAGUUGACUAAAUGUUCUUGAAUGCUUCCUAAGUUACUCGUCUUGCACUUUUUUUGUGUGGCAAUAACAAGGGACUCUUAAUUAUGGUUUAUUUCUCAUUUACUACUACCUCUGUUCCUAAAUAUAAGUCUUUCUAGAGAUUCCAAUAGGGAUUAGAUACGGAACAAAAUGAGUGGAUCGACACUCUAAAAUAUGUAUAUAUACAUCCGUCUGUAGUCCGUGUUGAAAUCUCUAAAAAGACUUAUAUUUAGAAACGGAGGGAGUAGAAAUUAUGGCGUUACUUUUUUGUACAUGGGCCACUUGAUAUAUAACAUGGGCUAGGCCUGCAACUUUCUUCAUACUAGAUACCUUCUUUUUAGACAAUCUUCAUAUUAGAUACCUAAAGGUGGUCAUCUAGCCUGGGGCUGGGCCCAAAAUGCAAAUUCAUACUGCCUACCAAGGUGGGCUGGGCCCAAAAUGUAAAUUCAUACUGCCUGCUAAGGUGUUUAUCUACUCAUUAUUUCAUCCAGAAAGCUAUAAGCCUACUCCCAUUCUUCAUCUUUUCAUACUAGUACUAGAAACCUAUGGUGUUUAUCCUUAUGUCAGUAAGAUUUUCUAUAACCAUUUGAUCCUAAUUCGCCGUCGGAUAUCAGCUGUUGAAUAACUGAUCAGAUCUUAUCAUCUUUAAAGAAAUGGAUCACAAACACACACACACACACACACACGCACACGCGCGCACACACAUGACAGGAAUAAAGACUGGUCUAGCUCAUCACCAUCAUCUUUUUGUGCUUUCACGUGAAUGAAUUGUGCACUCUCUCGCACACAUAGACAAACCUCUCUUACUCCAUGAGCAUCUCCAUCACACAUACGCACUCCAUCUAUUUCUCGUCCUCUCUCUAGGUUAGAAUUGUCUCUCUACCUCGCCCUCUAAGUCUCUCACAAAAACAUACACGCUCUCUCCGUCAAACACACGCACCCCUUUCCCCUCCUCUCUCUAGGUUAGAAUCAUCUCUCUACCUCGCCGUGUAAGUCUCUCUCACAAAAACACACACGCUCUCUCCGUUAAACACACGCACCCCUCGCCCCCCCACCUCAUGUCUCUAAGUAUAACUCUGUCUUGCACACAUUCCUGAGGUUAACUGGAUUCCCCGGAACCACAAGAAUCCUUAGAAUGGGAUUCACACGACAGGAAUAAGAACUGUCUAGCUCAUCACCAUCAUCUUUUUGUGCUUACGAACCUCUUGCUUUCCCUCUAUAGCAUGCCCUCAAGGCCUCAACAUCUCGAUGGCAUCAAGGAAGACAAAAAGACACAACAACACCACAGGCAUGGCGGGCACGGCGUCUAUAUGAAACUCAUGUUUGACUCGGCAGGUGCAGCACCCAUGUCGCCAUAGAUUGGACAAGUUUCAUAAACACCUUGAUGAAAAAGGUCUAGCAAAUAACAAUUUUCUGAGUUUCUUGCACCAACUAGUAUCUUGAAAUAUUGACCUGUUUGUGGAGGGUGAGCAAUUUACUUGUAUUUCAAUAGUAUGUAGAUAUGUAUAUAGCUUCUCAUCGUCAUUCGGCCCCUGUAAAUUUCUCUUCUUAAUUUCUCUUGUGGUGGUACAUAAAAAGUUUUAGCUACCAGCAUAUGACAUACACUCAACUUCUCUUCCUUUAUGUAAAUGUAAAGUAAAUAAAAGAGCUACUUAUCCUAAUGAAAAACUAUUUUAGGGUCACAUCUGGUGAGAAAAAAAUUCUUCCUACAUGGCAACAAGACAGACUUCACAACCAAAUGGGUGCAAAUCUCCAAAAGGCCAUAGAAUUUGUGCAGUCUCCACAUAUGAAAAGGAUAUAUAUGAUCAGAUGAACAUGGAUUGAAAUUUGGCACACAAUAAUAGUUUUGGCUUUAUACAGCCUUGUCACCCCAGUAUUUUAAAAUUUUCCUGUGUUGCUUUUCUUAUCUACAAAAGAUAAGGCUGCUGCAUGUGCUUGCAUAAUCUAUCUGUACAUGACGACACCGUUGAUCAGAUAAAUGGACUUUUGUUGUGGAUGUCCUUGCUUCCUUUCUGUGCAUGACGACACCGUUGGCACUUGCACUUCUAGAAAAGAUAUCAUGUGUACUUUCCCCUACUAUUCAGAUUGAAAGCAUACAGGUUGUACAACAAGCCAACAAAUUUCAACCAUAUUCUUUUACUCCAUUACUACUCAUACUGCAAAAGAAAACUUCGUGCACAACAGUCCCACAGCUAGUAACUAUCUGGAGAGGAAAAGAAGAACAUGAUACUAGUAUAUUAUAUGUUUACAUAUAUUGGUACUCAAUUAGUCACUUGGAGGUUGAAGUUACUACCUCGAUUUUCUUUUCAGUCAUCAUUUUUGGAAUGAUUCAGGUAUACAGUUAUGACCACUAUUUUUUGCACUUACAUGUUUUUGAAAAUUAUUAUAGACAUAAUGAGAUGGAAUUAUUCAUCACGAUAACUCCAAUACCAGACCUGUCAAUUCCUGCUUUUAUAUUAUUCAGUUAGCCACUAGGUUUUGUAACUCCCAUGGUUUCUUGGCUUUGCAAAUGUAUUAUGUACAAGAAUAUUUAUCUAUAUUAUCUCCAGGAAGCGAUCAUCCUGCACUAGCUCUACGGGGAUUAGUCGACUUCUUAUGUAGCAGCUUGGUUGACAUUAAUUCUGUGACUGGACAGGAAAGCACAUUCUGAAUAUGUCAACAUUGUUUCAAAUCCGGCAACUCUUUAUAUUGCUCAUACAUGUUUGUGGUUUUGUCCUCUUUGAUCUGGUCUCUCUUCAUAUGUUCCUUGGGCCGCUCUUUAUUUCUCCUUUCAUGUUCUGAAUUUUUUUGUUUUCAUGGAGGGCAUACAAUAGAGUGCUGGUUCAUUCCAGUAAGAUGCUGCUGAGAUUUCAUCUAUCGUGUAAAACAUGCAAUUUUAUUUCGAGGACAGCUUUAUUCAGGAGCAGAUGUUUGUUAUUUCCAAGUUGCAAUAGUACUGGCAACACACGAUGAUGCAUGGGCCUUGUAUUACCGCUUCACCGAUCAACUGAACACUGACCGAUCUUGCUAGCGCAUCACAGAUUUUGGCAGCCACCACUAGCACAGGUAGUGGCCACAGGCAUCCUGUAGGGGGUGGAGUGAUGUGAUGACCCACAAGUAUAGGGGAUCUAUCGUAAUCCUUUCGAUAAAUAAGAGUGUCGAAUCCAACAAGGAGCAGAAGGAAAUGACAAACAUUUUUCAGUAAGGUAUUCUCUGCAAGCACUGAAAUUAUCGGUAACAGAUAGUUUUGUGAUAAGGUAAUUCGUAACAGGUAACAAGUAACAAAAGUAAACAGGGUGCAGCAAGGUGGCCCAAUCCUUUUCGUAGCAAAGGACAAGCCUGGACAAACUCUUAUAUAAAGGAAAGUGCUCCCGAGGACACAUGGGAAUUAUCGUCAAGCUAGUUUUUAUCACACACAUAUGAUUCGCAUUCGUUACUUUGAUAAUUUGAUAUGUGGUUAGACCGGUGCUUGGGUACUGCCCUUCCUUGGACAAGCAUCCCACUUAUGAUUAACCCCUCUUGUAAGCAUACGCAACUACAAAAGAAGUAUUAAGGUAAAUCUAACCAUAGUAUGAAACAUGUGGAUCCAAAUCAGCCCCUUACGAAGCAACGCAUAAACUAGGGUUUAAACUUCUGUUACUCUAGCAACCCAUCAUCUACUUAUUAUUUCUCAAUACCUUCCCCUAGGCCCAAAUAAUGGUGAAGUAUCAUGUAGUCAACGUUCACAUAACACCACCAGAGGAAAGACAACAUACAUCUCAUGAAAAUAUCGAACGAAUACCAAAUUCACAUGACUACUUAUAGCAAGACUUCUCACAUGUCCUCAGGAACAAACGUAACUACUCACAAAUCAUAUUCAUGUUCAUAAUCAGAGGGGUAUUAAUAUGCAUAAAGGAUCUGAAUAUAUAAUCUUCCACCGAAUAAACCAACUAGCAUCAACUACAAGGAGUAAUCAACACUACUAGCAACCCACAUGUACCAAUCUGAGGUUUUGAGACAAAGAUCGGAUACAAGAGAUGAACUAGGGUUUGAGAGAAGAUGGUGCUGGUGAAGAUGUUGAUGGAGAUUGACCCCCUCCCGAUGAGAGGAUCGAUGGUGAUGGUUUCCCCCUUCCGGAGGGAUGUUUCCCCGGCAGAACAGCUCCGCCGGAGCCCUAGAUUGGUUCCGCCAAGGUUCCGCCUCGAGACGGCGGCGCUUCGUCCCAAGAGCUUCCUUCUUAUUUUUUCCAGGGCGAAAGACUUCAUAUAUUAAAAGAUGGGCACCGUAGGCCUGCCAGGGGGCCCACGAGGCAGGGGGCGUCCCCCACCCUCGUGGAUGGUGGGUGGCCCCCUCUGGUGCUUUCUUCGCGCAAUAUUUUUUAUAUAUUCCAAAACUGACUUCCAUGGAGUUUCAGGAUUUUUGGAGUUGUGCAGAAUAUGUCUCUAAUAUUUUCUCCUUUUCUAGCCCAGAAUUCCAGCUGCCGGCAUUCUCCUCUUCGUGCAAACCUUAUAAAAUAAGAGAGAAAAUGAAUAAGUAUUGUGACAUAAUGUGUAAUAAUAGUCCAUAAUGCAAUAAAUAUCGAUAUAAAAGCAUGAUGCAAAAUGGACGUAUCAACUCCCGCAAGCUUAGACCUCGCUUGUCCUCAAGCGGAAGCCGAUAUCGAAAAGUAUGCCCACAUGUUUAGAGAUAGAUGUGUUGAUAAAAUAAAAUACGGACAUGAGGGCAUCAUGGUCAUUCUUAGAACAACAACAUACAUAUAUAUAUAUAUAUAUAUAUAUAUAUAUACGGUCGCGCUAUUCGUCACCCUGGGUGAGGAAUAGUUAUUCUUCACCCCUUUCUAUUUUACCAUCUAUGCACCGUAAUUUUACGUUUCGUAAGUUUUGUCUUAUUUCCGACAUAAAAAGAGAACGUAAGAAAAUAUAUAAUCGUCGUAAAAAAUAUUUUAUAUUAUGUAAAAUUACAAACGUAAAAACAUAGUGUAAAAUACACAUAAAUUGCAAAUUUUCUUGUCUUAUGACCUAUAUUUUUUUUCUUGUGCCAAAUUUUACGUAGUAAAUCAAUAUGAAUGUAACUAUUUGAAUUCCNNNNNNNNNNNNNNNNNNNNNNNNNNNNNNNNNNNNNNNNNNNNNNNNNNNNNNNNNNNNNNNNNNNNNNNNNNNNNNNNNNNNNNNNNNNNNNNNNNNNNNNNNNNNNNNNNNNNNNNNNNNNNNNNNNNNNNNNNNNNNNNNNNNNNNNNNNNNNNNNNNNNNNNNNNNNNNNNNNNNNNNNNNNNNNNNNNNNNNNNNNNNNNNNNNNNNNNNNNNNNNNNNNNNNNNNNNNNNNNNNNNNNNNNNNNNNNNNNNNNNNNNNNNNNNNNNNNNNNNNNNNNNNNNNNNNNNNNNNNNNNNNNNNNNNNNNNNNNNNNNNNNNNNNNNNNNNNNNNNNNNNNNNNNNNNNNNNNNNNNNNNNNNNNNNNNNNNNNNNNNNNNNNNNNNNNNNNNNNNNNNNNNNNNNNNNNNNNNNNNNNNNNNNNNNNNNNNNNNNNNNNNNNNNNNNNNNNNNNNNNNNNNNNNNNNNNNNNNNNNNNNNNNNNNNNNNNNNNNNNNNNNNNNNNNNNNNNNNNNNNNNNNNNNNNNNNNNNNNNNNNNNNNNNNNNNNNNNNNNNNNNNNNNNNNNNNNNNNNNNNNNNNNNNNNNNNNNNNNNNNNNNNNNNNNNNNNNNNNNNNNNNNNNNNNNNNNNNNNNNNNNNNNNNNNNNNNNNNNNNNNNNNNNNNNNNNNNNNNNNNNNNNNNNNNNNNNNNNNNNNNNNNNNNNNNNNNNNNNNNNNNNNNNNNNNNNNNNNNNNUCUUUCCAACACAAUGUUCUUGCCGAAGGAUAAAAUGUAAAAAGAAAAGGUGAAGAUCACCAUGACUCUUGUAUAAGAUAUGAGACAAAAAUAAAAGGCAGGCCCUUCGCAGAGGGAAGCAGAGGUUGUCAUGUGCUUUUAUGGUUGGAUGCACAAAAUCUUAAUGCGAAAGAAUUUCACUUUAUAUUGCCACUUGUGAUAGGGACCUUUAUUAUGCAGUCUGUCGCUUUUAUUUCUUUCAUAUGACAAGAUCGUAUAAAGCUUGUUUUCUCCACACUAAUAGAUCAUACAUAUUUUUUCGUGGAAUUGUCACGGCAGAUGUCCUAGCGAAAGGACUUAGUCGUAGGGUCAUCGCAACUAGGAAGCUUAAAGGGGUUAAUCGGGACAAAGGACACGAGAGGUUUUAUACUAGUUUGGCCCCUUACGAUGAAGGUAAAAGCCUACGUCUAGUUGUGUUUAGAAUUGCUAGGGUUUCGAAGACCAGGGAGCGAAUAUGCUUGUCCUGGCUUCGAGUUGUUGUAUCUUGCCCUAAGCUGCCGCCAGGUCGUCCCCUUAUAUACAUGGGUUGACGUCUGGCGGCCUACAGAGUCCCGGCCGACUCAUAAAACGUGUCCGGCUCGGUGACUUUUUUUACAUGCCUUUCUUUACAAGUCUUUCCUUACAUACGGCGGUUUACAAUAUUGGGCCUUAAGCCGCCUCUGGGCUUAGGCCUUCUAUAAGUCCUAAUAAACUAUCGCCUUGAAUGUUACUGGGCUUCUUUUGUAACCCGCCAUUGGGGCUGACUCGGCCCCUCCUGGGCGGGUAUCACCUGGUAGCUAUAUUCCCAACAUUAGGCCCCAGGUUGACUUUGAACUUUGUUCUUUGUCAAUCUUCAAUACGAUAAAAUCCAUCUCUGUAAAAAUUCCGUAACUCGCCGUGACGUCAUCUUCUGAAAACACAAAAAUUGUUAUGACGCCAUCCUCAACGGAUCUUUAUCUUUUAAUGUCUUCCAAGAAUCGAGACGUCCGUUUAGUUGGAUAGUCAUUAUUUGGGUCUUCCUCGAUUUCCGCGCCCGCCUGUUUGCUUACCCCCUUAUAAAUAGGCACGCCUCGGUCUUUCUCAUUCUGCUCUCUUCUUCGUCUUCUUCCUCUCACAACUCUCCCGCUGCUCGAGCUCCGCCGCCGUCGCGCUUCACCUCUGUCUCCAUAGACCUUGGCCGCUGCAUCAACCCGAAUCGGUCCAGAGAACGGCGGCGACCUCCGCGGAAGAUCCGUGGUUGUAAGUGCUCACCUUCCUGCUCCUCAGAUCCGCAUUAGGGUUUCUGGGUGUCUGCGUGUUCUUCAUAGUUCAUCACGGUUUCCUUGUAGUUCUUCCACUACAGUUUCUUCUUGAUCCAAAGGGAACAUGUGUUCAUGCGGUAAUUGUUUUGUGCCCAUCCUCAAUACCAACAAAUCCCUUUCUCUGGUUCAAAGGCCUCAUUAGAGCUCAUGAACUCAUUUGUGCUAGAUUUUUAGGUCUAGAAUAUUUUCCAUUUUGAACGACCCUUUGAUCCAGAAUAAUAUCAAGAAAUUAGGAAACUUGUUUGCUUCAACACUUAGCCAAUUCUGUCUCUGAUUUCCUCCAAAUGUCUAUAGUCAUGGUGGCUUACGACGCCGGCUUACUUUUCCCUUAUAUGACAUUAGCCCUUACUUAAGCCGCCAUUACCUAUUUGCACCAUCAUCAUUUAACUGUAAUUUCACCAUUGAAUUGAACCGGUACGUUACUUUCUUUUCAGUUCGUCUUUUGAUCAUCAUGCCGUCAAAAGCACCGACCUUCUGCAACUAGGUCCCUUCCACAGUAACUGAGGACAAUUUGCACCAUAGGUUUUUUGCCAGGGAAGAAUGUUAUGUCUUACCGUGCACCUGAUCGGACGAGGAACGGCCCAAUCCCAAAGAUUGUGAAGUCAUUGUCUUUUCUGACCACAUGNNNNNNNNNNNNNNNNNNNNNNNNNNNNNNNNNNNNNNNNNNNNNNNNNNNNNNNNNNNNNNNNNNNNNNNNNNNNNNNNNNNNNNNNNNNNNNNNNNNNNNNNNNNNNNNNNNNNNNNNNNNNNNNNNNNNNNNNNNNNNNNNNNNNNNNNNNNNNNNNNNNNNNNNNNNNNNNNNNNNNNNNNNNNNNNNNNNNNNNNNNNNNNNNNNNNNNNNNNNNNNNNNNNNNNNNNNNNNNNNNNNNNNNNNNNNNNNNNNNNNNNNNNNNNNNNNNNNNNNNNNNNNNNNNNNNNNNNNNNNNNNNNNNNNNNNNNUAGAGACGUCCUUCACCUUUUCAAACUUCACCCUCAAGAUCUUGGGCCCAAUUCCAUAUCCAAUAUCUGCAAUUUCCAAGUUCUCUGUGAGGUGUAUCUUCAAGAAGAACUGAUUGUGGAGCUCUUUAGAGAGUAUUUUUAUCUGAACCGCCAGAAUGAGUGUACCAAUGGCCCUAGCUUAGAACUUGGAGGCAUCUCAAUUCAACGCCGACAGGGCGUGGUCUUCCCCCUAAUAGUCUUGCCAAGUCAUCCCAAAGACUGGAAUCAGACCUAGUUCUACUGUCAAGACACUUCACCAGCCAAUGAGAAACCACUGUCGGGUUAUCGCGCGGAUUGUCUAGAUUCCAAAUUUUCGCUCCCUGACAAGCUUACUGCUGAUGAAUGAAAGGAGCUUAUUCCAUCAAUUAAAAGGAUUAACACCUUACUGGGGAACGGCUUAACUGGAGUUGAUUUGACUCAUUGCUGGGUCGCGUUGCGGGUCAUCCCUCUAAGCCGCCGAUCCAAAUUGAUGUAUGAAUAUGGUGGAGGCCUAGAUGACUCUCUUCGUCACAGCUCCGUUCAACUAACUGAAGAGGAUAUUGUUUCAAUGUCGACCCUUCUGGUGAACGGCAAAUAUGAAGACUGCAGUAAAGUCGGGUUAAACCCCUUCUGCAAACUUAACCCGGCGCCAGAAGUAAAGAACCCCUGACCACUUCCUCUUUGUAUUUUCGUCAGCAGUUUUAAAUACUUGCCUGACCUUCCAUCUUGUUUUACUUGUUUACAGGCUAAAUCUGACUUCUGGAAAGCCAAGUAUGAUCAUGAAGCCGCCAAGAAGGCCAGAGCCGCCACCAUAGCUGCCAAGAAGACGACCCGGAGGUCCAAGAAGAAAAAGAGCACUGCUGAGGACCUGUUGAAACUUGACGAUGAUUCUGAGUUGGAGGUAGCCCUUGACUCCCUUGGCUAGUUUUUUAAUAACCUUAUUAACACUAGCUAUUGCCAGGAUGACACGGGGGCCAGUCAGGCUGUAGAAGAAGAGGUAACUAUUUCCUCCCACUCAGCCCAUUUGCUAAGACAGAAAGUUCGACUGGUAACCCGGAAAGUAAGGUUUUCACACCCUUUGGCUUAUUUAGACCCUCAUUUUCUUUUGAAAAAGCAGCAACAUGAAAGUCGUCGUCAGGCCUGGAACGACGAUGAACCGCCUUCCAUUCCUCAACAAACUCCUAAAAAACGCCAAAAUGAGGUCUCUUUUAUCUUCAUCUUUUACUUUCCAUUAACGGAUCUGCUCCCUUGCAUUACUAACUUUAUUUUAUCUUUGAAGGAGGUGUCUCGCUCUUCUGGCGAUUCGUCUCAGACUCAAUUUCCGGCUUUCAAGACUACCCCUGGGUAAGGAAAAAAAUCAUCUUUCCUCUGUGUCUUUCAAACUGCAUCAUUGUACUAACUGUCUCAUAACAUCUUUCUUAGUGAUCAAGCCAAGUCCAAGAAGGCCAUGGUGACUAAACCGGCGGAAGACCCGUCAGUCCUUGCUCCUGAACCGGCCAUGCCAACUUCUCCCCCUCGAACUGAAGCACCAGAAGACCCGGCUGCUGACACUCAAUUAGACCCUCCUGAGCCGUCAGCUGAUGACACCAUUGUUAACCCCUCUACUACCGGACCAUCCAGCUCGGCUAACCCGCCAUCAUCUUCUGAUCAUGACGUUCUGAUCACUAGAAGCUGUUUUGUUGAGCCGGGGACUCCCACCGUGUUAGCUCGACACACCGCUAAACAAUAAGCCCUGGAAAGACAGAAAGUGCAUUUUGAUAUCUCCCACUACAGUCAUCUGAAUGCUAAUGACAUACUAUCCAGCUAUCUCAGCCAUGUUCAUUCCAGUCGUGAGUCAGAGAUUGAGAUGGUCAAGCAACUUCAGCUGAAAUAUGAGGUAUGUAUGUUCUCCGGUUUACUUAUACUCUGACAGCCCCCAAGUCUUCAGAUGAUGAUUCUGAAUGAUUUGGAGACUUUAUGAUAUAGAUGGAUACUUUAUCUCUAAGUCUUUAAAAAAGUCCAACAGAAUAGUGCAAACUUCACAUGUAGUCCCCAAGGGCCGGUUCACUUGAUCAUAAAUGAGCCGGUACUUACUUUCAUAAUUGUCUUGUGUCAGUCCCAAUAAAUAUUUUAAUCCGGUUUAAUCUUGAAAGACUUUCUAAAUGUCAUACAUUAGCCCCCAAGUGGCAAGUGCAGUUACUUUGUAAGGUACUUGGGACUUGAAAUAUAUAAAAUUCAUAAGAAAUUGUUUUAACAGACAUUAGCCCCAAGUGUCAAGUGGUAUUGCAGUGCAAAGUACUUGAGACUUGAAUCUUUAUAACUUUUAGUUUAAGCCUUGACACACCUGUUUAUGUUUUGUAGAACGCCCUAUCUGAAUUGGGCUCCCAAUUAACUGAUGCAAAGACCCGGCUGGCGGAUCAAGAGGCAGAAAUCAAGUCUGCUGAUUCUAAACUUCAAUUGAGUCUUGCUGAGACGGCAAAAUUGAAAACCAGCUUGACGGCCAAAAAGAAAUCCUGGGCCGAAGAAAAGACACUGCUGACACAACACGCUGAAAAAGCUGAAGCGGCUCUUGAGGAGGUUACCACGGAGCUUACCGGCUUAAAGAACCGGGUGUCUCAAAUGGUUUCCGCCAUCUUUGGUGCCAUCUGUACUGAUCUUUUGUACCUUCUUUUGACCCAGAAUAUAAACCGCCUGCUGACCCCUUGUUUAAAAAAUAUGUGCAGGCCCGCGAAGCAAAAAUCUGAGCCAAGAUAAUGUGACUAAACUAAAGGCGGUCUAUACCUUAGUGGAACAGUUGUACACUGGCGCUCAACGAGCACUUGCUGCUAUCUCUCCUGCCAACCAAGGACCCAACCGGCUCAGUGAUGUCUUGAAAAAAUUGUCAAUCUUACCCGCCAGGUUUCAAGAAUUCAAACGAUCCUGUGCCAAAGCCGGAGCCUUGACUGCCCUGAGCCGCUCCAAAGCCUGGGUGCCAGAUCUAGACCCGGCGGAUGUAGCCAGGGGGUACCCUACCGUGAAGGAAGACGGGUCUCUAUUUGAGCAGGAUGACUUUGUUACUUGCGUGAGGGGAGUUCUACCUCAGGCUACCAUUCUUGGAGAUGAGACCAACAUUGACAAAUAUCAGCCGGGUUUUGAUUUGGAGAAUAAGAAGAUGGCGACUCCCUCUUACAAGGUGACAGACCUUAUCCCGCCGGUUCGUCAACAUAUGUUUGCUCCAGAAGUUGAUCCGGCUAGCCUGAUUGAUGAUGAAGCAGAGUUCAUUGCCGUGAACGGCUUUGACUGGUCCAAUCCCAGCUUUCGAUUAACAGAAGGAGGUGAACCGGCGAGGGAAGAGUGAGAACCAUCUUUGUGGGCUCUUUAAAGCCUUGUAAUAGAUUUAGCUUGAAACAACUGCAUAUUUCGCCUAUGCCAUCGUGCAUAAGAUGCCGUGUGUGACUCUUUGCUUCCUGAUGUCAAUAUAUGUGUCGGUGUCAAAACCGGUGGAUCUUGGGUAGGUGGUCCCGAACUGUGCGUCUAGGCCGGAUGGUAACAGGAGACAAGGGACACGAAGUUUUACCCAGGUUCGGGCCCUCUCGAUGGAGGUAAAACCCUACGUCCUGCUUGAUUAAUAUUGAUGAUAUGGGUAGUACAAGAGUAGAUCUACCACGAGAUCGAGGAGGCUAAACCCUAGAAGCUAGCCUAUGGUAUGAUUGUUGAUGUGUAUGUUGUCCUACGGACUAAAACCCUCCUGUUUAUAUAGACACCGGGUAGGGUUAGGGUUACAUAGAGUCGGUUACAAUGGUAGGAGAUCUGCAUAUCCGUAUCGCCAAGCUUGCCUUCUACGCCAAGGAAAGUCCCUUCCGGACGCGGGACGAAGUCUUCAAUCUUGUAUCUUCAUAGUCCAGGAGUCCGGCUGAAGGUAUAGUCCGGCCAUCCGGACACCCCCUAAUCCAGGACUCCCUUAGUAGCCCCUGAACCAGGCUUCAAUGAAGACGAGUCCGGCGCGCAUAUUGUCUUCGGCAUUGCAAGGCGGGUUCCUCCUCCAAGUACUUCAUAGAAGAUUUUGAACACAAAGAUAGUGUCCGGCUCUGCAAAAUAAGUUUCCACAUAUUGCCAUAGAGAGAAUAAUAUUUACACAAAUCUAAUCUGCUGACGUAUUCCAUAGUGUGUCAUCACACUAUGGCCAAGCUUUUAUUCGAACCGUUUUACUAUCCCAUCUCAGUGCGUUAUGCGAGGCGGUUUCCUUGGCACGUCUUGUUAAAGCAGAGAUCGUGUCCCCUUAUUCUGGGAUUCUCAUCAAUACGGGCGUGGGUAACCCAACCGCGCCAUCAAUUACGGCGCUUGGAGAUAAGCGAGUUUUACUAGGCUGGUGGGGACAUAUAGUUGUGUUCACCCAUAUAAGGGGAUAAGAAUCCACCUUUUCACCUACACCUUCUUCCUCCUUCGCCUAUCCAUUCUUGUGCACUCGAGCUCCAGCGCCCAAGUCCGCACUCCCCACCUCAACCUUCUCCAGCCAUGUCCGGAGCGGGAGGCAAGUGGAUGGUCUCCUCCGUCACGGAGGGACAUAUCAAAAAGCUGAGGAAGGCCGGAUACCUGUCUAACGACAUCACGUACCGGCUCCCCAAGAAGGGGCAGCUCAUCCCCACCCCUAGGCCCCAUGAGAGGGUGGUGUUUCUCCCCCAUUUCCUCCGCGGACUGGGCUUCCCUCUCCACCCAUUUGUCCGGGGGCUCAUGUUCUACUACGGCCUGGAUUUCCACGAUCUGGCCCCGAACUUCGUCCUCAACAUCUCGGAGUUUAUCGUCGUGUGCGAGGCCUUCCUCCGCAUCCGCCCCCAUUUCGUCCUAUGGCUCAAGACCUUCAACGUCAAGCCGAAGGUGGUGAGCGGCAGCCAAGCGGAGUGCGGAGGCGCCAUGGUGGGCAAGAUGGCCAACGUCCUCUGGCUCGAGGGCUCCUUUGUGGAGACCCUGAAGGGGUGGCAAUCGGGGUGGUUUUACAUCACCGAGCCGCGCGACGCUGAAUGGGUCGCACCCCCCGAAUUCCGGUCCGGACCCCCAACGCGGCUCACGUCCUGGAAAGAUACGGGCCUGUCAUGGGGUAAAAAAGGAGAGCUAACCGGACUCUAGACAUGCGUCAAAACCCUGGUGGACAAGAAGCUCAAACUUGUCAACGUAGUCCAGGUUAUGCUCAUCCGCUUGAUCCUCCCGUGCCAACAACGGGCUUUCAACCUGUGGGAGUUCGACCCGGCGCGGCACCAAAAUCUGAACAGGCUCUUCGACACGACGUACGAAGAUGCCUGGAAGGUGCUUUUCAAGGGCGCUGAGGCUCCCGCAUCUGCUGCUGAGGAUCGCGGAUUCAGUGCGCAGUGUCACGCUCUCGCGGUAAGCUAUUUUUUCCUUUUACAGGGCAUCAGUUUUUCAUAGUUUGACUCCAUGCGGGAUCUAAACUCCCUUACCUUUGACAGGAUUGGCAGGUGACCUUCGGACAGAUCAACUGUGCGGCUCCUUUGCCCGAAGGCCCAGCGGAUGCUCGCUUGACGAAGCUGCUAGUUCCGGCACCCUAUGUGGUGCCGCAGAAGAAGGUCAAGAAGAAGGCCACGGGGACUCGAAAGAGUGCCCGAAGCCCGGAGGUGUCGGAUUCAUCAUCCGAUGAAUCCAAGACGCUCUCCUGCCGUGAAGACGAGGAGGAGGAAGAAGAGACCCCUCCCGCUCCAGCGGGGGAAGGGAAGAAAAGGAAGGCUGCCCCAACUGGGGAGGCCGAAGGGUCCAAGAAGGGGAAAACCCUUCCUCCGGACUGCUCUACCGACGCCGACAGCGGCGGAGAGGAGUGGGCGCCUAGGGCCAAGCCCCUGGCCAAAUCGUAAGCAUCUAGAUACCAGAGUAAUUUAUAGUAUUCGUUUAUUGCACAACUUUUCCUCAUGUCAAAUAUGUUUAUGCAGCCCACCCAAAGACCGGCUCGACGCGUCGUCGAGCGGCUCACUAGACUCGUAGGACGUGAACUCANNNNNNNNNNNNNNNNNNNNNNNNNNNNNNNNNNNNNNNNNNNNNNNNNNNNNNNNNNNNNNNNNNNNNNNNNNNNNNNNNNNNNNNNNNNNNNNNNNNNNNNNNNNNNNNNNNNNNNNNNNNNNNNNNNNNNNNNNNNNNNNNNNNNNNNNNNNNNNNNNNNNNNNNNNNNNNNNNNNNNNNNNNNNNNNNNNNNNNNNNNNNNNNNNNNNNNNNNNNNNNNNNNNNNNNNNNNNNNNNNNNNNNNNNNNNNNNNNNNNNCGACACCAAAGUGUUGUCCCAACAGGUUCCAAGCCGGGAGGAGGUGGUCCUGGAGGCGCCGCAAGGCGACCUCCCGGACUCCAGGAGCAAAGGGGAUGAAAGCCCCCAGGGCUCCAAGUCCGGCUCUAGGCCGGACACCGCUCCAGAACCUUUAGAGGUUCCAGAGUCCGGCGGGGGACCUGCUUCCAAGAGGAGCAAGUCCGCCGUGCCGGUGGCCCCCGUCCAACCGGAGGCGCUGGAAAAUAUGUUGGAGGCGCUCCAAGGCGCCUCCAUCUAUGAGGAGCACCGCGCUAUUAUGAGUGCGGUGGUCCAGAAGGUUUAGUCCGCCAAGAGCGGACUGACUGAAGCUUGUACUAGCCUUUUAACAGGCUUUGAGGUAAGUAUAGAAUGUGUAAAUAAUAGUAUCACAUAGACAGUAGCCCCUGAUGCUCUGUUUGGUGUUCGGGAAGAAAAGCCGAAUAGAGGAUCAAAUAGAAUUCGCAUGAGUCUAUCAAAAAUGAGUCAAUAUGCAUAUGCAGGCUUCCCUGCUUGCGUCCGCCGCACUGACUGCGGAAGUGGACAUGCUAAAGCAGAACCUCGACCGGUCUGAGCAAUAGCUCGAACGUGCCAAGAAGCAGCUUGAGGACAAUGAAGGUAAUAAAUACCUUGUUAAAAAAAUAUAUAUAAAGGUGCAAUUGCAAAGAAUGACAGGAUUAUCGUGGCUAUUGUAGGGGCCACGUCUGAAGUGGCGACUCUUAAGCAAGCGCUGGUCGAGGCCGAGAGGAGGGCGGCCUCGGAGCGCACCGAGUGGGAGAAGUAUGAGGCCGAAGUUGGCAAGGUGCGGCAAGAGCUCCAGGCUCUCAUGGAAAAGCAUGAGAGUUUGGAGCUUGACUCAAAGACGUGAGCGUCCGAGCUCGCGGUGGCUAUUGAAUAUGCCAAGUCUGCCAAGGCCGAAUCCCAGAAGACCCUCCAGGAGUUGGAUGAGGUGAAGAAGAUAGCGGCGGGUAAGGCAUUCUUUAUGCAAAGCAAACACAUAAACGUGAGUUACUUGUUACUUACCUGAAUCCGGAGCUCUCCAGGAGCGUUCGCAGAUCUUCCCCGAAGUGUAUCCGAUGCCGCCGCAUUCUAUGGAGCCGAGGAGGGCAGCUCGACGGGGAUGGUGUUCUGGUCUCAGUACGCUGAGGCCGGACACCCCGUGCCCCUGAGCGACCAGCUGAAGCAACUGGUCAAGCUCCACAAGGCGGCCGAACAGGCCAUGAAGGGCCUCAUUGUUCGGCUGUGGCCUGGAGGGGCCCUGCCUAGGAGCUAUUUCGGGCUGGUGCGGCGGUUGGUGGAGGCCUGUCCAAGGCUUGAAGUCAUCAAGCGCUCCGUCUGCAUUGAAGGUGCCCGUAGGGCCCUUGCCCAUGCUAAGGUGCACUGGGGUAAGCUGGAUGCUGAGAAGCUAGUGAAGGACGGGCCACCGCUGGGGAAAGAGCAUCGCAAGCCCGAGGAUUACUAUAAGGAUGUUCUGAAGGGUGCCCGCCUUGUGGCGGUUGAAUGUUCUAGGGAUGUAAUUUUUGAGUGAAACUUGAUCGUUUUGUCCUGUGCGCUGAAAACUUGUUUAUAUGCGCUAAGCAAUGAUGUUAGAAUUUAAAAUAUUACCUUUUGUGUGGCUGUUUAUCAAUUCUGAGAGAUGGCGAGUCGUCGGCUUCUGCCCCCGUGCCGCUACUGCUGGGGUGUUCGGGGAUAAACCUGAGCGCUCUUUUUCCCAUCUUUGGGUCCUUCGAGGGAGGCGCUCAGCCCAACGAACAAGGCAAUCGGACUAUAAUGCGUGAACACUCUCACUUAGCCAUAGAAUUCUAUAAUUUUAAAUUUCGGCGAAGCCCCUGGUAUUCUGAAGACCGAGUUCGGGGCGCUAUCCAUGCCUUGGUCGGACAGAGCCGGCUCCUCGUCCUAAGCGGCAUAAGUCUUUAGGGACUCGAAAAAACCUCUCGAACAGCGACCAGCUCUUGCUUCAUCAUGACAGUCAGUUUUAGCUUUCUCCACUGAGGUGCUCGACCCAGCUCAACCGGGGCACAAUCGCAGUGGUUCUCCUAGUGCUACCUUAGCCGAUAUAGCGGAAUGUAAGGCACCAAAACAUAGGAGCCGGGCAAACCCAACUAUUGACCCAAGACAUGAUUCGGAGCCGAUGCAUAUAGUGCUAUAAGUUUGGGGUGCCGUACUUUUUUAAAGUGUUCGGACUUCUCACACCAUAUUGAGGGGUACUAAAGCCCCUGGCAUCUUUUGGCCGUACCAACGUGUACGGGUGCAACAUGUCGUUAAGGAACAUAUAGAAAGAAAAAAGGUAAUGCAAAAAUAGACGAAAGCUAUGCAUUGUUUAUUAAAAAGGGCUGCGAUCAAAGCAAAAUGAUACAAAUAAUGCGAUAAGUGGAAGGUUGGACUAGUUAACAUGUCCGUUCUAGGGGCAAGCUGCGGAAUAGUAUGUGGAACGGGUAUACUGCUCGUGAUAGAGACCACCUGGGAGUUCUGUAGUGCGGCGUGGCUUGUCUGCUUCCCUGGUUCUUGCAUCGUUUGUGCGGCAAUUGAACUGCCGAAAAGGCCUUCCGAAGGAUGAAGUCCAGAAAGUAAGAGAAAAUUAAAAAACCGGCAGCCCCUGGUACGGUUUAAGCUGUGUUUUGGGCGUGCCGUGAUGGUGCCCCUCCCCCUGUGCCCAUGGUAUCUCUAGAGCAUAGUUAUGUAAGCGAAGUACCGGCGUCGCCUUUUUGCGAGGGUUGGGGCCGCAUUGCUACGCCUGCUCGGAUCGUGCCAGGCGGUCUUGUUGUAGGUUACUCCAGGCGCACUUGAUGAUGUCCGGUCGUUUAGUGGCUGGACUGGAGAACUGCCUGGAGAGGCUGCUUUGAACUUCCGCUGUAAGGGCUGCCGUGUGCUCCUCCGUUCGGAGGGAGCGUUCGGUGUUUCCAUUGACUGUAAUUACUCCUCGAGGGCCUGGCAUCUUGAGCUUAAGGUAUGCGUAGUGUGGUACCGCAUUGAACUUAGCGAAUGCGGUUCGCCCGAGCAGUGCGUGAUAACCACUGCGAAAUAGGACUAUGUCGAAGAUUAAUUCCGCGCUUCAGAAAUUAUCCGGAGAUCCGAAGACCACUUCAACUGUGACUAAGCCUGUACAAUUGGCCUCUACACCUGGUAUUACGCCUUUAAAGGUCGUUUUGGUGGGCUUAAUCCUCGAGGGAUCUAUGCCCAUUUUCCGCACUGUAUCCUGGUAAAGCAGGUUCAGGCUGCUGCCGCCGUCCAUGAGGACUCUAGUGAGAUGAAAUCCGUCAAUAAUUGGGUCUAGAACCAAUGCGGCGAAUCCGCCAUGACGGAUGCUAGUGGGAUGGUCCCUUCGAUCAAAGGUGAUCGGGCAGGAGGACCAUGGGUUGAACUUUGGGGCGACUGGCUCUACCGCGUAUACGUCCCUUAACGCACGCUUCCGCUCCCUUUUGGGGACAUGGGUUGCGUAUAUCAUGUUCACAGUCCGCACUUGUGGGGGAAAACCCUUCUGUCCAUUGUUGUUCGGCGGCCGGGGCUCCUCGUCGUCAUUGCUAUGCAGCCCCUUGUCUUCGUUUUUGGCGUUUAUUUUGCCUGCCUGCUUGAACACCCAACAAUCCCUGUUGGUGUGAUUGGCCGGCUUUUCAGGGGUGCCAUGUAUCUGGCACAAGUGGUCAAGGAUUUGGUCCAAACUGGACGGGCCCCUAGGAUUCCUUUUGAAUGGCUUUUUCCGCUGUCCGGAUUUAGAGCCUCUGAAUCCGGCAUUAACUGUCGUAUCCUCAGCAUUGUUGCCGUUAAUGUGGCGCUUCUGCUUGUUGUGACGCGACCUUCCACUACUGUCCCUGGUGUCCGAAUUACCAGGGCUCUUGGUCAUAUUGUUGCUACGAGCAAGCCAGCUGUCUUCUCCUGCGCAAAAGCGGUUGAUGAGUGUCGUGAGUGCUGCCAUAGAUUUCGGCUUUUCCUGUCCAAGGUGCCGGGCCAGCCACUCGUCAUGGAUAUUGUGUUUGAAGUCUACUAGGGCCUCAGCGUCCGGACAGUCGACUAUUUGAUUUUUCUUUGUUAGGAACCGUGUCUAUAAUUGCCUGGCCGAUUCCUCUGGCUGUUGAAUGACGUGACUUAGGUCAUCGGCGUCUGGGGGUCGCACAUAAGUGCCCUGGAAAUUGUUGAGGAAUGUGGCUUCCAGGUCCUCCCAACAACUGAUUGAUCCUGUUGGCAAGUUGUUAAGCCAAUGCCGAGCUGGUCCUUUAAGCUUGAGUGGGAGGUAUUUGAUGGCGUGGAAAUCAUCGCCGCGGGCCAUGUGGAUAUGAAGGAGAUAAUCCUCGAUCCAUACCGCAGGAUCUGUUGUGCCAUCAUAUGAUUCGAUGUUUACGGGUUUGAAACCCUCGGGGAUUUGAUGAUCCAUUAUUUUGUCUGUAAAGCAGAGUGGGUGUGCGGCGCCUCUGUAGUGGGAUAUAUCGUGACGUAGCUCCAAUGAGCCUUGUCUACUGUGUUUGGCCCCACCGAAUUUGUGGCCGGCGUGACGGUUAUCGUCUCGAGCCGUGGGGCGCCCACGCGAUUCGUAGAUCGAUCUUUUUUGCCUUGCCUUGUCCUCCAACAUGUCUCGAAAGUCCGGCGCAUAUUCCCGUGCCUUGGUACGAGGUGCGGCUUGUGUGGAGGGCCGAAAGGCCUCUCUGUCGCGACCACGAGGUGGUCGGUCGGCCGCAUCAAGUGCUUCCUCCUCUAAUUGGGGUAGCAACCUACGCUUUGGGUAGCUCUUGGAGGGGCGUUCGAGUUUAUGCUCUUCGGCCGCAAGGACUUCAGUCCAUCUGUCGACUAGCAAAUCUUGAUCAGCUCUAAGUUGUUGCUGUUUUUUCUUGAGGCUUCUUGCCGUGGCCAUAAGCCUGCGUUGAAAAUGCUUUUUCUCAACGGGAUCCUCUGGCACGACGAAUUCGUCGUCGUCGAGGCUUGCCUCGUCUUCGGAGGGAGGCAUAUAAUUAUCGUCCUCGACCUCUCAGCCUGCCGCUCUCUCAUGAGGGCUGGUUUCUCCAUCCUCCUGUGCUAAAUCUUGCUGGAGGGGGUUUUCUUCGGCGCUUUCCGGAGUAUUAUUAUCUCCCGUGCUGGAAUCACCGUGUUUGUUUUGGCGGGAUAUUGAGCGGCCCCGCUGACGCCGGCGCUUAGGCUGUUUCUUGGACGGGUCAUCCUCCGCUGUUCCAUCGCAAUCUCCCUCUUUUGGGGUGUCCACCAUGUAUAUGUCAUAUGACGAGGUGGCUUUCCUGGGCCUAGUAGGCGCUGGUUCUUCAUCAUCUCCUUCAUCGGCGUCCAUACCGUCGAUAUCUUCGGAGUCGAAGUCGAGCAUGUCGGUUAAGUCGUCGACAGUGGCUACAAAGUGGGUGGUGGGUGGGCUUUGAAUUUCUUCAUCGUCCGUACCCCAACCUUGCUGACCAUAGUCCGGCCAGGGCUCUCCUGAUAAAGAGAGAGACUUCAGUGACUUCAGGAUAUCGCCAAAAGGCGAGUGCUGAGUCCGGAGAGGAGUCCGGCUCCUUGGAGUCACGGGUCUCGCAGAGUACGGGGCUGGUGAUUGGCUCAAUCGCCGUUGGGGUUGCAGCCCCCGAGGUGGCGUCCAACCGCCCAUCCUCGAUCGGCGCAGUUGGCUCUGAAUUAAGGGUCGGAGCCAAUGCGGGUGCGGCCUCCAGGGCACUAUUCGGCGGCAGAGCUAGACCAUGCUUGUCGUGACAGUGCGGUGCUCUCGGUAGUGGCUCGAAUCCGUCGAAGAUCAAGUCCCCGCGGAUGUCAGCCGUGUAGUUUAAACUUCCAAAUCUGACCUGACUGCCAGGGGCGUAGCUUUCGAUCUGCUCCAGAUGGCCAAGUGAAUUGGCCCACAGUGGGAAGCCGCCGAAGAUGAAGAUCUGUCCGGGGAGGAAGGUCUCACCCUAGACUGCAUCGCUAUCGAUGAUCGUAGGAGCCAUCGAGCCUGACAGCGACGACACAGAGGAACUCUCAAUGAAGGCACCAAUGUCGGUGUCAAAACCGGUGGAUCUCGGGUAGGGGGUCCCGAACUGUGCGUCUAGGCCAGAUGGUAACAGGAGACAAGGGACACGAAGUUUUACCCAGGUUCAGGCCCUCUCGAUGGAGGUAAAACCCUACGUCCUGCUUGAUUAAUAUUGAUGAUAUGGGUAGUAGAAGAGUAGAUCUACCACGAGAUCGAGGAGGCUAAACCCUAGAAGCUAGCCUAUGGUAUGAUUGUUGAUGUGUAUGUUGUCCUAUGGACUAAAACCCUCCGGUUUAUAUAGACACCAGGAAGGGUUAGGGUUACAUAGAGUCGGUUACAAUGGUAGGAGAUCUGCAUAUCUGUAUCGCCAAGCUUGCCUUCUACGCCAAGGAAAGUCCCUUUCGGACGCGGGAUGAAUUCUUCAAUCUUGUAUCUUCAUAGUCCAGGAGUCCGGCUGAAGGUAUAGUCCGGCCGUCCGGACACCCCCUAAUCCUGGACUCCCUCAAUAUGCGUCACAUUUAUGGUUAUCUCUGUAAUAUUUCGCCUUUGUUCCUGUAGAAAAGGAAAAACUCGCUUGGCGAUUUAGCACUGAACGGGUCGGAAUACCCGGUACAUGACCAAUGGGUUUAUCAUAGUAGAAAAACAGAACCAGACGUGAAAAUAAACAAGGUUGAAACAACCUUUGAUUAACACAGAAAGAAACGGUUCUUAAAUAACAGUCAUACCUGUAUCUUUUGUAUUUGGACCACUGGUUUACAUGACCCAGUCCUCUUUUUUUUGAGAAGUCGAUGCUUCUUCAUGCCCGAUGAUCAUCAUGCCUUGGCGUCUUAUUGUCAAAUAGUUAAGCCGGUGAAAAGACCGUGCUGAUCAUUGAAAUUUGAGACAAUAAAAGACCAAUAAGGCAAAUAACAGUUUGCAAACAAUAUAAACUAACCUUGUAACUGAAAGUUGGGGGUUGCUGAUUCAAAUACGAUCAGUAAACCGGACCAAAGGGGUUAAGCUAAGAUUCGAAUACGAUCAUAUGGCCCCCAGUGGCUUUGGCGUUGCGCCGAUCAAGAGGGUACCGACAGCUAUGUUCUCUUUGGUUCGAAUAUGACCUAAGUUUGAACAGGAAGCCCCCAAAUGACCUUGAGAGAUUUUUAACGACCCUGAUUCAAAUACGAUCCAAGUCAAACCUAAAAGGGGUUAAGCUAUGAUUUGGAUAUGAUCAAGAAGCCCCCUAGUGAGUUUGGCUUUGAGCCGAUCAAGAGGGUUACGACAGCUAUGUUCUCUUUGGUUCGAAUACGACCUACGUUUGAACAAGAAGCCCCCAAGUGAUCAUGAGGUUUACAGCUAGAUUCGAAUACGAUCAUAAGCCGGACCAAAAAGGUUAAACUUGAUUCAGAUAUGAUCAGCUCCUUAAAAGUCAUUUAAAUAGUGAAAAAGAGUACAGAUAUAUAAUCUUUGAAAAGGAAAAGGACAGAGGUCCUGCUUUAUUACUUAUCAUAGUAUAUACAACGUCAAAGUAUGUACAUGACGAGAGCCGAUGGCUCAGGUGUAGUAUGGCCGAAGUUGAGCAAUGUUCCACGGUCGGCGGGUCUCCUCCUCCGAUUGACGUGAGUCUUUGUGUUCUCAGAUGUCGAUGCGGUAAUCUGACCCGUUUUAAAUUCUUGCUGACCACAAAGGGUCCUUCCCAAGGCGGGGAUAGCUUGUGUGCAUCUGACAGAUCCUGGAUGAGCCGGAGCACCAGGUAACCUUCUUGAAAAGUCCUGGACUUAACCCGGCGGCUGUGAUAACGGUGCAGGUCCUGUUGAUAAAUUGUUGAUCGAGCCGCUGCUAAGUCUCUCUCCUCAGCUAACAAGUUAAGUGCAUCCUGUCAGGCUUGUUCGUUAUUGGCUUCAACGUAAGCCGCCACACAAGGCGAGUCAUGGCAGAUGUCACUAGGUAGCACCGCUUCCACUCCAUAAACCAUGAAGAAAGGUGUAUAACAUGUAGACCUGUUAGGAGUGGUGUUGAUACUCCACAGCACCGAGGGUAACUCCUCUACCCAACAACCCAGCGUCCGCUAUAAGGGAACCAUAAGCCGGGGCUUGAGACCUUUUAAGAUUUCAUAAUUUGCUCUCUCAGCCUGACCAUUGGAUUGAGGGUGAGCUACAGAAAAAAACAUCAAGCCGGAUAUGCUCACGUUGACAAAAAUCCUCCAUAGCCCCUUGGGACAAAUUAGUGCCAUUGUCAGUGAUAAUGCUGUGUGGAAAACCAAAGUGAAAAAUCACCUUUUUCAUGAAUUGAACCGCCGUGGCUGCAUCACACUUACUCAUUGGCUCUGCCUCAACCCACUUCGUGAAUUUGUCAACUGCCACUAAAAUAUGUGUCUUUUUAUCCUUGGACCUUUUGAAAUGUCCAACCAUGUCAAGCCCCCAGACUGCAAACGGCCAAGUGAUUGGAAUCAUCCGCAAUUCCUGAGCCGACACAUGCACUCGUCAUGCCAAUUUUUGAUAUCCAUCACAUCUACUGACCAGAUCCUCUGCAUCAGCGUGAGCCGUCAACCAGUAAAAACCAUGACGAAAAGCUUUGGCCACAAGAGAUUUUGACCCGGCGUGAUGACCACAAUCCCCUUCAUGGAUCUCACGAAGUAUUUCUUGGCCUUCUUCAGGAGAAACACACCGCUGAAACGCUCCAAUGACGCUGCGAUGGUAUAACUCUCCGUCAGAAAUCGUCAUUGACUUGGACCGCCGGGUUAUCUGUCGGGCCAGGGUCUCAUCCUCUGGCAACUCGCCCCGGGUCAUGUAAGCCAAUAACGAUACUGUCCAAUCUUGGAUGACAUGAAGAGCCUCCACCAACUGUGCCUCCGGGUCUGGAACGACCAAAUCUUCCUCUGUAGGUGACUUAACAGACGGGUUAUGCAAAACAUCCAAAAAGGUGUUAGGUGGCACCGGCUUACGCUGAUAUCCCAACCAGCUUAAGGCAUCGGCCGCUUCAUUUUUUCUAUGGUCAAUGUGUUCCAUUUGAUAACCCUUAAAAUGUCCUGCAACAACAUCGACUUCACGACGAUAAGCCGCCAUGAGAGGAUCCUUGGAAUCCCACUUGCCUGACACCUGUUGAGCCACCAAAUCUGAAUCGCCAAGGCACCGGACCUGGCUCAGACUCAUUUCUUUAGCCAUUCGAAGACCAUGGAGCAAGGCUUCAUAUUCUGCUGCGUUGUUGGUACAAGGAAACAUCAAUCGCAACACAUAACAAAACUUGUCACCUCGAGGGGAAGUUAAAACAACUCCAGCCCCCGAGCCUUCCAACUGUCUGGACCCAUCAAAGUGAAUCGUCCAAUAUGUGUUGUCUGGUUUCUCCUCUGGCAUCUGCAUUUCUGUCCAGUCAUUAAUAAAAUCAACCAGCGCUUGAGAUUUGAUCGCAGUGCGUGGCACAUACUUCAAACCAUGAGAUCCAAGUUCAAUGGCCCACUUGGCGACUCGUCCAGUAGCUUCUCUAUUUUGAAUGAUGUCUCCCAAAGGGGCAGAGCUAACCAUAAUGAUCGGGUGAUCCUGAAAGUAAUGUUUGAGUUUCCGGCUUGCCAUGAACACCCCAUACAUGAGCUUCUACCAAUGUGGAUAUCUUUGUUUAGAUUCAAUCAGCACCUCACUGACGUAGUAAACCGGCCGUUGGACCGGAUGUUCCUUGCCGGCCUCCUUGUGUUCCAACACAAUGGCCACACUAACAGCUUGUGAGUUAGCAGCUACAUGUAAUAACAACGGCUCUUUCUCAACUGGAGCAGCAAGAACCGGGGGUUCAGCGAGCUGUUUCUUCAAAUCCUCAAAAGCAGAGUUAGCAGCAUCACUCCAGACGAAGUCAUCCGCCUUUUUCAUCAUUUGAUACAAAGGCAUCGCCUUCUCCGCUAACCGGCUUAUGAACCGGCUUAAGGCCGCUAUGCGACCCGCCAGCCGCUGAACGUCAUUGAUGCACACCGGUUUAGCCAGGGAUGCGAUUGCCUUGAUCUUCUCCGGGUUAGCUUCAAUACCUCUGUUAGACACCAGAAAACCCAAAAGUUUGCCAGCUGGGAAUCCAAAAACACACUUGGCCGGGUUAAGCAUCAUCUUGUAGACCCGGAGGUUAUCAAAGGUCUCCUUCAGAUCUGUUACCAAGGUUUCCUCCUUUCUGGACUUCCCCACUAUAUCGUCCACAUAAGCAUGAACAUUACGUCCAAUCUGAUUGUGAAGGCAAGUCUGCACACACCGUUGAUAAGUUGCAUGGGCACUUUUGAGCCCAAAAGGCAUAGACACAUAGCAGAAGGCUCCAAACGGAGUGAUGAAAGUUGUUUUCUCCUGGUCCUUAACUGCCAUCUUGAUCUGAUGAUAACCUGAGUAUGCAUCUAAAACACUCAAACGCUCGCAACCCGCCAUAGCAUCAAUGAUCUGAUCAAUACGAGGGAGAGCAAAAGGGUCAGCCAGACAAGCCAUGUUCAAAUCGGUGUAAUCCACACACAUACACCAGGUGCCGUUCUUCUUGAGUACAAGCACCGGGUUAGCCAACAACUCUGGGUGAAAGACUUCAAUGCUGAACCCGGCCGCCAAGAGCCGGGCCACCUCUUCUCCAAUGGCCUUGCGCCUUUUCUCGUUAAACCAUCGGAGAAACUGCCUGACCAGCUUAAACUUUGGAUCAAUAUUAAAAGUGUGCUCAGCGAGUUCUCUCGGGACACCCGGCAUGUCAGAAGGUUUCCAUGCAAAGAUGUCCCGGUUCUCAUGGAUGAACUCAAUGAGUGCGCUUUCCUAUUUUGGAUCCAAGUUUGCACUGAUGAUGAACUACUUGGAUGAGUCGCCAGGCACAAAAUCAACCGUUUUAGUGUCAUCAGCUGACUUGAAUUUCAACACCGGUUCAUGCUCUGUAGUUGGCUUUUUUAAAGACGUCAUGUCUGCCGGGUCAACAUUAUCUUUAUAAAACUUUAACUCCUCUGUUGCACAAACAGACUCAGCAUAAGCGGCAUCUCCUUCUACACACUCCAGGGCAAUUUUCCGGCUUCCAUGUACUGUAAUGGUGCCUUUAUAACCCGGCAUAUUGAGCUGCAGAUAUACAUAACAUGGCCGAGCCAUGAACUUGGCGUAAGCCGGCCGUCCAAACAGAGCAUGAUAUGGGCUUUUGAUCUUAACCACCUCAAAAGUUAACUUCUCAGCCCUGGAAUCAUAUUCAUCCCCAAAGGCUACUUCCAGUUCAAUCUUACCAACUGGGUAUGCCGACUUUCCAGGCACAACACCGUGAAAAACAGUGUUGGAUUGCUCAAGACUCUUAUCAGUCAACCCCAUCCGACGGAACGUCUCAUAGUAGAGGAUGUUGAUGCUACUGCCUCCAUCCAUGAGCACUUUAGUGAAUUUAUACCCACCAACCUGAGGUGCCACUACCAAGGCUAAGUGACCCGGAUUAUCAACCCGCGGAGGAUGAUCUUCUCUGCUCCACACAAUAGGCUGUUCUGACCACCUCAAAUAACAUGGAAUCACUGGCUCAAUGGCAUUGACAACCCUCUUAUGAAGCUUCUGGUCCCUCUUGCAUAAACUAGUGGUAAAUACAUGGUACUGCCCACUAUUCAACUGUUUUGGGUUGCUCUGAUAUCCGGACUGUUGCUGCUGAUUACCUUGGUCGGGUUGUGGAUUAUAACCUCCCUGGUUACCCGUAUGGCCAUGACCGUGAAAACCGCCUCCACCUGAACCGGCGCCCGGGCCAUGAAAGCCGCCUCCGCCUGAACCGCCGUCAGGCCCGUGACUUCCAUCAAAGGUGUUUGAAUUUUUAAAUGCCUUCAUGAUUGUACAGUCCUUCCACAGAUGGGUGGCUGGCUUCUCCCGGGUGCCGUGUCUUGGACAAGGUUCAUUCAAUAGUUGCUCGAGGGUAGGACCUGACCCGCUUGACCGAGGGGGUUGCCUACCCUUGCGCCGUUCAUUGUUGCCCUGUGCAUUAGUAUUAGCCACAAAUUCGUCAGCCUUAUGUUUAUUACCUCCUUGAUUUUCCGGGUUAUGCUGGUGACCCUUGCCGUUGCCGUUCUUCUUUCACUUCCUUGUUUUUUCUUCAUCAAACACGGGAUCCUUGGUACUAUCAGAAUCAGCGUACUUGACCAGAGCCGCCAUCAACUGGCCCAUGUUAUUUCAGUGACGCUUGAGCCGCCCCAGCUUCUGCUUUAGAGGUUCAAAACGGUAAUUUUUCUCCAACAUUAAGACUGCCGACCCGGCAUCCAUCUUAUCAGAUGAAUGUAUUAUCUCCUUGACCUGACGCACCCAAUGGGUUGUGGACUCACCUUCCUCUUGCUUACAAUUAGUCAGGUCCACGAUUGACAUAGGUUGUUUGCAUGUAUCCUUGAAGUUCUGAAUGAACCGGGCUUUUAAUUCCUCCCAUGCGUCGAUGGAAUUGGGGGGCAAUCCUUUCAACCAAGUGCGAGCCGUUCCAUCCAACAUCACAGUGAAAUACUUAGCCAUCGCUGCAUCGCUGACUUCCAACAGCUCCAUUUCCAUCUCAUAACUUUCAAUCCAUGCCCAGGCUGCAAGUUAGCCAUGUAAUUAGGCACUUUACGAGGGCCCUUAAAGUCUUUAGGUAAGCGCUCAUUACGUAUAGCCGGCACCAAGCAAGGAACACCUCUGUUCUUGUGGCUACUCCUGCCUCCACAGAGGUUGCUGGAUAAGCCGGAAAAGUUUGAUGAGCCGCCUGCUUAGCUGCCAGUUGAACCGCCCGCUCAGCCUCUUGACGGAUCCUCUCCUGAUCCGCUAAGUUAAGGGCUCCAGCCUGCAACGGCUCAUGCCUGCGCGGUUGGUUACGGCGUUGAGCGUUGCUUGACAUAUCAGCUGAGUCCAUAUGCCUGCUAUAGCUCGGGCUCCGGCUCGGGCGAGGGGUUGAAUGGAUUCUGUCUCGACUGUAAGAGUAGGCAUCCUGUUGCGCCAGAGCCGUCUGAAGAAGUUCUCUCACCCUUCAUGUUUCGAUUGCUGUCGGAGAGUCGCCCUCCAUCGGGAGAGCUGCCAAACGAGCCGACGCAACAAUGAGGUUUUCCAAAGGAUUGGAGAAGUGACCCGGUGGUGUUGGCGCAUAAUGAGGCAGAGCGGUACUCAUACGAGGUGGUUCCAUGGCCCGCGGCUGAACCAGCGCUCCGGGUGUCGUGAUCCAAUUUGCCUCCAGUGGGUUACUUGGACCGGCCCCGAGUGUGUGGAAAAGGUUCCUAGGAUCGAGCGUCAGAGGUAGACGUGACUGGGUUUUCUGAUGCCUUCUCCUCAUGAUCUUGUUUGACGCGUUCAGAUCCGCUGGGAGCCGGAAAGUCUCCGCUUGAAGCUGCUGAGCACGAGCAUCCAAAGUCGCCCGUUCCACGACCAUCCUAACCUCUUCUGCUGCUAAACUUUCCUUGGCCUGUGCCAUCUCUUCUCGUCAUGCUGAGCUUUAUAUGCCGGCUCUACCACGACAGUCAACAAAGCUGUCAGCUUAUCCAUGAGGUCCAUUAGCAUCUGAGCCGGGGGGCGUGCGGGGUCUCCUGACCCGGCCACUGCCGACCUGGUGGUUGUUGUUGCUGCUGCCGUGGAGUUCUGCCCGGGCUGAGUGCCUGCCAUGAAGACUCCAGCUUGAUUCGGCGGCUCAAAGGGGUCCGGAAUACUGUUGCCAUCGGAACAGCCCCCAAGCAUGCCAUCCUGCAGCUGAUACAAAGAAUUUGUCUCGCCUAUUGAUGACAUAGCGUCAGAACAGAUGGCCGUCUCACCGCCAUCCACUCAUCCUUCCGAGUAUUCACCUCCAUGGAUGCAACCCACAAAGGCAUGCUUUACGGCGGGUCGGGCACGGGCGGGUCUCGCGCGCUGAGCCGUCUCGAUGAUGUUGGUGCAGACGUCUGGCUCAGGGCCUGAUUUGCCGAUCCGGCCGAUGAAGACAUGAAUCCCGCCGAAGGGGACCUGGUACCCAUACUCAAUUGAGCCGGCCUCGGGGCCCUAGCCUUCGUCGUCGAUGUAGAGCUUGCUGCGACGACUCUUGGUCAUCUUGCCCACAACGUAUCCCUUGAGCCCUUCGAAGUUGCCCUUCAAGAACUCAAAUCCACCAUGCGCUGGCCCCACGGUGGGCGCCAACUGUCGUGGAAUUAUCACGACAGAUGUCCUAGCGAAAGGACUUAGUCAUAGGGUCGUCGCAACUAGGAAGCUUAAAGGGGUUAAUUGGGACAAAGGACACGAGAGGUUUUAUACUAGUUCGGCCCCUUACGAUGAAGGUAAAAGCCUACGUCUAGUUGUGUUUGGAAUUGCUAGGGUUUCGAAGACCAGGGAGCGAAUAUGCUUGUCCUGGCUUCGAGUUGUUGUCUCUUGCCCUAAGACGCCGCCGGGUCAUCCCAUUAUAUACACAGGUUGACGCCUGGCGGCCUACAGAGUCCCGGCCGUCUCACAAAAUGUGUCCGGCUCGGUGACUUCUUUUACAUGCCUUUCUUUACAAGUCUUUCCUUACAUACGGCAGUUUACAAUAUUGGGCCUUAAGCCGCCUCUGGGCUUAGGCCUUCUAUAAGUCUUAAUAAACUAUCGCCUUGAAUGUUACUGGGCUUCUUUUGUAACCCACAAUUGGGCCGACCCGGCCCCUCCUGGGCGGGUCUUACCUGGUAUCUAUAUUCCCAACAUAUUUAGAGAGCAAUUUUUAUUGCAUGCAACAAUGGCAACUUACUUGAAGGAUCUUAGUCAAUCCAUAGGUAGGUAUGAUGGACACUCAUGGCAACAAUGGGUUUAAGGAUAUUAGGAAGCACAAGUAGUAUCUCUACUUGGUGCAAGGAAUUUGGCUAGCAUGAGGGGGAAAGGCAAGCUGAACAUGUUGGAUGAUCCAUGACAAUAUACUUUAUUUCAGAUAUAAGAAAGCAUAACUCAUUACGUUGUCUUCCUUGUCCAACAUCAACUUUUUAGCAUGUCAUAUUUAAUGAGUGCUCAUAAUCAUAAAAGAUGUCCAAAUAGUAUUUUUAUAUGUGAAAACCUCUCUUUCUUUAUUACUUCCUAUUAAUUACAACGAUGACCAAAACUAUGUUUUUCAACUCUCAAAAAAUUUUAUUCAUCAUACUCUUUACAUGUGAAGUCAUUACUCUCCAUAAGAUAAAUAUGAUCUCUUUAUUUCUUUUUAUUCUUUCUUUUAUUCCCUCAAGAACAUUGUGAGAUAAUCAACUCCUUGACUCAAAACUAAUCUUUAUUAUAUAUAUCUCACGGACUCGAUUACAUAGAAGGAUCAUAAAGCAAAACCCAAAACUAGAUCAUACUAAACUUUAUUCUACUAGAUCAAGAUAUAACCAAAAGGAUCGAACUAAGAAAAACGGUAAAGAUAGAAGUGUGAUGGUGAUACGGUACCGGGGCACCUCCCCAAGCUUGGCAGUUGCCAAGGGCAGUGCCCAUACCCAUGUGUUUAUGCCUCUUUCUUCGGAGGUGGUGAUGAUGGAGUUGUUGAUGACGUAGGCUUGUCAUCGAACAUUGAGCGUAGGAGGUGCUCCAAUUUAUGAAUGAUGUCCUUGAGUGCGGUGAUAUGCUCUAGCAACAUAAUAUUUUCAUGAGUUAGAUACUUGUUCUGCACCCGAACUAUUUCAAUCAUCUUGAAAGCUUCAAUUUCAGUAGGGGUAAGAAGAUUGUAAUGAGGUUGAAGGAUAUCUUCUUCUUCUGCUGCCGGAGCUUGAUCUUCCAUGGCCUUCUUGAUCCUAUCAUCCAUGUUGAUAUCCCCAGGUUCUUCUCUCUUCAGAUCUAUCUUCAUUAGCCAAGCAUCGUCGCCCUCAUUGUUGGAGGAGGGGUACGACAUGAUGCCUGGCCUUGACAACUCUGGCAGAAAACAACUCGAAACAAAAACAGUGGAUAUUUGUGUGGUACCGUGGUCAAAACCUUCGAGAGAAUAUAUAAUGGAUUUUUAGCGACCAAAAGAAGUAUCGUGCAAGAAAAUGGAGUCUGGAGGGCACACAAGGUGCCCACGAGGCAGGUGUCCGUGUCAAAACCGGUGGAUCUCGGGUAGGGGGUCCCGAACUGUGCGUCUAAGGUCGAUGGUAACAGGAGGCAAGGGACACAAUGAUUACUCAGGUUCGGGCCCUCUCUAUGGAGGCAACACCCUACUUCCUGCUUGAUUGAUCUUGAUGAAUAUGAGUAUUACAAGAGUUGAUCUACCAUGAGCUCGUAAUGGCUAAACCCUAAAAGUCUAGCCUGUCUGACUAUGAUUAUGAGGAUAUCUGUCUACCGACCUAGCCCUCCGGUUUAUAUAGACAUCGGAGGGAUCUAGGGUUACAUAAGGUCGCUUACAGAGAAAGGAAUCUUCAUAUUUGGUCACCAAGCUUGCCUUCCACGCCAAGGAGAGUCCCAUCCGGACACGGGUAGAUUCUUCGGUCUUUGUAUCUUCACGGCCCCUCACUCCGGCCCAUGUCUAAUAGGUCGGAUGCCCAAGGACCCCUUAGUCCAGGACUCCCUCAGUAGCCCCUGAACCAGGCUUCAAUGACGAGGUGUCCGACGCGCAGAUUGUUAUCGGCAUUGCAAGGCGGGUUCCCCUUUACGAAUACUCCAAUAUAGUCUUCGAACGCAAUGAACGUGUCCAGAUCUGCAACACAAGUACCACACACAACCACAGAGAAUAUAAUAUUGCAUGAGUCCAAUCCGCUGAUAACUUUUUGUAAUGUGACAUCACGUCUACUUGGUCAUCAUUUUGAACCGUUUUCCGUCUGUCGUUCCAUGUUUCGAGACGCGGUUUUCAUAGGCACGUCUUGUCGAAGCAGAGAUCGUGUCCCCUUAUUGCCGGAUUCUCAUCAAUACGGGCGUGGGUAAUCUAACCGUGCCGUUUACACAGCCCUUGGGAACAGGCGAGUUUUAAGGCGAGUGGGGAGGCGCUUGAUAUUCACUGCCUUUAUAAGGAGAUAAGGACUCCCUUUUCUCCACCCACGCCUUCUCUCUUUCUUUGCCCUUCCAUUCUCGAGCUCCAGCGCCCAAGUCCUCAUUCUUUCCGCCCCAAGGAAGCACUCAACCAUUUCUGGAUCUGGAGGGCAAGGCAAGUGGAUCUGUGGAUGGCCUCCUCCGUUAGGGAGAAGGACAUCACCAGGCUUCAGGAGUACGGGUAUCUGGUGAAAGGAAUAGCCCACCGGCUUCUAGCCAAGGGGCAAAUCGUCCCCAGCCCGAAGUCCAACGAGAGGGUGGUGUUCAUCCCCCAUUUCGUCCGCGGGUUAGGGUUUCCUCUCCACCCUUUCGUCCGCGGGCUUAUGUUCUAUUAUGGGCUAGACUUCCAUGACCUAGCCCUGAAUUCUUUCCUCAACAUCUUGGCAUUCAUUGUCGUGUGUGAGGCCUUCCUCCGCAUCCAACCCCACUUCAGGCUGUGGCUCAAGAUUUCAAUGUGAAGCCGAAGGUGGUGGAUGGCCAGCACGUGGAGUGCGGAGGCGCCAUGGUGAGCAAGCUGCCCGAUGUCACAAGGCCCAAGGGUACUUUUGUAGAGACCGUCAAGGAGUGGCAGAAACUAUGGUUCUAUAUCAUAGAGCCCGCGAUGCCACCUGGGCCGCGGCUUCCGAAUUCAAGUCUGGAGCUCCAAUGCGGCUCACCUCCUAGAUAGAGAAGGGCCCAAAUUGGUCUUCAUCGGACGAGCUGAUAGCGCUGCAAACGCGCAUUCAAAGCAUGGUGGAUAAAGACAUCAAGCUCAUCGACGUAAUCCAGGUGAUGCUGGUUCGCCGGAUCCUCCCAUGCCAAAGUCGAAGCUUCCCCUUAUGGGAAUUCGACCUGAAGAAGCACCAAACCUUGGAAAGGCUCUUCAGAACCACUCACGAAGAUGCCUGCAAGUUGCUCUUUAAGGGCAACGAGACGCCGCUAGCCAUAGACUCGGACCGCGAGCACGAUAUUACCCAUUCUGCCAAUGCGGUAAGCCUUUCAUGUCUCAGACGCACCCUCUACUUGCUUGUUUCAAGGAGGAUAUCUAAACUUUAUUAUUAUUAUUUUCGGGUAUGGACGGAGAGGGCGGAGCGGAUUCAAUGUUCGGCUCCACUGCCCGAGGAUCCAGUCAUCCCGCUCCUGGCGAAGAUGCUGGUGCCGGCGCCCUAUAAGGCGCCGGAGAAAAAGGCCAAGAAGAAGGCCAAGGGGGUCCGGAGUGGCCCCCGCCGCAAGGGAGCUUCGGACAUGUCGUCUGAAGACAAGACUCUCUCCUCCGCCGCCGAAGACGAUGACGAUGAGGAGGAAGAAAGCACCUCUCCCCCUGAUGGGGGGAGGAAGAAGAGGGCGGCCUCCACAAAUCUGGGGGCGGAGGUGCCCAAGAGGGGGAAGGGUCCUCCUACGGAUAACUCCGCGUGGGACGUCGAUAGCAGCCUGGAGCGACGCCCCCGAAACAAGCCUAUGGCCGCGUCGUAAGUACUACAAACCUGCAUAUGUCCAUGCAUCCGGCCUCUCUUGCUUCAUAAUAUAAUAUGUUAAUUUAUGCCAUUGUAGUCCGGCCCACGAUAGCUCCCUGCGAUCCUCAUCAAGAGGCUCGUUGGAUUCGAAGGCGAUGGCCAGCGAGUCACCGCCGGCCGCUCACUCUCCCACGGCCAAGGGCGACAAGUAGGUGUUGUCCCAAAGGACCUUCCUCGGCUAGGGAGAGGUUCAGGAGGCCGCCAGUGUGAUGCCAGAGGGCGAAACCUCUGCUGCCGGACACAUGGGGGAGCAGACCCCCUUCGCGACUGGGGAUGGGGGCUUUGCUUAGUUCGGCCCCCAGCCGAAUACAAGUCCGGAGGCCUAUACGGCUCUGGAAUCCGGUGAGCAACCUCCUUCGAAAGAAGGGGGUGUGCCUAUUCCGCUGGUGACCUCUGUCCAACCAGAGGCACUGGAUAAUCUGCUGGAAGCGCCAUGAGGCGCUUCCAUUGUGGAUGAACACUGUAUCCUUAUGGGUAAGGCGAUUGAGAGGGUUCAGUCUGUCAAGAGCGGACUAGCCGAAGCAAGCAGCAGCCUGCUGACAGAUUUUGAGGUAAGCGAUGCAAAAGAGAAAAUCCCAAUAUAGACAGUAGCCCCUGAGACACUGCCCGGUGUUUGGAAAUAAGAGCCAGACAGAGGAUCAUCCCAAUAUAGACAGUAGCCCCUGAGACACUGCCCGGUGUUUGGGAAUAAGAGCCAGACAGAGGAUCAUUUAUGUUCUCAAGAAACUAACUAAAUAUGUCUUAUAUGAAUAAGCAGGCCUCGUUGCUGGCCGCGACCUCACACACUGCCGAAGUCUCUGGACUAAAGCAGAGACUGGAGCAGGCCGAGGAGGAGCUCGGCCAAACGAGGAAGCAACUAGAAGACAAGCAAGGUAUGUACUGAGUGGGUGUAUAUUCGGAAACAAUAAAUAAUGCGUAUUGACCGUAGUGCCAUGAUAUGUGUAGGAGCUGCGAUCGAGGUUGAGGUCCUUAAACAGGCCCUGGCCUAGGCCGAGGAGAAAGCUACCAAGGAAAAGGCCGCCCAUGCGAAGCACGAGGCCCGGCUUAAUGAGGUCCAGCAAGAGCUCCAGGAUGCGGUGAAGAAAUGUGAAUCCUUGGAGCGCGAUGUUUCGGCUCGAGAGACUAAACUCGCUACGGCCCGCCAAAGCACGGAGGAGGCCCGGAUUGAGGCCCACGGCGCCCUCCAGGAGAUCCAGGAGGCCAAGAAAAUCGCGGCGGGUAAGGCGUUUAGUAUGCAAAGCAAAUAUGUGAAGAAGAAGUAUCUCUUACUAACCCGGAUUCGAAGUUCUCUAGGGGCGUUUGCGGAUCUGCCGCGCAGUGUGUCUGACGCUGCAUAGUUCUUCUAAGCCGAAGAAGGGAGCUCUAUGGAGAAGCUGUUCUGGUCGCAAUAUCUUGCGCUAGAACAUCCAGUGCCCUUUAGCGAUCAGCUAAAAUAGCUGGUCGAGCUGCAUAGGGUGGCCGAACAGGCCAUGAAGAAUUUAAUAAUCCACCUGUAGCCUGCCGAAGCUAUUCCUGACAGCUACUUCGGGCUCGUGAAGCGGCUGGUGAAUGCCUUCCCUCGGUUGGACAUCGUCAAGCGGUCGAUCUGCAUCGAGGGCGCGCGCAUGGCCUUCGCCCGCGUCAAGGUGUGGUGGGUGAAGAUGGACGCCGUCAAGCUUACGACUGGGGGACCGCGAGAGGGCAAGGAGCACCGCACGCCUGAGCAGUAUUUUGAAGACGUCCUGGAGGGGUCUCAUAUUGUGGCGACGCAAUAUGCGCAAGACAUUAUUUUCGAAUGAAUUGUCUCUGCCUUGUAUGAUGAAACAAAGUCAUUAUGUAAUAUAAUGUUUGUUAUUUAAAAAAAUUCCCCCCUGUGCCGCCGUGUUGUAUGAAAUCUGAGAGUUGGCCAGUCGGCGGCUUCUUCCCCCAUGUAGGUAGUACGGGGGUGUUCGGGAUGUAAUCUAAACACUCUUGAUCCAAUUGUUUGGUCCUUGAAGGAGGUGUUUAGCGCGACGAACCAGGCAAUCGGUCUAUGCAGCUUUAGCACCCUCACUUAGCCAUAGGAGUUUGACAAUAAAAAUAUAGGCGCAGCCCCUAGUAUCCGAACUAGGAUGAUGUAAACACCUGAUCGGGUAAGUACCGAUCCUUCGCGUAAUGCGGAAAAAAUCUCUAAAGAUUUGAGACCUCUGAAGAGCUGACCGGCUCUCGUCGCAUCAUGACAGUCAGUUUUCGGCUUUCUCUAUUGAGGUGCUCCUCCGGGUGAACUAGGCCACAAUCGCAGUAGUUCUCCCUUUACUACACUGGACGAUAUGACAGAACAUAAGGUAGCAAGCACAGGAGCCGGGCAACCCAACUAUUGACCAAAGACAUGAUUCGAAGCCAAUGCAUAUAGUGCUAAAUUUGGGGUACCGAACUAUACUGUAAAAAGUGUUCGGACUUUGUUGCCGUGUUGUGGGGCGCUAUCAAGCCCCUGGCAAAUUGAAACGUACCAAAGUGUACGGGUGCUAUUUGAUAAAGUUAUCAAGAAAGAGAAAAGAGAAGAAAGGGUAGUAAGCUAAAGCCGUAAAAUGUGGGCCACAAACUGUUUCCAUUAUCAUUUCAUUAGUGCGUUAAAGCGCAUGUAUACAAGUAGUGCAAUAAGCAUAAGGCUAUUUGAUAUGCCUUGACCAAGGGAGAGCUGUGUGUGGGUCCUGAAAAUAGGUAAGGGGAUCGUUAAAGAAACCACCUAAAAUUCCCCAGUACGUCCAUGCUUCUUGUCGUCUUGGUGUAUUUAUCCUUCGAAAAGAACCGAUGGUCAAACCGUCAGGGAAGGCCUAUGAAAAAGAAACCUGAAAAGGAGAAAAAAGGAAACAGUGAAAGCACGUGUGUCCGGGGCGGUCGAGCCGUAUUGUGGAUCACAAGCUAGUUAUGCCUCCCUCUAUGCCCAUGGUAUUUUGAGUGUGUAGUUAUGUACACGCGAUACAAUUUCCGCCACUUGGUCGGGACUAGGACGGAGGCCGAAUUGCUAGUUGAGCUCUUGACGAGCCGAGCUGUCCUGGUGCAGAAUAGUCCGGACUCUCUUGACAGUGUCCGGGAGGUCGGCCGCCGAAUUAAGGUUCUGCUUGAAAAGGUUGCUCUGUACUUCUACUGCUAAGGCAGCGGUGUGCUCCAUGGUGCGGAGGGAGCGUUCCGUGUUUCCAUUAACUGUUAUGAUGCCGCAUGGUCCGGGCAUCUUGAGCUUGAGAUAAGCGUAGUGUGGCACCACGUUGAAUCGAGCAAAUGCACUUCGUCCAAGCAGUGCGUGAUAACCGCUGCGAAAAGGGACGAUAUCAAAGAUUAACUCCUCGCUUCAGAAGUUGUCCGGAGAUCCAAAGACGACCUCUAGUGUGAUUGAGCCCGUAUAGCGGGCCUCUACACCUGGUAUGACUCCUUUAAAGGUAGUCUUUGUGGGCUUGAUCCGUGAUGGAUUAAUGCCCAUUUUGCACACUGUAUCCUGAUAGAGCAGGUUGAGGCUGUUGCCACCGUCCAUUAGGACUCGUGUCAGGUGGAACCCAUCAAUUAUUGGGUCCAGGACCAGUGUGGCUGAACCGCCGUGACGGAUACUGGUCGGAUGGUCCCGACGAUCGAAAGUUAUGGGGCAUGAUGACCAUGGAUUAAAUUUUGGGGCGACUGGCUCUAUCGCGUAGACGUCCCUAAGCGCGCGCUUGCGCUCCCUCUUGGAUAUGUGGGUAGCGUAUAUCAUGUUCACCAUUUUGACCUAAGGGGGAAACUUCUUAUGUCCCCUGUGUUCGGUGGCCGGGGCUCCUCGUCGUCGUCCUCGCUUUGCAAUCCCUUCUCCUUGCUUUCGGCAUUUAACUUGCCGGCCUGUUUACAAACCCAACAAUCUCUGUUGGUAUGAGUGGGUGGUUUGUCUGGGGUGCCAUGGAUCUGGCACGGACGAUCGAGUAUGCGGUCCAAGCUGGAUGAGCCCGAAUUGUUCUUUUUGAACGGUUUCUUCCGCUGACCAGACUUAGAGCCACUGAAUCCGGCAUUGAUCGCCGUAUCAACGGUGCUGUCAUUGUUGUUUCGACGCUUGUGUCUGUUGCGUCGAGAUUUGUCGUUGCUAUUUCUGGCUUUAGAGGUACCGGCAUUGCUUGCAUUGUUUUUGCUACGAGCUAGCCAACUAUCUUCACCCGCACAAAAGCGGGUCAUGAGUGCCGUGAGGGCUGCCAUGGACUUCGGCUUUUCUUGGCCGAGGUGGCGGGCGAGCCAUUCGUCGCGGAUGCUAUGUUUAAAGGCCUCUAGGGCUUCGGCAUCUAGACAGUCGACGAUCUGGUUCUUUUUGGUUAGGAACCUAGUCCAGAAUUUCCUGGCUGACUCUCCAGGCUGUUGAACUAUAUGCCUUAAGUAAUCAGCAUCUAGUGACCGGACAUAUGUACCUUGGAAGUUGUCGCAGAAGGCGUCUUCCAAAUCCUCCCAUCUGCCAAUAGAGUUUUCGGGCAGACUAUUUAACCAGUGCCGAGCUGGCCCUUUGAGUUUUAACGGGAGGUAUUUGAUGGCCUGGAGGUCAUCUCCGCGGGCCAUAUGGAUAUGGAGAAAAAAAUCCUCAAUCCACACCGCGGGCUAAGUUGUUCCAUUGUAUGAUUCAAUAUUCACGGGUGUAAACCCUUCUGGGAAUUCAUGCUCCAUUACUUCGUCAGUGAAGCAAAGAGGGUGUGCGGCGCCUCUGUAUCAGGCCACAUUGUGACAUAGCUCCGAUGGAAUCUGUCCAUGGUUUUUGGCCCGCGCAUGACUAGGCUUGUCACGUCCGAAUAGGUAGCCGUCAUCACGUGUCGGGGCACGUCCUCGCGAUCCGUAGAUCGAUCUGGUAUGUCCUGCUCUAUUGUCCAGGUCCUGCCGAAGGUCAUAUGUAUAACCACGACCUGUUUUAUCUCUGCCUUUACGAUGAAGCGGGGCGGGCUGGUGUUCAUCUUGAGUUGGCAUUUUGUCCCGACCACGUGGCGGUCGGUCAGCCGCAUUGCGCGAUGAUGGUACGGGCUCCGGUGCCUCGUCGUCGGACUGAGGUAGCAAGUUGAGCUUCGGGUAGCUUUUGGCUGGGCGCUUGAGGCCGUAUUCUUCGGCUGCUAGGACAUCAGUCCGUCUAUCAUUGAGCAGAUUGAUGUCUACUACACAACCUUCUUCUUGUAGACGUUGUUGGGCCUCCAAGUGCAGAGGUUUGUAGGACAGUAGCAAAUUUCCCUCAAGUAGAUGACCUAAUGUUUAUUAAUCCGUAGGAGGUGUAGGAUGAAGACGGUCUCUCUCAAGCAACCAUGCAACCAAAUAACAAAGAGUCUCUUGUGUCCCCAACACACCCAAUACAAUGGUAAAUUGUAUACGUGCACUAGUUCGGCGAAGAGAUGGUGAUACAAGUGGUAUAUGGAUGGUAGAUAAAGGUUUUUGUAAUCUGAAAAUAUAAAAACAGCAAGGUAACUAAUGGUAAAAGUGAGCACAGACGGUAUUGCAAUGCGUUGAAACAAGGCCUAGUGUUCAUACUUUCACUAGUGCAAGUCCUCUCAACAAUAAUAACAUAAUUGGAUCACAUAACUAUCCCUCAACAUGCAACAAAGAGUCACUCCAAAGUCACUAACAGCGGAGAACAAACGAAGAGAUUAUGGUAGGGUACGAAACCACCUCAAAGUUAUUCUUUCCAAUCAAUCUGUUGGGCUAUUCCUAUAAGUGUCACAAACAGCCCUAGAGUUCGUACUAGAAUAACACCUUAAGACACAAAUCAACCAAAACCCUAAUGUCACCUAGAUACUCCAAUGUCACCUCAAGUAUCCGCGGGUAUGAUUAUACAAUAUGCAUCACACAAACUCAGAUUCAUCUAUUCAAACCAACACAAAGUACUUCAAAGAGUGCCUCAAAGUUUCUACCGAAGAGUCAAGACGAAAACGCGUGCCAACCCCUAUGCAUAGAUUCCAAGGUCUCGGAACCCGCAAGUUGAUCACAAAAACAUACAUCAACUGGAUCAAUAGAACAUCCCAUUGUCACCAUGAGUAUCCCACGCAAGACAUACAUCAAGUGUUCUCAAAUCAUUAAAAACUCAAUCUGAUAAGAUAACUUCAAAGGGAAAACUCAAUUCAUUACAAGAGAGUAGAGGGGGAGAAACAUCAUAAGAUCCAACUAUAAUAGCAAAGCUCGCGAUCCAUCAAGAUCGUACCACCUCAAGAACACGAGAGAGAGAGAGAGAGAGAGAGAGAGAGAGAGAGAUCAAACACAUAGCUACUGGUACAUACCCUCAGCCCCGAGGGAGAACUACUCCCUCCUCUAAUGGAGAGCACCGGGAUGAUGAAGAUGGCCACCGAAGAGGGAUUUCCCCCUCCGGCAGGGUGCCGGAAUGGGUCUAGAUUGGUUUUCGGUGGCUACGGAGGCUUCUGGAAGCGGAACUCCCGAUCUAUUGUGCUCCUCGAAGUUUUUAGGGUAUAUGGGUAUAUAUGGGAGGAAGAAGUACGUCGGUGGACCUCCGGGCACCCUCGUGGGCAGCCCGGGACUCUCCGGUUCCAACUCCGAUACUCCGUGGGCUUCUUCUGGUUCAUUGGACUCCAUUUGAUUUUCCUUUUCUGCAAUACUCUACAACAAGGAAAAAACAGAAACUGGCACUAGGCUCUGGGUUAAUAGGUUAGUCCCAAAAAUAAUAUAAAAGUAUUUAAUAAAGCCCAUAAACAUCCAAAACAGAUAACAUAAUAGCAUGGAACAAUAAAAAAUUACAGAUACGUUGGAGACGUAUCAGCAUUCCCAAGCUUAAUUCAUGCUCAUCCUCGAGCAGGUAAAUGAUAAAAACAGAAUUUUUGAUGUGGAAUGCUACCUAACAUUUUCAUCAUGUAUUUCUCUUUAUUGUAGCAAGAAUAUUCAGAUCCAUAAGAUUCAAGACAAAAGUUUAAUAUUGACAUAAAAAUAAUAAUACUUCAAGCAUACUAACUAAGCAGUCAUGUCUUCUCAAAAUAACAUGGCCAAAGAAAGUUCAUCCCUACAAAAUCAUAUAGUUUGGUCAUGCUCCAUUUUCGUCACACAAGAAUGCUCUCAUCAUGCACAACCCCGAUGACAAGCCAAGCAAUUGUUUCAUACUUUAGUAAUCUCAAACUUUUUUCAACUUUCACGCAAUACAUGAGCGUGAGCCAUGGAUAUAGCACUAUGGGUGGAAUAGAAUACGAUGGUGGGGGUUAUGUGGAGAAGACAAAAAAGGAGAAAGUCUCACAUCGACGCGGCUAAUCAAUGGGCUAGGGAGAUGCCCAUCAAUUGAUGUCAGUGCAAGGAGUAGGGAUUGCCAUACAACGGAUGCACUAGAGCUAUAAAUGUAUGAAAGCUCAACAAAAGAACUAAGUAGGUGUGCAUCCAACUUGCUUGCUCACGAAGACCUAGGGCACUUGAGGAGGCCCAUUGUUGGAAUAUACAAGCCAAGUUCUAUAAUGAAAAUUUCCCACUAGUAUAUGAAAGUGACAACAUAAGAGACUCUCUAUCAUGAAGAUCAUGGUGCUACUUUGAAGCACAAGUGUGGAAAAAAGGAUAGUAUCAUUGUCCCUCUUAUUUUAUUUAUUUUUUUAUUUGGCCUUUCUCUUUUUUUAUUUGGACUUUCUUUUUUUUCUCUUUUUUACAAUGCUCUAUUAAUGAUGAUCAUCACACUUCUAUUUAUUUACAACUCAAAGAUUACAGCUCGAUACUAGAACAAAGUAUGACUCUAUAUGAAUGCCUCCGGCGGUGUACCUGGAUUGCGAUGAAUCAAGAGCGACAUGUAUGAAAAAUUAUGAAUGGUGGCUUUGCCACAAAUACGAUUUCACCUACAUGAUCAUGCAAAGCAAUAUGACAAUGAUGAUGCAUGUCAUAAUAAACGGAACGGUGGAAAGUUGCAUGGCAAUAUAUCUCCGAAUGGCUAUGGAAAUGCCAUAAUAGGUAGGUAUGGUGGCUGUUUUGAGGAAGAUAUAAGGAGGUUUAUGUGUGACAGAGCAUAUCAUAUCACGGGGUUUGGAUGCACCGUCGAAGUUUGCACCAACUCUCAAUGUGAGAAAGGGCAAUGCACGGUACCGAAGAGGCUAGCAAUGAUGGAAGGGUAAGAGUGCGUAUAAUCCAUGGACUCAACAUUAGUCAUAAAGAACUCACAUACUUAUUGCAAAAAUCUACAAGUCAUCAAAAACCAAGUAUUAUGCGCAUGCUCCUAGGGGGAUAGAUUGGUAGGAAAAGACCAUCGCUCGUCCCCGACCGCCACUCAUAAGGAAGACAAUCAAAUAACACCUCAUGUUUCAAAUUUGUUACACAACGUUUACCAUACGUGCAUGCUACGGGACUUGCAAACUUCAACAAAAGUAUUCCUCAAAUUCACAACUACUCAACUAGCACAACUUUGAUAUCACUAUCUCCAUAUCUCAAAACAAUCAUCAAGUAUCAAACUUCUCUUAGUAUUCAAUGAACUUAUAUGAAAGUUUUUUUUAUAUCCCUUUUGGAUGCCCAUAAUAUUAGGACUAGUUUCAUAACCAAAGCAAACUACCAUGCUGUUCUAAAGACUCUCAAAAUAAUAUAAGUGAAGCACGGGAGUUCAUCUAUUUCUAUAAAAUAAAACCACCAUUGUGCUCUAAAAAGAUAUAAGUGAAGCACUAGAGCAAACAACAAACUACUCCGAACGAUAUGAGUGAAGAUCAAUGAGUAGUGGAAUAAUUAUGCAACUAUGUGAAGACUCUCUAACAUUUAAGAAUUUCAUAUGGUAUUUUAUUCAAACAGCAAGCAAAACAAAAUAAAAUAAAAUGGCGCUCCAAGCAAAACACAUAUUAUGUGGUGAAUAAAAAUAUAGCUCGAAGUAAAGUUACCGAUGAACGAAGACGAAAGAGGGGAUGCCUUCCGGGGCAUCCCCAAGCUUAGGCUCUUGGUUGUCCUUGAAUAUUACCUUGGGGUGCCUUGGGCAUCCCCAAGCUUAGGCUCUUGCCACUCCUUAUUCCAUAGUACAUCGAAUCUUUACCCAAAACUUGAAAACUUCACAAAACAAAACUUAAUAGAAAACUCAUAAGCUCCGUUAGCGAAAGAAAACAAAACACCACUUCCAGGUACUGUAAUGAGCUCAUUCUUUAUUUAUAUUGGUGUAAUAUCUACUGUAUUCCAACUUCUCUAUGGUUCAUACCCUCCGAUACUACUCAUAGAUUCAUCAAAAUAAGCAAACAACACAUAGAAAACAGAAUCUGUCAAAAACUGUAGUAAUCUGUAACUAACGCAAACUUCUGGAACCUCAAAAAUUCUAAAAUAAAUUUCUGGACGUGAGGAAUUUAUCUUUAAUCAUAUGCAAAAAUAAUUAACUAAAUAGCGCUCUCCAAUAAAAAAUGGCAGCAAUUGUCGUGAGCGCUAAAGUUUCUAUUUUUUACAGCAUGAUCAACAAGACUUUCCCCAAGUCUUCCCAACGGUUCUACUUGGCACAAACACUAAUUAAACCAUAAAAACUCAAUAAUAACAGAGGCUAGAUAAAUUAUUUAUUGCUAAACAGGAGCAAAAAUAUAGCGACCAGACCUCAAACGGUCUGAUCUAUGUGCUCAGGUAUCAUCCCUGGAUCAGUAAUGCUGACACCACACAGUACUUGGAGGAUUUAUAAUAGAGUAGUAAUCAUACACUUAUUACAACAAGUGUCUCAAUAGAGAACUUAUUACAAAAAAUAUGGCUUAAGGCCAUCUAAUAACGAUAACGGCGGAAGGCUUGGAAGAUAAGUGAGUCCAUCAACUCCAACGGCAUCACUGAGUAUAGAACCACGACCUAAAAACUCCUUAAUCGUCGUCUGAAAAGUCUGCAACAUUAACGUUGCAGCCCGAAACGGGUCAGCACAUGGAAUAUGCUGGCAAGGUAACACAUAGAGAGUAAUGGAAUGAAACAGCUAUUCUAUAUGCAUAUUUGGCUGGUGGAAAGCUCUAUGGUUACAGUUUUGCGUAAAGCCAAUUUUUCCCUACUACAAAGGAAUAAAUUUUAUUUAACUAUCAUGGUGGUUUUUAAACAUUGAGAAUGGUUGACAGCAUCCUCAAUCCCAAUUAAGCAUCAUCAUUAAACAAAACCCAACAAAAUUAAAUUUUAGAGUAACAUGUUGGGAUUCACAUGAUAAUCCAAGUACUAGAUGUCCAUAACCGGGGACACGGCUAACCAUGAUUAGUUUAUACACUCUGCAGAGGUUUGCGCACUUUUCCCACAAGACUCGAUCGCCUCCGUUUGUUUUCUCGCACUACAUGGUGUUUGAGAAGACGGAUGACCGAGACAUGGUCUUUCAGAAGCGCUAGCACCUUACGAUGGAUAGACCGUUACACCUACUUCCCCCUACAUCUGCUAGUUUACCCUAUAAGAGUUUGCACGACUUAAUCAACUAUGCUAGAGCCCAUAAUAGCUUGUGGCUGCACACGGAAGUUUCUAGUAUGAAAAAUCUCAUGAUCCCUUUGGGCCUGGGUGGCGGUCCAUAAAGAAAAACAGGCAAUCCUGGAAUACCCAAGUACCUCAAUCCACCCAGAUGUGUGAUUAAGUUGCCACCUUAGAUAAACCAUUAAUUAACAAACUCACAUCUUUCAUGGAUAUCACUCACCCAAUCCACGUCUACUAGCGUAGCAUGGCACAAUAGGUAAACAUAGAAGUAACUCCCAAAGGUCUAAUAAUAAACAGGUAAUAGGUACUACCUCAACUACUUCCCAUCCCACAGUUUAAUUAGAUCCUAAUCAUGCAAUGUUUGAGGAUUGAUCUAAUGCAAUAAAACUGGGUAGUAGGAGGUAUGAUCAAAGUGUUACUUGCCUUGCUGAUGAUCCGCGAAACCUAGAGAUUUGAAGUAACAGGCGCACACUCCGGGUAUUCUAUCGCAGACAAACAAACAAGCAUACAAUAAGUAUUCAUCUAAUGCAUGGGUAAAACUCAAAUGAGAGAUCUAACCAGAAGGUUCAACUUAAGAACUCCGGUUUGCAAAAAGAAUCAAAUCAAACGAAGCAACAAAAGUCAAACGGCAAAAGAAACAGGCUUCAUUUACUAUUCUGGAUCUAGGGCAAUAUUUACAGUGGCAAAAACUUGUUUAAGUUGGUUAAACGGAUAGAGGGUUUCGAGACAAAACUCCAGGCGCUUGAAUCGCCUGAUUCCGAUAAACGAGUGAAAAGUUAUACUAAAACGAAAAUAGGAUCAGGAAUCACGAUCAAAAAAUCACGGAUUAAAUCCGAGAAAAAGAAAAAAACGAUGAACGUUCGCUAGAAUGUACGAACAGACGAACGCUCGCUAAUUAAAUAAACCGGAAAAACCGAUCUAUUAAAAAAACCGAAACUAAAAAACGACAAAACCGUCGGAAAAACCGAACGGUUUUCUAAAAAAACCGGCGUCUAAAAAAAAUCUACCGGCAACUCCGGCGAGAUUCCGGCGGCGGCGGUGGGGCUCCGGCGGUCGGCGGUGGGGCUCCGNNNNNNNNNNNNNNNNNNNNNNNNNNNNNNNNNNNNNNNNNNNNNNNNNNNNNNNNNNNNNNNNNNNNNNNNNNNNNNNNNNNNNNNNNNNNNNNNNNNNNNNNNNNNNNNNNNNNNNNNNNNNNNNNNNNNNNNNNNNNNNNNNNNNNNNNNNNNNNNNNNNNNNNNNNNNNNNNNNNNNNNNNNNNNNNNNNNNNNNNNNNNNNNNNNNNNNNNNNNNNNNNNNNNNNNNNNNNNNNNNNNNNNNNNNNNNNNNNNNNNNNNNNNNNNNNNNNNNNNNUGCUCCGGCGGUCGUCGGCGGCGGCGGCGCAGGGCGGUCGGCGGCGGCUCGGGCUGUGGGGGUCGGGUGCCCCGGCUUAUAAAGGCCGGCCUCGGAGGAGUCCGGGCCUAACACGGCCCGUAGGUCGGUUUCGUUUUGUUUUUUUAAAAUUAUUCCACACAGAAAAACAAAUAAAAGAAAUACUAAACGGACUCCAAAAAUCCCGAAAUAAAUUUUCCCGGGCUUCUAAAAUCAAGCCGCAGAAGGUGAACAUUUAUUUGGGGCCUAAAUGCAAUUUUGAGAAACGCACAUUUUUCCUAAAUUCAAAUAAAAUACCGAAAAACUCCAAAAUAAAAUGUUAUUUGAUUUUAUUAUUAAAUCCUCAUUAUUUCUUUAUUUUGGGAAAGUCAUUUUAUUCCCUCUCUCAUAUUUGUGUAACAGAAAUAAUUGAUGAUAAAAUAAUUAAAAUCAAAUGAUCCUAUUCUGAAAAUUUGAGAAAAACUCAAAUAUGGAAAUAACGAAAUCCCCAACUCUCUCCGUGGGCCCUUGAGUUGCGUAGAAUUUCUAGGAUCAAACCAAAAGCAAAAUAAAAUAUGAUAUGCAAUGAUGAUCUAGUGUAUAACAUUCCAAAUUGAAAAUUUGGGAUGUUACAAAAAAUCAAGAAACAGAAAUAAAAUUGGGUUUCCUCCCAACAAGCACCAUCGUUUAACGCCCCUAGCUAGGCAUGAUGAUUUCAAUGAUGCUCACAUAAAAGAUAAGAAUUGAAACAUAAAGAGAGCAUCAUGAAGAAUAUGACUAGCACAUUUAAGUCUAACCCACUUCCUAUGCAUAGGGAUUUUGUUAGCAAACAACUUAUUGGAACAAUAAUCAACUAGCAUAGGUGGGCAGAACAAGCAUAACUUCAAAACUUUAAGCAGAUAGAGAGGAAACUUGAUAUUAUUGCAAUUCCUACAAGCAUAUGUUCCUCCCUCAUAAUAAUAUUCAGUAGCAUCAUGAAUGAAUUCAACAAUAUAACUAUCACAUAAAGCAUUCUUUUCAUGAUCUACAAGCAUAGAAAAUUUACUACUCUCCACAUAAGAAAAAUUCUUUUCAUUCGGAAUAGUGGGAGUAUCAUAAGAGACUUGAAUACUAUAAAUGGUUUCCACAUUAAAAGAGUAAUGUUCAGAAAAGGGGUAAUCAUAAUCAUGACAAGUUUUAUAAAUAUGAUCAUCACUACUUUUUAUAGCAUACGUAUCAUCACAAUAAUUAUCAUAAGUAGCAACUUUGUUCUCAUCAUAAUCGAUUGAAACCUCUUCCAAGAUAGUGGAAUCAUCACUAAAUAAAGUCAUGACCUCUCCAAAUCCACUUUCAUAAUUAUCGUAAGUAGGAGUCAUGCUAUCAUCAUCAUAAAUUUGCAUAUCAAAACUUGAGAGGCUAAAAAUAUCAUCUUCAUUAGACAUAGCAUCCCCAAGCUUGGGACAAACAUUAAUUUUAGCAAAUAUAUUCUCAAAAACAUCAUAUUCUUAAAACAUAGCAUCCCCAAGCUUGGGCCUUUUCAUAUCGUAAGCAUAAUCACUCUCAUCAUUAAUAGUAUGGAUAGCACCAAUAGUAUAGAAAUUAUCAUUUUCUUCCAAGCAAGUGCCAAAAAGAUUUUCAAGAUCAUAAGAAGUAUCAUUAUCUUCCCAAUCAUAAUCAUCACAACAAGCAAUAGGCAUAACGAGAUCAUCAUCAAGUGCGUCAUCUUCCACAAUUAUUUUGAUUCAUUUUCAUUAGGCACAACAAUAAUAGGAGCAACAUUAUUUGGGAGAGACUUUUUAUCUCUCUUACCUUUUCUUUUCUUCUUCUUCACCACAUUAUGUGUGGGUUUAAUCUUCAUUUUGGAGCUCCUUAUUGAUGAGAUUGGUUGAAUAGAAGGCUCCUCCUCGUUACCUGAUUCAUCAUAAGAAAUAAUAGGAGGAUACUUGGAAGUCUCUUCCCUUUCAUUAGUAUUCUCUUCAUCCUCUAUUUGUUUUCUUUUCCUUAUGUAAUUGGCAAUAUAAGGGUUUUCAAUGCAAUUCACCGCACAAUACAUAUAAAUUUCCUCUAGAUCAAAAUCAAGAAAUUUAUUGAGAUUAAAUUUUGGAAUACCCUCAGUUAUAUGUUUCAUUUCUUCAUAACCCAGAAGAAGACUAAGCUCUUUAUGAUGCUCAAGGGUAAUCAAGUUAUCACAAGUUUUGGACAUGACUUGAUCAUGGAACAAAUAGCAUUGGAGAUUUAAAUGACCAUGUUCAUUGCAAAGUUCACAAGGAUGGCGAUAAAUAUUGAAUCUUUCAGCACAAACACCUAUCCUUUCUUGCAACAAUUUAGUUUCUAAAUGCUUAUGCCUCUUGCAAUAUCUAUCUUACUUAUUUGGUGUGUACUUGCAAACCCAAUGCACUCCACAAAAAUUGACAUGUUUAUAGGAGACAUUUUCAUCAUAACUAGUGCAAUCAUCAUUAGUACUAUGGAUAUUCAAGGAGUUCAUACUAACAACAUUGCAAUCACGCUCAUCAUUCAAAGAUUUAGUGCCAAACAUUUUAAUGCAUUCUUCUUCUAACACUUUGGCACAAUUUUCCUUUUCAUCAUACUCAUGAAAGAUAUUAAAAAGAUGAAGCAUAUGAGGCAAACUUAAUUCCAUUUUUUGUAAUUUUCUUUUGUAAACUAAACUAGUGAUAAAACAAGAAACUAAAAGACUCGAUUGCAAGAUCUAAAGAUAUACCUUCAAGCGCUAACCUCCCCAGCAACGGCGCCAGAAAAGAGCUUAUGUCUACUACACAACCUUCUUCUUGUAGACGUUGUUGGGCCUCCAAGUGCAGAGGUUUGUGGGACAGUAGCAAAUUUCCCUCAAGUGGAUGACCUAAGGUUUAUCUCAAGCAACCCUGCAACCAAAUAACAAAGAGUCUCUUGUGUCCCCAACACACCCAAUACAAUGGUAAAUUGUAUAGGUGCACUAAUUCGGUGAAGAUAUGGUGAUACAAGUGGAAUAUGGAUGGUAGAUAAAUGUUUUUGUAAUCUGAAAAUAUAAAAACAGCAACGUAACUAAUGGUAAAAGUGAGCACAAAUGGUAUUGCAAUGCGUUGAAACAAGGCCUAGGGUUCAUACUUUCACUAGUGCAAGUCCUCUCAACAAUAAUAACAUAAUUGGAUCACAUAACUAUCCCUCAACAUGCAAUAAAGAGUCACUCCAAAGUCAUUAAUAGUGGAGAACAAACGAAGAGAUUAUGGUAGGGUACGAAACCACCUCAAAGUUAUUCUUUCCGAUCAAUCCGUUGGGCUAUUCCUAUAAGUGUCACAAACAUCCCUAGAGUUCGUACUAGAAUAACACCUUAAGACAAAAAUCAACCAAAACACUAAUGUCACCUAGAUACUCCAAUGUCACCUCAAGUAUCCGUGGGUAUGAUUAUAUGAUAUGCAUCACACAAUCUUAGAUUCAUCUAUUCAAACCAACACAAAGUACUUCAAAGAGUGCCCAAAGUUUCUACCGGAGAGUCAAGACGAAAACGUGUGCCAACCCCUAUGCAUAGAUUCCCAAGGUCACGGAACCCGCAAGUUGAUCACCAAAACAUACAUCAAGUGGAUCAAUAGAAUACCCCAUUGUCACCACGGCUAUCCCACACAAGGCAUACAUCAAGUGUUCGCAAAUCCUUAAAAACUCAAUCCGAUAAGAUAACUUCAAAGGGAAAACUCAAUUCAUUACAAGAGAGUAGAGGGGGAGAAACAUCAUAAGAUCCAACUAUAAUAGCAAAGCUCGCGAUAUAGCAAGAUCGUACCACCUCAAGAACACGAGAGAGAGAGAAAGAGAGAGAGAUCAAACACAUAGCUACUCGUACAUACCCUCAGCCCCGAGGGAGAACUACUCCCUCCUCGUCAUGGAGAGUACCGGGAUGAUGACACUACAAAAAAAGACACAUCCGUGACAUUUUGGGCCGAACAAAAAAUUUCUGUCAUACAUAUGACACUUCUAUGACGAUAAUUGUGACAAAACCCGGUAUCAUCAUAGAUGUGGUGGGCUCCUACUUCUAUGACAAAAAAUCAUGACAGAAAAUGGGCUUUUCGUCCUGGGCGGGACGGAGACGCAGCUGCAUGACAUUCUUUGGGCCAUCCAUGACGGAAAAAACCGUGGUAGAAGCGAGGGCGAGGAAAAUUUCGGGGAGUUCCCGGUUACGGUGGGAGGUCGGGGGCCGAGCGAUGUGUGUUUCACUCGUACACGUACGCGCGUGUGUGCGAGGCGUUGGCUCUAACUGAACCCGAGUGAGGCAUUGGGCUCUAACUGAACCCGAGCGAUUGCACUGCAGGCUACACGUUACUGAACCCGAGCGAUCGAUCGAUGGCUGUUAACUCAACCCGAUCGAGCGAUUCCUUCGCUACUGCUGCUAACUGAAGCCGAUCGAUUGGAUGAACAGUGAGCAUUGCGGGGGGGUUGGAUGAACAGGUGAGCGGUGGCGUUGCCUCUGGAUGAACAGGACCCCAUGGUGUGGAGAGCUGGAUGAACAGUAGACGAUGGAGGGGUGCCCGUGGAGGGGUGGUUGAACAGGACCCCGUGGUGUGGAGGGCUGGAUGAACAGUAGACGAUGGAGGGCUGGUUGAACAAUAGCCGGUGGAGUAGCGCGCGGUGGAGGCUGGAUGAACAUGAGCCCGUGGAGGCUGGAGGAGGUCGACGGUAGCCCGUGGAGGCUGGAGGAGGUCGACGGUAGCCCGUGGAGGCUGGAGGAGGUCGACGGUGGAGAUGAACAGUAUCCCGUGGAGUCCUGUUUUGCGGUACGCCACACCCCUCCCGAUCAACAGGACCCCAGUUUCGACCGUAGGAGGUCCGUUUCGUCCGUUUUGCGGUACGCCACACCCCUCCCAAUCAACAGGACCCCCGUUUCGACCAUAGGAGGUCCGUUUCGUCCGUUUUGCGGUACGCCACACCCCUCCUGAUCAACAGGACCCCCUGUUUCGACCGUAGGAGGUCCGUUUCCUCCGUUUUCCGGUACGCCACAGCCCUCCCGAUCAACAUGACCCCUGUUUCGACCGUAGGAGGUCUGUUCCCUCCGUUUUGCAGUACGCCACACUCCUCCCGAUCAACAGGACCCCCGUUUCGAUCGUAGGAGGUCUGUUCCCUCCGCUUUGCGGUACGCCACACCCCUCCCCAUGAACACGACGCAUUACGUUGCCUCCCCAUGAACACGACGCAUUCCGUUGCCUCCCCAUGAACAUGACGACGACAAUGUUUCUCCGUUCCGAUCCAGCCAUGUACACGAGCCCUCGCCGUACGUAUGCGCAAGUAGGCGUUCGAGACCCUGCCCGUAUGUACGUAUGUGGCCGUAUUUUCUUUCUUGCACCCUGGCCGUUGUACGUACGUGUACAUGCUAUGUGCGCGCCUCUACUACGACACAUACGCGUGUUGGAAAUAUGCCCUAGAGGCAAUAAUAAAAGCAUUAUUAUUAUAUUUCCUUGUUCAUGAUAAUUGUCUUUAUUCAUGCUAUAAUUGUGUUAUCUGGAAAUCGUAAUACAUGUGUGAAUAAUAGACACCAACAUGUCCCUAGUAAGCCUCUAGUUGACUAGCUCGUUGAUCAACAGAUAGUCAUGGUUUCCUGACUAUGGACAUUGGAUGUCAUUGAUAACGAGAUCACAUCAUUAGGAGAAUGAUGUGAUGGACAAGACCCAAUCCUAAACAUAGCACAAGAUCGUAUAGUUCGGUUGCUAGAGUUUUCCAAUGUCAAGUAUCUUUUCCUUAGACCAUGAGAUCGUGUAACUCCCGGAUACCGUAGGAGUGCUUUGGGUGUACCAAACAUCACAACGUAACUGGGUGACUAUAAAGGUGUACUACGGGUAUCUCCAAAAGUGAAUGUUGGGUUGACACGGAUCAAGACUGGGAUUUGUCGCUCCGUAUGACGGAGAGGUAUCACUGGGCCCACUCGGUAAUGCAUCAUCAUAAUGAGCUCAAAGUGACCAAGUGUCUGGUCACGGGAUCAUGCAUUACGGUACGAGUAAAGUUACUUGCCGGUAAUGAGAUUGAACGAGGUAUUGGGAUACCGACGAUCGGAUCUCGGGCAAGUAACAUACCGAUUGACAAAGGGAAUUGUAUACGGGGUUGCUUGAAUCCUCGACAUCGUGGUUCAUCCGAUGAGAUCAUCGAGGAGCAUGUGGGAGCCAACAUGGGUAUCCAGAUCCUACUGUUGGUUAUUGACUGGAGAGCGAUCUCGGUCAUGUCUACAUGUCUCCCGAACCCGUAGGGUCUACACACUUAAGGUUCGGUGACGCUAGGGUUGUAGGGAUAUGUAUAUGCAGUAACCCGAAUGUUGUUCGGAGUCCCGGAUGAUAUCCUGGACGUCACGAGGAGUUCCGGAAUGGUCCAGAGGUGAAGAAUUAUAUAUAGGAAGUGCUAUUUCGGCCAUCGGGACAAGUUUCGGGGUCACCGGUAUUGUACCGGGACCACCGGAAGGGUCCCGGGGGUCCACCGGGUGGGGCCACCUAUCCCGGAGGGUCCCAUGGGCUGAAGUAGGAAGGGAUCCAGCCCAAAGUGGGCUGGGCCGCCACUUCCCCCUAGGGCCCAUGCGCCUAGGGUAGGGGGAAACCCUAAGGAAGAGUCCCAAAAGGGGAAGGCACCUCUUAGGUGCCUUGGGGAGGAGGGAUUCCUCCCUUGGCCGCCGCCCCCCUAGGAGAUUGGAUCUCCUAGGGCCGGCGCCCCCCUAGGCCCCCCUAUAUAUAGUGGGGGAGAUGGAGGACUUCUUACCCACGCCUUUGGUGCCUCCCUCUCCCUCUCCAACACAUCCUCCUCCUCCAUAGUGCUUGGCGAAGCCCUGCCGGAGUAUUGCAGCCCCAUCACCACCACGCCGUCGUGCUGCUGCUGGAGCCAUCUUCCUCAACCUCUCCUUCCCCUUGCUGGAUCAAGAAGAAGGAGACGUUACGCUGACCGUACGUGUGUUGAACGCGGAGGUGCCAUCCGUUCGGCGCUAGGAUCUCCGGUGAUUUGGAUCACGUCGAGUACGCCUUCCUCAUCCCCGUUCUUUGAACGCUUCCGCGCGUGAUCUACAAAGGUAUGUAGAUGCAUUCCAAUCACUCAUUGCUAGAUGAACUCCUAGAUGGAUCUUGGUGAAACCGUAGGAAAUUUUUUGUUUUCUGCAACGUUCCCCAACAGUGGCAUCAUGAGCUAGGUCUUUGCGUAGUUAUCUUGCAUGAGUAGAACACAAUUUUUUGUGGGCGCUGAUGUUGUCAACUUUCUUGCCGCUACUAGUCUUAUCUUGCUUCAAUGGUAUUGUGGGAUGAAGCGGCCCGGACCAACCUUACACGUACGCUUACGUGAGACCGGUUCCACCGACUAACAUGCACAAGUUGCAUAAAGGUGGCUGGCGGGUGUCUGUCUCUCCCACUUUAGUUGGAGCAGAUUCAAUGAAAAGGGUCCUUAUGAAGGGUAAAUAGAAGUUGACAAAUCACGUUGUGGCUUUCACGUAGGUAAGAAAACGUUCUUGCUAGAACCCUACUUCAGCCACGUAAAACUUGCAACAACAAUUAGAGGACGUCUAACUUGUUUUUGCAGCAGGUGCUUUGUGAUAUGAUAUGGCCAAAGUUGUGAUGAAUGAUGAAUGAUAUAUAUGUGAUGUAUGAGAUGUUCAUGCUAUUGUAAUAGGAAUCACGACUUGCAUGUCGAUGAGUAUGACAACCGGCAGGAGCCAUAGGAGUUGUCUUUAUUUUUGUAUGACCUGCGUGUCAUUGAGAAACGCCAUGUAAAUUACUUUACUUUAUUGCUAAACGCGUUAGCCAUAGUAGUAGAAGUAAUAGUUGGUGAGCAACUUCAUGGAGACACAAUGAUGGAUAUCAUGAUGAUGGAGAUCAUGGUGUCAUGCCGGUGACAAGAUGAUCAUGGAGCCCCAAGAUGGAGAUCAAAGGAGCUAUGUGAUAUUGUCCAUAUCAUGUCACUUUUAUUAUUUGAUUGCAUGUGAUGUUUAUCAUAUUUAUGCAUCUUGUUUACUUAGAACGACGGUAGUAAAUAAGAUGAUCCCUCAUAAUAAUUUCAAGAAAGUGUUCCCCCUAACUGUGCACCGUUGCGACAGUUCGUUGUUUCGAAGCACCACGUGAUGAUCAGGUGUGAUAGAUUCUAACGUUCACAUACAACGGGUGUAAGACAGAUUUACACAUGCAAAACACUUAGGUUGACUUGACGAGCCUAGCAUGUACAGACAUGGCCUCGGAACACAAAAGACCGAAAGGUCGAGCAUGAGUCGUAUAGAAGAUAUGAUCAACAUGAAGAUGUUCACCGACGUUGACUAGUCCGUCUCACGUGAUGAUCGGACACGGCCUAGUUAACUCGGAUCAUGUUAUCCUUAGAUGACUGGAGGGAUGCCUAUGUAAGUGGGAGUUCAUUGAAUAAUUUGAUUAGAUGAACUUAAUUAUCAUGAACUUAGUCUAAAAUGUUUACAAUAUGUCUUGUAGAUCAAAUGGCCAACGUAGUCCUCAACUUCAACGCGUUCCUAGAGAAAACCAAGCUGAAAGACGAUGGCAGCAACUACACGGACUGGGUCCGGAACCUGAGGAUCAUCCUCAUAGCUGCCAAGAAAGAUUAUGUCCUACAAGCACCGCUGGGUGACGCACAUGUUCUCCCUGCAGAACAAGACAUUAUGAACGCUUGGCAGGCACGUACCGAUGACUACUCCCUCGUUUAGUGCGGCAUGCUUUAUAGCUUAGAGCCGGGGCUCCAAAAGCGUUUUGAGAGACACGGAGCAUAUGAGAUGUUCGAAGAGCUGAAAAUGGUUUUCCAAGCUCAUGCCCGGGUCGAGAGAUAUGAAGUCUCCGACAAAUUCUUCAGCUGUAAGAUGGAGGAAAAUAGUUCUGUCAGUGAGCACAUACUCACAAUGUCUGGGUUACAUAACCACUUGACUCAGCUGGGAGUUAAUCUCCCGGAUGACGCGGUCAUUGACAGAAUCCUUCAGUCGCUUCCACCGAGCUACAAGAGCUUUGUGAUGAACUUCAAUAUGCAGGGGAUGGAAAAGACCAUUCCUGAAGUAUUUGCAAUGCUGAAAUUAGCAGAGGUAGAAGUCAAAAAGGAACAUCAAGUGUUGAUGGUGAAUAAAACCACUAAGUUCAAGAAAGGCAAGGGUAAGAAAACCUUCAAGAAAGACGGCAAGGGAGUUGCCGCGCCCGGCAAGCAAGCUGCCAGGAAGAAGCCAAAGAAUGGACCCAAGCCCGAGACUGAGUGCUUUUAUUGCAAGGAAAGUGGUCACUGGAAGCGGAACUGCCCCAAAUACUUAGUGGACAAGAAGGCCGGCAAAACGAAAGGUAUAUGUGAUAUACAUGUAAUUGAUGUGUACCUUACCAGUACUCGUAGUAGCUCCUGGGUAUUUGAUACCGGUGCGGUUGCUCACAUUUGUAACUCAAAACAGGAGCUGCGGAAUAAGCGGAGACUGGCGAAGGACGAGGUGAUGAUGCGCGUUGGAAAUGGUUCCAAGGUCGAUGUGAUCGCCGUCGGCAUGGUACCUCUACAUUUACCUACGGGAUUAGUUUUGAACCUCAAUAAUUGUUAUUUAGUGCCAAGUUUGAGCAUGAACAUUGUAUCAGGAUCUUGUUUAAUUCGAGAUGGCUACUCAUUUAAAUCCGAGAAUAAUGGUUGUUCUAUUUAUAUGAGAGAUAUGUUUUAUGGUCAUGCUCCGAUGGUGAAUGGUUUAUUCUUAAUGAAUCUCGAGCGUAAUGCUACACAUGUUCAUAGUGUGAGUAAAAAAAGAUGUAAGAUUGAUAAUGAUAGUCCCACAUACUUGUGGCACUGCCGCCUUGGUCACAUAGGUGUCAAACGCAUGAAGAAGCUCCAUGCUGAUGGUCUUUUAGAGUCUCUUGAUUACGAAUCAUUUGACACGUGCGAACCAUGCCUCAUGGGUAAAAUGACCAAGACUCCGUUCUCAGGAACAAUGGAGCGAGCAACCAACUUAUUGGAAAUCAUACAUACUGAUGUGUGCGGUCCAAUGAGUGUUGAGGCUCGCGGUGGCUAUUGUUAUGUUCUCACCCUCACUGAUGCCUUGAGUAGAUAUGGGUAUGUCUACUUAAUGAAACACAAGUCUGAGACCUUUGAAAAGUUCAAGGAAUUUCAGAGUGAGGUUGAGAAUCAACGUGACAGGAAAAUCAAGUUCCUGCGAUCAGAUCGUGGAGGAGAAUACUUGAGUCAUGAGUUUGGCACACACUUAAGAAAAUGUGGAAUAGUUUCACAACUCACGCCGCCUGGAACACCUCAGCGUAAUGGUGUGUCCGAACGUCAUAAUCGCACUCUAUUAGAUAUGGUGUGAUCUAUGAUGUCUCUUGCCUAUUUACCGCUAUCUUUUUGGGGGUAUGCUUUAGAGACUGCCGCAUUCACUUUAAAUAGGGCUCCGUCGAAAUCCGUUGAGACGACACCGUAUGAAUUAUGGUUUGGGAAGAAACCUAAGCUGUCGUUUCUAAAAGCUUGGGGAUGCGAUGCUUAUGUCAAGAAACUUCAACCUGAAAAGCUCAAACCCAAGUCGGAGAAAUGUGUCUUCAUAGGAUACCCUAAAGAAACUAUUGGGUAUACCUUCUACCUCAGAUCCGAAGGCAAGAUCUUUGUUUCCAAGAAUGGAUCCUUUCUAGAGAAGGAGUUUCUCUCGAAAGAAGUAAGUGGGAGGAAAGUAGAACUUGAUGAAGUAUUACCUCUUGAACCGGAAAAUGGCGCAACUCAAGAAAAUGUUCCUAAGGUGCCUGCACCGACUAGAGAGGAAGUUAAUGAUGAUGAUCAUGAUACUUCUGAUCAAGCUCCUACUGAAAUUCGAAGGUCCACAAGGACACGUUCUGCACCAGAUUGGUACGGCAACCCUGUCUUGGAAAUCAUGUUGUUAGACAAUGGUGAACCUUCGAACUAUGAAGAAGCGAUGGCGGGCCCGGAUUCUGACAAAUGGCUGGAAGCCAUGAAAUCCGAGAUAGGAUCCAUGUAUGAAAACGAAGUAUGGACUUUGACUGACUUGCCCAUAGAGCGGCGAGCCAUAGAAAAUAAAUGGAUCUUUAAGAAGAAGACAGACGCGGAUGGUAAUGUGACCAUCUAUAAAACUCGGCUUGUCGCUAAGGGUUAUCGACAAGUUCAAGGGGUUGACUACGAUGAGACUUUCUCACCGGUAGCGAAGCUAAAGUCCGUCCGAAUCAUGUUAGUAAUUGCCGCAUUCUAUGAUUAUGAGAUAUGGCAAAUGGACAUCAAAACGGCAUUCCUUAAUGGUUUCCUUAAGGAAGAAUUGUAUAUGAUGCAGCCGGAGGGUUUUGUCGAUCCUAAGUAUGCUGACAAGGUAUGCAAGCUCCAACGCUCGAUUUAUGGGCUGGUGCAAGCAUCUCGGAGUUGGAACAUUCGCUUUGAUGAGAUGAUCAAAGCGUUUGGGUUCACGCAGACUUAUGGAGAAGCCUGCGUUUACAAGAAAGUCAGUGGGAGCUCUGUAGCAUUUCUCAUAUUAUAUGUAGAGCUUUUGGACAGCAUUAAGGCCUACUUGAAUAAGAGUUUUUCAAUGAAGGACCUUGGAGAAGCUGCUUAUAUAUUAGGCAUCAAGAUCUAUAGAGACAGAUCAAGACGCCUCAUAGGUCUUUCACAAAGCACAUACCUUGAUAAGAUAUUGAAGAAGUUCAAUAUGGAUCAGUCUAAGAAGGGGUUCUUGCCUGUGUUGCAAGGUGUGAAAUUGAGCUCAGCUCAAUGUCCGACCACGGCAGAAGAUAUAGAAGAGACGAGUGUCAUCCCCUAUGCCUCAGCCAUAGGUUCUAUUAUGUAUGCCAUGCUGUGUACCAGACCUGAUGUAAACCUUGCCAUAAGUUUGGUAGGUAGGUACCAAAGUAAUCCCGGCAAGGAACACUGGACAGCGGUCAAGAAUAUCCUGAAGCACCUGAAAAAGACUAAGGAAAUGUUUCUCGUCUAUGGAGGUGACGAAGAGCUCGUCGUAAAGGGUUACGUCGACGCUAGCUUCGACACAGAUCUGGAUGACUCAAAGUCACAAACCGGAUACGUGUAUAUUUUGAAUGGUGGGGCAGUAAGCUGAUGCAGUUGCAAGCAGAGCGUCGUGGCGGGAUCUACAUGUGAAGCGGAGUACAUGGCAGCCUCGGAGGCAGCGCAUGAAGCAAUUUGGGUGAAGAAGUUCAUCACCGACCUAGGAGUCAUACCCAAUGCGUCGGGGCCGAUCAAGCUCUUCUGUGACAACACUGGAGCUAUUGCACUUGCAAAGGAGCCCAGGUUUCACAAGAAGACUAGGCACAUCAAGCGUCGCUUCAACUCCAUUCAUGAAAAUGUUCAAGAUGGAGACAUAGGUAUUUGUAAAGUACAUACGGACCUGAAUGUAGCAGAUCCGUUGACUAAACCUCUCCCGAGCAAAACAUGAUCAACACCAGAAUUCCAUGGGUGUUCGAUUCAUCACAAUGUAACUAGAUUAUUGACUCUGGUGCAAGUGGGAGACUGUUGGAAAUAUGCCCUAGAGGCAAUAAUAAAAGCAUUAUUAUUAUAUUUCCUUGUUCAUGAUAAUUGUCUUUAUUCAUGCUAUAAUUGUGCUAUCCGGAAAUCGUAAUACAUGUGUGAAUAAUAGACACCAACAUGUCCCUAGUAAGCCUCUAGUUGACUAGCUCGUUGAUCAACAGAUAGUCAUGGUUUCCUGACUAUGGACAUUGGAUGUCAUUGAUAACGAGAUCACAUCAUUAGGAGAAUGAUGUGAUGGACAAGACCCAAUCCUAAACAUAGCACAAGAUCGUAUAGUUCGGUUGCUAGAGUUUUCCAAUGUCAAGUAUCUUUUCCUUAGACCAUGAGAUCGUGUAACUCCCGGAUACCGUAGGAGUGCUUUGGGUGUACCAAACGUCACAACGCAACUGGGUGACUAUAAAGGUGUACUACGGGUAUCUCUGAAAGUGUCUGUUGGGUUGACACAGAUCAAGAAUGGGAUUUGUCGCUCCGUUUGAUGGAGAGGUAUCACUGGGCCCACUCGGUAAUGCAUCAUCACAAUGAGCUCAAAGUGACCAAGUGUCUGGUCACGGUAUCAUGCAUUACGGUACGAGUAAAGUGACUUGCCGGUAACGAGAUUGAACGAGGUAUUGGGAUACCGACGAUCGGAUCUCGGGCAAGUAACAUACCGAUUGACAAAGGGAAUUGUAUACGGGGUUGCUUGAAUCCUCGACAUCGUGGUUCAUCCGAUGAGAUCAUCGAGGAGCAUGUGGGAGCCAACAUGGGUAUCCAGAUCCCGCUGUUGGUUAUUGACCGGAGAGCGAUCUCGGUCAUGUCUACAUGUCUCCCGAACCCGUAGGGUCUACACACUUAAGGUUCGGUGACGCUAGGGUUGUAGGGAUAUGUAUAUGCAGUAACCCGAAUGUUGUUCGGAGUCCCGGAUGAGAUCCCGGACGUCACGAGGAGUUCCGGAAUGGUCCAGAGGUGAAGAAUUAUAUAUAGGAAGUGCUAUUUCGGCCAUCGGGACAAGUUUCGGGGUCACCGGUAUUGUACCGGGACCACCGGAAGGGUCCCGGGGGUCCACCGGGUGGGGACACCUAUCCCGGAGGGUCCCAUGGGCUGAAGUAGGAAGGGAUCCAGCCCAAAGUGGGCUGGGGCGCCACUUCCCCCUAGGGCCCAUGCGCCUAGGGUGGGGGGGAAACCCUAAGGAAGAGUCCCAAAAGGGGAAGGCACCUCCUAGGUGCCUUGGGGAGGAGGGAUUCCUCCCUUGGUCGCCGCCCCCCUAGGAGAUUGGAUCUCCUAGGGCUGGCGCCCCCCCCCCUAGGCCCCCCUAUAUAUAGUGAGGGAGAUGGAGGACUUCUUACCCACGCCUUUGGUGCCUCCCUCUCCCUCUCCAACACAUCCUCCUCCUCCAUAGUGCUUGGCGAAGCCCUGCCGGAGUACUGCAGCCCCAUCACCACCACGCCGUUGUGCUGCUGCUGGAGCCAUCUUCCUCAACCUCUCCUUCCCCUUGCUGGAUCAAGAAGAAGGAGACGUUACGCUGACCGUACGUGUGUUGAACGCGGAGGUGCCGUCCGUUCGGCACUAGGAUCUCCGGUGAUUUGGAUCACGUCGAGUACGCCUUCCUCAUCCCCGUUCUUUGAACGCUUCCGCGCGUGAUCUACAAAGGUAUGUAGAUGCAAUCCGAUCACUCGUUGCUAGAUGAACUCCUAGAUGGAUGUUGGUGAAACCGUAGGAAAUUUUUUGUUUUCUGCAACGUUCCCCAACAACGCACCUCUACUACGACACGUGCACGCCUCUACAUCGACCAGUAUAUAUGUACGUACACGUCCGCGACCAGAAUGACAAUGCUACGUAUGCUUCGACCAGGUGGGUCCCGACUGUUAGGCACUUCCUUGCCUGCAAAGAUGUAGCUGGUGGGUCCCAGCAGUCAGGGGGUGAAUUGUUUUGGUUUUUUUUGUCCGGAUGCACUUCCUUGUGUGCGAAGAUGUAGCUGGUGGGUCCCAGCAGUCAAGGGGGCGGAUCAUUUUUUUUGCCCGGACGCACUUCCUUGCAUGCGAAGGUGUAGCUGGUGGGUCCCAGCAGUCAGGGGAAAACAUUUUUUUCGUGAAAUACGGUGGCCCGUCCGGUGGGUCCCUGUUGUCAGGUGGAGGAAUCAUUAUUUUCCAUGUAAUAAAGAGGCACUUCCUUGCUGCCACCGUGGACCCAGCUGUCAGCCUCUCCACGUACAGUCCACGUCCGAUUGAAGUCGUUCCUUGACCAUGUUGACCACGCCGCGCCGAGAGCACCAGGGCGGUGGAUGACGGCGAGGCCUAGGAAGGGGACGACGCGGAGCAGGUGAAGACGCCGCAGUGGAUGCCCACCCGGAGAAGAGUAUGAGGGUUCACUCGUUCGACUGCGGUGUGAGGCUGCCGUCGCCGCAGGGCCUGGCCAGCGGUGGGAAUAGUAGGGGGCGGUGAGGCCUCCGCGGCAACAUAGCUGGCCACGGGAAGCAGGAGCAGGCGGCACGACCGGCGCUUCUUUGGGUGGCUGGAGCAAGAAGACCAGAGGUUUAAGAAGCACUACGGCCGUUGGAUGGACAACGUACAGUCACUGGAGCUAGAAUCGUUCAUAUUGACUAAGUUGACAAAGCCCUCUGUCCCCGUCAACUUAGUAGGCCCACAAGUCAGCCUCCCACCAAGGUGGGUCCCAGCUAGCAGGGGGAUUAUUCAUUUUUUGUGUGUGAUAAGGAGGCACUUCCGGUGGGUCUGAGCUGAUAGCGGGAGGAACAUUUUUUUCGCGAAAUACGGUGGCCCGUCCGGUGGGUCCCAGCAGUCAGGGGGGAAACGUUUUUUUCGUUAAAUAAGGUGUCCCGUCCGGUGGGUCCCCGCUGUCAGGUGGAGGAAUAAUUAUUUUGCGCGUAAUAAGGAGGCAAUUCCUUGCAGCCGCUGUGGACCCAGCUGUCAGCCUCUCCACGUACAGUACUCUUCCGAUGAAAGUCGGUCGUUGACCACGUUGACCACGCCGCGCCGAGAGCACCAGGGCAGUGGACGACGGUGAGGCCUAGGAAGGGGACGACGCGGAGCCAGGGAAGACGCAAUAGUGGAAGCCCGCGCGGAGACCAGUACGAGGGUUCACUGGUUCGGCUGCGGUGUGAGGCUACCGUCGCCGCAGAAUAACAGGGGGUGUGGGUGAGUGGAGGGAUGGCCUGGCCAGCGGUGGGAGUAUUAUGGGGGCGGUGAGGCCUCCGCGGCAGCACAGCCGGCCACGGGAGGCAGGAGCAGGCAGCAUGACCGGCGCUGCUUUGGGCGGCUGGACCAAGAAGACCAGAGGUUGAAGAAGCACUACGGCCUUUGGAUGGACAUCGUACGGUCACUGAAGCUAGAAUCGUUUAUAUUGUUAACAAAGCCUUGGUACGCUCCAACUUAGUAGGCCCACAGGUCAGCCUCCGAAACGGUGCGCCCCAGAUGUCAGGGGGAGGAAUCAUUUUUGGGCGGCCGAAGCUAAGAAUAUCCGAGAUUGAAGAAGAAGCACGACAUCCGUUGGAUAGACAUCCAACGGCCACUGCUGCUAGAACCGUGUGUUGACUAUAAUAAGUUGACAAAGCCUUGCAUACGCGUCAACUUAUUUUUUUAGGGGACGCAUCACUUAGUAGGCCCACAAGUGUGUGGGAGAGAACUUAUAGCCCAUUUGUGUUUUGUAAGAAUGUACAUCCCAUUUUUGAAUUCUAAUGGAAUUUACAACAGCCCAUUUAUAGUUUGUUAAAAGUACAGCCCAUUUUCUAGCUAGGACAAUGAUUAAUAAUUUGAACCAACCGUUGAAGACAGAAUUCAAUAAAAAUUUCCCACAUUUUGAUAGGAUCCGAAAUAUUUUUAUCCCGAAAUUUCUAGUCAGAUUAAAUAUAAAUUUGUAUUACGUAAAAAUCCAACGAAACAUUGCACACACAACAAUGAAAAUUUAAGAUUUUCAAAAUCCAUAAAUAAUAUUUUAUAAACUAAUUUCGUGUUUGGUGCAUUUUUUAUAGUUACUGCCCAAUUUUUAUAAUUACAUCCCAUUUAUUAUUUUUUAAAGCCCAUUUUCCUGUUAAGCCUAAUGCAUCCCUCCUAGGAAAGAUUUGCAGCCCAGCGGGGCGGAGAAUAACAAGUUGAUCUUGCCUGGGUAUUCCUCGAAAAGACGUAUAGCUGGGCUAGCCAUUUUCAUCUUGAAAAAAUUAGUAUCUAGGCUGGAUAUCUGGCCUGGGCUAGACGGGCCAUAGCCCGCCCAGUUAAUACCUUGCUCUCCUCUGAACAACAACGAAAUCAUCUUCAAGAAAAAAACUCUGCAGUGCUCAUGCCUCAAAAACACAAAUACUGCUCGAGCUGCUUGGUCCCAGCUGUCGGCCGCACCUUGUGCAAUUCUCUCGUUUAUAUUGACUACAUAGGUUGACAAUGGUGUGGGACCGUGAUGUCAGGAAACCAGGAGAAAGCAAAAAAAAUAUAGUUGUACAUAAUAAGGAGGCACUUGCGUACGUACGGCUAUGGCCCUAGUGGGUCCCUAGUGUCAUCCAGUCAAAAUAAAGUCAUCUCCUGAAUCCUCAUAUUCGCUGACGAUGUUAACAAUGCUCGGCGCCACAGCGAGCGCAACAACUCGAAGGACAACGGAGAGGGCCUCGCGGGCCCUAGGGAUGAUCUGAUACAGCGCCUGCUGCUCAUUCAGGAAGCCAGGAUCAUCGGACACCUAUGAGCACCUUCGAGAAACUGAGACGGCAUGAAACGGUAAGGCCACGCUUGGGAGCUCUGGUUUAUUUCAAACUUGUAUUAACAUACAAGUGUAAUUUACUCGUCAUCGGAAACAACGCGUAAAAUACAGGUGUAAUGAAACCGAGGGCUCGAGGUCUGUAAGUAAAACAUGCGGGUUACGCGUGUAAUUUGAGAGACCAGUGUAUAUUUUAUGAGCACUGCUAUAUGGACGACAUUACCAGACGAUACAUGCACGACGUGCAUAUCAUGCCAUCCAUGGGCAAGGCGGAAACAGCAGCCAACAGCUGGAUUAGCAAUCGUCCGAGUGUCGUUCAGCGUUUUCAUCGUGUGAAGUACUUCCGAUAUUUUACUAGUCGAAAUCGACCAACCAAGCGCCUUCACCUGAGACCAUCUGCUUUAAUUUACAAGCAUCAGUUUUACAAGCGGUUUUGGUUGGAAAACGAUGAUCUAAUCACGGCCUAAUAUCAUGAGUUGGUCGGAAGAUCAUAUGGUUUCACGUCUAACCUACCCGACUUGUCGUAUAGGCUAUGAAUGAAGCAUCACAUGAUGAACUUCUUAAGCAUGGAAACAAUAGAAGAGGAUGAUCUUCUUAACAAACAAAUCACUGGCAUUAGAUCGACAUGCAAAACAAUACGAAGCAUUAUUCUCAGGAGGCACAGUGAACAGCUCAUGAUGCCGCAUGCCACAACAUUCCAAGCUCAACUUUGCAAUCAAACACAAGGCCUGGCAUUACAUAGACAAUAUUCAGAACAAACUCUUAAUACAGGAAUAUCUCAGCAAAGUAACUAUUUACUUCUAAACUGAACACAGGAAUAGGAAAAAACACUCGAUGCUGCUCACAGCAAGGGCGUCCCACUCAAAAGUAUCAAAUGCAUGUCUUCUGGCUAACAUCAAUGAGCAAAUUUUGACAAGGUUUUCCAAUUCCAAUAUAUUAAAGUAACAUCUUCUUGCUAACAUCAAUGAUUAAACUUUGACAAGCUUUUCCCAUUCAAAAUAUGUAAUGCCUAUGAUCGUGGAGUCCUGUUGUAGCUUCUUGUACUUGUUUGGGCACUUUUUGCCCAGGGCACUCCACAUGUUGUUAAAUUGCCAAUGGUCUCUGUAGACUAGUCAUGUCACCGGUGUCUAAUAAUACUAUGUAAAGCUUCUCGGUCAUUCCUUCUGUAAUGUAGCGCAAACAGUGACUGCUUCUUUCUGCAAAGUGGAACGACCAACUGGACCCAGUAAUGCAGCAGAUUGCCUUACACAUUGGCUCAUUUUGUGAAGUUCAACUAAAAUCAAAGUCGGAAUAAAACCGAGCUUUAAUUUUGAUAUCUCUGUAAGCAACAAUAGGUUUAAGGGAAACAAUUACAUAGAAAUAACGGUUGAUGACUUGUACUCCCAGAAGAAAAGCAUCUACUAAUCUACUUUAUCUUAAUGGGAAACAAAGCAGGAUAGUAGCAAUUCUCCAUCAGUGCGAUUCAUUCAUAUUGACUGAGACAUUAUCUUAACAAUGCCUUGUUUCAACAUGUAUAAAGAACGACAAAACAGAAAAGUACCAUUCCUAAAACAAUGCAACUUAUUCAUUUUAACAGAGACAUUAUCUUAACAAUACCUUGGUUAAACAUGUAGAAAGAACUACAAAGCAGGAUAGUACCAUUCCUAACAAGUGUUGCAGUUUUGAACUAAGAUUUAGUAGUUAAUUAAUUCUGAGAGUGGCAUUGCUUAAUUUUACCAGCGGCAUUAGAUUAACGAAAAGCAUAAAUAGUUCCAGGGGAGAGUGGGAGCAACAACAGUAUGUGCUUCCAUCUACUUAUAAAGGGGGUGAUGUAGAGUUUGUUGUAACAAAGCAACAAGCAUCAUGUCUGGGUUGGUCCCAUUUUUGUUCACUACUUAAUGGGAAAAGACAGCAAUACAAUAGGUUCAAUUCAACAUUUAUUUAAAACAGUACCAAUACAAGUAGCACAACAUCUCAAAGCACACUGCACAAUCAUCUGGAUGAAGGCCUGUACUGACCUUUCAUGAGACGGACAAGAUAAAAUACAAAUCUGCCAACACGAAUAGGAAAUCCAAUCUCGUUUUGUGCAGUUGCACUGAAAUCAAGAAAAGUGUUUCGCGUAGCGAAGCAAAAUGUCGCAAUAGCAACAAGUUGAAUAAGUAUCCCUGUUUAAACAAAGGCAAAAAAGGAAUCAAUUACUGGCUAAUAAAGGAGGAUGAAACAUGCGGCCACAAAAAUGGUAAUCCUGCCAAUCCCUAACAAGUGUUGCAGUUUUGAAAUAAGAUUCAGUAGUUAAUUCUGAGAGUGGCAUCAAUUACUGGCUUAUAAAGGGGGUAAUGUUGAAUUUGUUGUAACAAAGCAACAAGCAUCAUGUCUAGGUUGGUCCCAUUUUUGUUCACUACACUAGUAGAAAAGGGGGCAACGGUCCAGGCUGGGUCAGCCCAUUAGUCCCGGUUCAGUCUAGAACCGGGACCCAUGGGGGCAUUGGACCCGGUUCGUGAGCCUAGGGGGCCGGCCGGGCCACGUGGGCCAUUGGUCCCGGUUCGUCUGGACCUCUUGGUCCCGGUUGGAGGGACGAACCGGGACCAAUGGCCUCGCUCCUAGCCCACCACCAUUGGUCCCGGUUGGUGGCUUGAACCGGGACCAAAGGCUCCCCUUUAGUCCCGGUUCAUGCCACCAACCGGGACCAAUGAGGUGCCUAUAUAUACCCCCUCGCGUAAGAGCAGAGCACACUGCUUUGUUUUUUUCUGGCCGAGGGGGAGAGGGCUUGGUGGUGCUCUAGCUCACCUCCUAUGCACACAAGGUGUUCGAUGGAAUGCCCGAGCCACACUACUUAAGCUUUCUCCUCUCCAAGCUCGACCUUCAAGCUCCAUUUUCCUCAAUAUCUGUCUAGGUUUAGCGGUCCGUCACGCCCCGUCCCCGUCUUCACCGCCGUCGAUCACCCACGCUGAGCUCAUCGUCGGCACCACCAUGGUGAGCCUCUUGUUCUUAUCUUCUUUUUGAAAGGAAAAAAAAUUCUUACUUGUAUGUUUACAUAGAUACUUGUAUUAUUUUCUUACUUUUAUUAUUGCAUCUUAUAUAGUGCAAUGGUUUUGGUAUCCGCCCCCGUCGGCCCUCGUCCUGUCUAUGAUUCGGAUGUGGUAUAUAUAUUAUCUUUAUAACUAUUGGUUCAUUUAUUGUUUAUGAAAAUUAUGCCGACCAACGUAACAUAGAUUUUAUUUAUGUAGGAUGUAUGUGAAUCGGAAAUUCCAACCGACCCUAUUGUCGAGAGGUUAAAUUUACUUGAAGAAGAAAACAAUUUUUUGAAGGAAAAAAUAAAAAAUAUUGAGGAGGAGAAUAUGAUAUUGGAGUUGCAUGUUGCGGAUGUCGUCGAUGAUCACAAGAUCAAGAUGGAUGCAAUGCACUUGAAGAUUAGAAAGAUUAGAAAAUAUGCCAUUCAUACCGAGGCUUGGUAUCAUUAUGCUGUUGGAUCAAUUGUUACCUUGGUUGCGAUUAUAAUCGCAUUUGUUUUCGCAUUGAAAUGUUUUACAUAGUUUCAAUGUAUGGUUUAAUUAAUUAGAUGCUCUGGAGAGCUAUAUGUUGUUAGAUGAGAACUAUGUAUGUACUUUGGUUUUAAUGUGAUGAUGAACUUCUAUUAAUUUGGACACUUAAUUAUAUAUAACGCACGCAGAUGAACCGGCAAUGGAUGUACGCUGACAGACACACCUCCGAGUACAUUAAGGGCGUGCAUGAGUUUCUCGAUGCGGCUGAGGCAAACAAGUAGAAUGGUUUUAUGUGUUGUCCAUGCACUGAAUGUGGGAAUAUGAGGUCUUACUCUAACCGGAAAAUCCUUCACUCGCACCUGCUUUAUAAGGGUUUCAUGCCACACUAUAAUGUUUGGACGAGGCACGGAGAAAUAGGGGUUAUGAUGGAAGACGGCAAAGAAGAAGAGUACGAUGACAACUAUGUGCCCCCUGAAUACGGUGAUGCUGCAACGGUGGGAGCUGGUGAAGAUCAAGAGGAACCAGACGAUGUGCCCAAUGAUGCUGCAACGGGUGAAGCUGUUGAAGAUCAAGAGGAACCAGACGAUGUGCCCGACGAUGAUGAUCUCCGCCGGGUCAUUGUCGAUGCAAGGACGCAAUGCGAAAGUCAAAAGGAGAAGCUGAAGUUCGAUCGCAUGUUAGAGGAUCACAAAAAAGGGUUGUACCCCAAUUGCAAAGAUGGCAACACAAAGCUCAGUACCGUACUGGAAUUGCUGCAGUGGAAGGCAGAGAAUGUUGUGGCUGACAAAGGAUUUGAGAAGCUACUGAAAAUAUUGAAGAAGAAGCUUCCAAAGGAUAACAAAUUGCUCGACAGUACAUACGCAACAAAGAAGGUCGCAUGCCCUCUAGGAUUGGAGGUGGAGAAGAUACAUGCAUGCCCUACUGACUGCAUCCUCUACCACGGUGCAUACAAGGAUCUGAACGCAUGCCCGGUAUGCGGUGCAUUGCGGUAUAAGAUCAGACGAGAUGACCCUGGUGAUGUUGACGGCGAGCCCCAAGGAAGAGGGUUCCUGCGAAGGUGAUGUGGUAUGAUCCUAUAAUACCACGGUUGAAACGUUUGUUCAGAAACGAAGAGCAUGCCAAGUUGAUGCGAUGGCACAGUGAGGACCGGAAGAAAGACAGGAAGUUGAGAGCACCCGCUGACGGGUCGCAGUGGAGAAAAAUCGAGAGAAAGUACUGGGAUGAGUUUGCAAAGGACCCAAGGAACGUAUGGUUUGCUUUAAGCGCGGAUGGCAAUAAUCCUUUUGGGGAGCAGAGCAGCAAUCAUAGCACCUGGCCCGUGACUCUAUGUAUGUAUAACCUUCCUCCUUGGAUGUGCAUGAAGCAGAAGUUCAUUAUGAUGUCAGUUCUCAUCCAAGGCCCUAAGCAGCCCGGCAACGACAUUGAUGUGUACCUAAGGCCGUUAGUUGAAGAACUUUUACAGCUGUGGAAUGGAAAUGGUGUACGUACGUGGAAUGAGCAUAGACAUGAGGAAUUUAACCUAAAGGCGUUGUUGUUCGUGACCAUCAACGAUUGGCCCGCUCUCAGUAACCUUUCAGGACAGACAAACAAAGGAUACCACGCAUGCACGCACUGUUUAGAUGACAUUGAAAGUAUAUACCUGGACAAAUGCAGGAAGAAUGUGUACCUUGGCCAUCGUCGAUUUCUUCCGACCAACCAUCAAUGUCGACAGAAAGGCAAGCAUUUCAAAGGCGAGGCAGAUCACGGGAAGAAGCCCGCCAUGCGUACCGGUGAUCACGUACUUGCUAUGGUCAAUGAUUUACACGUAAUCUUUGGAAAGGGUCCCGACGGACUAGCUGUUCCGAAUGACACUGAGGGACACGCACCCAUGUGGAAGAAGAAAUCUAUAUUUUGGGACCUACCCUACUGGAAAGACCUAGAGGUCCGCUCUUCAAUCAACAUGAUGCGCGUGACGAAGAACCUUUGCAUGAACCUGCUAGGCUUCUUGGGCGUGUAUGGGAAGACAAAAGAUACACCUGAGGCAUGGGAGAACCUGCAACGUUUGCACGAAAAAGAUGGCAUGCCUCUGAAGUAGUAUAAAGGUCCUGCCAGCUACGCUCUUACGAAAGAAGAGAAAGAAAUCUUCUUUGAAUGCCUGCUCAGUAUGAAGGUCACGACUGGCUUCUCGUCGAAUAUAAAGGGAAUAAUAAAUAUGCCAGAGAAAAAGUUUCAAAACCUAAAGUCUCAUGACUGCCACGUGAUUAUGACGCAACUGCUUCCGGUUGCAUUGAGGGGGCUUCUACCGGAAAACGUCCGAUUAGCCAUUGUGAAGCUAUGUGCAUUCCUCAAUGCAAUCUCUCAGAAGGUGAUCGAUCCAGAAAUCGUACCAAGGCUAAGGAGUGAUGUGGCGCAAUGUCUUGUCAGUUUCGAGCUGAUGUUCCCACCAUCCUUCUUCAAUAUCAUGACGCAUGUCCUAGUUCAUCUAGUCGACAAGAUUGUCAUCCUGGGGCCCGUAUUUCUACACAAUAUGUUCCCCUUUGAGAGGUUCAUGGGAGUCCUAAAGAAAUAUGUCUGUAACCGUGCUAGGCCAGAAGGAAGCGUCUCCAUGGGCCAUCAAACAGAGGAUGUUAUCGGGUUUUGUGUUGACUUCAUUCCUGGCCUUAAGAAGAUAGGUCUCCCUAAAUCGCGGUAUGAGGGGAGACUGACUGGAAAAGGCACUCUUGGAAGUGACUCAAUAAUAUGCAGGGACGGAUAUUCUUGGUCUCAAGCACACUACACAGUUCUACAGAACUCUACCUUGGUGACCCCGUAUGUCGAUGAACACAAGAACAGUCUGCGCUCCAAACACCCGGAGCAGUACGACGACUGGAUUAUAUGUGAACACAUCAGGACUUUCAGCAGUUGGUUGGAAACACGUCUCAGAGGUGACAACACUGUUUGUUAUGAGCUGUACUUGUUGUCCAGGGGACCAUCUUUGACUGUAUUGACUUACAAAGGAUACGAGAUAAAUGGGAAUACAUUUUACACGAUCGCCCAAGAUCAAAAGAGCACCAACCAAAACAGUGGUGUCCGCUUUGAUGCAGCAACCGAGAGCGGAAAGGACACAUAUUAUGGUUACAUAGUGGACAUAUGGGAACUUGACUACGGACAUGAUUUUAAGGUCCCUUUGUUUAAGUGCAAAUGGGUCAAUCUGUCAAGAGGCAGGGUAUAGGUAGACCCACAGUACAGAAUGACAACAGUGGAUCUGAAAAAUCUUGGGUACACUGACGAACCGUUCCUCCUAGCCAAUGAUGUGGGACAGAUUAUCUAUGUGAAGGACAUGUCUACCAAACUGAGAAAAAGAAAAGAUAAGGAAGCGAAUACAUCAUACGAUGAGCCAAAGCGCCACAUAGUUCUUUCAGGAAAAAGGGAUAUCCUAGGAGUGGAGGGCAAGACAGACAUGUCUUAAGAUUAUGAAAAGUUUCAUGAAAUUCCUCCCUUCAAUGUCAAGGCUGACCCAAGCAUCCUGAUAAACGAUGAAGAUUAUCCAUGGUUACGGCGCAAUAAGCAAAUGACACAAGCGAAGAAAAAGUGAAGACUUUCUCCCGCAACUAUUAUGAUGAUACCAUGCCAACUUUGUAACACACGAGUAUGCUAUGCCAACUUUUUCAGACUUCAUUUGAAAACUAUGAAUUUAGGUCGAAUUUUCUCUAUAGGUGCAUCUAUGUUCAUUUUUUUAGUAAAGUUAAUCACAAACUUGUGAUUCACACAAAUUUCAAAGAAUUCAAACUUUAACUAUUCAAAUUUGAAAACUAAUGGCACUAACAGAAAGUUUAUAAGUUUUCUAAAACUAAUGGCACUAACAGAAAGUUUAUAAUUUUGCUGACCUAAAAGCAAAAAGGAUUAAAAAAUAAAGCAAAACACAAAAGAAAAUAAAUAAGACAGAAAAAACAAAAAAACUGGAAAAAUAAUAAAAAUAGCAAAAAUAAGUAUUUUGUUGUAAGUAGAAACAAAAUAAAAUAAAUAAAGCAACAAAGAAAACAAAAAGACUAAAAAAGUGUUUUCAAAUAUGAAAACUAAUGGCACUAACAGAAAGUUUAUAAUUNNNNNNNNNNNNNNNNNNNNNNNNNNNNNNNNNNNNNNNNNNNNNNNNNNNNNNNNNNNNNNNNNNNNNNNNNNNNNNNNNNNNNNNNNNNNNNNNNNNNNNNNNNNNNNNNNNNNNNNNNNNNNNNNNNNNNNNNNNNNNNNNNNNNNNNNNNNNNNNNNNNNNNNNNNNNNNNNNNNNNNNNNNNNNNNNNNNNNNNNNNNNNNNNNNNNNNNNNNNNNNNNNNNNNNNNNNNNNNNNNNNNNNNNNNNNNNNNNNNNNNNNNNNNNNNNNNNNNNNNNNNNNNNNNNNNNNNNNNNNNNNNNNNNNNNNNNNNNNNNNNNNNNNNNNNNNNNNNNNNNNNNNNNNNNNNNNNNNNNNNNNNNNNNNNNNNNNNNNNNNNNNNNNNNNNNNNNNNNNNNNNNNNNNNNNNNNNNNNNNNNNNNNNNNNNNNNNNNNNNNNNNNNNNNNNNNNNNNNNNNNNNNNNNNNNNNNNNNNNNNNNNNNNNNNNNNNNNNNUAAAUAAUGCAGAAAACAAAACAAAAAAACUGGAAAAAAUAGGCACUAAAAGCAAAAAAAACUAAAAAAGUAUUUUCAAAUUUUAAACCUAAUGGCACUAACAGAAAGUUUAUAAUUUUUGUGACCUAAAAGAAAAAAGAAAUCACUAAAAAACUAUAAGUAUUUUGUUCUAAGUAGAAAUGAAAUAAUAAAUAGAAAAAAAGAAAAAAAUGCAUAUAAUAUUUGUUAUGACUAACUAAAAUUACCAAAUUGAGUAUAAUGAUAAAACACAAUAAUAUUAAAUAGCAGGAAAAAGAAUGACUCAAAAAUCAAUUUUUAUAGUAAAGUUAUUCAUAAACUAGUGAUUCACACAAAUUUAAACUAUUCAAAUUUUAUAACUAAUGGCACUAACAGAAAGUUUAUAAUUUUUGUGACCUAAAAGAAAAAAAAUCACUAAAAAACUAUAAGUAUUUAGUUCUAAGUACAAAUGAAAAAAAUCAAUAGUAAAAAAAUGCCACCUACUGGGCCACCACAGCCUGAAUACGACUAGAAGCCCAUCCAUGUGCCAGGAUUCAGGCCCGCAGAAGGCCCAGCGGGCCCACAGGCAUAGCGGUGUGAGAUUAGGCCCAGAGGCCUGCAGUUUUGAGGAGUUCGAUGGAGAUGGCGGGGCAGCGCUUAUAAACAGGUGCGGCCGCUCCUCAGCUAGCAAGGUGGGACUAAACAUCCCACCGCACCGCGGCUUUGGCAGGCGCAGGCCAUUGGUCCCGGUUNNNNNNNNNNNNNNNNNNNNNNNNNNNNNNNNNNNNNNNNNNNNNNNNNNNNNNNNNNNNNNNNNNNNNNNNNNNNNNNNNNNNNNNNNNNNNNNNNNNNNNNNNNNNNNNNNNNNNNNNNNNNNNNNNNNNNNNNNNNNNNNNNNNNNNNNNNNNNNNNNNNNNNNNNNNNNNNNNNNNNNNNNNNNNNNNNNNNNNNNNNNNNNNNNNNNNNNNNNNNNNNNNNNNNNNNNNNNNNNNNNNNNNNNNNNNNNNNNNNNNNNNNNNNNNNNNNNNNNNNNNNNNNNNNNNNNNNNNNNNNNNNNNNNNNNNNNNNNNNNNNCUGCGCCCCUGCCCCGACGCCAUCCUCGCCGCCAACCCCGCCCGCGCCUCAGCUUGGUCCAGCCUCCGGCGCCCUCCCUUUGCAAUUUUUUUCAUAUAUAUGCUUGUUUUAUAUAUAUAUAUAUAUAUAUAUAUAUAUAUGCUUGUUUUUAUAUAUGCGUAAUGAUUUUUUUAUAGAAUAUGAUGUUUUUUCAUAGAUGAUCACAUAUACGAUGUAUGCACGAAUGUGGAUGAAAUAUGAUGUUUUUUGUUCAUAGAACAUGAUGUUAUUUUAAUUCACAGAUUUUUUUUUGUUCAUGAGAGAGGCGGGGACGUUGAGGGAUCAUAGAUGUAUUUUUUCCAGAAUUUUCUAUCGUGCAUAGACGGAUUUUAGACCACGGGAGCACCCCCUCCCUAUCGUUGCAAAAUUUGCUAAGUGAUAUUAAGAAGGAAGGAAAAGAAGGAUAGGAAAGAAAGAAAAUAAGAAGAGGAAAUAAAGAAGAAGAGGAGAGGAAGAAGAGGAGAAAUAAAUAAGAAGAAGAAAAAAGAAGAAAAAGAAGAGGAGAAGAAGAAAGGAAUAGUGGAGAAGAAGAGAAAAUAGAAUAUAUUCUAUUUUUUCUUCUUCUCCUCUUUUUUUUCUUCUUUUUUUCUUCGAUCUUCUCCUCUACCUAUNNNNNNNNNNNNNNNNNNNNNNNNNNNNNNNNNNNNNNNNNNNNNNNNNNNNNNNNNNNNNNNNNNNNNNNNNNNNNNNNNNNNNNNNNNNNNNNNNNNNNNNNNNNNNNNNNNNNNNNNNNNNNNNNNNNNNNNNNNNNNNNNNNNNNNNNNNNNNNNNNNNNNNNNNNNNNNNNNNNNNNNNNNNNNNNNNNNNNNNNNNNNNNNNNNNNNNNNNNNNNNNNNNNNNNNNNNNNNNNNNNNNNNNNNNNNNNNNNNNNNNNNNNNNNNNNNNNNNNNNNNNNNNNNNNNNNNNNNNNNNNNNNNNNNNNNNNNNNNNNNNNNNNNNNNNNNNNNNNNNNNNNNNNNNNNNNNNNNNNNNNNNNNNNNNNNNNNNNNNNNNNNNNNNNNNNNNNNNNNNNNNNNNNNNNNNNNNNNNNNNNNNNNNNNNNNNNNNNNNNNNNNNNNNNNNNNNNNNNNNNNNNNNNNNNNNNNNNNNNNNNNNNNNNNNNNNNNNNNNNNNNNNNNNNNNNNNNNNNNNNNNNNNNNNNNNNNNNNNNNNNNNNNNNNNNNNNNNNNNNNNNNNNNNNNNNNNNNNNNNNNNNNNNNNNNNNNNNNNNNNNNNNNNNNNNNNNNNNNNNNNNNNNNNNNNNNNNNNNNNNNNNNNNNNNNNNNNNNNNNNNNNNNNNNNNNNNNNNNNNNNNNNNNNNNNNNNNNNNNNNNNNNNNNNNNNNNNNNNNNNNNNNNNNNNNNNNNNNNNNNNNNNNNNNNNNNNNNNNNNNNNNNNNNNNNNNNNNNNNNNNNNNNNNNNNNNNNNNNNNNNNNNNNNNNNNNNNNNNNNNNNNNNNNNNNNNNNNNNNNNNNNNNNNNNNNNNNNNNNNNNNNNNNNNNNNNNNNNNNNNNNNNNNNNNNNNNNNNNNNNNNNNNNNNNNNNNNNNNNNNNNNNNNNNNNNNNNNNNNNNNNNNNNNNNNNNNNNNNNNNNNNNNNNNNNNNNNNNNNNNNNNNNNNNNNNNNNNNNNNNNNNNNNNNNNNNNNNNNNNNNNNNNNNNNNNNNNNNNNNNNNNNNNNNNNNNNCGACGCCCACGUCACUUGUGGGACGUGGAUGUAGUGUCCGACACCGACGGCCACAUGUAUCUCACACCCACGAUACUUGCUAUUUAGGGUUUCCUCUACCGCUCGGUGACCCUCGAUGACCCUCGUUCCCGAUAAAAAAAAGAGGAAGAAGAAGAAAAAAAGAGGAGAAGAAAGAAUAAAGGAGUUCUUACUCCUCUAUUCUUUCUUCUCCUCUUUUUUUUCUUCCUAUUCUUUUUUUAUCCUUGAAGCGUUGUCGAGGCCACCCCAAACCCUAGAGAAGCAGCGUCGAGGCCACCCCAAACCCUAGAGAAGCAGCAUCGAGGCCACUAAUUAAUAUUAGUUCUACGUUUGCCACUAAUAUAUCCAUCUAUCAUGUUUGAAUAAUAAUUGCCAUGUUGUAAAUAUUUGUAGAAACUAUGGACACCGCCCGAGACGAAGUACAAGAAGUGUUGUUGGGGGACAUAAUCGCACGAGGAAGUGGUGCCGUCUGCUCGUUGUUUCUCAACGACACCGAUGGUCUGGAAGCAGCUGGCUAUGAUUAUGAUGGCUCCGGUGACCUACUGCCGGUGCAAGAAGGAGACCGUGAGGAUGGCUCCGGUGACCCAAUGCCGGUGCAAGAAGGAGACCGUGAUGACGUCUCCGGUGACCGAACCGAGUCUGGCCAUGUAUAUAUAUUAGUUAAGCUUCUGCUGACUAGCGAAUUGAUGCAUUCAUUGUUUUGGUAUGUACACAUAUUAAUUAAGAGACACCAGAAUUCAAAGGCAGAUAUGAGAAGAUUAGAGAUCACUGGCCCGCAUUUGUAGCCCACAAGACAUCAAAAAAGAGUAAGAAGAUGUCGGCGACAAACAAGCAAAAUGCUGCGAAGAAGAAGCAUCACCAUCGCACGGGGUUAGGUAGCUACCUCGUAGCCCGGCCUAAGUGGGCCAAGACUGAGAACGAUCUGGUUGAUAAAGGGAUCGAACCAGAGACAAUUAACUGGCCAGACCGUUGCCGGACUUGGUUCUUCGGGUCUGGCGGAACCUUGGACCCUAUAUCAGGGAAGUGCAUUUGGACAAACAAUCAAAUGGACAUACCAGUCAAGAAGCUUCAGCAGUAUAUCGAAGCAGCGCAAAAAGGGACGUUCGUUCUAGAUAGAGAGAACGACGAGCUCACAAUGGCCCUCGGGAAUCCUGAGCACCCUGGACGGACACGAGGCACGCCAGGCUCCAUUCCAUGGAAGGUUGGGUUUCCGGAUGCAGGCAGUUACAAAUGCCACGAGAGGAGGAAGAAAGUGGAGCAGACCCAAUUGCAGGCGCUGCACUCUAGGGUACAAGCGAUAAAGGAACGAGAAGCAAAUCGCAGCAAACGAACUGCCAAAGUUUCCCCUGAAGCUACCCCACCAUCUCAGCGGAGAAGCAGCGUGGCUUCCACCGAGCUGCUUCAGCCGGAGCAUGUCUUGACGGCUCCUGCCAGCUAUCCCGUGGAUGCUAUCACGGAGUCUCAAAAUUGCCACCUUAUGACGCAAUGGAUUAAUAUGAAGGUCAAGGCAGCUGUUGGCUCUGUUUUUCCUACUGAACCCGGCGCAACUUUUCACUGCCGGCCGAUUCCAGAAGGAUAUGCUAGGGUGAUGGUGGAUGAAAUAACGGAGGGAUUUGAGGACCUCCAGCUUGACCACCCUACCGGCGAAGGGGAGACUCGGUUGGGUUCUGCUCAGAAGACUCCAUGCCUAUGGCGGAAGGAGCUCAUCAACCUUCCGAACUGGACGCCUCCGCCUCCUCCUCCUCCUCCGGCGAGUCAGGGCACUCCGCCUCCUCCACCGCCUCCUGUUGGAAAUAUGCCCUAGAGGCAAUAAUAAAUUAGUUAUUAUUAUAUAUUUCAUUGUUCAUGAUAAUCAUUUAUUAUCCAUGCUAGAAUUGUAUCGAUAGGAAACUCAGAUACAUGUGUGGAUACAUAGACAACACCAUGUCCCUAGUAAGCCUCUAGUUGACUAGCUCGUUGAUCAAUAGAUGGUUACGGUUUCCUAAUCAUGGACAUUGGAUGUCGUUGAUAACGGGAUCACAUCAUUAGGAGAAUGAUGUGAUGGACAAGACCCAAUCCUAAGCCUAGCACAAAGAUCGUGUAGUUCGUAUGCUAAAGCUUUUCUAAAUGUCAAGUAUCAUUUCCUUAGACCAUGAGAUUGUGCAACUCCCGGAUACCGUAGGAGUGCUUUGGGUGUGCCAAACGUCACAACGUAACUGGGUGGCUAUAAAGGUUCACUAUAGGUAUCUCCGAAAGUGUCUGUUGGGUUGGCACGAAUCGAGACUAGGAUUUGUCACUCCGUGUAAACGGAGAGGUAUCUUUGGGCCCACUCGGUAGGACAUCAUCAUAAUGUGCACAAUGUGAUCAAGGAGUUGAUCACGGGAUGAUGUGUUACGGAACGAGUAAAGAGACUUGCCGGUAACAAGAUUGAACAAGGUAUCGGGAUACCGACGAUCGAAUCUUGGGCAAGUAUCAUACCGAUGGACAAAGGGAAUUGUAUACGGGAUUGAUUAAGUCCUUGACAUCGUGGUUCAUCCAAUGAGAUCAUCGUGGAGCAUGUGGGAGCCAACAUGGGUAUCCAGAUCCCGCUGUUGGUUAUUGACCGGAGAGUUGUCUCGGCCAUGUCUGCAUGACACAUGAACCCGUAGGGUCUACACACUUAAGGUUCGAUGACGCUAGGGUUAUAGGGAAAGUAUGUAUGCGGUUACCGAAUGUUGUUCAGAGUCCCGGAUGAGAUCCCGGAAGUCACGAGGAGUUCCGGAAUGGUCCGGAGGUAAAGAUUAAUAUAUAGGAAGUAUGGUUUUGGCCACCGGAAGUGUUCCGGGCAUCACCGGUAGUGUACCGGGACCACCGGAGGGGUCCGGGGGUCCACCAGGUGGGGCCACCAGCCCCGGAGGCCUACAUGGGCCAAUAGUGCGAAGGGACCAGCCCCUAGGUGGGCUGGGGCGCCUCCCACCAAGGCCCAAGGCAUCCUCAAGGGGAGAGGGGGCAAACCCUAGGCGCAGAUGGGCCCUAAGGCCCACCCUAGGUGCGCCCCCCUCUCUCUCCCCCUUGGCCGCCUCCCAGAUGGGAUCUGGGGGCUGCCGCCACCCCUAGGGAGGGAACCCUAGGUGGGGGCGCAGCCCCUCCCCUCCCCCUAUAUAUACUUGAGGUUUGGGGCUACCCAACACAUGUGAUUUGCUCUCCCUGUUGGCGCAGCCCUACCCCUCUUCCUCCUCGUCUCUCGUAGUGCUUGGCGAAGCCCUGCUGGAGUCCCGCGCUCCUCCACCACCACCACGCCGUCGUGCUUCUGCUGGAUGGAGUCUUCCCCAACCUCUCCUACUCCCCUUGCUGGAUCAAGGCGUAGGAGACGUCACCGGGUUGUACGUGUGUUGAACGCGGAGGUGCCGUCCGUUCGGCACUAGGAUCAUCGGUGAUUUGGAUCGCGACGAGUACAACUCCAUCAACCCCGUUCACUUGAACGCUUCCGCUUAGCGAUCUACAAGGGUAUGUAGAUGCACUCUCCAUCCCUCGUUGCUAGAUUACUCCAUAGAUUGAUCUUGGUGAUGCGUAGAAAAUUUUGAAUUUCUGCUACGUUCCCCAACAGUGGCAUCAUGAGCUAGGUCUAUGUGUAGUUUCUAUGCGCGAGUAGAACACAAGUUGUUGUGGGGGUGAUUUUGUCAAUUUUCUUGCCGUUACUAGUCUUAUCUUGAUUCGGCGGCAUCGUGGGAUGAAGCGGCCCGGACUGACCUUACACAUACUCUUACGUGAGACUGGUUCCACCGACUGACAUGCACUAGUUGCAUCAGGUGGCUAGCGGGUGUCUGUCUCUCCCACUUUAGUCGGAUCGGAUUCGAUGAAAAGGGUCCUUAUGAAGGGUAAAUAGAAAUUGGCAUAUCACGUUGUGGUUUUCGCGUAGGUAAGAAACGUUCUUGCUAGAAACCAAUAGCAGCCACGUAAAAACUUGCAACAACAAUUAGAGGACGUCUAACUGUUUUUGCAGCAUAUGCCUUGUGAUGUGAUAUGGCCAAAAGGAUGUGAUGAAUGAUAUAUGUGAUGUAUGAGAUUGAUCAUGUUCUUGUAAUGGGAAUCACGACUUGCAUGUCGAUGAGUAUGACAACCGGCAGGAGCCAUAGGAGUUGUCUUAAUUUAUUUAUGACCUGCGUGUCAACAUAAACAUCAUGUAAUUACUUUACUUUAUUACUAAAGCGUUAGCCAUAGUAGUAGAAGUAAUAGAUGACGAGACAACUUCAAGAAGACACGAUGAUGGAGAUCAUGAUGAUGGAGAUCAUGGUGUCAUGCUGGUGACAACGAUGAUCAUGGAGCCCCGAAGAUGGAGAUCAAAAGGAGCAAAAUGAUAUUGGCCAUAUGAUGUCACCAUUUGAUUGCAUGUGAUGUUUAUCAUGUUUUACAUCUUAUUUGCUUAGAACGACGGUAGCUUAAAUAAGAUGAUCCCUCACUAAAAUUUCAAGAAAGUGUUCCCCCUAAUUGUGCACCGUUGCGAAGGUUCGUCGUUUUGAAGCACCACGUGAUGAUCGGGUGUGAUAGAUUCUAACGUUUGAAUACAACGGGUGUAAGCCAGAUUUACAUAGCAAAAACACUUAGGUUGACUUGACGAGCCUAGCAUGUACAGACAUGGCCUCGGAACACGGAAGACCGAAAGGUCGAGCAUGAGUCGUAUAGAAGAUACGAUCAACAUGAAGAUGUUCACCGAUGUUGACUAGUCCGUCUCAUGUGAUGAUCGGACACGGCCUAGUUGACUCGGGUCAUGUUUCACUUAGAUGACUAGAGGGACGUCUAUCUGAGUGGGAAUUCAUUAAAUGAACUCAAUUAUCAUGAACAUAGUCUAAAUUGUCUUUGCAAAUAUGUUGUAGAUAAAUAGCUCAUGUUGUAGCUCCCUGUUUCAAUACAUUCCUAGAGAAAGACCAAGUUGAAAGAUAUUGUAAGCACUGAUGCGGACUAGGUCCGUAGUCCGAGGAGUGUCCUCACUGCUACACAGAAGGCUUACGUCUUUAAUGCACCGCUCGAUGUGCAAACCCCUACAACGUCGUCUGUGGAUGUUGUGAACACCUGACAAACACAUCCUGAUGACUACUUGAUAGUUUAGUGCACCAUACUUUACGGCUUAGCAUCGGGAUUCCAAUGACGUUUUGAACGCCAUAGAACAUAUGAGAUGUUCCAAGAGCUGAAAUUGGGACUUCAGGCUCAUGCCCGUGUUGAGAGGUGUGAGACCUCUGACAAGUUCUUUUGCCGACAAGAUGGAGGAGAAUAGCUCAGCUAGUGAGCAUGUGCUCAGAAUGUCUGGGUGCUACAAUCACUUAAAUCAAGUGGGAGUUAAACUUCCAGAUAAGAUAGUGAUUGAUAGAGUUCUCUAGCCACUAUCACUAAGCUACUAGAUCUUCGUGAUGAACUAUGACAUGCAAGGGAUGGAGUUGAUCCCAGAGCUGUUCGCGGUGCUUAAGACCGCAAAAGGUAGAAAUCAAGAAGGAGCAUCAAGUGUUGAUGGUUAAACAAGACCACUGGUUUCAAGAAGGGCAAGGGCUAUAAGGGAAACUUCAUGGAUGGCAAACCAGUUGCCUCUCAAGUAAAGGAACCCAAGGUUGAACCCAAACCUGAGACUAAGUGCUUCUAUUGUAAAGGGGACGGUCACUGGUAGCGGAAUUACCCCAAAUGCAUGGUAGAUAAGAAGGCUGGCAACUUCAACAAAGUAUAUACGUGUUAUUAAUGUGUACCUCGCUAGUACUCCUGGUAGCACCUGGGUAUUGGAUACCGGUUCAGUUGCUAUUACUGGUGACUUGAAGCAAAAGUUGCGGACUAAACGGAGACUGGCUGAGGGCGAGGUGGUGAUGUGUGUUGGAAGUGUUUCCAAAGUUGAUGAGAUCACCAUCGCACGCUCCAUCUGCCUUCGGGAUUAGUAUUGAACCUAGAUAAAUGUUGUCAGGUGUCUACGUUGAGCAUGAAUAUGAUUAGAUCAUGUUCAUUGCAAUACGGUUAUUCAUUUAAAUUAGAGAAUAAUGGUUAUUCUGUUUACAUGAAUAAUACCUUUCAUGGUCAUGCACCCUAUGUGAAUGGUUCAUUGAAUCUCGGUCGUGGUAAUACAAAUGUUCACGCCGAAGGAUGUAGAGUUAAUAAUGAUAGUACCACUUUCUCGUGGCACUGCCGCUUAGGUCAUAUUGGCGUAAGAUGCAUGAAGAAACUCCAUGUCGAUGGAUGUUUGGAGUCACUUGAUUUUGAAUCACUUGACACAUGCGAGCCAUGCCUCAUGGGCAGGAUGACUAAGACCCCGUUUUCAGAUACAAUGAAACGGGCAAGUGACUUGUUGGAAAUCAUGCAUGCUGAUGUGUGUGAUCCAAUGAGAAUUGAAGCGUGCGGUGGAUAUCGCUAUUUUCUCAUCUUCACUGACGAUUUGGGUAGAUAUAGGUAUAUCUACUUAAUGAAGCACAAGUCUGAAACGUUUGAAAAGUUCAAGCGAUUUCAGAGUGAAGUUAAGAAUCAUCAUAACAAUGAGAUCAUGUUCCUACGAUCUGAUCAAAAGGGGAUUUUCUGAGUUAUGAGUUUGGCAAUCACUUAAGACAUUAUGGAAUUGUUUCACAAUUGAAGCCACCUGGAACACCACAAGAUAAUGGUGUGUCCGGAUGUCGUAAUCGAACACUAUGAGAUAUGGUGCGAUCUAUGAUGCCUCUUACCAAUCUACCGUUUUCAUUUUGAGGUUAUGCGUUAGAGAUAGCUGCAUUCACUUUAGAUAGGACACCAUCUAAGUCGGUUGAGACGACGUCGUAUGAACAUUGGUUUGGCAAGAAACCAAAGUUGUCGUUUCUUAAUGUUUGGGGCGGCGAUGCUUAAGGCUUCAGCCAGAGAAGCUCGAACCCAGAGCGGACAAACACACCUUCAUAGGAUACCCAAAGGUGAUAGUAGGGUAUACCUUCUAUCUCAGAUCCGAGGGCAAAUUGUUUGUCGCUAAGAACGGGUCCUUUCUCGAGAAGGAGUUUCUCUCGAAAGAAUUGAGUGGGAGGAAGAUAGAACUUGAUGAGGUUGUCGAACCUUUAUUUCAACCAGAGAGUGAUGCAACACAGAAAGAUGUUUUCUGUGGAGCCUAUGUUUGUUGAAUGGGAAGUUAAUGAUAGUGAUCAUGAAGCUUCGUAUCAAGUUGCUAUCGAACCUCGUAGGUCGACAAGGAUAUGUACUACUCCUAAGUGGUACGGUAAUCCUGUCUUAGAUAUCAUGUUGUUAGACAACAAUGAACCUACAAGCUAUGGAGAAGCGAUGGUGGGCCCGUAUUCCGACAAAUGGUUAGAAGCCAUGAAAUCCGAGAUAGGAUCCAUAUAUCAGAACAAAGUAUGUACUUUGGUGGACUUGCCCGAUGAUCGGCAAGCCAUUGAGAUAAAUGGAUCUUUAAGAAGAAGACGGACAUGGGCGUAAUGUUACCGUCUAUGAAGCCCGACUUGUGAGAAAGAGUCUUUUCACAAGUUCAAGGAGUUGACUACAAUGAGAAUUUCUCACCCGUAGCGAUGCUUAAGUCCGUCGGAAUCAUGUUAGCAUUAGCUGUAUUUUUCGAUUAUGAAAUCUUACAGAUGGAUGUCAAAACAAGUUUUCUUACCAAGUUUUCAUAAGAAAAGUUGUAUGUGAUACAAUAAAAAGUUUUUGACGAUCCUAAGGAUGCUAAAAGGUAUGCUGGCUCCAGCAAUCCUUCUAUGGACUAGAGCAAGCAUCUCGGAGUCAGAAUAUAUGCUUUGAUGGAGUAAUCAAAGCUUUUAGGUUUAUACAAUGUUUGCUAGAAACUUGUAUUUACAAGAAAGUGAGUGGGAGCACUACAACAUUUCUGAUAAGUAUAUGUGGAUGACAUAUUGUUGAUCCUAAAUGAUGUAGAAUUUCUGGAAAGCAUAAACGGUUGUUUGAAGAGUGAUUUUCAAAGGAAGACCUGGAUAAAGCUGCUUACAUAUUGGGCAUCAGGAUCUAUAGAAAUAGAUCAAGACGCCUGAUGAUAUUUUCAAAGAACGCACACCUUGACAUGUUUUUGAAGGAUAUCAAAAUAGAUCAGUCAAAGAAGGGGUUCUUACCUGAGUUGUAAGGUGUGAAGUUGAGUAAGACUCGAAGCUUGACCACGGCAGAAGAAAGAGGAAGGACGAAGGUCGUCCCCUAUGCUUUUGUCAUAGGCUCUAUAUGGUAUGCCAUGCUGAAGUACCGCACCUGAUGUGUGCCUUGCCACAUGUCUGGCAAGAGGGUACAAAGGUGAUCUAGGAGUAGAUCACCGGGUAGCAGUCAAAAAUUAUCCUUAGAGGAAUAAGGAAAUGUUUCUCGGUUAUGGAGGUGAUAAAGAGUUCGACGUAAAGAGUUACAUUGAUGCAAGCUUGACAUAGCUCUGAGUAGAGAUACCGGAUACGUAUAAUGGAGCAACAAUUUGGAAUAGCUCCAAGUGGAACGUGGUAGCAGCAUCUACGAUAUAAAGUUUUGCGAAAUACAUAGGAAUCUGAAUAUGGCAAGACCCGUUGACUACAACCUCUCUCACAAGCAUAACAUGAUCAAACCCAGAACUCUUUGAGUGUUUAUCACAUAGUGAUGUGAACUAGAUCAUUGAGUCUAGUAGACUCUUGGAGGUUGGUCACAUGGCGAUGUGACCUGUGAGUGUUAAUCACAUGGCGAUGUGAACUAGAUUAUUGACUCUAGUGCAAGUGGGAGACUGUUGGAAAUAUGCCCUAGAGGCAAUAGUAAAUUAGUUAUUAUUAUAUAUUUCAUUGUUCAUGAUAAUCGUUUAUUAUCCAUGCUAGAAUUGUAUCGAUAGGAAACUUAGAUACAUGUGUGGAUACAUAGACAACACCAUGUCCCUAGUAAGCCUCUAGUUGACUAGCUCAUUGAUCAAUAGAUGGUUACGGUUUCCUAACCAUGGACAUUGGAUGUCGUUGAUAACGGGAUCACAUCAUUAGGAGAAUGAUGUGAUGGACAAGACCCAAUCCUAAGCCUAGCACAAAGAUCGUGUAGUUCGUAUGCUAAAGCUUUUCUAAAUGUCAAGUAUCAUUUCCUUAGACCAUGAGAUUGUGCAACUCCCGGAUACCGUAGGAGUGCUUUGGGUGUGCCAAACGUCACAACGUAACUGGGUGGCUAUAAAGGUUCACUACAGGUAUCUCCGAAAGUGUCUGUUGGGUUGGCACGAAUCGAGACUGGGAUUUGUCACUUCGUGUAAACGGAGAGGUAUCUCUGGGCCCACUCGGUAGGACAUCAUCAUAAUGUGCACAAUGUGAUCAAGGAGUUGAUCACGGGAUGAUGUGUUACGGAACGAGUAAAGAGACUUGCCGGUAACGAGAUUGAACAAGGUAUCGGGAUACCGACGAUCGAAUCUCAGGCAAGUAUCAUACCAAUGGACAAAGGGAAUUGUUUACGGGAUUGAUUAAGUCCUUGACAUCGUGGUUCAUCCGAUGAGAUCAUCGUGGAGCAUGUGGGAGCCAACAUGGGUAUCCAGAUCCCGCUGUUGGUUAUUGACCGGAGAGUUGUCUCGGCCAUGUCUGCAUGACUCACGAACCCGUAGGGUCUACACACUUAAGGUUCGAUGACGCUAGGGUUAUAGGGAAAGUAUGUAUGCGGUUACCGAAUGUUGAUCAGAGUCCCGGAUGAGAUCCUGGACAUCACGAGGAGUUCCGAAAUGGUCCGGAGGUAAAGAUUAAUAUAUAGGAAGUAUGGUUUUGGCCACCUGAAGUGUUCCGGGCAUCACCGGUAGUGUACCGGAACCACCGGAGGGGUCCGGGGGUCCACCAGGUGGGGCCACCAGCCCCAGAGGCCUACAUGGGCCAAUAGUGGGAAGGGACCAGCCCCUAGGUGGGCUGGGGCGCCUCCCACCAAGGCCCAAGGCAUCCUCAAGAGGAGAGGGGGCAAACCCUAGGCGCAGAUGGGCCCUAAGGCCCACCCUAGGUGUGCCCCCCUCUCUCUCCCCCUUGGCCGCCUCCCAGAUGGGAUCUGGGGGCUGCCGCCACGCCUAGAGAGGGAACCCUAGGUGGGGGUGCAGCCCCUCCCCUCCCCCUAUAUAUACUUGAGGUUUGGGGCUGCCCAACACAUGUGAUUUGCUCUCCCUGUUGGCGCAGCCCUACCCCUCUUCCUCAUCGUCUCUCGUAGUGCUUGGCUAAGCCCUGCUGGAGUCCCGCGCUCCUCCACCACCACCACGCCGUCGUGCUGCUGCUGGAUGGAGUCUUCCCCAACCUCUCCUUCUCCCCUUGCUGGAUCAAGGUGUAGGAGACGUCACCGGGUUGUACGUGUGUUGAACGCGGAGGUGCCGUCCGUUCGGCACUAGGAUCAUCGGUGAUUUGGAUCACGACGAGUACGACUCCAUCAACCCCGUUCACUUGAACGCUUCCGCUUAGCGAUCUACAAGGGUAUGUAGAUGCACUCUCCUUCCCUCGUUGCUAGAUUACUCCAUAGAUUGAUCUUGGUGAUGCGUAGAAAAUUUUGAAUUUCUGCUACGUUCCCCAACACCUCCUCCUCCGGCGAGUGACGAUCAGGGCACUCGGCCAGCUCCUUCUCCGGCGUGUGGCGGCACUCUGCCUCCUUCUCCGCCUGCGCCGGUGCGCCCGAGUAGCCAGCCUCCUCCUUCUCCGCCUCGUCAGCAAGGGCGGAAGAGACCUGCCGCCGCUCUGGCUGCUCCGGCGCGUCGUAGUCCUUGUCCUCCGCCUCGUAAGAAAGUAAAGAAGACAACCGCUCUAUCUGCUCUGCCGGCGUUUAGCAGUACAGCCAGAGGCGGGAGGACAUACAGAUUUGGUCCUUCUCUGAAGACUCCAGAGAAGUUACCAUACGAGAGGACCCCGGAGGAGAACGUCGAGAUCGUGCGAGAAGAAGUGAGGAACUUCUUUGAAGGGGUGAAAGCAAAGAAACAUCCACCACCGGAGGAGAAGGUUGAUCCGGUGAAAGCGAAGCGCACUCUGGCUGCCCUGACAAAACCACCCAAGUCUCUGCCGAAAGGCAACUAUGAGUGCAUUAUUGGAAAGGAAUUUGUCGAAGCGGAGCGGUCGGGAAGUACUGUCAGUGAUCAAAGGCUGAAAGAAUGACGAGCUGGGAAACAAAUUGCCCAGCUCGGCGAACAAGCGAAGCAAUCGUGCCCCCCGCUCAAGGUGCCUAGCGACAUCGACGCUAACGAUCCGAGGAUGGUUCCCGGUUAUAGCAAUCUUGCAGAUUACCUGCCCGACGAUGUACAUUAUGAUUUCAUGGAGGUUCGGAUACAAAGAUACGAGCACGGGAAGCCUCUCAUCAAAGAUGAAAGAUCUCUAUCAACGAUGAUGCGAAGAUUGCAUGAUUGGUACUUGAAAAUCUGCAGAGAGUCUAAGGGGAGGAGUACUUUGUAUGUGAGAGUUAAAAAGGAGCAUGACCUCGUUGGAAUUGAACUGUUGCCUAUUCCAUUUGAGGAGUUCUUUCAGUUUUUCAAUCAAUUGGCCCUCGAUAAAGCAAGGGUCACCUGCUACUGUUUGUAAGUAGUACUACUUCUGUCAUAAAGUCUCUCUAUAUAGCUCAGCUCUUUCAUUGCAUGUAUUUAUAAUUAUCCUUACUAUAUUAUGCAGAUUGAAGAUCGCCGAAUUGAAGAAAAGACAAAUCGGUGAUAUUGGGUUCAUUAACACAAAUCUCAUAGAUGCAACUCAGGUUAAAUUUCAUGCCACAAAUACCGAGGCCAACUUGCUACGAUCGUUGGUAAUAAAUGAAAACAAAGAUAUAAUACUCUUUCCUUACAACUUCAAGUGAGUGUUACUGUCUUGUGCAUAUUCGGUUUCCCUUAUAUAUUAGUCAAGGUUAUAGUAAUGUAAUUGAUGAGUUAUGCAUGUGUGUGCAGUUUCCACUAUAUUCUCCUAGAGAUUAAGCUUGAGCAGGGACUAGUAACCGUCUUAGACUCAAGACGAAAAGAUCCCCAGGACUACGCGGACAUGACUCAAAUGCUUGAGAAGUAAGUUAAAUCGAUCAUUAUCCACCAUAUCAGCAACUUUGUUCAUUUCCUGAUAUAUCAAGUAAUUGUUUUCUUUGUCUGGCAGGGUUUGGAAAAAAUUCACCAAAAAACCUUCGGGACUCCCGAAGAAGCUGCAAUUUAGACACCCGAAAGUAAGUACUAUAGUAGCAUGUUUCGCGCAUCUCCUAUUGAUUCAAGCGCUAGUUUCAUCAAUACCAUUAGGCAUUCUUGCUUAUCAGUUUGAUUGACCUUAUUUCUUGUAAAGUGGUUGUGGCAGGAACAAGGGAAUGAUUUAUGUGGAUACUACGUUUGCGAGUCCAUCCGCCACACGACCUGUGAGCGGGGCUACUCUGACGAACAAUAUGAAGUGCAUAAAUAACAACAUUCAAAAUUUUAUUUUAUUACCAUCAUUUGUGUUGAGUUUCAUUCAUAUAUAUAUAUAUAUAUAUAUAUAUAUAUAUAUAUAUAUAUAUAUAUAUAUUGACCCCCUUCUUCAAAUUAGAUGUUUCAGAAGCGGGAUGAACUCCUAGCACCAGCUCGCAUGUGAGCAAUUCAAGAGGAAUUGGCGGCAUUCUUUCUUGACCAUGUGAUCGCUGAAGACGGAGAAUACUAUGUGGACCAUGUGUCCGUAUGUUAGGAGAUUAUAUUUGUAAGAGAUAAUUAUUGUAUAUAUGUAGCCGGUAGUGUCGGAUAGAUAUAUGAGAACUUGUUAUUCGACCAAUCUCUUGGAGAAGGAGAGGUGGUCGAUACCACUUCUCUCUGUAUGCAUAUAUGUUCAUGACAAUCUUCUGUUUCCUUCGUUUGCUUACUAGCUAGCUAGCGUGUCUAGUCCUCUCUAUACGUAUGUAUAGUACGUAGCAUCGACCAAGCACGGACAUAAGAGAGGACACUUCUCUCUAUUAAUUAUAACUAGCUAACACAAUAUAUGAAACACCUAAAUUAACCCCCCAAAACCCCCAACCCCCCCCCCUUUCAAAAAAAAAACAAAAACCCCAGCCACAGAAAUGCUGACGCGUGGAUUCCUAUUGGUCCCGGUUGGUGCCACCAACCGGGACCAAAGGCCCUCCUGCCUGGGCUCCGCGCACAGGCCACGUGGAGGCCCAUCUGUCCCGGUUCUGGAUUGAACCGGGACUAAAGGGACAGGGCAUUAGUACCGACCCUUUAGUCCCGGUUCAGGAACCGGAACAAAAGGCCCUUACGAACUGGGACAAUAGGCCCUUUUUCUACUAGUGCUACUUAAUGGGAAAAGACAACAAUACAAUAGCUUCAAUUCAACAUUUAUUUAAAACAGUACCAAUACAAGUAGCACAACAUCUCAAAGCACACUACACAUCAUGUGGUUGAGACCAAGAUUUGAAACAACUCGCCACGAAGACUGGAAACAAAUCUCGAUCUCCUUUUGUGCAGUUCCACCAAAAUUAAGCAAAGUCACCGGUGUGACAUUCAAGUUGAACUGCAAAAAACACUCUUAAAAUAUAAGUGUUUCGAGUAGCGAAGAAAAAUGUCGCAAUAGCAACAAGUUGAAUCGAUACCCCUGUUUUAACAGAGGCAAAAAAAGGAAACAAUUACUUGCUGAUAAAGGAGGAUGAAACAAACGGUGACAGAAAGAAGCAUCUAACUUAUCUUGGAUGGAAAACAAAGUAGGACAGUAGCAUUUGUAAAAUGGUUGCAUUGAUUCAUAUUAACAGAGACAUUCUCUUGAAACAACAUUCGUUAAAAAUGUAAUUUACUUUUAACAGUGGCAUUGCUUCAAUUUUUCGGCGGCAUUCUUAGAUUAACAAUAGCAAAAUAGUUGUAUGGGACAUGCCAGCACCAUGUGCGUCCACAUGUAUAAAUGGGUGAUGCAGAGUAUGUAGCCAAGCAGCAUAUAUGCGCUGGUCCCAUAUUUGUUCUCUUUGAACCUUCUUCCUAUGUGAGGGCAGCAAAUCUAGUCCUGCACAAACUACCCGACCCCCCCAGUUUCUUUCCCAUUUCAACAAAGAGCUUAGUUCCUUACAGAUGUGUGUACUGGGUUACCCCCUUUUUCCCUUUUCAACCUACAAAGCGGCUGGAUAGCCAGUCUAUACUACUUUCCGCCCCUCCUUUCCUCAUUGAACCAUGUCCUAGAUUCUUGCUCCAUCCCACCGCAUCCUUCUUUCCUCUUUCAACCAAGACCUAGAUUCGACUACAGAUCGAAAAAAAUCCACAUGAAGCUAGAGCAAUGACGGUUUCAAAGAAACUUAUACCUUAGGGUCGUCGGGAUGUGGCAAGGCGUGCGGCGAGAGGCCGGAUCUGCCCACACUACGUACGGCAGCAAGGAAGAAGGGGUCGGUGGCCCUCCCGCACAGGCACUGGUUGAAAGAGAACAGUGCAGCCGGCAGUGGAUUGCCUCCCUCGCCGAAGGCGAUGGAGUGAACGCUGCACCUCCUCCCCUUCCCGGUGCGAUGGGAUACGGACACCUCCUUCACCAGCUGUGAGGGGGAAGAGAGAGACAAGAGGCCAACGCAGUCUUGUUUACAUCUGGUGAAGAGAGGGUGAGAGACUGUGAAUAUAGCAAACCCUAGCAAAUGAACGUUGAGCCUCUAGCGUGUAACAUAUAUGUAGUGCGGCGAGCGUGUGGAGAGUGCAAACCCUAGCGAACAAGCGUUGAGGCUCCCAUUUAUAUAUAUACUACUGUAGUACGGACUGAGCUCCGGUGCCUUCACUGCACCUGCUUUUGGCUGUAUGACAGGUGACCCAGCCACAUUUUGGGCCCACCUAUCAUAAAUCCAAAGGCAGGUGCACUAACUCAAUGAAGUUGCGUCCAUAUAGUACUCUCGUGUAUACGACUAAUAUAUAGUGGAGUGGUUUUCUUAUUCUCUCCAUAACAAUCGUUUUAAAUUGUGUAAGUACGAAACAAAACUCUUUAUUUAAUGUACAGUGAAGAAAACUAGUACUACUUCCGAUGAACUAAUGAUCCACGCCCACGCGUCCUGGUCGCACUUCCUGUCCUUCAUGUGUGGUACACUACCCUCCCUUAAGUGAACAACCACACAUGCGCCAAAUUAUCGGAAACGUGUGAGAGUGUGUACAAAUAAAGAAUUUUAAUUUCAAUUAUCGGAAAGGUUUGAGAGUAUUACAAAGUUUGACUUCAGUCAAAUCUAAUAUGCAGAGUAAAUCAAAAUGGAGGUCUACUACGUCCAUCCGGGUUUUUAGUCCACACCAUUUUUUAAAUCAAAGUUAAUAGAUGGACAAAUAAAAUUACAGGGGAGCUGGAGACAAAGUUGUGAGAAGGCUUAGAAAUCAAUACAAAACUUAUGCUCUUAGUACCAACGUCGAUCCUUCUUCGAGGAAAUAUUUGGUUCAUAGCCAAUUGUGUGAUAAAAUUGCACCAACGUGAAAGACGACUGCGUCUCCAACGCAACCAAGGUGAACUGACAAAGGAUAUCAUCUUUGUGCAUAACAAGCAAAGAGCACUGAUGGAAGAGAGCUUGUUUUUCAUUGAAAAUCGAUCAACUUCACCAGCCGACGCAACCAUGAGGCGCAACCAUGAGCAUCGAUAGGUCAGCGUGGUGAUGCAUCAUCCAUUUGGCAUCAAGUUUGGGUGAGGCACCUAUGAAGUUCGACAAAUCCUCACUGUGGUCUGUUUCUUCUCAGUAAUCAAGCUCGAGGAAGGAAGAACCACGUAGCAGAUGACAGUGAGGCAGAACAACAAUGGCCAUCCAAUUUUGUGCAGUUCCACUAAAAUUGAGGAAGACAUGCCCGGGUAUGAAGACACACAUCGCUAUUUCCAAAAAUAUAAAAAAGGGUUAGCAACGACAUCUUAAUUGUCAAUAAGAAUUAAUGAAAAGUACACCAACAAACAGAAGCAUCAUAAUUAUCUUGAUGGGAACUAAACCAGGAUACCCGAGAAAAAAAGGAUUUCUUCAUUUAACCAGUGAUAGUACUACCACCAUAUGGACAAUGACCGCACAACCACCAUGUACUUUUGUCGAAACAACAUGUAUACCUCCACCAAGGCAUAAAUCAGGACAACUUUUCGAGUGGCAUUUCCUCUAUAAUAGUACUAGUAGGUGAUGUUGGACCAGCCGACGAACCCUAGCUACUAUGCAUGGGGAGCUGGGGAGUAGUCACAUAGAAGAAAACCCGCACGCAGCGACCUGGGGAGCUGGACCAAUACAAGAAGUUAUACCUCAGGUGGGCGAGAUGCCGUUUAGGCGGGCGGGUGGGAUCUGCCCACACGACGGCAGCGAACAAGGGCGCAGAGGAUCUUCGUCCACGCCAGCGCCGACUCCGAGACGACGGUGUGCAUCGGCUUCCUCCAUCACCGACGGCGACAACGUCAAUGCUGCACCUCCUCACCUCCCGCAGCAGACGGGAUUCAGCUGGAUCUGUGACCACCGGUGAGGAGAGAGAUAGAGUGGACAAUGUCAUCUUGUUUUGAUAUGGAGAGGGUGAGAGAGCGAGACGCGAGAAACUAUAUCAAACAAGAGGCUAUAAUGGAGUAAAAAAAUCUCUCCAUAGUAGUGGUUUUAAAUAGAAUACGCGCGUUCCCAUAAAAAAGAAACGAAAACUGGCGGACAAUUUUUAAGGGUCUGUCUAGGACACAUCUAGAUGUGACAUAGUUAUGUCACAUCUAAGUUGAUAUCCACUCUGUUUGUGGUCUAUUUUUUCCUAGUUUUUUUUCUUGUUGCUACAUUAUAUACUUGUGGGAGCUUAGAUGUGAUAUCCUUAAAUAACAUCUAGAUGUGAAUUAGACAAACUAAUUUUCUAACGUACCAAGAAAGAAAACUCGAUCAAAAAUAUGCCCCCGCUUCCAGGUCGCGAGUCGUCGCGCGCACACACACAUAGACAUAGACAUGCAUAUCCGUGUUUAUGUGAAAUUCCAUUUCCAUCUCCAUCUCCAAUCAUAUUUGUCCAACUGGCACAUUAUUUACAUUGAUAAUUAUAUACGCAAUAAUAUUAACGUACAUCAUCUCUUGUUUGCGCACGUCCGGACCGCUGCCACGGCCGGUCCUGACCAACCCGAACCCUCUUCAUCAUCCGUGCGUGCUUCCCGCCCGAAACAGUCAGUGCCGCAUUCAUGCCCGGCCAGAGCGGACGCGACCUCUCACUGGUGCCGGCAUUGAAGCGGCGCGCCGGCCGAGAGAGCGUCGCCCGCGCCGCUUACGGAUGCAUGCGGCUGCUCCGCGUUCAAAGGUCGCAAUAGCCGGCUACAACAUGCAUGUAAAAAGUUCUUGGGAGUCCGUGCUACAGCUAGCUGUCCUCCCCCAACUCGUCAAUCUCUUCCAGUAGUGCUAGUACUCCAUGGCGCGAUCCAUCGGCAAGCAGGCAGGAAAGUUACCGUAUACUCAGUGUGUGGUGAGUGGCAUGCCGAGUGACCGUGUGGGGUCGAGUCGUGGAGGAGGGUGAGACAUGAACACAAUAGACGUGAUUUAAAUGUUGGUUUUGCUCGAUGGCGCGAUCCAACGAAACGAAACGUUGGUUUCUCUCCAUUUCCAUUUUUUCUCCAGAAAAACGGAAACUUUCCACUCCAUUUUCAUUCCUAUUCCAAAGUUGCCCCAUUACAACAUUCCAUAAAAUACAAAGGAAAACUAACACGCAUGCUGAUGCAUCUCAAUGAUUCACAGAUCAUAGCCAAUAUUUACUUCACAACUAAAGAAAAAAGUUGUGAGAGCGUGUACGAAAGAAAAACUACUGAUGGAGUCACUACGACUUAAACCCUAAACCCUAAACAUGAUUUAAUUUCCUGGCCAGGUAGAACCUGUCGAAGGAAAGACGGCUGGCACCCUCGGAUCAUAUGAUGCUUUUGUGCAGUUCCACUAAAAUCAACCUGAGCAUCCCUGAUGGCAAAGAUAUUGAAGAAGUGUGAUUAGAAUAAUAGUACUGGCACUAGUUCAUGAGACAUAAACUCAUCACAAGUAGAAGCCGAUAGAAGUAGAGAAAGAUCGACAUGGAGAUGGAGCUACAGCAGUGAAGCAAGCCGGCUCCGAAAGGAAGAUGGACUACCUAGGACGUCGGGCUAUAGCUAGAAGGGCGGUUGGGACGCGGCAUCGGCCCAUACCGCGGUGACCCCCGAUUGGGACGCACCGACUAUGGGUUUUCUCCCUCGCCGAUGUCGACUGCGUCUACGCAGAACAUUGUUCCCUUCCCCCAGCUGCGGGAUCAGGCACGUCGUUCUAUGCUUGUGAAGAGAGCAACCUAAGCAAGCAGGCUUGUAGCUUAGGCUCCUGCUAGUGUAUAUAUAGUGGUUUUUUUUUCUCUCCAUAUCAACCAUUUUAUAUUGCGUACGUGUCAUUCAAGAGUGAAAUGAUGGUUGCUUCUUCCGACUAACUUACUGUGUGAUUUGACUGCUCCUUAGUGGCCCCUACACGUACUCCCCCUGCGUGUAUGCAACAGUCACACGUACACAUGGACGCAAAAACGGGCGCGACGCCCUAAUGCAUGCAUCUCCGAGCACACGACGGAACACACACGGUCACGCUCAAGUGCUCAACUUACACGUGCAUGCACACACAUACUCAGUCAGGGUGAGCUAGUGACCGUAUAAACACCGGAAAAUAUAUAUAUUGAGCGCAAUUAGCGUAUUAUGAAGUCCACUGACCGUAGUUUUACAAAUAUACACUGACAGACAGUGUAUUUAUCUCGUUUGAAAUUAAGCCAUAUUAACCGGAGAGGAGGCAGUAUGGACUAGCAUUACUUUGAUUUGUCCCGUCAACUUGCCGAAUGAGGAGAAGGUUGCAGGACGGGAGAAGCUUGCACGCGGUGGCUCGCAGGACAAGGAGAAACUUUUGACUAAUGCAAGCUCUCCCUCGCUCAGGCGGUGGACGUGCAACAGUUAGUUCGGUGUCAGAUUGCCAGAAGCAUACACUAUACUACUAGUGCUAUUAUUGUUCGACUUCUCGAAUAGGCGAACAGCCAAGCGCAAAGUUUACUAGUACUAAUACUAUAGUCUAUAAAGGUACGUACUAUACUAGUACUAGGAACCGGAUGGAGGAGCGUCUGCACUCUUAUUAUAAUUUUAAAAUGUGAUAAAGCAAUCUUCAACACAUUUGGUUCUCUUCGAGGGUUCUCGCAUGUGAUAAUGGAAGUUGAUUGCAUGGAACACUCGCCACAAUUCUCGCUUAAUUCUGGCUCAUAUCCCGUUACAAAUAGUAGUGCUCGGUAAUAUUUCCUCUUUUUUGUUAUUCAGCAUGUAAACAGGUCAGCAAACCUUGUGACGCAUCUUCGUGCGAACCAUGCUUGCUGCACUUUGAAUGUGGCCGAGAGCUGGCUUGAUGAAACACCUCGCUUCCUACUUCUUUUUUGCGGGGUACCUUGCUUCCUAGUGACCAGUGUCUUGGCUGAUUGUCCUAAGAGUGCUUAUAUAUGAAUAAAGCUCUCUCAUUUACCCGCAAAAAAGAUUAAGCCAUAUUAACCGGAAAGGAGGGAGUAUGGACUAGCACUACUUUUUGGUGUCUCCCGUCAACUCGUAGAACGAGGAGAAGCUUGUAGGACAAGGUGGAGCUCGCUUACGGCUUUUGACUAAUGCAACCUACCCUCGGUGGACAUGCAUCAGUCCAUUCGGUGUCAGAUUGUCAGAGGCAUACACAGUAGUACCCAACAUGCGGAGUACCAUCAUUGUUCAACUUCACGAAGAGGCGAAGAGCCAAGCGCAGUAGUAUGAGCAGUACUACUACUAGAACCGCAUGGUGGAGCGUCUAUACGCUUUUUUAUCUCUGAUAAAGUACACGUUUAUUCCGGAGAAGGGCGGAAAACGGCAGCCUAACAUGUAAUGAAUGAUAUCGAUCAACCAACCAUGCUCGAAUAUAUCUUGGCCUCCGUGCGAGCCCGUCUGUGUGUUCUCGCUCCUCGUCUCUCUCAAGGAACAGUGGGUUGGCUCUUUGUCAUCAAUUGAGAUCGGUUUGCUCACACUCCUGUCCCACAUGUCAGUGAUAUGCCAAGAGGAGGUGCAUUGACCGACUGGCCAUACGCGUACUUGGUUUUGCACCUUCAUACUACUCCUCCCUCCGUCACAGUUUACAGGGCGCGCUUCAUUAUGAUGCAUUUCUCUCAAUGCAUUUCCACCAUCAGAGAGACUUUAGAUGCAUUUGGUUUAAUGCUCAAUUAAUUAGCGCGUGGUAACCGCAAUCAAGUCCACAAUUUUCUCUCCAUGUACUGUACUACUACGGAGUGGAGUAAGUGCAUGCAUGUGUGUACCCGGGGUGGAAGCACUGCAUGCAUGUGUGUACGUAUUAUUCUCUCUAGUAAUAGACGCCAUGCUAUAACUACCAAUGCUAUUUUUCAGGCCGAUCGUUGGUCGCCUUGGUCCCACAGAUUUUUUUUCUUUUUUCUGAAGUGCGCUGUAUAAACAGUGACGGAUGGAGUAGUAUGAGCGGAUUCAAAGAAGAGCGUAUUGAUGGUUGCUUCUUCAGAGCAACUUAUAGUGGGAAAGGUGGGGCUUAUGAUUUGACUGCUCAUUACUNNNNNNNNNNNNNNNNNNNNNNNNNNNNNNNNNNNNNNNNNNNNNNNNNNNNNNNNNNNNNNNNNNNNNNNNNNNNNNNNNNNNNNNNNNNNNNNNNNNNNNNNNNNNNNNNNNNNNNNNNNNNNNNNNNNNNNNNNNNNNNNNNNNNNNNNNNNNNNNNNNNNNNNNNNNNNNNNNNNNNNNNNNNNNNNNNNNNNNNNNNNNNNNNNNNNNNNNNNNNNNNNNNNNNNNNNNNNNNNNNNNNNNNNNNNNNNNNNNNNNNNNNNNNNNNNNNNNNNNNNNNNNNNNNNNNNNNNNNNNNNNNNNNNNNNNNNNNNNNNNNNNNNNNNNNNNNNNNNNNNNNNNNNNNNNAACGAGUGACUACUCAAAUAUUUGUCUUUUUAGAGAUUUCAAAUUGACUGGCACAUACGGAUGUAUAUAGACAUAUUUUAGAGUGUAGAUUCACUCAUUUUUCUCUGUAUGUAGUCACUUGUUGAAAUCUCUAGAAAGACGAAUAGAAUAUUUAGGAACGGAGGGAGUACACAUACGAAGCAAAAUGAGUGAAUCUACACUCUAAAAUAUGCCCGUUUGAAAUUUGUAAAAAGACAAAUAUUUAGGAACGAAUGAGUAUAAUUUUGUGCAUGGCACAUGGAUCCGGAUGAUGAAGAGGCUUCUGGCAAUGCUAUCAAGCUUCCAUCAUUUGUUUACAUAAUUGACGUACUAUACAAAUAAUUUUCCAGCGACAUAAAAUUGUACAAUGGUGUGAGCUUUCAGCUUUUGUUUUGCGUGUCUUGUCAUCGAUGCUCUUUCGGAAACAAUAAAAACUAACUUCCUUGCUAAUGCAUGUCAAUUAUUAGCAUAUCAGAGCUAAUAAUUACAUCACAACUGAAGACAGAGUUGUGAGAAGGUGUUAAAUUAAAAUUGAUACAUGCUUUCAUUGGCAGCAACGUCCCCCCAUCUCUGUCUAAAUCAACAAGGCAUGUUGGGAAAAAAGUAGCUGUCUAGAGCAUGCAACAUUCCGAUCAUUUUGUGCAGUUCCACUAAAAUAGAGCUGAGCGUCCCUGUUCCAAAGAUAUUAAGUGUGAUUACGAUAAUAGAGUACCGCUGAUGAAACAAUAAACACACAAAUAGAAGCUGGUCACCUUUGCAGUCUCUCUUAAGACUAACUAGUUGGAGAAGAUUAGGCUCGGAGUUGGAUGAGGAGGAUAGAGCAAAACCAAUCUCCCUUUGUGCAGUCGUACUAAAAUGUAGAGACGUUGCCCAUGUGACAUUUUAGUACAACUGCACAAAACACUCUUAAGAAAAAAGUGAUUUGUGCAGUUCACCAAAAGGUCGCAAUAGCAACGAGGUGAAAUGGAUAGCCCUGUUUGCAAAAAAGAGGUAGAAAGGAAACAAUUACUGGCCAAUAACAGUUGACGACACAUGCGACGACAAAAAAGAAUCAUAUUCCUUGUCCUAAGGGAAGAUAACAACAUGGUUGUGUUUGUCUAAAACGGUGUGAGGACGAUAAUGCAAUAUGGAAAGUACGCCGGACGAGCUAUGUUUUGGGCAAAGAACUAUGGAAGAUCCACAUGCAGCGACGUGGGAAGACGGGCAGCGGAGCAAUGCCGGAGGGGAUACCUGGACGUCGUCGGGAUGUAACUAGGUGAGCGACGGUGGGCGGAAUCUGCGAGCAGGUGGCGUAGGCCCUGCUGUGCCGGAGCUUGGUCAGAGAGAACGACGUGUACCGCAGAUCGGGACGUGCUGCCUCGGCGCCGUCGAACGGAGAAACGAUGCACUUCCUCCCUUUCCCCCGGUGGACAGGAUGCGGCCAAAUCAGUGACCAACGGUGAGAGAGAGAGAGGCCACCACACUCCCUUUCCCCCGGCGGACGGGAUGCGGCCGGAUCAGUGACCAAUGGUGAGAGAGAGAGAGAGGCCACCGCAGCCUUGUGUGAGAUACUCUGAAGAACGACAAACCAGGCAGGCAGGCUCCAUUGUAUAUAGUGAGUGGACUACCUUUUUCUCCAUAAAAAUCAUUUUAUAUUCUGUGUGUGUGCCAUUGAGCGCUAUAACUUUAUUUAAAAAUAACGCGGCAACGCGUCAAGUCAGACUUUGUUUCGUGCACGCGUGGUACACGACCUCCCUAGGUAAACAACCGCUACAUGCGUUCAAAUUAGCACGUAGGCUGCCAUUUCGUAAAGAAAUGAGCUCCACCGUGUACCUGCACAGGUGUGGCUGGGCAUGAAGCAUGAGUACGUGCACGGUGCACCUAUUCUCUUCUUGUAUACGUACACCACCUACGUGGGGUUGUGUGAGAGAGAUACAAACCUAGAGAGAUAUAGUGUGUGGGUUCUUGAGAGUUUUUGGGGGGGGUCAAUCAAAAAAUGUAACAUAUGCAAUGUGUGUGAAAUAGAGUCCUGGAUAUAACAUAUAUAUAGAGGGGGCGAUCCACGAGAAGAGAGUGGAGGUAUCAUCGGCUUGAGAUGUCCAUAGAAUCGAAGAGAGGGAUGAUGAUGUGUGUGUGUGCGCGCGCGAUCGAUAAAGAGUGCCAUCGAAUUUGUGUGUGCCCACGUCAAAGAUACAGAGUGGCUGGCCUACUGGAAUGUGAGAUGGGACAUGUGCAGUUUGUCUCUGUGACAUGGAUACCUAUCUGCAGCGCUCGACUAUCGGUGCGUGGUGGGGGAAGAGGGAGGCCCAAUUAACUAUAGAGGUACAAUGGCUGGUAUAUGUGUGGAGGAGGAGAGAGGCCUACCUCAUGUAUUAAGGAGAUCGAUCUACCUCAUGUAUCAAGGGAGAUCGAUCGGCAUCCAUGCAUAUGUGCAAGAGAGGAAUAAGGUUGGGAGAGAGACAGAGCUAGAGUGUUGGAGGGGGUGGUAGUGGAGUUGCUUCUAACAAAUGGUGGGAUAGGCUUGCUAGACAAACGGAGGGCAAGCCCGCAAUAUCAAUAAGAGAGGAGAUGGCUGCUUGUUGUAUGUGCACGUGCGUGUGAGAGACGGGUCAGGAGGCAUGCACAAAUGAUGAGGGGGGACGAUGUGGUUGUGGUAAGCAGACGUAACUACAUAGGAAGAUCAAUCGCCCUUUGUUAGAGAAAGGAGAGACAUAACUUGUGAGGUACAUCAAUCGAUGGGGGGUAGUUAAAGUCGAUCUAGGUAUAUGUUGGGAGAUCGAUCGGUAUACAUGCAUGUGUGUGUUAGAAGCAAAUGAGGCAAGAGGAGAAGGAUAGAGAGAGGGGGAUGCAUGUAGGAGGUGGUACGAGAGGCAUACUAUAUCGAGGGGGAGGAGUGUGCGAGUACGAGAAUGAUGAAAAGAGUGGUGGGAGUGAGGCAUGGACGGUGACAAGAGAAGAGAGGAAGCUUGUGUUUGUGCUAGGCACACCUGGCUAGAGAGGCAAAUCGAUCGAUGUGUGCCGUAAAGAAGGAGCUGGGAGGGCUACACACACCAUGGGUGAACGACCUAAAGUGAAAAGACGAAUUUGCGCAAUGGAGCUAGAGAAUGCUGAGGGAGGGUGAGAGGGAUGCGGGCAUGUGCACGCACAAGAGAAAGUUAGCGCUAGCUACAAAGAUAAGAGGGUUGUGUGGGUGUAAAAGACGAAUAGAGAUCGUAUAUACUACAUUAUAAAAAGCGAAUUCGGAUAUUUGAAGAAUUUAUCAUAGUGUUUCAAACCGACGCAUGUGUGAAUAUAUAUAACGGUGAUACACAUGGUGUGGUUAUGAACAUGUUAUACUACAUUUAAUAUAUUUUAUCUCUACUCUUAUAAAAACGGAGUUGUUGAUGAUGGUGUGCCUGCCAUCUGCAUUAUAGGCCGUCCAAUUUAUAUCUGGCGGAUAGCAAGGAAACUAUGAUGGUUGAAGUUGGCAACAAUCAUGAUUGUAGAUUCUUAUUGAAAUAGAGAAACGAAUUCAAAUUUAGUUCGAAUUGCAGCGGUAGUAUAGACAUUUGGAAUGCACUAAAAUGUUGGUAUGAGUAGGUUACAUGCAUUAUACAGCAAGCGAAAAAAAUUAAUCGGACAUAACAUGGAUUCAUACUCCCUCCUUCCAUCUAUAUAGGGUGUAAUGAGAUUUUUAAGACCGCCUUUGACUAUUGACAAGAUUAAUAGUACAUGACAUGCACAAUGUGAAAAUUAUAUCAUUGAAAGAACCUUUCACAGACGAAUUUAACGGUGUGCUUUGUGUAAGUUGCAUGUCAUAUAUCAUUGCUCUGAUAUUUGGUCAAAGUUAGCAUCGAAAAACGCAUUAGGCCCUAUAUAGAUGGAAGGAGGGAGUAGCUUUGAAUAGCAUUUGUAUAGUAAAACGGGGCAAGACUCUCUCUUUGUGUGGUGUGAAUAGUUUUAUUUUUUUUGUUUUCUUUUUGGUUGAGGGAAGUGCGAAUUGAUUUGGUACGUACAAGUACAAUAUUACUACACAUUAGGCUUGUCCCUAAAAUUCAACCCGCAUCUUGUUAUAUCCCGAAAAUUCAGAUACCGUGCUCCCAAAACUGGCACCUUCACAACCCGUGCCUUGCUAUCCCGAAAUUACAACACGCGCGAAAAAUCCCUCCAGCUGCCAAAUCCCGACACUCGAAAUCCCCCUUCUAACCCUGAGCCGAAAGGGCCGCUAGUUCAUCCUAGUUCAAAUCGGCGGGGGGUAUUUUUGUAACACACCCUACAUUUUGGACAAGCGCGUCCCCUAGUCAUGCUUCACCCCCUCCCAUCGCCCCCUUUUUGCCAUUCGAAAUCCCAGGCCGCCAUAACCUCUCCGCUCCAGCCGCGAAACCCCACACUCCUCCAUCCGCCAACGUCACCGCUGCCCAGCCGGAGCCUCUUCCCUGACGACGGCGUCCACCGCAACAGCUCGACGUCCCUCGUCCACCUCCCUGGAUGAGGAUCCGUCGUCCAUCUCGCCGUCCCGCCGGUUCAGCCGCCCCGUCCUCCACCUCCAAGGAGCUGCUCCGAUGAUCGCCUCGUCUAUCGCGGCUGCUCCAUCCCCACAGCGCUGCCUUAACCUGCUCCACCAGAACCGCAGCAUCCUCACCGACUCCUCGGACAAAGUCGAGGCCUACUCAGCGCCACCAAAGAGGUUGUACACUCAUCGCAUCGCACCUUCUCCUUAACUCGACCUCCCGGCGCCAACGGUGCUCCAUCCCGCACCCCCAUGGAGCGGCUACCUUGAAGCCGGCACCGCGGGUGACAUCUCCACGGCGGCUCUCCCCUAGUGUGAGGCCCCUUCGGCGGCAGCGUCCAUACCAGCCGGAUUUGCUACUGCUGCUCCGGCUCUCGCUCGCUCGCGCUACUGCUGCUGCUCCGGCUCUCGCUCGAUCGCUCGCUCGCCCAGCUGCUGCUGCUGCUCUCCCCCUUGCUCGUGAUGCUGCUCUUCUCCGAUUAAGCGACACUUCAGUCGACUGAAUCGACUUUUGGGUUAGACGAUUUUCAGGGGUUGGAGGGGCUCGCCGGAGUUAAGGAAGAACCACCCGCAGCGGGGACGGGGGCUCGUCGGAGAGGUACCAUUGCGUUCACGGGGGCUCGCCAGAGAGGUACCACCCGCUCAGGGGGGUGCAGGUUGAAGAUGAACUGCAGGCCCUCCCUAAACUACAUGUCAAGUGCCUCCCUGCUACCAUUGCGUUCAGUUUCGACAAUAGCAUUCAGAUUCCACAGUAAAUUUCAGUUUCGACAGUUAAGUUCAGAGUCAACAGUUUUUACCUCAUCUGUUGUAGUCAGGUGGUUUUUGGUGAUGUUAAUUUUACAUCCAUUUUACAUCAUCUAUUGGAGAUGCUAUUAGAAUCCCACUUGAGAUUGACGAUGUAUGUCUUGUGGUGCUUCAGCCUUGACGUCUUACGGCUCACCGGAGCUGCUCCAACGACAGAACGAUCCAUCACAACAGAGCAGUGCCCUGGACGCCGUCUACAGAUUCCUCAGAUCUUCCUCCACACCUCCGACAGCCACCUCUGCCUCAACUGCUUCAGCGACCAACCCAAUGAUGCUGAGGUCGACACGGCUACGGCAAAGAGGUUGUACACUUGUUGCAUCACUUAUUACUAUACAUUCACAUCGAUCCAUUAAGGCUAUUUUGGUUCAAUGGAAAAAUGUCGAUCCACUGGUUGUUACCAUCACUCUAAAUUUUUGCAUGCUCUCCUUACAUAAUCUCACCAUAUUAUUUUUGUAUGCAAGUCAGAUAUUGUACACAGUCAUGCUGAACAUGUAGAGAAAAAGAGAAGAGUUUUGCGCGGCAAUACAAUGUCAUGCAGACAUCGCUCCAUGGUGGGUUCAAUGGCAAACCCUCUCCACCCCUCUCCAGAUUGUAAUCCAGAGGAAGAUAUCUGUUCUGAGGCGGAUUCAGAUGCCGCUGACCACUCCUAUUUACCCCCAAGGUGUUUGCUCUAUCUUGGCAUGAUGAUGUUAGUCAUAUCAUGCAUAUGUUGCCUUGCAGUGCCUACUUUUGACAUCAUAUAUGUCGUCUGCUUAGUUUAGACAUGUUCUGUAAUGCCACCUGUUUAGUUUCUAUACCAUAUAUGGGAAUUAUGCAGUCUCAUGUCUUUUAGCCAGCCAUAAUAUAUGUGAAAUGUGCAAUGGCAUCUUGUUUAACCAGGCGUCAUAUAUUUGAGUGAUAUCUUGCCCAUCCUUUUCUUCAUUACAUUUCCAUUUGUCGACAAUGUUUGUACAUUAAACUACUCUUCCUGUGAAUCAGCCAUUUGGGUGGGAGAUGGAAAAAUCUGGAGUGAAAACAAGGCCUUCAGAGCAGACAGUGCUACCUGUCGAAGCAGAUCUCUUGUUGGGUCCCGAUAGCUCCUCGGAGAUGGAUUCAGAGACAGAUGACUAGUCCUAUUCCCCCACUGAGAUGUAUGCUCUAACUUGGCACGGUUAUACUGCUCAUAUCAUGCAUACGGUGUCUUGCAUUGCAUAGUUUAGACAUCAUAUACACAAUAUUCAACACCGUGUUCUUAGUUCAGACAUCAUAACGAAUGCCCUCUGUUUAGCAUAUAAAUCACAUAUGUGAAUUAAAUGAUGCGAUCCUGAUUACUUAGAUAACAUGUAGGUGAAUUAUGUCCUGCGAUCCUGUUUAGUUAUUGAUCAUAUCUUUGAAUUAUGUUAUGCUAUGCUAUCCAGUUUAGAUAGACAUCAUAUAUGUGAAAUUAUGUCAUGCUAUCUGUUUUAGUUAAACAAUAUACAUGUUAACUAUUUCAUGCCCUCUUUUUACACACUAUCUAUUACAUAUGUCUCUCAUACAAUGUCUGUACAUUCAACUAUGUUUCCUGUUUAUCAGCCAUUUGAAUUGGAGCGGGUGAUGCCAGUAUCUAGCGGACUAAAAACACGGUCUUCAAAUAAAACAGUGCUACCUCUUGGUGGAGAUAGCACCCCGGUUGUACAUGCACAAGAACCAGCCCUACCACACAUAACCCAAACUCUCGCAGAUUGUAACCCUACUGCGAUGGACAGAGAACCAGCUUCACCCAAUCUAACCCCAAUCCCAGCUGAUAGUAACCCAGUUCCUAUUGACACAGCACCAUCACCACCAUAGAGCUCCCAAACAAGAGCAGCUAGUAAGGCAGCUCCAGUGCCCAAAGGGCCAGUACUAUCACGGCGAACCCCAACUCCACCAGUUAGUACGCCUAUUCCUGUGGAGGAAGCACAACCAGCUAUUCGUAGUUUAGCAUCUAUCGCAUUUGAUGUUGUUAAAUCGUAUGUGCUUAUCUUCCCAUCUUGGAAAUAUUAUACUGAAGAUGAAGGAAAAUGCCAGUUGCAGGUGUUUGUCCGGGAGUUAUGUGUAAGUAAUGUUAUUCAUGGCAAUUACUUUGCUUCAUACCAUACAUCCUACCUCCAUGAUGGUUAUAAUACAGCAAAUUUUCCCAUUUUUCUCUAUAGAGAAGGACCGAUUUGGAAACUCAGGAUUAGGUAACCUGUGCUAAUACAUCUGCUAUCUUCAAGAAUGCUUGGUGGCAGUAUCGGAAUUACCUGAAGAAAACGUACUUCACCGGCAAAGAAACUCAUCAAAUUCCCUUACGUUCUCCUGAGACACAUUUACUGGACGAUGACCGGGAACGCCUUGUUCUGUACUGGUCCCGAACCAAGAAUGUGGUAAGGUCUAUGAGCUCAUUUUCUAUUUUAAGUAUUAUAUUCUUGCAUCUUAUUGUACUCUGUUCAUGUAGAACAAGUGCCUAAACAUGAAGAACAAUUGUUCUAAUUUAAGAUUCCAUUGCUAUCAUAGUUCAAAAAAGCGCUAGGCGUUAAUUGUGCGUUUUGCCACCGCCUUGCGCUUUACUGACCAAAGCGCAUGCUUAUGCGCAGUUAUGCAUAGAUUAUGUGUACUUAUGCGCAAUGCAUUUUGCCAACGCCUAGAGCCUAGGCGCGCUUAAGCGCUCGCUUAGGCACACCUUUUUUAACUAUGAUUGCUUUGCUCUUGUAUCACUGUAUUUACUCAUACAAACUUAUUUUUAAAUUGAAAGAUCCAAUCGAAACUCCAAUGGCACAGUAGGUAUGUUCACGCAUGUUUCUUUAACAGGUUUGCUCUAAUCAAUAGCUCUAUUGAUUUCAAUUUCAAUUGUGUAUACAGUUGACUUUCAUAUCAUGCACAUUACUAGCAUCACAACAGAGCCAAUAGUGUUGUUGUACAUGUAGACCCGUGGUACCCAUUUGUAAUCUUGUUGUGCCGUGUAGUUUCCCACACUUUGUAUUCUUUGACUGCUGCUUUGUCUUGAACUUAUAUGAUUUGAACCGUGUCUCUAUUUUGAUUUGGCAAGACAAUGCAGUGACCAUAGGACACAGAUAUAUGUUUGUUUGAUGCUUUUAUUAUGUAUUAGUACUUGGCAAUAGAAGACUUCAUAGUUUAAUCAUGUCCACCUUACUAAUGAACUGGUUCACCGAAAUGAGUUUCAUAUACUAGUACAUGCUAAACUUGUUAUGUGUCUGCUUGUUUCUUCUUUUAGAAUGCUGACAGAAUAUUGGGGAAGAGUGCCUUAUUAAGCAAUGGUAAAGGAAGUAAUGCAUAUAAGGUUCAGGAUAGUGACACAUCCUUGUUGGUCUCCAACAAAGCUGAUAAAACAGCUAAGGAAGACUAUCUUGAAGACAGCGAGACAACCCCAAAGUCCUGUCUUGGUUUAGUGUUCGAGUUACUGGCCACUACCGCUUGCACAAGCUAUUCAAACUCACUGUCUGAAUCAGUUCGGUUUCUUGAGUCUCAACUACAAGCUGAAAGACAUCGAUCAGCUGUGUUGCGACAAGAAGCGGAAGGACUGCGGAAGUCCCUGGAGCAUUCAGAUGCAUACUUUCUGGUGCAACAGCAAGCGUUGGAGGAUUUUAGCGCCAAACAGGACAAAGCUAAUCAUCUUGCUAAGCUUAUUGCCAGCAUGGUGGGUACCCAGGAUAACAUUUCUUGAGCUCUUCUGAAGUUGUUUCAGUUAUGCUCUUGUUUUGCUGCCGCGUUUAUUUGCACCGGUGGCCAAUUUUGACGGCCAGUGUAUGUAAUGUGCUGCUUUGUUCCCUAUAUUUACACUGGUGGUGAACUUUGAUGCCCAGUGGAUGUAAUAUGUGUAAUAGCGGUAAUAGGCUAGCGUUAAUUGCUUGCUUAUUUAUUUCCUUAUUGUCUUGUUUAGUUGUUUGCUUGUAGUCACUGCAGUUCUUUUUCUGUUUUUUUCUAGUGGCCACAAUAGCCUAUUUUUGGUAACUAGGCCAAAAUAAUCAUGGCAACACAUGGACUGUUGUAACCAUGGGCCUCCUGCAGGCCGUAUGAUCCAUGGGCCUUCGUCCGGCCGUAGGAUCCAUCAGCCUUCUAUACGGGCCUUAGGGUCCAUGGGCCUUCUAUGGGUCGUAGGGUCCAUGGGCCUUCUACGGGUCGUACGAUCCAUGGGCCUUCUACGGGCCGUACUAUCCAUGGGCCUCAUACGGGCCGUAGGAUCCAUGGGCCUUCUAUGGGGCGUAUCAUCAUUUCGCUAAUCAUGGGCCGUACUAUUCAUGGACCAUAACGGGCCGUUAAUAGGCCGUAUUUGAUAACUCUAUGAAAACAUCCCAACGGGUUUUUUUACAUGAAAACGGCCCAACGUAUUAACGGUCCGCAAACGGGCCGAUUGUAACGACGGGCUGAAUUUGGCCAACAAGCAAAAAAUGACAGUAACGGGCCGUAUGUAACCGAAUGCUACAAAUGAGCCCAAGAAUCAAUGGGCCCUGAGAAGGCCGAAAGAUAACUUGGGCUGGAAACGACCCAAUGGAAUAACAGGCCGUUAAUGGGUAUAAAGUGAUACACUAUUCAUUACGGGCCAGUUUCACCACGGGCCGUUAAUGGGCCAAGAGUUACAAAGGUCCUCAUAUGGGCCGAAAGAAGUCAUGGGCCACACAUGGGCCGGAAGUUAAAACAAGCUGAAUCAUGUUGGACGGCCCAGAUGAUGCUACUGGGCCUAAUUCGGAUAGGGCAUAACGGGCCCUGGGUUAGCGGGCUGUAAAUGGGCUAUAUGCGAACAGGUCGUUAACAGGCUUUCCGUGGGACGGCCCGCCACCUUUUGACCAAGUCAAACAGGUCGGCCUUUUCACAGGAAUGGGCCUCUAUUGGGCCGUGCCACGUGUCGCCGUAUCAUAGGCUCCUUCGGUCCAAUGAGCGGAUGGCAUUUGUCCCAACGGUGAGCCGACACGUGUUUCCUCCAGCCAAUGAUGAUUUUACAUGUGGAAAAUCCCCAUUGGUCGGGGCUGUUAACGGGUUAUCGGAUCCAAAACCCGACCUGAUAGCUUAACGGCGUUCCGUUACAGUGGAUGCCACGUGUCGGUCACCCUUGACGAAAGCACUUCUGUGACGCGCGAUUUAUCGUCAUGGAAGUGGACACUUCCGUGAUGGUAAUUUUGGUAAUGUCAUGGAACACUUCUACGACAGCACAGGUAUGACUAUCUUGAUUCUGUCAUAAAAUCGUCAUGGAUGUACAUGCAUGACAAAAAACACGACCUACUUUGACAAACACGAAUCAUCACGGAAGUGUAUUUUUUUGUAGUGUGAAGAUGGCCACCGGAGAGGGAUUUCCCCCUCCGGCGGGGUGCCGGAAUGGGUGUAGAUUGGUUUUCGGUGGCUACAGAGGCUUCUGGCGGCGGAACUCCCGAUCUAUUGUCCUCCUCGAAGUUUUUAGGGUAUAUGGGUAUAUAUGGGAGGAAGAAGUACGUCGGUGGACCUCCGGGCUGUCCACAAGGCAGGGGGCGUGCCCGGGACUCUCCUGGUCCAACUCCGAUACUCCAUGGGCUUCUUCUGGUCCAAAAAUAAGUUCCGUGAAGUUUCAGGUCAAUUGGACUCCGUUUGAUUUUCCUUUUCUGCAAUACUCUAAAACAAGGAAAAUACAGGAACUGGCACUGGGCUCUGGGUUAAUAGGUUAGUCCCAAAAAUAAUAUAAAAGAGUUUAAUAAAGCCCAUAAACAUCCAAAACAGAUAAUAUAAUAGCAUGGAACAAUCAAAAAUUAUAGAUACGUUGGACACGUAUCACAGAUCUUGGUCAGCUUGAAGCUGUUGCUGCUUCUUUUUCAGGCUCCUUGCAGUGGCUGUUAGCUGGCGCUUAAAGCGCUCCUGCUCGAGAGGUUCCUCAGGUACAAUAAAAUCCUUGUUGCCGAGGCUCACCUCCUCCUCGGAGAGCGGAAGAUAACUACUGUUCUUUGAGUCUUUGUUGAUGGCCUGUUCAUUAGGGCUAACUUGCCCAUCUUCCCGAUCGUCAUGUUCGACAGUUCGUUCGUCGGGAUCUUCUCUGUCUUCGGCACCGUCCAGAGUGUUAUCGUCUCCCGUGCCGGUGUUGCUAUCUUUGUUGCGGCGUGAUUUAGAGCGGUGCCGCUGAAAACGACGCUUUGGUUCUAUCUUAGGAGGUUCAUCCUCAACUGGAUUCUCUUUUUCCUCGCCGCUGUUUUCUUUUGGUGCAUCCACCAUGUAAACGUCAUACACUACUAGGGAAAAGCCUAGCAGUAGCGCUGGUUUUUGGCCUAUCAAUAGCGUGGGUAAGCGCGCUACUGAUACGGCACUACAACUAAAGCUUAGCAGUAGCGCCUACUGGCACUCGCUACUGCUAUAUCUACUUAGUAGUAGCGCUUUCCAUAACAACCGCUACUGGUAAUUACUAGUAGCGCUUUCCAAAACAACCUCUACUACUAUUAUUCUGUAUUCUAUUUCUUUUAAAUUUUACGUCGUAUUCAUACACCUUUAUACAAUUUUUCAUACAGUAUCAAUUUAGAGAUUGAUUUUACAUUAUAAUGAGUUAUUAAAUCACUAGGUGAAAAAACCUUGGAUUAGUUUCAAGUGCAUGGAUCCAAAGUAACCAAUGGUCACUUUGGAUCCAUCCAUUUGAAACUAAUCCGCGGUUCUUUCACACAAUGACAUAAUAACUUAUCAUCAUCAUCAUCAUCAUAAUAUCAUUAACAACUUAUCAUCAUAAUAAAUCAUUGUCAUAUAACUCCUCAUCAUCAUCAUUUUUGUCCAUGACAUCAUCUAACAACUUGGUCACUAGUUAUAAUAACAACUCCUCAUCAUCAUCAUAGUACUCAUAAUCACUACUCCUACUCAGCAUCACCAUCAAGUAUAAGACACUGUAGCACGUAAUAAAAGCUUCUCAUCAUCAUCAUAGUCAUAUAUAAUCAACACUAACUAAUUGUUCUUAAUACUUAGGACCUACUCCUCUCUCCUAGCUAAAAUACCAUAAAACAGAUAAACCGGUCCUUCUCCAUAAUGGACAAUGGACAUAAACCUAUCUCCAACUUGUGGCUUGCGCACAUUCAUUUUGUCUCCAAUUAUUUGCGUGUGUGCAUUCAUCACUUUGCUCCAUUCUUUGAUUUUGAGCCUUCCAUCAUUUGAAGAAAUCGAGUAUGCAGUAUGGUAAGCCUUCGAAGGAGUUGGUCGUAAGCUAACCAUAUGCAUAUCACCUUCUGUAAAUAGAAUGCCAGGCACAACCUGCUUCGGGAGCCUCUGUUCAAAAACGUAAUAGUAAAAUAUAUAGUUAGCAAUGUAGUUUACUUAAGAAUAAUGUAUACAAUGAAGUUACCAUCAUUAACAAAAUCUUACCAAGUUUUUGGCAAUGAAGUUACCCUCAAGAAAUUUAUGGAUUAGUGGCACGUAUCUAGUAUAAUUUGGGCUGAUAGAGUGACUGGUUUUGAAGGUCUCAGCAUCUUCUAUGAAUGCGACAAGAUAACCUUUCUCCUCACAAUUAAGCUUGGAGUCAAAAGCUGUAGUAUGUGUUGUCUAUUACCUUCCGAGUAUUUCUUGAAGAUAAGAAAUAAGCUGACAAUUAUAAAUAAAUAAGUUUAGUACCGACGAACACCAAAUAUUUUUAAAUUAACAACAUAAAUUACUGAACUUAACAAAUUAGUUUGACAAACUCACAUCUAGGCAAAACUGGAGGCAUAUCCACAUCCACCGAGAUGUCGAUAUUAUCAUCAUCAUCAUAAUCUUCGAGGCGAAUCGCAUUACCUCCUCAAAUCCAUAUGCCUUGCAGAGAGCUUCCCAAUUAGAGCAACCGAAAUGGGAGUGAUCGACCGCAUUGUACAGCUUAACCAAAAACUCAUAACCAUGUUUAGUUCUUAAGUGAGCCCUCCUCGUCUCCACAUUCUCAAAGUCAUCUAAACCAAAAUCAAUCUUCUCCAAUACAUAUGGUCUAGCUUGGCACGGGAUGUACUAAUCAAAUUUAAAAAAAAUCCAUAAAUUACACAUUGAACAAAAGAAGCACAAGUGAUGAUAUUAAUUACGAUGAAAUGCUUGUCGUUGCGUACCGUACAAACAUCAAAGGUCACUUCCAGCUUCACGGUGAAAAACCUAUCAUUUUGUAGCUGAGGAAACCUAUCGCACAAACCCCGGUCAUCAUAGAAGUACCCGCACUCCGGGAUCCCAUCAUCAUUAGACAUCUCCUGUGCUCAAAAUUCAAAGAUUAUAACUCGACGGCAAAACCCAAAAAAGCCGGCAUGACCUUUGCUAAAAAAAGGACAUAUCGAGCGCCAACAGAAAUUAAUCAACACUCUGGCAAAACAUAGGCCACUUAUCGAUGGUCAUUGCAUUUCAAUGGUGUAAAAUAUGAACAAAAACAUUUCAAAAUAUCUUAUAUAUAAUACUAACACUAAAUAAACUAGUUUUAAUAACUACUUACUAAAUAAACUAGUUUUGUUAACUACUUACUAAAUAAACUAGUUCUAUUAAGCACUUACUAGAAAUAAACUAGUUCUAUUAAGCACUUACUAAAUAAACUAGUUCGAUUAAGCACUUAAUAUAAAUAAACUAGUUAUAUUAAUCACUUACUAAAUAAACUAUUUCUAUUAAGCACUUGCUAAAAAUUCUACUACCCUAGUUCUACCCUUAAUCAAAUUACCUAGAAUUUGCAAGAACAGAGACAGAGGAGGGAGGGAGGAGAGAGGAGGGGGAGGGGGNNNNNNNNNNNNNNNNNNNNNNNNNNNNNNNNNNNNNNNNNNNNNNNNNNNNNNNNNNNNNNNNNNNNNNNNNNNNNNNNNNNNNNNNNNNNNNNNNNNNNNNNNNNNNNNNNNNNNNNNNNNNNNNNNNNNNNNNNNNNNNNNNNNNNNNNNNNNNNNNNNNNNNNNNNNNNNNNNNNNNNNNNNNNNNNNNNNNNNNNNNNNNNNNNNNNNNNNNNNNNNNNNNNNNNNNNNNNNNNNNNNNNNNNNNNNNNNNNNNNNNNNNNNNNNNNNNNNNNNNNNNNNNNNNNNNNNNNNNNNNNNNNNNNNNNNNNNNNNNNNNNNNNNNNNNNNNNNNNNNNNNNNNNNNNNNNNNNNNNNNNNNNNNNNNNNNNNNNNNNNNNNNNNNNNNNNNNNNNNNNNNNNNNNNNNNNNNNNNNNNNNNNNNNNNNNNNNNNNNNNNNNNNNNNNNNNNNNNNNNNNNNNNNNNNNNNNNNCGGCCGGAGGCGGAGGGAGGAGGGCGCAGUGGAGGAGGAGGGAGGAGGGCGCGGUGGGGGGAGGAGGGAGUACCUCGGUGGAGGACGGACGACGGCGGCGGCGGCAGCGGACGACGGGUAUUAGCGCGGGCGAGAGUGACUGAGAGGGGGAGUGAGUGAGAGAGAGGGUCGGCCGUGUCGGGAGGAUAAGGUAGGGUUAGUAGUAGCGCUGGUUCGAGAAAAGCGUUACAGCUAAGGAGAAUAGCAGUAGCGCUGGGCGAGGAUACGCGCUACUGCUAAGUUGGGCUAGCCAUGUGCGCCCAGUUCAAACAUAGCAGCAGCGCUUUUUGCUAGUACGCGCUACUGCUAAAGUUAUAGUAGUAGCGUGGUUUAUUUAUACGCGUUGCUACUAAGUAGCAGUAGCGCAUGAUUUUGUCCAGUGCUACUGCUAAGAUGUUGUGUAUAAGGUUUUCCCUAGUAGUGAUAUGAGGAGGUGGCCGUCCAUCGUCCCGUGAACGGCGGGUUUUGGGCCUCCUCUUCUCCUGCAUCGUCGUUCAUACCAUCGAUGGCUUCAGAGCCGUAAUCGAGCAUGUCGGUUAAGUCCUCGACAGUGGCUAUGAAGUGGGCGGUGGGUGGGAAACAAAAUUCUCCGUCAUCAGCCUCCAGCUGGAACCGGAUAUAAUUUGGCUGAGAAUCCCCCGCCAAGGAUAGUGUUCUUAACGAGUUUACCAUGUCGCCCAAAGGCGAGUGCCGGAAGAUGUCCGCGGAGCUGAAUUCGACGAUCGAUGACCGAUCAAGCUCGACGUACGCUGACGCACAAGGUUCGGAACCUGUAGUCGGAGACGAGUCCAUGGUUCCAGUGACACAGAUGUCACUUGAAGUUAGGUCGGUGUGCGGCUCCAACGCCGCAGAGUCUGCGGCUUCCGCGGCGAGGUUGAACUUCUCGUCCUCGGAUGGCGCGAUCUGCUCCAGAUCUGAGGCCAGAGCAGCUAUAGGUACUAUCUCCUGGGUAUGGUCCGAGACAGUUUUAUGUCGUGUUCAUCGUGGUGGCAGGGAGCAGCUGCCGUGGUCUCAAAUCCAUCGAAGAUCAAGUCUCCGCAGAUAUCCGCGAAGUAACUCAAGCUUCCAAAUCUGACCUGAUGGCCAGGGGCGUAGCUUUCGAUCUGCUCCAGAUGGCCAAGCGAGUUGGCCCGCAGUGCGAAGCCGCCGAAUACGAAGAUCUAUCCGGGGAGGAAGACUUCCCCUUGGACAGCAUUGUUAUAGAUGGUCGAAGGAGCGAUCGAACCUUUUGACGACGGCACAGUGGAACUCUUAAUGAAAGCACCAAUGUCGGUGUCAAAACCGGCAUAUCUCGGGUAGGGGGUCCCGAACUGUGCGUCUAAGGUCGAUGGUAACAGGAGGCAAGGGACACGAUGUUUACCCAGGUUCAGGCCCUCUCUAUGGAGGUAACGCCCUACUUCCUGCUUGAUUGAUCUUGAUGAAUAUGAGUAUUACAAGAGUUGAUCUACCACGAGAUCGUAAUGGCUAAACCCUAAAAGUCUAGCAUGUCUGACUAUGAUUAUGAGGAUAUCUGUCUACGGACCUAGCCCUCCGGUUUAUAUAGACACCGGAGGGAUCUAGGGUUACAUAAGGUCGGUUACAGAGAAAGGAAUCUUCAUAUUUGUUUGCCUAGCUUGCCUUCCACACCAAGGAGAGUCCCAUCCGGACACGGGUAGAGUCUUCGGUCUUUGUAUCUUCACGGCCCCUCAGUCCGGCCCAUGUCUAAUAGGUCGGACGCCCGAGGACCCCUUAGUCUAGGACUCCCUCAGCAGGGGGCGCGCCCAGGGGGUAGGGCGCGCCCUCCACCCUCGUGGAUGCCUCAUGUCCUUUCCGGACUGUUUCUUAUUUUCCUAUUUUCUUAAAUAUUCCAGAACGGAGAAAAAAUGCUAUUAGAACUAUUUUGGAGUCAGUUUACUUACCGUACCACAUACCUCUUCUUUUUCGAGGUUGAAACGUUCUCGAAGGUCUCCCUUAUAUACUCCUCCGGGGUUACGGUUUCAAUAACAUUAGUUUCAACAUUUAUAGGAUCACCUGAGAUAUAAUGUUUGAUUCUUUGACCGUUCACCACCCUCGGAUCUGUGCCUUUGAAGUUGUUGAUUUUUGUGGCACCGGAAUGAUAGACCUCCUCGAUAACGUAAGGACCUUCCCAUUUAGAGAGGAGUUUUCCUGCAAAAAAUCUUAAACGAGAGUUGUAUAACAAUACAUAAUCACCUACAUUAAACUCACGUUUUUGUAUCCUUUUGUCAUGCCAUCUUUUAACUUUUUCUUUAAACAGUCUGGCAUUUUCAUAGGCCUGGGUUCUCCACUCAUCAAGUGAGCUAAUGUCAAAAGUCUCUUCUCACCGGCAGGUUUGAAGUCAUAAUUGAGCUCCUUCCGGUAUCUUUCUUUUAUUUGUGACAAUAUCUUUCAUGUACUUAGCAUAAGGAUUCAUUUUAAGCAUAUCAGUCAAGCGCAUACGCAAAAAGAUAGGUCUAAUCAUUUCAGCAAAGCGCUCAAAUUCCUCAUCAUCCUUUUUCUUGGAUGGUUUAGGAGAAAAAGGCAUGGGUUUCUGAACCCAUGGUUCUCUUUCUUUACCGUGCUUCCUAGCAACAAAGUCUCUCUUAUCAUAUCGUUGAUUCUUUGAUUGUGGGUUAUCAAGAUCAACAGCAGGUUCAAUCUCUACAUCAUUGUUAUUCCUAGGUUGAGCAUCAACAUGAACAUCAUCAUUAAUAUUAUCACUAGGUUCAUGUUCAUUACCAGAUUGUGUUUCAGCAUCAGAAAUAGAAAUAUCAUUGGGAUUCUCAGGUAUGUCAACAACAGGUUCACUAGAAGCAUGCAAAGUCCUAUCAUUUUUAUUUUUCUUCUUCUUAGAAGAACUAGGUGCAUCAACAUUAGUUCUCUGAGAAUCUUGCUCAAUUCUCUUAGGGUGGCCCUCGGGAUACAAAGGUUCCUGAGUAAUUUUACCCCCUCUAGUUACAACUCUAACAGCAUUGUCAUUUUUCUUAUUAUUUAAUUCACUGAGCAAAUCAUUCUGAGCUUUAAGUACUUGUUCUACUUGAGUGGUAACCAUAGAAGCAUGUUUACUAAUAAGUUUAAGUUCACCUUUAACUCUAGACAUAUAAUCACUCAAGUGUUCAAUCAUAUAAGCAUUACGUUUCAAUUGUCUACCAACAUAAGCAUUGAAGUUUUCUUGUUUAACAAUAAAAUUAUCAAACUCAUCUAAGCAUUGGCUAGCAGACUUAUAACGAGGAAUAUCACCUUCAUCGAAUCUAUAGAGAGAAUUUACCUUUACUACCUAUGUCGGGUUAUCAAGACCAUGAAUUUCUUCAAUAGGUGGUAAAUUCUUAACAUCUUCAGCUUUAAUACCUUUUUCUUUCAUAGAUUUCUUUGCCUCUUGCAUAUCUUCAGGACUGAGAAAUAGAAUACCCCUUUUCUUCGGAGCUGGCUUAGGAGUUGGUUCAGGAAGUGUCCUAUCAUUUUCAUUACUCAACAUAUUAUUCAAUAGCAAUUCAGCUUGCUCAAUAGUUCUUUCCCUGAAAACACAACCAGCACAACUAUCCAGGUGGUCUCGGGAAGCAUCGGUUAGUCCAUUAUAAAAGAUAUCAAGUAUUUCAUUUUUCUUGAGAGGAUGAUCAGGUAAAGCAUUAAGUAAUCGGAGAAGCCUCCCCCAAGCUUGUGGGAGACUCUCUUCUUCAAUUUGCACAAAAUUAUAUAUUUCCCUUAAGGCAGCUUGUUUCUUAUGAGUGGGGAAAUAUUUAGCAGAGAAGUAAUAAAUCAUAUCCUAGAGACUACGCACACAACCAGGAUCAAGAGAAUUAAACCAUAUUUUAGCAUCACCCUUUAAUGAGAACGAAAACAACUUAAGGAUAAAGUAAUAGUGAGUUUUCUCAUCAUUAGUGAACAGGGUGGCUAUAUUAUUUAAUUUAGUAAGAUGUGCCACAAUAGCUUCAGAUUCAUAGCCAUAAAAAGGAUCGGAUUCAACCAAAGUAAUUAACUCAGGAUCGACAAAGAAAUCAUAAUCCUUAUCGGAGAUACAGAUAGGUGAAGUAGCAAAAGUAGGGUCAUAUUUCAUUCUAGCAUUCAAUGAUUUUUUUUCAGCUUAGCUAACAGUUUCUUAAGAUCAUAUCUAUAAUUGCAAGCUAAAAUGUCUCUAGCAGUUGCUUCAUCCAUAACAUAACCCUCAGGCACAACAGGCAAUUCAUAUCUAGGGGGAGAAUCUUCAUCGUCACUUUCAUCAAUAUUAUCAGUUUCAAUAAUUUCAUUCUCUCUAACCCUAGCAAGUUGUUCAUCAAUAAAUUCACCUAAUGGCACAGUAUUAUCAAGCAUAGAAAUAGUUUCAUCAUAAGCAUCAUGAAAAGCAUAAGUGGCAUCAUUGAUAACAUGCGACAUAUCAGAAUGAAUGGCAGAAGUAGGUGUCGCAAGUUUACUCAUAACAGAAGGUGAAUCAAGUGCAGAGCUAGAUGGCAGUUCCUUACCUCCCCUCAUAGUUGAGGGAAAAUGUUGGUUCUUUCAUCUUUCAAGUUCCUCAUAGUGAUCAACAGAUAUAAAUCCCAAGUGACUCAAAGAAUAGAGCUAUGCUCCCCGACAACGACGCCAGAAAAUAGUCUUGAUAACCCACAAGUAUAGGGGAUCGUAACAGUUUUCAAGGGUAGAGUAUUCAACCCAAAUUUAUUGAUUCGACACAAGGGGAGCCAAAGAAUAUUCUCAAGUAUUAACAGUUGAGUCGUCAAUUCAACCGCACCUGAAAGACUUAAUAUCUGCAGCAAAGUAUUUAGUAGCAAACUAAUAUGGAAGUAACAGUAAUGGUGGCAAAGGUAAUAGUAAUAGUACUGGUUUUGUAGUGAUUGUAACAGUGGCAACGAAAAAGUUAACUAAGCAAAGAUCAAUAUGUGAAAAGCUCGUAGGCAAUGGAUCACUAAUGGAUAAUUAUGUCGGAUGCAAUUCCUCAUGCAACAGUUAUAACAUAGGGUGACACAGAACUAGCUCUAGUUCAUCAAUGUAAUGUAGGCAUGUAUUCUGAAUAUAGUCAUACGUGCUUAUGGAAAAGAACUUGCAUGACAUCUUUUUUCCUACCCUCCCGUGGCAGCGGGGUCCUAUUGGAAACUAAGGGAUAUUAAGGCCUCCUUUUAAUAGAGUGCCGGACCAAAGCAUUAACACUUAGUGAAUACAUGAACUCCUCAAACUAUAGUCAUCACCGGGAAUGGUCCCGAUUAUUGUCACUUCGGGGUUACCGGAUCAUAACACAUAGUAGGUGACUAUUGACUUGCAAAAUAGGAUCAAGAACUCACAUAUAUUCAUGAAAACAUAAUAGGUUUAGAUCUGAAAUCAUGGCACUCGGGCCCUAGUGACAAGCAUUAAGCAUAGCAAAGUCAUAGCAACAUCAAUCUCAGAACAUAAUGGAUACUAGGGAUCAAACCCUAACAAAACUAACUCGAUUACAUGAUAAAUCUCAUCCAACCCAUCACCGUCCAGCAAGCCUACGAUGGAAUUACUCACGUACGGCGGCGAGCAUCAUGAAAUUGGUGAUGGAGGAAGGUUGAUGAUGACGAUGGCGACGGAUUCCCCUCUCCGGAGCCCCGAACAGACUCCAGAUCAGCCCUCCCGAGAGAGAUUAGGGCUUGGCGACGGCUCCAUAUCGUAAAACAUGAUGAAUCCUUCUCUCUGAUUUUUUCUCCCCGAACGUGAAUAUAUAGAGUUGGAGUUGAGGUCGGUGGAGCCUCAGGGGGCCCACGAGAUAGGGGGCGCGCCCCCCACCCUCGUUGACAGGGUGUGGGCCCCUAGCGUUGAUUCUUUCGCCAGUAUUUUCUAUAUAUUUCAAAAAUAUUCUCCGUGAAGUUUCAGGCCAUUCCGAGAACUUUUAUUUCUGCACAAAAAUAACACCAUGGCAAUUUUGCUGAAAACAGCGUCAGUCCGGAUUAGUUCCAUUCAAAUCAUGCAAGUUAGAGUCCAAAAUAAGGUCAAAAGUGUUUGGAAAAGUAGAUACGAUGAAGACGUGUCAGCUGGCAGCACUGUUGCCGCAUCAACUGGCAACUGCUUGCCUGCCACAUCUGUGACUGGACAUAUGGUGUCUGGCUCACUGCUGCAGGAAAGCAGCGCAUGUGUUCAUCUAAGGCUGCGACUGCUGCUGGCAUUGCCCGUAGCCCUGGCUACAGGUAGUGUCCAGCUGCGCAACUGCGCUGGUCGCCGUGAAGGUGAGGAGAGCGAGGAUGAACAUGGUCUUCAUGGUGGCUGGCUACAAGCUUGCUUUGGUGUUUAUGUUUGUGUGAAGGGUGAUGAGGGAGGGUCUUCAUGGUGCAGGCCUAUUUAUAGCUACCAUGGCAUCAUUUUGUGCAUUGCAUCCGUAGGUUCCUAUGCUGAAGAUUUAGUGUGCUUUUCCAUCUGAUCAUCUGACACUUGUGUUAGGUGGCGCUACAAGUCCAAUCUUGGAUGGUCGUCAAAUAUACUUUUCAACACAUAUCGUGUAUGUGUCACUCAGCUCACGCCUGAUCUGGAUAAUCAAUAUGACUCAUCACUGAUCACUUUACAUGUCAAGCGUAUAUCUGGAUUGUGUCUUUUUGUGAAAUCCAUUUUGUUAUCUUCUACGAGUUGUUAGAUAUAAAUCAGAUUGGCAUGUCCCGCACUCCAUCUUAUUGUUUCCUAAAGACUGGUUUUGUAUCAUUGUAUUAAUUGGUAACACAAAUGGCAUCAGUAGAGCAUUGGAUGACUCAUAAAUUUUUCCUUUAGAUGUCAAGGAUUGUCAUGGAGUUAUGCUUCGGCGUGUGAAACUUUAACACCCCCAGUAUCAUGCUACAUCAAUCUCAUGCCUAAUGAUGCCAUGCCAUCAUAAUUAAGAUGCAAGUCCUCACUUUGUUUCAAACCAAACUUAAAUUCAAAUUUAAAAUGCAAGUCAAAUUAUACUUUUAUAAAAACAGUAGUUUAAAAAUGUUCCUUAGGUUGCAAAUAUUCACUAGAUAAUUUUUAUGCCUUAACCAACGUUUUUAGAGAUGCUUAAAAUGGCCCUGGAUAUGAAAACAGCCCCAUUUGAGUCAUUUUCUUUUAAUCAAAAUACAAAUAACUUCAAACCACUCCCAAACUUUUUGUGGCAGUAAGGUAAAUUUCAUACUAAAUUUUGAGAGCUUUCACACAUUUUACAAAAGUGAAUGGGUGGCCUAACAAUUUACGAAUCAAAGAAGAAAUAAAAGAAACAGAGAAGAAAAAUAAGAAAAGACCUAAACUAUUGGUGGACUGGGCUCUACGUCAACAGUGGGAGCCCAGCCCACCUCGCCACCUCCUCCUUGCUCCUACUCACCAGGAGCUCCGUGGACACGCGCGCCCCGUCCAUGGCCGCGGAUGGCCACGCGGCGUCCAUCCCGUGGCUCCCCAUCGCAGAUAAGGUCUUCCCCAAGCCCCGGACGAACCCUAUCUGCCCCCAUAUCUCACUUCCCCUUCCUACCUCGCUCCUUUGUUCGCAUUCGAGCGUGCCCGUCGGCGCUGUUCGCUACCACCGCGACCACCGCCAUUCUCAUGCUCUUCCGCCAUGUCCCCGAGCUCUGCAAUGUAGCACUCGUCCCCUCCAUCGAAACACACGAGCUAGAACGCCCUGCAACGCCGUCGCCAUCGCCGUCUUCAACCUCGGGAGCCGACCACUGCCGCCUUCGAUUCGCGACCACCAGAGCCUCCCCGAGCAGGUUGACCUCCUCUUCGCUAUCCCUGUGAGCUCCUCCUCCGUCUCCCUCUCGCCCCGUUGUCGAUCCGUCAUUGUAGAACCGUGCCCCGCGCCCUACUGUCGCCGCCAUGGCCGGAGCCCCGUCCGCGCCUGCUCCUGCUGUAUCUCGCGCCCAGUCCCGUGUCCGCUGUGCCCCUGCGCGCUGGCUCGUCCGGCCGCCCGGCCGCACGCCCAGCGCCGCAGCCGCCCGCGGCUCUGCCGCUGUUCUGCCGCUCCCUGUACUGUUGUUGCUUUUGCGUGCUGCCAUGGCCUCGCGUCCGCUCGCUGCUGCUCUAUUUCUACUGCCGCGCUGCUGCUCCUGCUUGUGCCGCUGAACUGCUGCUACUCCCGCUGCUUGCUGCUGCUCUUAUCGUGCUAGCCACCGCCGCUUGUGUUGCUUUGCUGCUGCUAUUGCCGCCUGCAAUGGCUGGCUGCUGGUGGUGGUUGCUAUGGCCGUGUGUGCGUAGGCGUUGUGUGUGGCCGGCUUGAUUAGUUUAGGCUAAUUUAGAUUAAUUACGUAAUCUUUGUUAGGUUAGUUGCUAGCCUAUGGCAGGUGGACCCCUUUUAGUUAAGUCAGGUUUUAUUUAUUUUGUCUACAUAUAGUCUAUGCCAUGUGGAUCUUGCCUUUCCUUUUGACCGGUCAAUUUGACUUGGUUAAUUCGGAUUAAAUAAAUGCUAAAAUUUCAGAAAAUUGUAUAAAUUUUGAAAAUUCAUAGAAAAUAAAUCGUAAGUCGGAUGUAAAUAAUUUAUAUAUAAAAGUUACUCAGAACGACGAGAUGAAUCCAAAUACGCGGUCUGUUUGCCAGCCACACGCCUCUAGCAUAGCGAACAUGUAAUUUUCUCCUCCGGUUUGUUUGUCCGAAAACGCGAAACACCGGGAAUACUUUCCCGGAUGUUUUCCCCCUUUGUCGGUAUCACCUACUGUCGCGUUAGGGCACACCUAGCACCGCUCAUUGUCAUGUCGUGCAUCGUCAUGCUUAUGUUUGCAUUAUAUUUAUUGUUUCUUUCCCCCUCUUCUCUCGCUAGACAUCGAGACCGACGCCGCUACUACUCAGUACGACUACGGUGUUGACGACCCCUCUUUCUUGCCAGAGCAACCAGGCAAGCCCCCCCCCCUGAUCACCAGAUAUCACCUAUUCUUCUCUCUACUGGUUGCAUUAGAGUAGUGUAGCAUGUUACUGCUUUCCGUUAAUCCUAUCCUGAUGCAUAGCCUGUCAUUGUUGCUACAGUUAUUGAUACUUUACCUGCAAUCCUAAAUGCUUAGUAUAGGAUGCUAGUUUAUCAUCAGUGGCCCUACAUUCUUGUCCGUCUUCCAUGCUAUACUACCGGGUCGUUAUCACUCGAGAGGUGAUCAAGGGUAUAUACUUAUAUACAUAUUAUAUGAUACCUAUGGUGACUAAAGUCGGGUCGGCUCGUAGAGUACCCGCGAGUGAUUCACGGAUUGGGUCCGAAAGGACGUUUGUCCCGACGGCCCUCUGAGUGGAUCUUUGUGGCGGAGCGACAGGGUAGGUUGAGACCACCUAGGAGAGAGGUGGGCCUGGCCCUGGUCGGCGUCCGCGGUUAUUUCAAAAUAACACGCUUAACAAGAUCUUGGUAUUUGAUCUGAGUCUGGCCACUGGCCUAUACGCACUAAUCAACUACGCGGGAACAGUUAUGGGCACUCGACGUCGUGGAAUCAGCCGAAGCCUUCGUGACGUUAGCGACUGAGCGGCGCGCGCUGGAUUGGACCGCAAGCCUGCUCUUGUAUUAAGGGGGCUAGGUCUGCUUCCGGCCGCCCUCGCAACGUGCAGGUACGCAAUGGGCGAUGAGCCCAGACCCCUGCGCCAUAGGAUUUAGACCGGCGUGCUGACCUCUCUGUUGUGCCAAGGUGGGGCUGCGACGUGUUGAUCUUCCGAGGCCGGGCUUGACCCAGGAAAGUGUGUCCGGUCAAAGGGGAUCGAGCGUGUUGGGAAAUGUGGUGCACCCCUGCAGGAAAGUUUAUCUAUUCGAAUAGCCGUGUCCCUCGGUAAAAGGACAACCCGGACUUGUACCUUGACCUUAUGAUAACUAGAACCGGAUACUUAAUAAAACGCACUCUUCCAAGUGUCAGAUACAACUCGGUGAUCGCUCUCUCACAAGGCAACAAGGGGAGGAUCGCCGGGUUGGAUUAUGCUAUGCGAUGAUACUUGGUGAACUUACCAUCUACUCUUUUUUACAUGCUACAAGAUGGAGGUUGCCAGAAGCGUAGACUUCGAUAGGACUAGCUAUCCCCCUCUUAUUCUGGCAUUCUGCAGUUCAGUCCACAUGUGCUACCAUUCUCCAUUUGAUACCAAUGCAUACAUAUAUAGUGUAGCUCCUUGCCUGCGAGUACUUUGGAUGAGUACUCACGGUUGCUUUGCUCCCCCUUUUUUCCCUUUCUAUACCCGGUUGUUGCGACCAGACAUUGGAGUCCAGGAGCCAGGCGCCACCGUCGACGAUGACUCCUACUACACUAGAGGUGCCUACUACUACGUGCAGGCCGCUGACGACGACCAGGAGUAGUUUAGAAGGAUCCCAGACAGGAGGCAUGCGCCUCUUUCGAUAUGUAUCCCAGUUUGUGCUAGCCUUCUUAAAGCAAACUUGUUUACUUAUGUCUGUACUCAGAUAUUGUUGCUUCCGCUGACUCGUCUAUGAUCGAGCUCUUGUAUUCAAGCCCUCGAGGCCCCUAGAUUGUAAUAUGAUGCUUGUAUGACUUAUUUUAUUUGUAGAGUUGUGUUGUGAUAUCUUCCCGUGAGUCCCUGAUCUUGAUCGUACACGUUUGCGUGUAUGAUUAGUAUACGAUUGAAUUGGGCGCGUCACAGAAACUGAAUUUGUUGUUUUUGUAAGCCAAGUUUAAUUGCUUCCUGGAUCUGGUUUUGUAGUCUUUUAUAAUCUGGUAGGAGAUAAAAUGACAUGAGUCAUUAAAUAAGUUGUUCACAUGUGGAAAGUCUGAUGUAGCGAUUCUGUAGCUUUGGCGAGUGAAGCUAAACUUGUUGUCUUUGCAAAAGAAAUAUGGUUUAUAGUGGAUGUAAAAGAUAUUUGUUUUAUGCAUGUAUCAUGAGGAGAGCAGAUUUAUUGAAAAACCCGGAAAUCAUAUUUUGAAGUUUCAAGAAAAUCUGAAAUAUAUACAUGAACCUACAUAAGCAUACUACAUCUCUGUAAAAUUUCAUGAUGAAAUAUGUUUUGGUGUGAGCUGCAUAAAAAUGAUAGGACUUUAUAGUGAAUUGUCCUAGAAAUACAUGGUUUUGUUUUUUUGUACAACUCACAAAAACGUAUUUCGUCAUGAAAUUUUACAGAGUAUACCAGUCUUCCAGUGUGUCUUUUCUUGUUUGGCUUAUCCAUCCCUAAUACCCAAAUUAUAAUGUUCACUAGGAUUAACUAGACCGAGGUUAAUGUUCUUUUGUGCAGACCUAGUGAUGUGUUUUUGUAGUUAUUUGUGUCAUGUUAUGGACUUAAAUAGAUGGACAUAUGUGUUGAAACCUGGGGCUGGGGCAGGUUUUAGUGAUACCUAGAUAGAUAAUAUUGUAGAAUUUGCAACAAAACUAAGCUAAAUUCAUGGGCAUAUUUAGUUUGACUAUUUUUGAAACUCAUAAAUCCUUUAUGAAUUCAUGAAUUUUUUGUAACUACAUGGACAUUUUUUAGUUCUAUUUUUUGAAAUUCAUGAAUAUUUCUGACUACACAAAAAACAAACUGUAAACAAAUUUUAAAUCCAUAAAAUCAAUCCAAGCAUUAUUCAAAAUUUGGAACAUUUUAAAACUCAAGUAUUUUUUUGGAUUUCUAAUCUUUUUUUAAUAAAUUUGAAACUAAAAACCCGAAGGAUGAAAAAAGGACGUCCCACGAUGCCCCUGUCCAAAGUGUGCGCAAAGGUCUCCAUAGGAAGAUCUUAGAAACUCCCGAAAUCACAACUUAAGGGGGAUACUUUGAAUUUUUUUGCCCCAUCUCUUGUGACGCUGACCAUUGGGGUAGGGGUUUCAUCACAAUCUGCAAGUUUUGGUGGGAUNNNNNNNNNNNNNNNNNNNNNNNNNNNNNNNNNNNNNNNNNNNNNNNNNNNNNNNNNNNNNNNNNNNNNNNNNNNNNNNNNNNNNNNNNNNNNNNNNNNNNNNNNNNNNNNNNNNNNNNNNNNNNNNNNNNNNNNNNNNNNNNNNNNNNNNNNNNNNNNNNNNNNNNNNNNNNNNNNNNNNNNNNNNNNNNNNNNNNNNNNNNNNNNNNNNNNNNNNNNNNNNNNNNNNNNNNNNNNNNNNNNNNNUCCAUUUUUCGUGCUCAGUUUUUCAAAAUGAAAUGUCUCUUGAACUAUAUGCAUCCAAACUACGAAUGGUUUUCACCAUCCUCGCAUAGAGAACUUCAAAACUACAUCAUGUUGAUAGGUUUUUACCAUGUGUUCACAGCGUGAACUAACCUCCUACUUAGUAAUAACUUGUGUCUCUCAACUUUAUGCAUGCUCCCAGCUAGUACUAAUAUGUGUGCUCUCAACCCACUAAUCUCUGCUCCAAAUGUGAACUAACCAGUGCUCCUACUCUGGAUUCAGAUCCUCUGACUAGGGAAAAGAAGUCAGGGCGGUACCUGACUUCCCUUCGCUAGAUUUCCAUAAAUAGCAAUUUAACACAACGAUUAUGUGUAGUGGUUAUCUACAGUAAUCUGUGAAUCUACAGUGAUGAGUGAACACUGCGAGCUCUCCGACUUUCCUUCCAUGUUUCACACACAUAGGGCACUGUAUCCCCGUUGACUUGCCUCCUGCAUGUGAUCCGUCUCCCAUAACGCGAGGCACAACAAUGCUCCUAUGUGAAGCACACAUAUGCUUCCAACAUGACCUAAUUUUUGCUCGCACCUAAUACUAACUCUGAAAGGAUCGAUAUAGUUGACUAGAGGGGGGUGAAUAGGCAACUAACAAUGUUUAGCUUUUCUUUAUCAAUUUAAACUUUGCAUCAAAGUAGGUUGUCUAGAUAUGCAACAAUGUGAGCAACCUAUAUGAUGCAACAACAAUAAGAACACAAGCAAGCUAAGGAUACAACACAAAAAGCUUGCACAAGUAAAGGCACGAGAUAACCAAGAGUGGAGCCGGUGAAGACGAGGAUGUGUUACCGAAGUUCCUUCCUUUUGACGGGAAGUACGUCUCCAUUGGAGCGGUGUGGAGGCACAAUCCUCCCCAAGAAGCCACUAGGGCCACCGAAUUCUCCUCACGCCCUCGCACAAUGUGAUAUGCCGUGAUUCCACUAUUGCUGCCCUUGGAGGUGGCGACCGGACCUUUACAAACAAGGUUGGGCUCUCUCCACAACCGAAUUGGAGGCUCCCAACGAAACCACGGAGCUUCACCACAAUGGAAUAUGGCUCCGAGGUGACCUCAACCGUCUAGGGUGCUCAAACACCCAAGAGUAACAAGAUCCGCAAGGGAUGAGUGGGGGGAUCAAAUUUCUCUUGGUGGAAGUGUAGAUCUGGGUCUUCUCAACCAAUCCCUAGAAAAUCAACAAGUUUGAUUGGGUAGGGAGAGAGAUCGGGCGAAAAUGAGCUUUGGAGCAGCAAUGGAGCUUGGGGGUGUCGGUGUCAAAACCGGCGGAUCUCGGGUAGGGGGUCCCGAACUGUGCGUCUAGGCCGGAUGGUAAUAGGAGGCAAUGGACACGAAGUUUUACCCAGUUUCGGGCCCUCUUGAUGGAGGUAAAACCCUACGUCCUGCUUGAUUAAUAUUGAUGAUAUGGGUAGUACAAGAGUAGAUCUACCACGAGAUCGGAGAGGCUAAACCCUAGAAGCUAGCCUAUGGUAUGAUUGUUGUUUUGUAUGUUGUCCUACGGACUAAAACCCUCCUGUUUAUAUAGACACCGGAGAGGGUUAGGGUUACACAAAGUCGGUUACAAUGGUAGGAGAUCUACAUAUCCGUAUCGCCAAGCUUGCCUUCCACGCCAAGGAAAGUCCCUUCCGGACACGGGACGAAGUCUUCAAUCUUGUAUCUUCAUAGUCCAGGAGUCUGGCUGAAGGUAUAGUCUGGCCAUCCGGACACCCCCUAAUCCAGGACUUCCUCAGUAGCCCCUGAACCAGGCUUCAAUGACGACGAGUCUGGCGCGCAGAUUGUCUUCGGCAUUGCAAGGCGGGUUCCUCCUCCAAGUACUUCAUAGAAGAUUUUGAACACAAAGAUAGUGUCCGGCUCUGCAAAAUAAGUUUCCACAUAUUGCCAUAGAGAGAAUAAUAUUUACACAAAUCUAAUCUGCUGACGUAUUCCGUAGUGUGACACACCACGGCCAAGUCUUUAUUCGAAUCGUUUUAUUAUCCCACCUCGGCAUGUCAUGCGAGGCGGUUUCCUUGGCACGUCUUGUCAAAGCAGAGAUCGUGUCCCCUUAUUCCGAGAUUCUCAUCAAUACGGGCGUGGGUAACCCAACCGCGCCAUUGAUUACGGCGCUUGGGGAUAAGCGAGUUUUACCAGGCUGGUGGGGACACAUAGUUGCGUCCACCCAUAUAAGGGGAUAAGGAUCCACCUUUUCACCUACGCCUUCUUCCUCCUUUGCCUAUCCAUUCUUGCGCACUCGAGCUCCAGCGCCCAAGUCCGCACUCCCCACCUCAACCUUCUCCAGCCAUGUCCGGAGUGGGAGGCAAGUGGAUGGUCUCCUCCGUCACGGAGGGACACAUCAAAAGACUAAGGAAGGCCGGAUACUUGUCUAACGACAUUGCGCACCGGCUUCCUGAAGAGGGGCAGCUCAUCCCCACCCCUAGGCCCCAUGAGAGGGUGGUGUUCCUCCCCCAUUUCCUCCACGGACUGGGCUUCCCUCUCCACCCAUUUGUCCGGGGGCUCAUGUUCUACUAUGGCUUGGAUUUCCACGAUCUGGCCCCGAACUUCGUCCUCAACAUCUCGGCGUUUAUCGUCGUGUGCGAGGCUUUUCUCCGCAUCCGCCCCCAUUUCGGUCUAUGGCUCAAGACUUUCAAUGUCAAGCCGAAGGUGGUGCGCGGCAACCAGGCGAAGUGCGGAGGCGCCAUGGUGGGCAAGAUGCCCAACGUCUUAUGGCUCGAGGGCUCCUUUGUGAAGACCCUAAAGGGGUGGCAAUCGGGGUGGUUUUACAUCACCGAGCCGCGCGACCCUGAAUGGGUCGCAGCCCCCGAGUUCCGAUCCGGACCCCCUACGCGGCUCACCUCCUGGAAGGAGACGGGCCUGUCGUGGGGUAAAAAAGGAGAGCUGACCGGACUCCAAACAUGUGUCCAAACCCUGGUGGACAAGAAGCUCAAACUUGUCAACGUAGUCCAGGUUAUGCUCAUCCGCCGGAUCCUCCCGUGUCAACAACGGGCUUUCAACCCGUGGGAGUUCGACCCGGCGCAGCACCGAACUCUGAGCAGGCUCUUCGACACGACGUAUGAAGAUGCUUGGAAGGUGCUUUUCAAGGGCGCCGAGGCCCCCGCAUCCGCUACCGAGGAUCGCGGAUUCAGUACGCAGCGUCACGCUCAUGCGGUAAGCUGUUUUUACCUUUUACAGGGUAUCAGUUUUUCAUAGUUUGACUCCAUGCGGGAUCUAAGCUCCCUUACCUUUGACAGGAUUGGCAGGAGACGUCUGGACAGAUCAACUGUCUGGCUCCCUUGCCCGAAGGCCCAGCGGACGCUCGUUUGGCGAAGCUGCUGGUUCCGGCACCCCAUGUGGUACCGGAGAAGAAGGCCAAGAAGAAGGCCACGGGGACUCGAAAGAGUGCCCGGCGCCUGGAGGUGUCGGAUCCCUCAUCCGACGACUCCAAAACGCACUCCUCCCAUGAAGACGAGGAGGAGGAAGAAGAGACCCCUCCCCCUCCAGCGGGGGAAGGGAAGAUAAGGAAGGCCGCCCCAACUGGGGAAGCCGAAGGGUCCAAGAAGGGGAAAACCCUUCCUCCGGACUACUCCACCGACGCCGACGACAGCAGAGAGGAGUGGCCGCUCAGGGCCAAGCCCCUGGCUAAAUCGUAAGUAUCAGGAUACCAGAGUAAUUCAUAGUAUUCCUUUAUUGCACAGCUUUCCCUUAUGUCGAAUAUGUUUAUGCAGCCCACCCAAAGACCGGCUCGACGCGUCGUUGAGCGUUUCACUGGACUCGUCGGAUGUGAAUUCACUUCCGACGGCUUCCUCCCCCCGCCCUACGAACGACACCGAAGUGUUGUCCCAACAGGUUCCAAGCCGGGAGGAGGUGGUCCUGGAGGCGCGGCAAGGCGACCUCCCGGACUCCAGGAGUAAAGGGGAUGAAACCCCCCAGGGCUCCAAGUUCGGCCCUAGGCCGGACACCGCUCCGGAACCUUCAAAGGUUCCAGAGUCCGGCGGACGACCUCCUUCCAAGAGGAGCAAGCCCACCGUGCCGGUGACCCCCGUCCAACCAGAGGCGCCGGACAAUCUGUUGGAGGUGCUCAAAGGCGCCUCCAUCGACGAGGAGCACCGCACCAUUAUGAGUGCGGUGGUCCAGAAGGUUCAGUUCACCAAGAGCGGACUGAGUGAAGCUUGUACUAGCCUUUUAACAGGCUUUGAGGUAAGUAAAGAAUGUGUAAAUAAUAUUACUGUUGGGUUUCGUAGUAAUUUCAACGGUUUUCCUACGCACACGCAAGAUCAUGGUGAUGCACAGCAACGAGAGGGGAGAGUGUUGUCUACGUACCCACGCAGACCGACUGCGGAAGCGUUAACACAACAUAGAGGAAGUAGUCGUACGUCUUCACGAUCCGACCGAUCCAAGCACCGUUACUCCGGCACCUCCGAGUUCUUAGCACACGUACAGCUCGAUGACGAUCCCCGGGCUCCGAUCCAGCAAAGCGUCGGGGAGGAGUUUCGUCAGCACGACGGCGUGGUGACGAUCUUGAUGUUCUACCGACGCAGGGCUUCGCCUAAGCACUACAACGAUAUGACCGGGGUGGAAUAUGGUGGCAGGGGGCACUGCACACGGCUAAGGAACGAUCUCAAGGAUUAACUUGUGUGUCUAGAGGUGCCCCUUGCCUCCGUAUAUAAAGGAGCCAAGGGGAAGGGGGCCGCCGGCCAAGAGGAGGGCGCAGGAGGAGUCCUACUCCUACCGGGAGUAGGACUCCCCCCCCCCCCCAAUCCUAGUUGAACUAGGAUUCCCCGAGGGGGAAAGAGAGAGAGGGGGGCCGGCCACCUCUCCUAGUCCUAAUAGGACUAGGGGAGGGGGGAGGCGCGCGGCCACCUUGGGCUGCCCCUUUCUCCUUUCCACUAAAGCCCAUUAAGGCCCAUAUGGCUCCCGGGGGGUUCCGGUAACCUCCCAGUACUCCGGUAAAAUCCCGAUUUCACCCAGAACACUUCCGAUGUCCAAAUAUAGGCUUCCAAUAUAUCAUUCUUUAUGUCUCGACCAUUUCGAGACUCCUCGUCAUGUCCGAGAUCACAUCCGGGACUCCGAACUAACUUCGGUACAUCAAAAUGCAUAAACUCAUAAUAACUGUCAUCGUAACGUUAAGCGUGCGGACCCUAUGGUUCGAGAACAAUGUAGACAUGACCGAGACACGUAUCCGGUCAAUAACCAAUAGCGGGACCUGGAUGCCCAUAUUGGCUCCUACAUAUUCUACGAAGAUCUUUAUCGGUCAGACCGCAUAACAACAUACGUUGUUCCCUUUGUCAUCGGUAUGUUACUUGCCCGAGAUUCGAUCGUCGGUAUCCAAUACCUAGUUCAAUCUCGUUUACCGGAAAGUCUCUUUACUCGUUCUGUAAUACAUCAUCCCGCAAAUAACUCAUUAGUUGCAAUGCUUGCAAGGCUUAUGUGAUGUGCAUUACCGAGAGGGCCCAGAGAUACCUCUCCGACAAUCGGAGUGACAAAUCCUAUUCUCGAAAUACGCCAACCCAACAUCUACCAUUGGAGACACCUGUAGAGCUCCUUUAUAAUCACCCAUUUACGUUGUGACGUUUGGUAGCACACAAAGUGUUCCUCCGGCAAACGGGAGUUGCAUAAUCUCAUAGUCAUAGGAACAUGUAUAAGUCAUGAAGAAAGCAAUAGCAAUAUACUAAACGAUCGGGUGCUAAGCUAAUGGAAUGGGUCAUGUCAAUCAGAUCAUUCAACUAAUGAUGUGACCUCGUUAAUCAAAUAACAACUCUUUGUUCAUGGUUAGGAAACAUAACCAUCUUUGAUUAAUGAGCUAGUCAAGUAGAGGCAUACUAGUGACACUCUGUUUGUCUAUGUAUUCACACAUGUAUUAUGUUUCCGGUUAAUACAAUUCUAGCAUGAAUAAUAAACAUUUAUCAUGAUAUAAGGAAAUAAAUAAUAACUUUAUUAUUGCCUCUAGGGCAUAUUUCCUUCAAUUACCGCAUAGACAGUAGCCCCUGAUGCUCUGUUUGGCGUUCGGGAAGAAGAGCCGAAUAGAGGAUCCAAAUGAAAUUCGUAGGAGUCUAACAAAAAGGAGUCAAUAUGCGUAUGCAGGCUUCUCUGCUGGCGUCCGAUGUACUGACUGCGGAAGUGGACACGCUAAAGCAGAACCUCGAGCAGUCCGAGCAAGAGCUCGGGCGUGCCAAGAAGCAGCUCGAGGAGAAGGAAGGUAAGAAAGACCUUGUUUUAAAUAUAUAUAAAAAAGUGCAAUUGCAAAAAAUGACAGGAUCAUCGUGGCUAUUGUAGGGGCCACGUCUGAGGUGGCGAGCCUUAAGAAAGCGCUGGUCGAGGCCGAGAAGAGGGUGGCCACGGAGCGCACCAAGCGGGAGAAGUAUGAGGCUGAGGUUGGCAAGGUGCGGCAAGAGCUCCAUGCUCUCAUGGAAAAACAUGAGAGUUUGGAGCUUGACUCAAAGACGCGGGCGUCCGAGCUCGUGGUGGCUAUUGAAAAUGCCAAGUCUGCCAAGGGCUGAAUCCCAGAAGACCCUCCAGGAGUUGGAUGAGGUGAAAAAGAUAGCGGCGGGUAAGGCAUUCUUUAUGCAAAGCAAACACAUAAACGUCAGUUACUUGUUACUUACCUGAAUCCGGAGCUCUCCAGGAGCAUUCACAGAUCUUCCCCGUAGCGUGUCCGAUGCCGCCGCAUUCUAUCGAGUCGAGGAGGGCAGCUCGACGGAGAAGGUGUUCUGGUCUCGGUAUGCUGAGGCCGGACACCCCGUGCCCCUGGGCGACCAGCUGAAGCAACUGGUCGAGCUCCACAAGGCGGCCGAACAGGCCAUGAAGGGCCUCAUAGUUCAGCUAUGGCCUGGAGAGGCUCUGCCUGGGAGCUAUUUCGGGCUGGUGCGGCGGCUGGUGGGGGCCUGUCCAAGGCUCGAAGUAAUCAAGCGCUCUGAAGGUGCCCGUAGGGCCCUUGCCCGUGCUAAGGUGCACUGGGGCAAGCUGGAUGUUGAGAAGCUUCUGAAGGACGGGCCACCGUCGGGGAAGGAGCAUCACAAGCCUGAGAAUUAUUAUAAGGAUGUUCUGAAGGGUGCCUGCCUUAUGGCGGAUGAGUGUUCCAGGGAUGUAAUUUUUGAGUAAAACUCGCUCGUUUUGUCCUGUGCACUGAAAACUUGUUCAUAUGCGCUAAGCAAUGCUGUUGGAAUUUAAAAUAUUACCUUCUGUGCGGCUGUUUAUCAAUUCUGAGAGAUGGCGAGUCGUCGGCUUCUGCCCCCGUGCCGCUAGUGCUGGGGUGUUCGGAGAUAAACCUGAGCGCUCUUUUUCCCAUGUUUGGGUCCUUCGAGGGAGGCACUCAGCACAACGAACAAGGCAAUCGGACUAUAAUGCUUGAACACUCUCACUUAGCCAUAGAAUUCUAUAAUUUUAAAUUUCGGCGAAGCUCCUGGUAUUCGGAAGACCGAGUCCGGGGCGCUAUCCACGCCUUGGCCGGACAGAGCCGACUCCUCGCUCUAAGCGGCAUAAGUCUUUAAGGACUCGAAAAACCUCUUGAACAGCGACCAGCUCUCGCUUCAUCAUGACAGUCAGUUUUAGCUUUCUCUACUGAGGUGCUCGACCCAGCUCAACUGGGGCACAAUCGUAGUAGUUCUCCUAGUGCUACCUUAGCCGAUAUAGCGGAACGUAAGGCACCAAAACAUAGGAGCCGGGAAAACCCAACUAUUGACCCAAGACAUGAUUCGGAGCCGAUGCAUAUAAUGCUAUAAGUUCGGGGUGCCGCACUUGUUAAAGUGUUCGGACUUCUCACACCAUAUUGAGGGGUACUGAAGCCCCUGGCGUAUUUUGGCCGUACCAAAGUGUACGGGUGCAACAUGUCGUCAAGGAACAUAUAUUUGUAAAAAAAGAGUAAUGCAAAAAUAGAUAGAAGCUAUGCAUUGUUUAUAAAAAGGGCUGCGAUCAAAGCAGAACGAUACAAAUAAUGCGAUAAGCAAAAGGUUGGACUAUUUUAACAUGUCCGUUCCAGGGGCAGGUUGCGGAAUGGUAUGCGAAAUAGGUAUACUGCUCGUGAUAGAGACCACCUGGGAGUUCUGUAAUGCGGCAUGGCUUGUCUGCUUCCCUGGUUCUUGCAUCGUUUGUGCGGCAAUUGAACUGCCGAACAGGCCUUCCGAAGAGUGGAGUCCUGAAAGUAAGAGAAAAUUAAAAAAUCGGCAGCCCCUGGUGUGGUUUAAGCCAUGUUUCGGGCGUGCCGUGAUGGUGCCCCUCCCCCUGUACCCAUGGUAUUUCUAGAGCGUAGUUAUGUACGCGAAGUACUGGUGUCACAUUUUUGCGAGGGCUGGGGUUGGGGCCGCAUUGCUAUGCCUGCUCGGAACGUGCUAGGCGGUCUUGUUGUAGGUUACUCCGGGCGCGCUUGACGGUGUCCGGACGUUUAAUGGCCGGACUGGAGAACUGCCUGGAGAGGCUGCUUUGUACUUCCGCUGCAAGGGCCGCCGUGUGCUCCUCCGUUCGAAGGGAGUGUUCGGUGUUUCCAUUGACCGUAAUUACUCCUCGAGGGCCUGGCAUCUUGAGCUUAAGGUAUGCGUAGUGCGAUACCACACUGAACUUGGCGAAUGCGGUUCGUCCGAGCAGUGUGUGAUAGCCACUGCGGAAUGGGACUAUGUCGAAGAUUAACUCCUCGCUUCGGAAAUUAUCCGGAGAUCCGAAGACCACUUCAAGUGUGACUGAGCCUAUACAGUUGGCCUCUACACCUAGUAUUACGCCUUUAAAGGUCGUUUUGGUGGGCUUAAUCCUCGAGGGAUCUAUGCCCAUUUUCCGCAUUGUAUCCUGGUAAAGCAGGUUCAGGCUACUGCCGCCGUCCAUAAGGACUCUAGUGAGAUGAAAUCCGUCAAUAAUUGGGUCUAGAACUAAUGCGGCGAAUCCGCCAUGACGGGUGCUAGUGGGAUGGUCCCUUCGAUCAAAGGUGAUCGAGCAGGAGGACCAUGGGUUGAACUUUGGGGCGACUGGCUCUAUCACGUAUACGUCCCUUAACGCGCGCUUCCGCUCCCUCUUGGGGAUGUGCGUUGCGUAUAUCAUGUUCACCGUCCGCACUUGUGGGGGAAAUCCCUUCUGUCCACUAUUGUUCGGCGGCCGGGGCUCUUCGUCGUCAUCGCUAUGUAGCCCCUUGUCUGUAUUUUCGGCAUGUAACUUGCCUGCCUACUUGAACACCCAACAAUCCCUGUUGGUGUGAUUGGCCGGCUUUUCGGGGGUGCCAUGUAUCUGGCACAAGCGGUCGAGUAUUCGAUCCAAACUGGACGGGCCCCUAGGAUUUCUUUUGAAUGGCUUUUUCCACUGACCGGAUUUAUAGCCUCUGAAUCCGGCAUUAACUGCCGUAUCCUCAGCAUUGUCGCCGUUAGUGCGGCGCUUCUGCUUGUUGCGACGCGACCUGCCACUACUGUCCCUGGUAUCCGAAUUACCAGGGUUCUUGGUCAUAUUGUUGCGAUGAGCAAGCCAACUGUCUUCUCCCGUGCAAAAGCGGUUCAUGAGUGUCGUGGGUGCUGCCAUAGAUUUCGGCUUUUCCUGUCCAAGGUGCCGGGCAAGCCACUUGUCACGGAUAUUGUGUUUGAAGGCUGCUAGGGCCUCAGCGUCCGGACAAUCGACUAUUUGAUUUUUCUUUGUUAGGAACCGUGUCCAGAAUUACCUGGCCGAUUCCUCUGGCUGCUGAAUUACGUGGCUUAGGUCAUCGGCGUCUGGUGGUCGCACAUAAGUGCCCUGGAAAUUGUCGAGGAAUGCGGCUUCCAGGUCCUCCCAAUAACCGAUUGAUCCUGCUGGCAAGCUAUUAAGCCAGUGUCGAGCUGGUCCUUUAAGCUUGAGUGGGAGGUAUUUGAUGGCGUGGAGAUCAUCGCCACGGGCCAUGUGGAUAUGAAGGAGAUAAUCCUCGAUCCAUACCGCAGGAUCUGUUGUGCCAUCAUAUGAUUCGAUGUUUAUGGGUUUGAAACCCUCAGGGAUUUGAUGAUCCAUUACUUCGUCUGUGAAGCAUAGUGGGUGUGCGGUGCCUCUGUACUGGGCUAUAUCACGAUGUAGCUCCAAUGAGCUUUGUCUACUGUUUUCGUCCCUACCGGAUUUGUGUCCGGCGUGACGGUUACCGUCUCGAGUCAUGGGGCGCCCACGUGAUCCGUAGAUCGAUCUUGUUUGCCUUGCCUUGUCCUCCAACAUAUCUCGCAGGUCUGGCGCAUUUUCCCAUGCCUUGGUACGGGGUGCGGCUUGAGUGGAGGGCCGAGAGGCCUCUCUGUCGCGGCCACGAGGUGGCCGGUCGGUCGUAUCAAGUGCUGGUGAUGUAGGUUUAAGUGCUUCCUCCUCUAAUCGGGGUAGCAACCUGCGCUUUGGGUAGCUCUUGGAGGGGCGUUCGAGUUUAUGCUCUUCGGCCACAAGGACUUCAGUCCAUCUGUCGACUAGCAAAUCUUGAUCAGCUCUAAGUUGUUGCUGUUUUUUCUUGAGGCUUCUUGCCGUGGCCAUAAGCCUGCGUUGAAAAUGCUCUUGUUCAGCGGGAUCCUCUGGCACGACGAAUUCGUCGUCGUCGAGGCUUGCCUCGUCUUCGGAGGGAGGCGUAUAAUUAUCAUCCUCGACCUCUCUGUCUGCCGCUCUCUCAUGAGGGCUGGCUUCUCCAUCCUCUUGUGCUGAAUCUUGCUGGAGGGGAUUCUCUUCGGAAUUCUCUGGAGUAUUAUUAUCUCCCGUGCUGGAAUCACCGUAUUUGCUUUGGCGGGAUUUUGAGCGGCGCCGCUGGCGCCGGCGCUUAGGCUGUUUCUUGGAGGGGUCAUCCUCCGAUGUUCCAUCGCCAUCUCCUUCUUUUGGGGUGUCCACCAUGUAUAUGUCAUACGACGAGGUGGCUUUACAGGGCCUAAUAGGCGCUGGUUCUUCAUCGUCUCCUGCAUCGGUGUCCAUACCGUCGAUGUCUUCGGAGUCGAAGUCGAGCAUGUCGGUUAAAUCGUCGACAGUGGCUACAAAGUGGGUGGUGGGUGGGCCUUGAAUUUAUUCAUUGUCCGUAUCCCAACCUUGCUGGUCGUAGUCCGGCCAGGGCUCUCCUAAUAAAGAGAGAGACUUUAGUGUCUUCAGAAUAUCGCCGAAAGGCGAGUGCUGAAAGAUGUCCGCGGCAGUAAACUCCAUGAUCGGCGCCCAAUCGGAUUCGAUCGGCAGGGGCGCGGAGGGUUCGGAGUCCGGAGGGGGGCCGGCUCCUUGGAGUCACGAGUCUCGCGGAGUGCGGGGCUGGUGUUCGGCUCGAUCACCGUUGAGAUCACAGCCCCCGAAGCGGCGUCCAACCACCCAUCCUCGAUUGGCACAGUUGGCUCCGAAUUAAGGGUCGAAGCCGAUGCGAGUGCGGCCUCCAGGGCACCGUUCGGCGACAGAGCUAGAUCAUGCUCGUCGUGACAGUGCGGCGCGCUCGGCAGUGGCUCGAAUCCAUCGAGGAUCAAGUGCCCGCGGAUGUCGGUCGUGUAGUUUAAACUUCCAAAUCUGGCCUGACGGCCAGGGGCAUAGCUUUCGAUCUGCUCCAGAUGGCUAAGUGAAUUGGCCCGCAGUGCAAAGCCGCCGAAGACGAAGAUCUGUUCGGGGAGGAAGGUCUCACCCUGGACUGCAUCGCUAUUGAUGAUUGUAGGAGCCAUCAAGCCUCACGGCGACGACACAAAGGAACUCUCAAUGAAAGGACCAAUGUCGGUAUCAAAACCGACGGAUCUCGGGUAGGGGGUCCCGAACUGUGCGUCUAGGUCGGAUGGUAACAGGAGGCAAGGGACACAAAGUUUUACCCAGGUUCGGGCCCUCUUGAUGGAGGUAAAACCCUACGUCCUGCUUGAUUAAUAUUGAUCAUAUGGGUAGUACAAGAGUAGAUCUACCAUGAGAUCGGAGAGGCUAAACCCUAGAAGCUAGCCUAUGGUAUGAUUGUUGUUUUGUAUGUUGUCCUACGGACUAAAACCCUCUGGUUUGUAUAGACACCAGAGAGGGUUAGGGUUACACAAAGUCGGUUACAAUGGUAGGAGAUGUACAUAUCCGUAUCGCCAAGCUUGCCUUCCACGCCAAGGAAAGUCCCUUCUGGACACGGGACGAAGUCUUCAAUCUUGUAUCUUCAUAGUCCAGGAGUCCGGCUGAAGGUAUACUCCCGCCAUCCGGACACCCCCUAAUCCAGGACUCCCUCAGGGGGAAAGAGGUAACUCCACUUGGAGAAGAAGACCUUCUUUUAUAAGGGGGGAAGACAAACCAACCGUUAUCCUCGCUCAGCCCCACACAGGGCGGUACUACCACAGGGGUGGGUGGUACUACUGUUGUGGCUAGCGGUACUACCGUUCCACCUCGCGGUACUGCCGCGCAGAAGGACGGGAGCGGGAAGCAGAGCAGGACCUGGACCCAGGGCGGUACUACCGCGGUGGUAAGAACGGUACUACCGCCCUACUGCCGCAGCUAGUGCCGCAAAACCCGACACGAAAGGAGAAACCUCGAGUCGAGGUGGUAGGAGCACGGAGCCAUAAUGGUACUACGGCUGAGAGCUCCAAGCGGUACUACCAUUGGGGUUCGCGGUACUGCUGCUUGUAGCUCUCGAGCGGUACUACCGCUUGGGUUCGCGGUACUACCGCUGGGACCAGACCACAGGGAGAAGGCAGCAAGGGAGCCUUCAACGAAACGGAAAAGCUCAGAGGGUGCACAAGGGAUGUGUACAUGUUGAUUCCACCCUAGCCUCACCAAUGCGGACCCCCUCUUAAUAGUACGGCUUUCCUACGACUCAAAACCACCGAAAAGAAACGUAAACAAACGCCAUCUUCAACAGUCUUUGAGGGGUACAAAAAAUGCCUUGUGCCUAGUGAUGAAACGUCUGAAAUACUCAAGGCACAUGAUUAGUCCGCAAAAGCAUUGUCAUCAAUCACCAAAACACCUUAGGGAUAAAUAUGCCUUUACAAUCUCCCCCUUUUUGGUGGAUUGAUGGCAAUACGGGAUUUGCACAAAGGGGAAAAUAUAGGGCAUAAGAAAACCCCUCAUCUCUAAAAUAUAGACGGGCUCCCCCUAGAUGUGUGUUAUCUAGAUAAGUGCUUUGGACUGCAUGGCGCACAUACUAGGAUCAACACUCCCCCUAUAUUUUAUAGACAAUGCAUAUCUUGCAACAAUAAGGCUAACAAUAAGCAAGAUAGUUCCAUGCCAAUAUUCUACAACUUUCAUAUACUUUUGGCAACUUUUUAUACUAUUCUUGGGACUAACAUAUUGAUCCAGUGCCCAGUGUCAGUUCCUGUUUGUUGCAUGUUUUUUGUUUCACAGAAUAUCCAUAUCAAACAGAGUCCAAAUGGGAUAAAAACUGACGGAGAUUUUUUGGAAUAUAUAUGAUUUUUAGGAAGAAAAUCCACGCGAGACGGUGCCCGAGGGAGGCACGAGGCAGGGGGGGUGCGCCCCACCCCCCUGGGCGCGCCCCUGACCCUCGUGGCGACCCCAUAAGGCGGUUGGUUCCCUUCUUUCACCACAAGAAAGCUAAUAUCUGGAUAGAGAUCGUGUUAAAAUUUCAUCCCAAUCGGAGUUACGGAUCUCUGGGAAUAUAAAAAACGGUGAAAGGGCAGAAUCUGGGAACACAGAAACAGAGAGAGACAGAGAGACAGAUGCAAUCUCGGAGGGGCUCUCGCCCCUCCCACACCAUAGAGGCCAAGGACCAGAGUGGAAACCCUUCUCCCAUCUAGGGAGGAGGUCAAGGAAGAAGAAGACGAAGGGGGCCCCUCUCCCCUUCUCUUCCGGUGGCGCAGGAACGCUGCCAUGGCCAUCAUCAUCACCGCAAUCUUCACCAACAACUUCACCGCCAUCAUCACCAACUCUUCCCCCCUCUAUGCAGUGGUGUAACCUCUCUCUUACCCGCUGUAAUCUCUACUUAAACAUGGUGCUCAACGCUAUAUAUUAUUUCCAAAUGACGUAUGGCUAUCCUAUGACGUUUGAGUAGAUCCGUUUUGUCCUAUGGGCUAUUUGAUGAUCAAGAUUGGUUUGAGUUGCAUGUUUUAUUAUUGGUGUUGUCCUAUGGUGCUCUCUGUGUCGCACAAGCAUGAGGGAUCCCCGCUAUAGGGUGUUGCAAUAUGUUCAUGAUUCGCUUAUAGUGGGUUGCGUAAGUGACUGAAACACAAACCCGAAUAAGGGGGUUGUUGCAUAUGGGAUAAAGAGGACUUGAUACUUUAAUGCUAUGGUUGGGUUUUACCUUAAUGAUCUUUAGUAGUUGCGGAUGCUUGCUAGAGUUCCAAUCAUAAGUGCAUAUGAUCCAAGUAGAGAAAGUAUGUUAGCUUAUGCCUCUCCCUCAUAUAAAAUUGCAAUAAUGAUUACCGGUCUAGUUAUCGAUUGCCUAGGGACAAAUAACUUUCUCGUAACAAAAAGCUCUUUACUAAAACUAACUUAGUUGUUUCUUUAUCUAAACAGCCCCUACUUUUUAGUUACGCGCUCUUUAUUAUCUUGCAAACUUAUCCAAAAACACCUACAAAGUACUUCUAGUUUCAUACUUGUUCUAGGUAAAGCGAACGUUAAGCGUGAAUAGAGUUGUAUCGGUGGUCGAUAGAACUUGAGGGAAUAUUUGUUCUACCUUUAGCUCCUCGUUGGGUUCGACACUCUUACUUAUCAAAAGAGGCUACAAUUUAUCCCCUAUACUUGUGGGUCAUCAAGACCUUUUUCUGGCGCUGUUGCCGGGGAGCAAUAGUGUGGGGUGAAUAUUCUCGUGUGUGCUUGUUUGCUUUAUCACUAAGUAAUUUUUAUUUGUUGUUCUUAGUUGUUCUUUAUCUUUAGUUAUGGAUAUGGAACACGAAAUACCAAAAAAAUUAGGUGUACUUGCUGCUCAUGGAGAUGAGGAACCUCCUAAAACCCUCGAUGCUCGUUAUGUGAUAGAUAUUAUGUACUACUUUGAUAAUCCAGAGAAAACCCCAUUCAAUUUGGUAAUGGGAGACACGUUGGAUCAACGUGAAUACUUUAGGGAUUAUCGCUUGACUCAAAAAGGGAAACUAUUAUGGGAUCAAAUUUAUAUGUUGUAUUGGUAUGCUAGGCAACUAUGCUUGAGAUAUGAUUAUACUUGUUGCUCUAGGAUGAAGUCUCCACACCUUCCCUUUUCAUGCAAAUUUAAUGAUGAUAAAACCUUGGCAUCUUAUGCUAGUGGUAUAUAUGAUUACUAUGAUGUGGAACAAAUAGAAGAAUUUGUUGCUUUUAUGGGUGCUUAUGAAAUUGAAUCUUUGUUUAAAGAGUGUGAAAAUUUUGAUGAUUCAGUUUAUAGACCUGAAAAUUUAGCUAUCCUUAAAUAUUGUUAUGAGAAUUAUGCUUCUAAUGCAUAUGUUAAACCAUAUAUCGAGGUCUCCUCCAUUGUCCAAGAAGAGACUAAUAUUUUGCAGGAGUCUAUGGAAGAAGAAAUUGAUGAAACUGUGAGCUCAUUGGAUGAAAAAGAUGAUGAGGAGAGUGAUGAACAAAAGGAGGAAGAGAGGAUUAGCUACCCGUGCCCACCUUCUAAUGAGAGUAACUCUUCAACUCAUACAUUGUUUAAUUUCCCUUUGUGCUUACCGAAGGAUGAUUGUUAUGAUCUCGUUGAUUCUCUUGAAAUAUCCCCUUUUGAUGAUGCUUGCUAUGCUUGUGGCCAAGAUGCCAGUAUGAAUUAUGCUUAUGGAGAUGAACUUGCUAUAGUUCCUUAUGUUAAACAUGAAAUUGUUGCUAUUGCACCCACGCAUGAUAGUCCUAUUAUCUUUUUGAAUUCUCCCGACUACACUAUAUCGGAGAAGCAUACCUUAUUAAGGAUUAUAUUGAUGGGUUGCGUUUUACUAUUACACAUGAUAAUUUUGAUGAAUAUAAUAUGCAUGUGCUUGCUUCUCCUACUUACAAUUAUUAUGAGAGAGGAACUAUAUCUUCACCUCUCUAUGUUUCCAAUACGAUAAAAUUGCAAGAAACUGUUUAUACUAUGCAUUGGCCUUUACUUUGUGUACAUGAAUUGUUCUUUUAUGACAUGCCGAUGCAUACGAAGAGAGCUAGACUUCGUCAUUGCUUGAUUUAUGUUACUUUGUGCUCACUACUAAAUUACAAAUCAUUGUUAAUUAAAAUUGGCUUUGAUAUACCUUGGGAUUCAGGUGGAUCCAUUACUUGAGCACUAUAUGCCUAGCUUAAUGGCUUUAAAGAAAGCGCUACCAGGGAGACAAACCGGAUGUUUUAGAGAGUCAUUUAUUUCUGUUGUGUGCUUUUAUAUAGUUUAAAAAUAAAAAUAGUGUGCCAAGAUUUGCCUUUAGGAUGUUUACUUUGCUUGUUGGUUUGUAUGGUGCAGGACAGAAACUUUGGCUGUAGUGCGCGAUUUUACAUUUUUUACUGGAAUGUCAAAUAGUUCUGAAACUUUUUGCACUGUAUUUCUAUACAAAUUUUUUAUUUUUCCUAGUUUUUGUAGAAUUUUUGGAGUACCAUAGGUAUGGUGAAUGUUCAGAUUAUUACAGACUGUUCUGUUUUAGACAGAUUCUGUUUUUGAUGCAUAGUUUGCUUGUUUUGAUGAAACUAUCGAUUUAUAUCAGUGGAUUAAGCCAUGGAAAAGUUAUAUUACAGUAGCUAAAAUUCAAAAACAAAAUAUUAAUUGGUUUUCAACAGUACUUAUAGUAGUGAUUUGCUUUAUUAUACUAACGGAUCUUACCGAGUUUUCUGUUGAAGUUUUGUGUGGAUGAAGUGUUCGAUGAUCGAGAAGGUCUCGAUGUGAGAAGAAGGAAGAGAGGCAAGAGAUAAAGCUUGGGGAUGCCCGAGGCACCCCAAGUAAAUAUUCAAGGAGACUCAAGUGUCUAAGCUUGGGGAUGCCCCGGAAGGCAUCCCCUCUUUCUUCAACAAGUAUCGGUAUGUUUUCGGAUUCGUUUCGUUCAUGCGAUAUGUGCAAUCUUGGAGCGUCUUUUGCAUUUAGUUUUCACUUUUCUUUUAUGCACCAUGCUGGUAUGAGAUAGUCCUUGGUUGAUUUAUAGAAUUCUCAUUGCACUUCACUUAUAUCUUUUGAGUAUGGCUUUAUAGAAUGCUUCAUGUGCUUCACUUAUAUCAUUUGAAGUUUGGAUAGCUUGUUUCUCUUUACAUAGAAAACCACCAUUUGUAGAAUGCUCUUUUGCUUCAUUUAUAUUUGUUAGACCGUGGGCAUAUCUUUUGUAGAAAGAAUUAAACUCUAUUGCUUCACUUAUAUCUAUUUAGAGAGAUGACAGGAAUUGGUCAUUCACAUGGUCAGUCAUAAAAUCCUACAUAAAACUUGUAGAUCACUAAAUAUGAUAUGUUUGAUUCCUUGCAAUAGUUUUGCGAUAUAAAGAUGGUGAUAUUAGAGUCAUGCUAGUGUGUAGUUGUGGAUUAGUAGAAAUACUUGUGUUGAGGUUUGUGAUUCCCGUAGCAUGCACGUAUGGUGAACCGUUAUGUGAUGAAGUCGGAGCAUGAUUUAUUUAUUGAUUGUCUUCCUUAUGAGUGGCGGUCGGGGACGAGCACGAUGGUCUUUUCCUACCAAUCUAUCCCCCUAGGAGCAUGCGCGUAGUAUUUUGUUUCGAUAGAUAAUAGACUUUUGCAAUAAGUAUGUGAGUUCUUUAUGACUAAUGUUGAGUCCAUGGAUUAUAUGCACUCUCACCCUUCCACCAUUGCUAGCCUCUCUAGUACCGCGCAACUUUCGCUGGUACCAUAAACCCACCAUAUACCUUCCUCAAAACAGCCACCAUACCUACCUAUCAUGGCAUUUCCAUAGCCAUUCCGAGAUAUAUUUCCACACAACUUCCAUCAUCAUCAUAUACAUGACUUGAGCAUCAUUGUCAUAUUGCUUUGCCUGAUCGUAAGAUAGCUAGCAUGAUGUUUUCAUGGCUUGUCCUUUUUUGAUGUCAUUGCUACUCUAGAUCAUUGCACAUCCCGGUACACCGCCAGAGGCAUUCAUAUAGAGUCAUAUCUUUGUUCUAGUAUCGAGUUGUAAUAUUGAGUUGUAAGUAAAUAAAAGUGUGAUGAUCAUCAUUAUUAGAGCAUUGUCCCAGUGAGGAAAGGAUGAUGGAGACUAUGAUUCCCCCACAAGUCGGGAUGAGACUCCGGACGAAAAAACUAAUAAAAAAUAAAAAAAAUAAAAAAAGAGAAAGGCCAUAAAAAAGAAGGCCUAAAAAAUGAGAGAAAAAGAGAGAAGGGACAAUGCUACUAUCCUUCUUCCACACUCGUGCUUCAAAGUAGCACCAUGUUCUUCAUAUAGAGAGUCUCUUGAGUUAUCACUUUCAUAUACUAGUGGGAAUUUUCAUUAUAGAACUUGGCUUGUAUAUUUCGAUGGUGGGCUUCCUCAGAUGCCCGAGGUCUUCAUGAGCAAGCAAGUUGGAUGCACACCCACUUAGUUUUCAGUCUGAGCUUUCAUACACUUAUAGCUCUUAGUGCAUCCGUUGCAUAGCAAUCCCUACUCACUCACAUUGAUAUCUAUUGAUGGGCAUCUCCAUAGCCCGUUGAUACGCCUAGUUGAUGUGAGACUAUCUUCUCCUUUUUGUCUUCUCCGCAACCACCGUUCUAUUCCACCUAUAGUGCUAUGUCCAUGGCUCACACUCAUGUAUUGCGUGAAGUUGAAAAGGUUUGAGAACGUCAAAAGUAUGAAACAAUUGCUUGGCUUGUCAUCGGGGUUGUGCAUGAUUUGAAUAUUUUGUGUGGUGAAGAUGGAGCAUAGCCAGACUAUAUGAUUUUGUAGGGAUAACUUUCUUUGGCCAUGUUAUUUUGAAAAGACAUGAUUGCUUUAUUAGUAUGCUUGAAGUAUUAUUCUUUAUGUCAAAUGAUAGACUAUUGCUUUGAAUCACUCAUGUCUUAAUAUUCAUACCAUGAUUAGAUAUGUGAUCAAGAUUAUGCUAGGUAGCAUUCCACAUCAAAAAUUUAUCUUUUUUAUCAUUUACCUACUCGAGGACGAGCAGGAAUUAAGCUUGCGGAUGCUGAUAUGUCCCUGUCGUAUCUAUAAUUUUUUAUUGUUCCAUGCCAAUAUUCUACAACUUUCAUAUACUUUUGGAAAGUUUUAUACUAUUUUUGGGACUAACAUAUUGAUCCAGUGCCCAACGCCAGUUCCUGUUUGUUGCAUGUUUUUUGUUUCACAGAAUAUCCAUAUCAAACGGAGUCCAAACGGGAUAAAAACUGACGGAGAUUUUUUUGGAAUAUAUAUGAUUUUUGGGAAGAAAAAUCCACGCGAGACGGUGCCCGAGGGAGGCACGAGGCAGGGGGCGCGCCCCACCCCCCUGGGCGCGCCCCUGACCCUCGUGGCCACCCCAUAAGGCGGUUGGUGUCCUUCUUUCACCGCAAGAAAGCUAAUAUCCAGAUAGAGAUCGUGUUAAAAUUUCAGCCCAAUCAGAGCUACGGAUCUCCGGGAAUAUAAGAAACGGUGAAAGUGCAGAAUCUGGGAACGUAGAAACAGAGAGAGACGGAGAGACAGAUCCAAUCUCGGAGGGGCUCUCACCCCUCCCACGCCAUGGAGGCCAAGGACUAGAGGGGAAACCCUUCUUCCAUCUAGGGAGGAGGUCAAGGAAGAAGAAUACGAAGGGGCCCCCUCUCCCCGUGGCCAUCAUCAUCACCGCAAUCUUCACCAACAACUUCACCGCCAUCAUCACCAACUCUUCCCCCCCCCCUCUAUGCAGUGGCGUAACCUCUCUCUUACCCGUUGUAAUCUCUACUUAAACAUGGUGCUCAAUGCUAUAUAUUAUUUCCCAAUGAUGUAUGGCUAUCCUAUGAUGUUUGAGUAUAUCCGUUUUGUCCUAUGGGCUAUUUGAUGAUCAAGAUUGGUUUGAGUUGCAUGUUUUAUUAUUGGUGUUGUCCUAUGGUGGUCUCCGUGUCGCGCAAGCAUGAGGGAUCCCCAUUGUAGGGUGUUGCAAUACGUUCAUGAUUCGCUUAUAGUGGGUUGCGUGAGUGACUGAAACACAAACCCGAGUAAGGGGGUUGUUGUGUAUGGGAUAAAGAGGACUUGAUACUUUAAUGUUAUGGUUGGAUUUUACCUUAAUGAUCUUUAGUAGUUGCGGACGCUUGCUAGUGUUCCAAUCAUAAGUGCAUAUGAUCCAAGUAGAGAAAGUGUGUUAGCUUAUGCAUCUCCCUCAUAUAAAAUUGCAAUAAUGAUUACCGGUCUAGUUAUCGAUUGCCUGGGGACAAAUAACUUUCUUGUAACAAAAAGCUCUUUACUAAAACUAACUUAGUUGUGUCUUUAUCUAAACAGCCCCUACUAUUUAUUUACGCGCUCUUUAUUAUCUUGCAAACUUAUCCAACAACACCUACAAAGUACUUCUAGUUUCAUACUUGUUCUAGGUAAAGCGAACGUCAAGCGUGCAUAGAGUUGUAUCGGUGGUCGAUAGAACUUGAGGGAAUAUUUGUUCUACUUUUAGCUCCUCGUUGGGUUCGACACUCUUACUUAUCGAAAGAGGCUACGAUUGAUCCCCUAUACUUGUGGGUUAUCACAUAUCCAAGUUGCCAAUGCGAGGGAAGAGGGUCUCCCUGAAGAUGUGAUGGAGAAUAUCCAGAAAUGCUGGCAGCUCAUAGGACUCCUUCUGAGUCACUGGGUUAAUCUUCAAGGUACAGUAUGGCCAGAGAGCUUGCUUGUGAGUGGAAGUUGCAUUGUGAUGAGGGUGAAAGCCAAUUGGGUUCUCAAGACCUUGAUCCUCAACUUCAAGAAGCUCCAUGAAGGCCUUCCACUUGACAGAAAGCAUCCUGCCAUUUGUCAUCCAAGUCAGAGUCCUGUCCUCAUUUGUUCCAAGAUGGACGGUGGCAUAAAACUGAGCCACCAAAUCUGCAUCAAAGUCCUUGUUGAACUACAUGAUCCUGAGGAUGUUCAACUGAGAGCACAUAUGAAGAGCCUCCCUAAAGUAGUCAGGAUCCUUCUCCACAAAGGCAACGUCGAUGGAGCAAACAUCAACAAAAAGAUUCUUCUUGUCUUUGAUCACAUCAAAGUAGAUGCCAUACUGAAAAAGGUUUCAGAACGAGCGGUUGACCAAGGCGGGUUCUUGAGCGACCUCAUAGGGGUUGCGCCGACGCUUCUCCCAGAAUUCCUUGGUAGACAUAUCUGUCAUAGACUUGGUCCUUGGCUUAGGCUUGGACGCACUCAUCUUCUUCAUUUGAGGCAGAGGCGGGACACUUGAUGAGGCCGCCGUUGUCUCAGUGGUGCGAUAGCGCUUGGAAGUUGCACGCCCGGGGUUGACACGGCGCGCAUGCUACUCAGAAGGACCAUCACCUGGAACCAAACACACGGACACACGGAACAACCAGAAAGAACGAGCAUAAGCCACCAAACACAGCAAAAGAGAUCAGAAAAAUGAUAGGAACAGAAAGGAAUUGGGCAAACAGCGGUAGUACCGCGAUCCAUAAGCGGCAGUACCGCCCUAGCGGUAGUACCGCUCCACUGGGAGCGGUAGUACAGCUCAAGACGGGGAAACGGCGGUUCCCUACUGUCGUGGUCAAAUCCGGCACUACCGGACUGCCAAAUUCGAAAAUACUCCUACCAAUUAUCAAUCUCAAAAGUCUAGUCGCCUUCUCCAACCUACUCAAGCCUAGAUUUAGCCAAAAAUCGAGAGAUGCAACCACUAUUGCCCUUAAGACACUAGAUCUGAGAUCUAGACAAAAGGAGAGGAGGAACGGGGGCAAUACCGGUAUCCAUGGCAAGAGGACGGGGUGGGGAUCGACUCCACCGAAGGAAAUGGAGAGGGACGGCCCGGAGACGGCGGCCCGCCGGAGCCCUCCCGCGGUGAGUCGAUAUUGGAGAGAUGAAGAAGAACGAGGGGGCGGUGCGAAUGGGUAUGGGGGAGACAAAACCUCCCCCUGCCCCGACAUAACCCCCUGGUCCCGCCCCUCAAUGGUAGUACCGCUCGGGUGGGCGGUAGUACUGCUUAUCAACAUAAGCGAUAGUACCGUGCACCACCAGCGGCAAUACCGCCCAGCAAGACCCAACGACUAGACACCACACGACUAGCUCAAAAGAAGGGAAAAACAAAAGGCAAGAAGAGGGAACCAAAACACAGCAACGAGAACACUAGCAAGAGGAAAAGAAACACACACCUCUUCAAGAGAGGGCGGUGGCCGAGGCCACCUAUGUAUGAGUCAAGAGGUAUGGCGCCGCGAAAAUUUUAACCUUGGUCCCAUGACCAAAACUCUUCUUUGAAGCACAAGUACCAUCAAAAUGGCUAAUGUGAAAGACUUGAUCAAUUUAUGCAUAAUGGGGGGGAGGGAGAGCUCAUUGAGAGAACAACACUCCCCCUAUGUCCAUGCCUACACCUAAACAAGACAACAAGUUGUAUGGUGGGGUGCGCAAGGGUUCAAGUCACAUUGCUCGAAUCAAUGAUAUUUAGCUCAUGCCUUAACUCGUGAAAUCUUGCUUCAUCCAAAGGCUUCGUGAAAAUAUCUGCAAGGUUAUCAUGAGUGUUGACAUAGUUUAGCUCGAUCUCCCCUCGCCUAAUGUGAUCCCGGAUGAAGUGAUACCGAAUCUCAAUAUGCUUCGUCUUGAAAUGUUGAACCGGGUUGAGAGAAAUUUUGAUGGCACUUUCAUUGUCACACCAAAGAGGCACUUUGUCGCAAAUGACACCAUAAUCCUUUAAAGUUUGCCUCAUCCAAAGAAGUUGUGCACAACAACUACCGGCGGCCACAUACUCCGCCUCGGUGGACGAGAGAGACACACAACUUUGCUUCUUGGAAGACCAACUCACCAAAGAGCAACCAAGAAAUUGGCAUCCUCCGGAAGUGGACUUCCUAUCCACUUUUUCUCCCGCCCAAUCGGAGUCCGAAUAACCUACAAGCUUGAACUUUGCUCCUCUUGGGUACCAUAAGCCAAAGCUUGGGGUAUGAGCCAAAUAUCGAAAGAUUCGCUUGACCGCCACAAAGUGGAUUUCCUUAGGUGCGGAUUGAAACCGUGCACAAAUUCCCACACUCAACAUGAUAUCCGGUCUAGAUGCACAAAGGUAAAGCAAGGAGCCAAUCAUGGAGCGAUAUACCUUUUGAUCCACCGCUUUACCAUUGGGAUCUAAGUCAAGUUGGCAUUUGACAGGCAUUGGAGUGGAAGCCAGCUUGACAUCACUGAGCUUGAAUCUCUUGAGCAUGUAUUGAGUGUAUUUGGAUUGGUUGAUGAAGGUUCCUUCUCUCCGUUGCUUGACUUUGAACCCGAGAAAGAACUUCAAUUCUCCCAUCAUGGACAUCUUAAACUUGGAGGUCAUGAGUGCGGUAAAUUCCUCAUUGAAAGCUUUGUUAGGGGAACCAAAGAUAAUAUCAUCAACAUAUAGUUGGCACAAAAACAACUCCCCUUUGACCUUCUUGGUAAAAAGAGUGGGGUCGAUUUUCCCAAUUUCAAAACCGCGAUCUUGCAACAACUCGGUAAGGUGGUCAUACCACGCACGUGGGGAUUGCUUAAGGCCAUAGAGUGCCUUAUCGAGUUGGUACACAUGAUCGGGAAAAUAGGGAUCCUCGAACCCGGGGGGUUGCUUGACAUACACCAACUCAUUAAUGGGACCAUUAAGAAAAGCACUCUUCACAUCCAUUUGUUGCAACUUAAAGUUAUGAUGAGAAGCCUAAGCAAUCAACAUGUGAAUGGAUUCAAGGCGAGCAACAGGAGCAAAGGUUUCACCGUAGUCGAUACCCUCGACUUGGGAGUAGCCUUGUGCUAUGCUACCUCUUGAGCACUUGCGUUGGUUUUCCCUUGAAGAGGAAAGGGUGGUGCAGCAAAGUAGCAUAAGUAUUUCCCUCAGUUUUUGAGAACCAAGGUAUCAAUCCAGUAGGAAGCUACGCGCGAGUCCCUUGCACCUACACAAAGCAAAUAAAUCCUCGCAACCAACGCGAUAAGGGGUUGUCAAUCCCUACACGGUCACUUACGAGAGUGAGAUCUGAUAGAUAUGAUAAGAUAAUAUUUUUGGUAUUUUUAUGAUAAAAAUGCAAAGUAAAAUAAAAGCAAUGAAAACAACUAAGUAUUGGAAGAUUAAUAUGAUGAAGAUAGACCCGGGGGCCAUAGGUUUCACUAGUGACUUCUCUCAAGAGCAUAAGUAUUUUACGGUGGGUGAACAAAUUACUGUUGAGCAAUUGACAGAAGUGAGCAUAGUUAUGAGAAUAUCUAGGUAUGAUCAUGUAUAUAGGCAUCACGUCCGAGACAAGUAGACCGACUCCUGCCUACAUCUACUACUAUUACUCCACACAUCAGCCACUAUCCAGCAUGCAUCUAGAGUAUUAAGUUCAAGAGAAUAGAGUAAUGCUUUAAGCAAGAUGACAUGAUGUAGAGGGAUAAACUCAUGCAAUAUGAUGAAAACCCCAUCUUGUUAUCCUCGAUGGCAACAAUACAAUAUGUGCCUUGCUGCCCCUACUGUCACUGGGAAAGGACACCGCAAGAUUGAACCCAAAGCUAAGCACUUCUCCCAUUGCAAGAAAGAUCAAUCUAGUAGGCCAAACCAAACUGAUAAUUCAAAGAGGCUUGCAAAGAUAACCAAUCAUACAUAAAAGAAUUCAGAGAAGAUUCAAAUAUUGUUCAUAGAUAAACUUGAUCAUAAACCCAAAAUUCAUCAGUCUCAACAAACACACCGCAAAAGAAGAUUACGUCGAAUAGAUCUCCACAAGAGAGGGGGAGAACUUUGUAUUGAGAUCCAAAAAGAGAGAAGAAGCCAUCUAGCUAAUAACUAUGGACCCGUAGGUCUAAGGUAAACUACUCACACUUCAUCGGAGAGGCCAUGGUGUUGAUGUAGAAGCCCUCCGUGAUCGAUGCCUCCUCCGGUGGAGCUCCGGAAUAGGCCCCAAGAUGGGAUCUCGUGGAUACAGAAAGUUACGGCGGUGGAAUUAGGGUUUUGGCUCCGUAUCUAGUCGUUUGGGGGUACGUAGGUAUAUAUAGGAGGAAGAAGUACGUCGGUGGAGCAACAAGGGGCCCACGAGGGUGGAGGGCGCGCCUGGGGGGGUAGGCGCGCCCCUACCUCGUGGCCUCCCUGUUGGUUGCUUGAUGUAGGGUCCAAGUCUCCUAGAUCUUGUUCGUUCCAAAAAUCACGUUCCCGAAGGUUUCAUUCCAUUUGGACUCCGUUUGAUAUUCCUUUUCUUCGAAACCCUAAAAUAGGCAAAAAAACAGCAAUUCUGGGUUGGGCCUCCGGUUAAUAGGUUAGUCCCAAAAAUAAUAUAAAAGUGGAUAAUAAAGCCCAAUAAUGUCCAAAAAUGUAGACAAUAUAGCAUGGAGCAAUCAAAAGUUAUAGAUACGUUGGAGAUGUAUCAUGCUACCAACCGAGCCUUGUUGCGGAUGAUAAUUCCAUGAGCGUCUUGCUUGUUCUUGAAUAUCCACUUGGUUCCAAUGACAUUGUGGUUCCCCGUUGGCCUUGGCACCAACCUCCACACCUUGUUGUACUCGAAGUUGUUGAGUUCUUCAUGCAUGGCAUUGAGCCAAUCCGGAUCUUCGAGCGCCUCAUAGACCUUUUGGGGUUCAACACAAGAGACAAACACGUGAUGCUCACAAUAGUUUGCCAAUUGUCUACGAGUGCUUACCCCCUUUCGAAUGCUUCCAAGUACAUUUGGCCCUUGGUUGGGAGCUUGGAAGCGAUCUUGGCGGCAAGACACUCCAAUUCCUCCUCAGGGGUGAGUUGAGGAGCGGUGACUUGAUCAUCAUGGGCGCCGUCUUGAGCUUGUUCUUGAUCUUGAGCUUGCUCUUGAUCUUGAACUUGCUUGGAGGAGAGAACUUGACCUUGGGCAUCACUUGGUGAUUCAACACCGUCUUGAGAUUGAUCUUGCCCUUGGUCUUGUUCAUGAUGUUGAGGUCCUUCACUUUGUUCUUCGGAAGCGUGUGGGCUUUGGUUUGGUGAUGGCUCCACUUGAGUGGAGCAUUGUCCUUCUCCUUCGGCCACAAGGGGUUCCUCAAUGGGUAGGAUAAAGCCAACUCCCAUUCUUCUCAUGGCUUGGGGAGGAAUUUCAUCACCUACAUCACAAGUGCCACUUUGCUCCACUUGGGAGCCGUUAUUCUCAUCAAACUCCACAUUACACGUCUCCUCAAUGAGUCCCGUGGACUUAUUGAGGACACGGUAAGCAUGAGAGUUGGUAGCAUGACCAACAAAUAUGCCUUCAUAAGCUCUAGCCUCAAAUUUAGACAAACGAACACCUUUCUUGAGAAUGAAACACUUACACCCGAACACCCGGAAGUACUUGAGGUUGGGCUUGUUACCGGUGAGUAUCUCAUAAGGAGUCUUGUUCAAGCCCUUACAGAGGUAGAGCCGAUUGGAUGCAUGACAAGCGGUGUUGAUGGCUUCGGCCCAAAAGUUGUAUGGAGACUUGAACUCCGCCAUCAUGGUCCUUGCCGCAUCCAUCAACGUCCGAUUCUUCCUCUCCGUUACGCCAUUUUGUUGAGGGGUGUAUGGUGUGGAAUAUUGAUGCUUGAUCCCCUCAUCACUAAGGAACUCAUCCAAGGUGUAGUUCUUGAACUCGGUGCCAUUAUCUCUUCUUAUUGUCAAGAUCUUUGCAUUGUGUUGUCGUUGGGCUUCAUUUGCAAAGUCAAUGACGGUUUGUUGGGUCUCGCUCUUCCUCAUAAAUAAGUAUACCCAAGUGUAUCUUGAAUAAUCGUCCACAAUCACCAAGCAAUACUUUCUACCCCCAAGACUAUCAAAGGAUGGAGGCCCAAAGAGAUCCAAGUGAAGGAGCUCCAAAGGCCUCUUCGAGUAGAUGAUAGUCGUGGGAGGGUGAGCCUUUUCAUGAAGCUUUCCUUCUAUACAAGAACUGCAAGCACGAUCUUUAGCAAAACUAACAUUUGUUAGUCCCCGGGCAUGGUCCCCCUUGAGAAGACUUUGCAAAGAUCUCAUAUUGACAUGGGCUAAACGGCGAUGCCAAAGCCAUCCCACGUCAACUUUAGCCAUUAGGCAUGUCGCAGUCUUAGUGGGUCGCUCCAAAAAGUUAAUCACAUAGAGACCGUUCUCGACAUACCCAACAAAGGCUACUUUAAGAGUCUUGCUCCACAAGAGGUCCACGGUAUCAACAUCAAAGAAAGUGGCAAAGCCCAUGAGUGCAAGUUGACGAACAGAAAGUAAAUUGUAUGCAAGGGACUCAACAAGCAUGACCUUCUCGAUCGUGAGAUCAUGAGAAAUGACAACCUUGCCAAGCCCUAAUACCUUGGAGGACGAGGCAUCACCCCACUCGACAUUGGUGGGCAUAGAUGGAAUCUUGUGAACAUCCACCACCAAAUCCUUGCUUCCAGUCAUAUGAUUAGUGGCUCCACUAUCGAGCAACCAUGAUCCCCCACCGGAAGGAAACACCUACAAGAGAUCAAUGCUUGGUUUUAGGUACCCAUUUAGUAAUGGGUCCUUUGAUGUUAGUAACAAGGGUCUUAGGAACCCAAAUAGACCAUUCAAUGUACUCAUAAGGAGAGCCAACAAAUUUGGCAUAAACAUGUCCAUCACUAGCACGGCACAACACAUAAGAAGGGUUAAAGUCGUCGGCUUGGUUGGGAAGGGAAGUGUUGCCCUUCUUGGCAUCACCACCCUUCACGGUGUUCUUCUUCUUAUCCUUAGUAGCACCCUCUCCCUCCUUCACAAAGGUUUGCUUGAGAGGGGGAGGUCGUUUGGCCUUGUCAUUCUUCUUCUUGUUCUUAGACUUGGGUGCGUACCCAAUCCCUUCCUUGGCCACAACUCCCUUUUGAUUGCUCAAAAGGUCGUUGAGGUUUUUCUUGCCUUGUAUGCAAGAAACAAGGCCUUUCUCAAGUCGCUCCUUCAACUUAGCAUUCUCCUCAACAAGAUGCACAUGCUCACAACAUGGGUUAGUAGCAUUUGCAUUAUCGAUUAACACCAUAUGAGGAAAUGUGGCUUUCUCCUUGAUUAGCUUUACUUGAAGUUGAUCAUGAGACUCUUUGAGGCUAGCAUGAGUACCCUUCAAGACCUUGUGAGCCUUGUCAAGUAGGUCAAACUCCUCUUUGAGUCUAGCAAGAUAAACCCCAAGCUUGGCCUUCUCGGAGUUUAGCACACGAGAAACAACAAUAGCAUGAUCAAGAUCUUUCUUUAACUUAGCAUGAUCAUCGUUGUGUGACUCCUCAAGAGCCAAACGAAGACCACGCUCUUUCUCAAGAGCAUUGGAAAGAUCCAAAAUCUCAUCGGCAUAGUCACGACUAUGCCCCUCCAUAUUAGGGAUGGUAUCUUCGUGAGCCUCGAUCAUGUCAUUGGCUUCACCAAGUUGUUCCAAGAGAGCAAUGAAGUGCUUCUUGGAUUUACCCUUGAGUUUGCCCAUAAAGGACUCAAACUCAUUCUCCUCCACACUAGAUCCAUCAUGUUCAUCAAUGCAGUCUGUCAGACAAGGAUUAUUAAUGAUGGUAGUUUUGAUGUUGGGGGUUACCUUGUUGGUGGCUUUAGCCAUGAGGCACUUGUCGGUGAUGCUCUCAUUGGGUGAGUCGAAGAGUGACACUCGUGGAGUUGUCGCAAUGGCAAUGGAGGCCGUGGCAACCAACUCACCAUCCUCAUCAUCAUCAUCGUCCUCAUUGUACUCUUCUUGUACCACCAACCCUUGGGAGGAGUCUUCUUGGUGAAGUUGCUCUUGUUUGGGAAAGACUUGGCUUUGUCCUUUCGGAUGAGCUUGCCACCAUUGUCUUCCCUCUUCUCAUACGGGCACUCCGCAACAAAAUGGCUCACAUUGCCACAAUUAUAGCAAGUCCUCACACGUUGCUUGCCCUUCGUGCCACUUGAGUUGUUCUUGUUGAAGUUGGGCCUUGAGUUUUUCCUUGCUCCAAAAUUGCCUUGAAGCAAGAGCCAUGUGUUCAUGAUAGGCAUACUUUGUAUCUUCGGGGUUUCUCUCCUCUUCUUCUUCGUCGUCCUCUUCUUCCACACUAACCUUGGCUUUUAAUGCAAGGUUGGGCUUCUUUGCUCUUUGAGAACGUAGCACCGCAUUGUCGGCGGUCUUGUCCAAGAUGCUCAUGGCCACAAACUCAUCCAACACUUCACUUGAGGACAAGGUGUGGAAGUCUGGCCUUUGAUGAAUGACGGAGGACAUGGCCUUGUGGUAAGGCAUCAUUGCCUUGAGGAAUUUGCGCUUGAUCCAAUUGUCAUCCGUGUCCUUGCUCCCAUGAUCUCAGAGUGAGACUGCGAGUUUGGUUACUCUCCGAUAAAGCUCACGAGGUUCUUCAUCUUCUUUCAUUGCAAACUCAUCGGCUUCAACUUGCACCACUUCAUAGUUGGAGCAUUGAAUGCUUGCGCUCCCUUGUAGAGGGAAACAACUUGAUGCCAUGCAUCUUUGGCCAUGGCGAAGGGCCGGAGAUGAGGAAGAUCUUCGGGUGGAAUUGCAUCUUGGAUGAUGAACAGAGCAUUCUCGUUGAAUUGAUUAUCUGCGGCUUCUCUAGGAGUGAAGUUGCUUCAGUCAUGCGGAUAGAAACCUUCUUCAAUGAUUCUCCAAAGAUUAGUAUUCACAUGAUUUAAAUGGCGCUUAAAGCGAUAGACCCAAGAAUCAAAGCCCUCAUUUUUCACAUUCUUGGGGGGAGGACCGGCAUGAUUCAAAUGAGUGGAAGGAAUCGGUCCACCAUAAACAAGUGGAGGUUCCACAUGGGCAAAGAUGUCGGUGCCAUUUUUACCACUAGAAGAAGGAACUUGAUCACUAGUAGCUUCUCCCUUGUCAGAGUUAGCAUCCGUCACCUUGUUAGUGGGAUCACCCACUCUCAACGGUACGGUGGAUAGUUUAAGUCCUUCUAUGAAUUUAUUAAACAUGCUUUCAACCUCGGUCGUCAUGGAGGUUUUCAAUGUGUCCAAGGCCACAUUGAAUUCCUCACGAGAGACCGCGCUUCCCCCAUCGGCCGUAGACGAGAUCAGAUUCACACUGGAGUGCUCCUCCACACUGUCUACGGUGUCAACCAUACUCUUCGGACGACAAAGUCCUUAAUAAAGAGACGAGGCUCUGAUACCAAUUAAAAGGAUCGAUAUAGUUGACUAGAGGGGGGUGAAUAGGCAACUAACAAUUUUUUAGCUUUUCUUUACCAAUUUAAACUUUGCAUCAAAGUAGGUUGUCUAGAUAUGCAACGAGGUGAGCAACCUAUAUGAUGCAACAACAAUAAGAACACAAGCUAGCUAAGGAUACAACACAAAAAGCUUGCACAAGUAAAGGCAGGAGAUAACCAAGAGUGGAGCCAGUGAAGACGAGGAUGUGUUACCGAAGUUCCUCCCUUUUGAGGGGAAGUACGUCUCCGUUGGAGCGGUGUGGAGGCACAAUGCUUCCCCAGAAGCCACUAGGGUCACCGUAUUCUCCUCACGCCCUCGCACAAUGCGAGAUGCCGUGAUUCCACUAUUGGUGCCCUUGGAGGCGGCAAAUGGACCUUUACAGAUAAGGUUGGGGCUCUCUCCACAACCGAAUUGGAGGCUCCCAACAAAACCACGGUGCUUCACCACAAUGGAAUAUGGCUCCGAGGUGACCUCAACCGUCUAGGGUGCUCAAACACCCAAGAGUAACAAGAUCCGCAAGGGAUGAGUGGGGGAAUCAAAUUUCUCUUGGUGGAAGUGUAGAUCUGGGCCUUCUCAACCAAUCCCUAGAAAAUCAACAACUUUGAUUGGGUAGGGAGAGAGAUCGGGCGAAAAUGAGCUUUGGAGCAACAAUGGAGCUUGGGGAAAAGAGGUAAGUCCACUUAGAGAAGAAGACCUCCUUUUAUAAGGGGGCAAGACAAACCAACCGUUAUCCUUGCUCAGCCCCGCACAGGGCGGUACUACCGCAGGGGUGGCGGUACUACUGUUGUGGCCAGCGGUACUACCGUUCCACCUCGCGGUACUGCCGCGCAGAAGGACGGGAGCGGGAAGCGGAGCAAGACCUGGACCCAGGGCGGUACUACCGCAGUGGUAAGAACGGUACUACCGCCCCUACUGCCGCAGCUAGUGCCGCAAAACCCGAUAUGAAAGGAGAAACCUCGAGUCGAGGCGAUAGGAGCACGGAGCCGCAGCGGUACUAUGACUGGGAGCUCCAAGCGGUACUACCGCUCGGGUUCGCGGUACUGCCGCUUGUAGCUCUCGAGCGAUACUACCGUUGGGGUUCGCGGUACUACCGCUGGGACCAGACCACAGGGAGAAGGCAGCAAGGGAGCCUUCAAAGAAACGGAAAAGCUCAGAGGGUGCACAAGGGAUGUGUACGUGUUGAUUCCACCCUAGCCUCACCAAUGCGGACCCCCUCUUAAUAGUAUGGCUUUCCUACGACUCAAAACCACCGAAAAGAAACGUAGACAAACGUUGUCUUCAACAGUCUUCGAGGGGGACAAAAACCAUCUUGUGCCUAGUGAUGAAACAUCUGAAAUACUCAAGGCACACGAUUAGUCCGCAAAAGUAUUGUCAUCAAUCACCAAAACACCUUAGGGAUAAAUAUGCCCUUACAAACUCAUAGUCCACCUAUUUCUAACCCUUGCUUUCGCACAGAGUGCAUAUGUGCCNNNNNNNNNNNNNNNNNNNNNNNNNNNNNNNNNNNNNNNNNNNNNNNNNNNNNNNNNNNNNNNNNNNNNNNNNNNNNNNNNNNNNNNNNNNNNNNNNNNNNNNNNNNNNNNNNNNNNNNNNNNNNNNNNNNNNNNNNNNNNNNNNNNNNNNNNNNNNNNNNNNNNNNNNNNNNNNNNNNNNNNNNNNNNNNNNNNNNNNNNNNNNNNNNNNNNNNNNNNNNNNNNNNNNNNNNNNNNNNNNNNNNNNNNNNNNNNNNNNNNNNNNNNNNNNNNNNNNNNNNNNNNNNNNNNNNNNNNNNNAGCAGAAAACCAGGAAAACUAAAAAACAAAAGAAGAAAAACUCUCGUGAUGGAUGUGUCCUGCACGACACAUGCCGGCGGUUUUAUUACGGCGCAUGAUGACUGCUUGAAGCACCACUUGGCGAUCGUGUGCUCUCACAACACAAAGAAGUGCCCCAUAUGGGGAACACUUGAUUAGUUGCUCCCAGAAACAUGGGAGCACCUACACGACGCAUUAAGCGGCAAACAGUCGGCCUCCCGCAGGGGGGGAGGCUUGAAGCUCAUGGCGCAUUGUAGCAGCUUGGCUACUUUAUCUUGCCCAACUGCUAUAGCGGUGGUUUUUUUAAGUUUCUUUUUGUUUUCAUCAGUUUCUCGGAAAAUGUGGAUUUCUAGUCAUGAGUUUUUUUUCGAAAUUUCCGAACAUUUCUUUGAAACGUGAAUAUUUGAAAUUUUUAAUAUGAUUUUUGAAAAAGAAAAAAUGUAUUGAAAUUGCAAAUGUAUUUUUAAAAUUGUGCACAAUUGUUUAAAAUUUCAAACUAUUAAUGGAAAAAGAUCUUUUUGAACCUUUUUUACAUGCACAUUUUUUAAUUCUGAAAUUUUAGAAAAAUACAAAAAAUAAUAGUUCACAAACCUGUUUUUAAAAAAUCAAAAAAAAACUAUUUCUAAAAGAGCAAACACUUCUUAAUUUUUGAACCACUGAAGGAAAAAAUUCCAUGAAUAAAACAACGAAAAAGUGGAUAAAAAAGAAAAGGCAAACCGGAACCUUUUAGAGGCCUCCCCGGAUCGAAAACCUUCUAGAAGGUUCCUAAAACUGGGACUGUUAGAAGCCUAUAAUUUCACGGUUUUUUUAGGGGCUAAUUUUUGCGUUAAAUGGGCGAUGCGUCCACAUAGGAUUUACUAUCGCGUCCAAAAUAGUUGGACUGGGCCGGGCCGACAUUACAACCGGAAGAGUUAAAAAAUGUUGAAAAGAAAAAACCCAGAUCUGCGCCGUACUGCUGUACAGGCCCCUCUGCUCUGAGAGAGAUGGAAGAAACGGCGGCGCGCAUGGAGGAGCAGCCGCGGGAGAUGGACGCGCAUCCUCCUUCCUCGGCGCCGGCGGCCGCUUCUUCGUCCUCGUCCUCGUCCUCGUCGCCGACGUAAUACCCCCAAGCCCUACCUUGUCCUGUAUUUCUGGUUAAUUUCGUUCGCGGAAAGAGUAGACAGAUUUCAGGGCGCAAAGUUCUUUCUGCAUCCCAUCCUUUUCCGUUCACCUAUAUCUUCCGUAAGAUAUUAAGCAUACUGUACCUCCAUAUGGAACUGAAUUUGGUUGAUAUAACUAUGGCAAAGAUUGAUUCUGCUCAUUGUCAGAGGAAAACAAUCCAGAUUGAAACUAUCCCUGCUUCAGAUCUCCAACAUCGCAGGUGAAGAACAGAGGGUGCCACUGAUUUGCCAUGCCUGUAUCAAUGUGCUAGGAGAAUCAUGUUUCCCUUGGCUGUCAUUUUUUUGGCUGAUUUAGUUUGACAACUAGGUGCUGUCAGUCAGCAUCAAGCACUCGGCACCUGCCAGAUAUUAUUAGUUUGAGAAACAGGUGACUGUGGUGUGCUGCAGUUCAGUAGGCCCAAAGAUUUAUAUGAAACUUCAGCAACCUAUAUCUACCGCGUAUAGCUUCUCUAUAGAACUGAAAUUCAGUGCCCUCGUCGAUGCUGAUCUUAUUCUGAGUUUCUCAGGGGUAACAACUCAGUAUAAUCUGUAUCUUUGUUUAGCUCAGGUCAUGUUUCCUAGAAUCUUGGUGGCUCCUGUUCUUUUUCAUACAAUUAUAUCUAGCUUCGCAUGCCUAACCUUUUGUCCUGAAUUUGUUGUGUCGAACAGGGAAAGCGCCGCCAUGCUAAUCAGGGCUAAGAGAACCUGCUAUGCCUCUGCUUCCUCUGUCUUUGCCGCAUCCAGGCCACGAGGAUGGGCAGAGCUCCGCGAAGAUUUGCUCCAAUGUGUCGUCGCUCUCCUCGGCUCCUCCGCGACCUCCUCGCCUUCGGUGCCACCUGUCGUCCUUGGCGUGAUCUCUUCUCGGUAUGCACGUGCUCUUUGCAGCCUCUCCUCCUACACCCGAGUGCCGACAGCAAACUAUCUCCCCAGUUUAACCGCUGGACGACCUUGCAAGGAUGCACGUGGAGAUUGGCUGAUCCUGCUGCCGCCUCAUCCUAUCCCAGUUUGCUUUCCUUGAGUGACCUCAGAGGCAUGUUCUUUCUUCGCUACUCCUACGGCCACCUCAUCUUCUGCGACAAUGAUGGGUUCUACAUUGUUAAUACGUUCAGCGGCGCUAAGGUUAUGCCUCCUUGCCUCAAGUCAGAUCACUUCACCAGCAUCAGCUAUGCCACCUUGACAGCCCCUGUUGCAUCCGAUGACUCGCAUCUCCUUGUUGGCAGUGGAGCCUAUCUGUUCCAGUGGCGCAUCGGGAGCGACUCUUGGUUGGAACACUAUCCUAAAGUUAAUUUUCUUAAGAUUGAACAAGUCGUGGCCCUGAAGGGCAAAACAUAUG
rnacentral:lncRNA from 1 species